rnacentral:lncRNA from 1 species
GUAUUCAACAAGCAUGUUGAGAGUGCUUGGAAGGAUUUAAAUCAAGAGUUUUUGAAACCAACAGAAAUGCCAACAGAGGUUUUGAAUCGUAGCCUAAACCUUGCAAGGGUGAUGGAUGUGCUUUACAGGGAAGGCGAUGGCUAUACAUAUGUUGGAAAAGCGGCAAAGGGUGGAAUCACUUCAUUGCUCAUUGAACCAAUUGCACUUUGAAAUUAUGUUAAUUUUUCCUCUCCAAGCUUGUUUCUUAAGAAAUAGUUAUUAAGUUCUAAUUAAUAAUGUUUUAUAAUAUUCAUAUAUUAUAAAAGAAAGUCCAAAUCGAUUGUCUUUGUACUUAUUGCCUUAUAUUAAUUCAAUAAGGUUCUUUCCAAACUUUUCAUUGUGAAAAAUCUUCUAUUUUAUAUAUUAUUUGAUUUUAUAUAUAUACAUAUAUAUAUAUUGGUAUAAAAGAAUAUGUAAUAUAAAAAUAAGAUGAGUUAUACCGGAAUUAAGAUUAAAAAGAAUCUACUAAACAUUACCACCUAGCGUUUAACUAAUACUUAAUACCUUUUGUAUAUAUACAUUAAUACCUUUUGUAUAAUGUUCUCAAUAGUUUUUACAUGCAAAACAAAAUGAAAGAAGACAUUGACUCAUUGGUUAUCUAGCGUUUAACUAAUACUUAACAGUAUUACGUGAGCAAAUCAUAAUAUGGAAAAUAAUUUGUAUUAGUAGAUGAACCUAAACAUGUACUUAGUCUAAUAAAAAAUAAGCAAACCAAUUGAAAGACUAAUAUGCAGUUUGUCAAGUCUAAUUGGGGAGAUAUUUUGUCUUGGGCAUUGAAGCGAAUGACUCCUAGAAGAUAGAGAUAUAGAUGUGACUGAAUGGACUGACAGUAUAUCAUAAAAAACUCAAGUAGAAUAGAUCCUGAAUCCGUUUAUAGAUUUAUUCACUUGUGAUGAUCAUAGUGUGACAUACGUUAAUCAUGAGUGGGUGAUGGACUAUGUAUGUGUGACUCAUAUACUUUGAUGUAAGUAAAAUCUUGUGUUAAAAAAUAUAAAGAACCGAAAGUUAGUAUGUUAGGUAUGCGACUUUUGCAAUAAGUAGCAUCAUUCGCAAUAGUGGAAUUCAUAGCCCAGUGAAUGGGUAAAUGAUAUCCUCCCAUUGGCAUUACAUGAUAGAUGAAAAGUAAAUGUGGUCACGAGUCAUUUAUCUUUGUGAUAAUUGACUUAAUUACUAUUUGAUAGUAAUUGACGUUUUAUGAAGAAAUAUGUAAUAGUUACCAUGAGAUAAAAAUAGAAUCAUAUUAGGAGAACAUAUUUAUCCCAAAGAGAUUAAGAAUAUCCUAUGAGGGUAACAAACUUAUGACAAGGUCAUUGGACGAGCACUGAUCGAGUAGCUUUCUUAAUGGUAUAUAAUUGGGGAAAGCUCAGUCGUGAUACUAUAGUGGAAUGACUUCAUGACUAAUUGAGUUUAUAAUUAAUAGGCAAAAAGUUGGAACUUAAUUAUAAAUCAUUUAAGCUCUAAUUAAAUAUGUCCAAUCAGUCCCCGCUAGCUCAUUGAAAUCAGAAACGAAUUGCAUAUAAAAUCAAAUGAACAAAAAUGGAUAGAAAUGAUAAACAUAGAGAAUUGGGUUAAAUUUGGAAAUGAAUGUGGUUUCUUACUAAGUAUGGAAAUGAUCUGAGAAUUAAUUUAAGUUUUUCAAAUUAUUUUUUAAUCAAAUAAUUGAAGUUUGAAAAUGAUUUUAAAUUAAUUUGUUAUUGUGAAUCCAUUGAAUAUCGAAAUUAAAUAUAUUUUCUCAUAGAUUUUUUUAUGAUAAAGUUGUCAUAAAUUAUUUAAUUGGAAAAUUAAAUAAUUAAAAUUAAUUUAUAAAUAAUAUUUAUUCGAGAAAUAGAAAAACAUGUAUUGCGUUGGAUUAAAUUAUAAAGUGUUGGGUUAAAAGUUCAGGAAGCACAUAUGUAAACGGGUCAAUUUGCCCGGGUCCACACCAAAACCAAAAUACAAAACAAUAAUAAGCCAAACUAAUAAAUAAUUAAGUCUAAGUCCAAAGUCCAUAACCCAUUACAGACCCAAAACCAUUACAGUGCCCCAAAACCCAAAUACUUAGAAUCCAAAACGGACCCCAAAAUGCUACAAACCCAGCCCGAUGGCCCAACACAACAGAAACAGGCUCCAAGGGCUUGUUACUCGAACAAUCAGCCAAAUAGAAACCCUAGGGUUUCCACUCUUGUGCCGCAGCCAAGCCCAACCUUUAGUACCGUACAACCGCUACGGGCGACCUCCAUACGCCUUACUCCGAGUGCCACGACCAUGCCUCCGUAUGCUCCGUACACGCACCUCCACAGCCUGUACCUACACACCAAAUGCAAGAGGACAACAACAAAUAUAGAAAAAAUUAUAUUUUUUUAUUUUGAUUUUUCUUUUCGGCUAUAAAGCCAAGAGAUAUCAUUUUUGUGAGGGUUACGCACACUAAAUAUCAAAAAAAGCACUUCGAAAGUAAAUUUUUAAGGUGAUUUUUUUUGUUUCCUAAUGGCUUUAGUUUUCUGUGAAUUAUUUCGUUUUCUUUUUCAGUCAUUCGCUGUUGCUUUUUAAAAAUAAAAGAGCAAGAUAAUAGCGGGGUCUUACCUUGCAAAUCAGCCAUUGAUUCUUCUUUGCUUCGUCAGAAUUGAAGGCAAAGAGGAAUCUCGAGGCCGUAAAGCGUUUCAAAGGGGCGAAUAUGCCUGUUGUUGGCUGCGAAGGAGUCAGGGCCAAGUGAUUAGGUUUAGGUCGGCUGAAGGAAGGGGAAGCUAGGGUUAUUGUGGCUGGAUGGUCUGAUUUUAGUCCUUUUAAAGGACCAAGUACGGUGCCGUUUUGAGCCUGUAUCAAUGGCUCCAAAACGGUGUCGUAUAGUGACUACCCGACCCGAUCCGAUCCAUUACCCCUAGGAUCCACAUGUUCUUGCGGAGAGGGGAUAAUUUCGAAAUUAGUCCUUCCUUUUUGUACGGGCAUUCAAUUUUGCCUUAUUUAUUUCACUUCUUUUUUAAAUUUGGCUUUAUAAUUUACGCAUAUUUUCAAUUCGGUCCGCGCCUAAACACUGCGUUUUGGGAUCUGGAUUAUUUACUGCUUUAGUCCCUGAGCAUUGUAUUCGUGGAUGCUGGUCCUUUUUGAUUUCUAUGGCCUAUUUUAUUUAUAAAUUAUCCCUUUUAUUUUAAUUCAAUUUUAAUUUAGUUUUCUAUUUGUAUAACUUACCAUUUUAAAAUACAUUUAAUAUUCUUAUAUGUGUUUAUCCAUUCUAAUAAUCUUGUUUGUUUUUAUUUGUGCAAUUAGUUUGAAGUUUUUUUAUCAUAUUAUUUUAACAUUUUGCAUAAUAUUUCUUUAAACAUUCUAUAUAUAUUUGUACAUAUAUUAUUCUCAUUGAAUUUUCAAUUAGUAAUGCCUAUUAUUUUGAAGUUCUCAAUAUUUUUAUAUAUGUGUUAAGCCAUUUUAAUAACUUUAUAAAAUCAUCGUUUUAAAAUUCUUCUUACAUUAAAUUAUUUUAAUAUUUUUAUACAAUAUUUUGUUUGAAUGUUUUUGUAUAUAUUGGUACAUAUAUUCGAUCCUAGAUACAUAUUUAACUCCAUGCUAUUGUUACAUAUAAUUGCUUUUAAAAUUUAUAGGUAUAUAUAUAUAGAUAUAGAUAUAUGUGUUUUUUUAAUCUAUUAUGUAUAUAAUUUAUUUCCUAAGAUUUUAUUUUAGUAUAUAUAUAUUUUACUAUCUUUUCAAAUUUCAUGUAUUACUUAAAGUUCCCUUUAUUGUGUGUAUAUUGUCUAUUUUUAAUAAAUAUUUUUAUUUUGCAUAUUAUUCGGACCCAAAUGUAUUCGCUCUAUAACAUCUACUUUAAUAAUUAUAUACAUCCCUAGUUUCUUAUGCAAAUUAUUUCAAAUUCAUCAAUUCAUAUAUUAUAUAUAUUAUAUGUUCAUUAGUUCAUCAUUCUUUUAAAAAUGUCUUCUACCACAUUGACUUCUAAUUUCCAUCUUGUUCUGUACAUUUUAAGUUAACGUUUUUUAUGUUAUACUAUAUACAUUGUCGUUGCAUAUUAUUUACUUAUUGUUUUGUAUUGUUAAAUCAAUUAUUCUCCAUACAUUUUUGAAAAUUGGGUUAUAUUUUUUAGAUUAGUUAUAUUUAAUUGUUUAUUUUGCUAGUUGAUUAAAUAAGUUAUAUUAUCUUCAUUCAUCAAGCAUUGUACUUUGUGUGUUCAUAUUCUCCCAUGUUUAUUAUUCCUCUUUUUAUACAAAUAUUACCUUGUAAUUUUCAACUUAUUAAUCCAAAUUAAUGAUUCCAUUUUAUUUCAAGUCAAAUUAAUGCGUUUUGAGCUAGUUCUACAAUUGUUUAUUUGAAAACUUACUAAAACAAAGGUAAUGAUUGAUGUUUGGGAACUCGAGGAGUCGUGCCCUACCGUGCUGGGUUUCGAUUUUCCGUUUGUCCAAAAUAAUCAAUUAUUCAUUUGAAAUUGCAUCUGUAUUUUUUAAAUUCCAAAACAAAGGCAAUGUUCAAUGUUUGGAAAUUCGAAAAAUCGUGCCCUACCGUGCUGGGUUUCGGUUUUUUCGUUGGACCAAAUAAGCGAACAUCCUUUUGUAAUUUUCAAGUGUAUGGGCUUUUAGAAAUCAGAAUUGAUCGUAGUUUCGAGGGUUUAAAAGAUCAUGUCCUAACGUGCUGGAUGUGAUACUGUAUUCCUUUGAAACAAGCGAAUCUUGAUGUCCAAUUUGAGUCAUCCAAGUGUUUUAAAAGAAAUCGUAUUUCAAAAUAUUUUUUAGGCAUAAGAACAUUAUUUAAUCAAUUCGGAACCAAUUUUGGGGCGUAGCGAGGGUGUUAAUCCUUCCUCGUACGAAACCGGCUCCCGAACAUGUUUUCUCAAAUUUCGUAGGCCAAAAUUGAUUUAAAUGGAACAAAAUGUUUUAUUAGGUGAUCCAAUCACACCUAAACAAAAAGAUUGGUGAAGACUCCACAUUUGAUUUUAAAAGUCGAUCCCCAUUUUUUCCAAAAAAAAUGGUUUUGACAACAUAUAAUUAGUCUCAAUAUAGGAGAGGCCUAAAACCCCUCAUAAUACAUGAGGGGUAGCAACCCUAGUAUAUUUAACUAGGAUGUGUCAACCCUCUCUCCUAGUUGAACUAGGGGGCUAAUUUUUCUAUUAGAUAAGUAUUAUUUAUAUUCUACUAAUUCAACCAGCAUUCUUUUAUCUCUCCUAUAGACAGAUGGUACUAGUAGGGCUAAUAAUACAAAAGUUAUAUACACAACUUUGAGAUAUUGUUAUUUUUUCAAAAAAUAGUGACAAUUAUUUUCGAAGUAUAAAUUCUAUUUUCUAGGAAUAACAAUUCUCCCGGUUUCUAUUGACAGAAUUACUUUCCUACUGAAAGCAACAAUUCUAUGUUUGAUUUGAGAUUGUUCAAGCCCACACUCAAAGCGAUUCGAUGUACAAGAAUAAUGGAGAAAGUUGUUCGGUUGAAAGCCAGAAACAUCAAGAAUUAGUCUCACACAAUACAUAGGUACUUUUCAGGAAACGUUUAUUGUCGUAGAUAUCACAAACCGAUUUGAUUUUCGAAUUUUUAAUUUUAUGUCAUAACAAAAACUCGAUUUUAAACUGGAUUUUUUUCAACAAAUUGUUACUGAGUAGCACUUGACAGUACCAACUGCAAACUACCACAAGGUGGUUAAAUACUCUCACUAUCAAGCAAUUCAAGAUGUAGAUAUUGACCAUCAAAUUCGAUACUUUCAGAAUGCAAGAGUCAAAAAGCAGUGAUGAGCUUAGUUGUGUGACUUAUCUUGUCAGACAUUUGCACGGAUUACUUAAACCCAAAAUUAAUAAUAAAAAAAACAGUCUACCAAAAUAAGAUGUGUUAAAUCAAAGGAAAAUAAUCAAGCGAAUUUAUAAUUUUAACGAAGAUCUUGUUGGUUGAAAAUUUUAAGUAUUUUAUAUUUAUAUUUAAAUUUUAUUAUAUGUAAUUAUCAUAUUUAGCUCUUUAGUUUUAUAAUGUGUCGUUGUUAAGUGUAUAUUUUAGUCCAAUGAUUCGAUUUUAGUUUUAAUUAUUUUAAUUUAAAAUGUAUUUUAUAUUAAUUUAAUUCUAUUUUAUAAUUAUUCCAACAUGCAUUUAUAAUUAUACUAUAAUCACAAUAGAAUUUAUAAUUUGAUAUCUUUUUUUUUAUAUUAGUUUUAUAUCCUAACACAUCAUGAAUUUGUCACUUAAAUUUGUAUUAUACUUAUUUUGUUAUUGAGACUUUGAAGAUGAUUGUUUUACAGUUGUGAUUUCCUUUUUUAACAUGUCAGUCUUAGAGAAAAAUAUAUAUUGAAUAUUUAAAUUUAUAUAAUAUAUGAGAACGUGGAUUUGAGUGCGAUAAAGUACAUUAUUUUCUAAUUUAAGGGUUAGGAAAGAAUUAUAAGUAGUUUUAGGUAUUAGACAAAAAAAAUAGUUGAUUUGGAAUUAAUAAAAAUGUAAUACUUAAUUGUUCAUAAGUUUAUUAUCAAUUAAUAAAAAAUUAAUUCUAAUAAUUCUUUUUCAUUUUUUUAGUAAAUUCAUUUUAAAAAUCUAGAGACUUUAAAGUCAAUCAAUAGAGCACAUGCUUGUUGGAAAUACUUUAAUUCUGGGAUAUCAAUGCCAUUAGUAAAACUACGCAUGCACAAUAAAAUAUUAAAAAGAAAUAAGAUAUUAAUUUUAUUGAUAACAUUCAAUUAUAAAUAUAAGACGCCAUUGUUGAAAUUUGCUUACUCUGAAUAUUUUACUUCUCAAUUCUAAUGUAUCAGAAAAUUUUAAAUGAUGGGUUUUGAAUAUAAAUUUCUAGUAUUCACUGAAUCAUACAACUAUGGAGUUUACAAUUCAAAUUGAAAAUAUUGUGAAAAAUAACUUAUUCAAAUAGUCAAGCCUUCUUAUUGUUAAGUUUUUACUAUUAUAAUGGUACUACAUUUACAAAUAUAAAUACAUGUUUAAGUUUUAUCUUUUACAUAAAUGAUAUGAUUCCAUUUAUGGAAUGAAUGGUGAGGACUUAAAAUACCAGAGGUUUAAAUUAAUUCAUGAAAUUAUUUAUUAUUCUAAAAUACUCUUCAAACAAAAACAGAUCAAGAGUCAAUGAAAAGUCACUCACUUUCUUAGAGAAACUGUUGGUGGCUAGGGGAAUUUCAGCUACGAUAGGCAUCAUCAUCUGUCCAUUACAACAUGUGAAGACAACAAAGAUACUUAUAAAAUAGAUCUAUUAAUUGAAAAGAGAAAAAACACAUGGAAUAGAUAAGGAGAAAAAAGAAAGAGAGUUGAUGGGAGGGAGCAAUAGGUGGGCGGUAGCUAGCCCGGAGAUUGCCACUGUUUCUACACAAAACAAAGAAGAAAAAACAAACUGCUUGGAGAAAAAAAAGAGAAAAGACCUAAAGGACUAAAUUGCUCACUUUUAUACUUAAGGAGUUAAUUUGUUCUUUAGUUUAUAAUACAAGGAUCCACAUUAUAAAUUUUCCAUUACAAAUGGACGCCUUUGAUGAAAUUUGCUUUAUUUUAAUCUUCUGUGUUAAUUCCAAUGUAAAAAAUGGAAUAUUCUAAACGAUGGGUUUAAAAUAUAAAUUUUUAGUAUUGACUGAAUUGCAAGUACGGAGUUUACAAUUCAAAUUGGAAAAAUAUGUUAAAUUAAUUGUGAAAAAAAAAUCAUUACUCAAAGAGUCAAGCGGUCUUGUUUGAAUAGUUGAUUUUUAUUAAAUAUUUUUCGCUGUUUUCACAAAUUUGUGUGCAAUUUCGUAGUUAUAUAUAUUGAGAAUUUCGUCAUUAAAUUUGUCUACUUUGUCUUUUACGAUGAUUCAAAUGACUUUUCAAUGCUCUCAGUGUAUCAAAUAUAUCAUAUGAUUUUAUGUAUUAUUUCUCAAGUCAAUUAUUUUACUGCUAUUUUAUGGAUCGUUGAAAAUAUGAUCAACAUGCCUUUUUUUUUCUCCAUGCAUGAAUGAUGACAUUAUGUUAGUGAACAGUUUACUAUCUCUAUAUAAUGUAUAUUAAUAAAUGUUUUUGGUGAAUUAUAAGUGGAGGCAAAAUUUUAAUAGUAAUGCGAUUAGCACGAUUCAAACUUAAGUCAUAAUUGGAGCAAUGAAUAACAUGACCAUUAGGCCAACACAUAGGUUCAUAUAUUAAUUGUAGCGACCUAAAAAUUUGGAGUACGGGCGCUAAUUGAAGUGAUUAUUAAAAAUUUGAAAAUUGAAUCUCGACUUUAUUUGAAAAGGAGUCGCCACCGAUCUUUUUUUCAGGUGUGAUCGGACACCUACAAAAUUCUCUUUUCAGAAGAAAAAUUUAUUUUUAAACUUUUCUAAAAAAGAGGCAAUUUUAGGUCCACGUAAAAAUCCAGAGAAAAUUAGGGUUCGGGAGUCGGUUACGCGCGAGGAAGGUAUUAGCACCCUCGCGACGCCCAAAAUUGGUAUCUCGUAAAACGCGCGUUGUCUUAAUUUUCCAAAAUACAAGUUCAAUUUAAUAUUUAAUUGUGAUCCGAUUGAAACUUGAGAAAACCCUUUUUUUUGUUUUUAAACACGAGAAAUUUGAAACAAAAUAAUAAUUUUUUAAAACACGAAGAUUUUUGAAACACGAAAAUUUUUUGAAAACACGAAAACACAAAAUAUUUUUAACACGGGAAUUUUUGAAAACACGACAGUUUUUUUUUAAACACGAAAAUUUUUUGAAAACACAGAAAUUUUUUGAAAACAAGGAAAUUUUAGAUACAUGAGAAUUCUUUGACACGAAAAAUUUUGAAAACAUGAGAAUUCCGAAAACAUGAAUUUUUUAAAACAUGUAAUUUUUUAAAAAACACGAGAAUUUUUUGAAAACACGAAAACAUGAAAAUUUUGAAAACACAGGCAAUUUUUUAAAACACGAAAAUUUCUGAAAGACGGGAGUUUUUUUUGUUUUUUGUUUUAUUUUAAAACACGAAAAUUUUUCAUUUGAAAACGCGAAAAUUUUUUCAUUUUAAAACGCGAAUUUUUUUUUAAAACACGAAAACUUUUGAAAACGCGAAAAGUCGAAAAUUCCUAAAAUACGAGUAAUUUUUAAAGACACGAAAAUUUGAAACACGAAAUUUUUUUUAAAACGUACCGUAUUUAACACGAAUCGAUGAUGUUCACCCCAACAUGGCGAUGAAAUCGACGAAUUAAUGUCAAACCAAUUCAACUUAAUAUUUAAUCAGAAUUCCAUUAAAACACGAGGAUUUUUUUUAAAUACGAGGAUUUUUGAACAUUUUUUUUAAAAGGACGUCCCGAAUUUAACACGAGCUAUCGAUAUCCACCCAUCAUAGCGAUGAAAUCAAUAGCUUGAUGCUAAAUCGGUUCAUUGCCUUAUGCAUUAAAAUAAUUUUUAUUUUAAACAUGCAAAUAAAAUGACAUAAUAAUAUUUAUAAAACUAUUCUAAAAAUGUAAAUUUAAAUUAAAUGAAACACCAUUUAAAUAUAUGAGUUAAAUUAAAAUGGCUUUAAAAAAAAUUUACCAAAAGCCCAAAAUUGUGGGCUUGAAGAAUAGGCCCUCUUCUCUUUGCUUCUUUUUUUUUGUUGGGCUGCUACUUGCGGGCUGCAAGGAAAUGGGCUGAAUCUGUUGGACUAUUGCGCUGGGCCUGCUAAUGAACUGGAGCUGCACGGGUGGGCCACUGCUGGUGGGCUACUGCUGGUCCACCAAAACUAGCCUGCUGUUUUUUAUUUUUUAUUUUUUAUUUUUUAUUUCUUUUUUCUCUCUUUUUCUUCCUCUUUUUUCUUCUUCUCUUCUUCUUGUCUCAAAGUCUUGGCCCUUCUUUUUCACCGCCGUCGGUGUCUCCUGGGUACGGUGGUUGGACGGUCGCCGGCGUUCUCCUUUCCCUCCUCUCUUCUUCUUCUUUCUACUUUACUUUUUUUUGCUUGCUUACUGCUAUUUUCCUUUCUUUUGUUUAUGCUUGCACAUUUCUUAGCUUGACUUCGGCGAGGAGCAACGAUGAUCGUUGCACGGCGAUCGUGGUGGCGUGUGUACGGUGGCGGUGAGCGUGGGAUCGGCCCAUGGGAGUAUUUUUUUUUGCUGCUGGAAUUUUCUGCUAUUUUUUUUGCUUUUGGUUGCCGAAAAAUCCCCCCCCUUCUCUUCAAUUUUUCUUUUUUAAAAGCUCCAAAUUUUGUCCUCUUUCUCUUUGUUUUCAGGUGGCAGCGGAGAGGGGAGGCCUGAAAAUCUAGGAAGUGGGUGCCCCAAAUAACGUAACCUGUCUGAAGGACCAAAUCACAAAUGCAGCAAAACUUCUGGGGCUAAAUGUAAUUUUUAGAAAAUUUAGGAUUAAAAUGAAAUUUAAUGAAAUUUUAGGGGUCUAAGUGAAAUUUAAAGAAAGUUUAAGGGUCAAAAUGAAAUUUAGGAAAAGUUUGGGGGUCAAAAUGCAAUUUUUAUUUUUUAAUUUUUUUUUUUGAAAUUUUGAAAAUUAAACACAAAUUCUAGUCGGACAAAAAUUUAGUGCUUACAACUGCCCCUCUUUGCUCAUCAUUGUGAAACAAGGAUAGUGCAAAGACUUAAAAGCACUAAAUUUUGUUCAAUUGUCCAAUCUUUAUUCUUUACUCGGCAUGUGAUCCUGAGCUCAACUCAUUUCUCGCAAUAUGAAUUGACUCUUUAAAACUAGACAUUAAAAAUAGAAAUUGAAAAUAGCUCAGCACGUGAGCCAAGGCUCAACUCACUUCUCGCAAUAUGAGUUGAUUUUUGAAAACAGAAUUUGCAAAAGGCUCAACUCACCUCUCGCAAUAUGAGUUGAUUUUUUUGAAAAAUAGAAAAAGGCUCAACUUACCUCUCGCAAUAUGAGUUGGUUUUUGAAAAAUAGAAAUUAAAAGGCUCAACUCACCUCUCGCAAUAUGAGUUGAUUUUUGAAAAACAGAAAUUGAAAAGUAGAAAUUGAAAAUACCUCAGCGUGCCCUGAGGCUCAACUCACCUCUUGCAAUAUGAGUUGAUUUUUUUUUUGAAACACAGAAAUUAAAAAAAAAUAGAAAUUAAAAACAGAAUUUGAAAAGACCUCAGCGUGUGGCCUGAGACUCAACUCACCUCUUGCAAUAUGAGUUGAUUUGAAAAGUAGAAUUAGUAAGCAGAAAUUGAAAAUACCUCAGCGUGCCUUGAGGCUCAACUCACCUCUCGCAAUAUAAGUUGAUUUUUGAAAAGUAUAGAUUGAAAAAAACAUAAAUUGAAAAUACCUCAGCAUGUGAGCCGAGGCUCAACUCACCUCUUGCAAUAUGAGUUGAUUUUUGAAAAACAAAAAUUAAAAGGCUUAACUCACCUCUCGCAAUAUGAGUCAAUUUAAAACAUAAACUAAAAAUACAUCGGCGUGCCCCGAGGCUCAACUCAUUUCUUGCAAUAUGAGUUGAUUUUUUUUUUAAAUUUAAAAAUACCUCAACGUGUCUUGAGGCUCAACUCAUUUCUCGCAAUAUGAGUUGAUUUUGAAAAACAAAAAUUAAAAGGCUUAACUCACCUCUCGCAAUAUUAGUCAAUUUAAAACAUAAACUAAAAGUACCUCGGCGUGCCCCGAGGCUCAACUCACUUCUCGCAAUAUAAGUUGAUUUUUUAAAAAAUUUAAAAAUACCGCAACGUGUCUUGAGGCUCAACUCAUUUCUCGCAAUAUGAGUUGAUUUUGAAAAACAAAAAUUAAAAGGCUUAACUCACCUCUCGCAAUAUGAGUCAAUUUAAAACAUAAACUAAAAAUACCUCGGCGUGCCCCGAGGCUCAACUCACUUCUCGCAAUAUGAGUUGAUUUUUUUAAAAAAUUUAAAAAUACCUCAACGUGUCUUGAGGCUCAACUCAUUUCUCGCAAUAUGAGUUGAUUUUGAAAAACAAAAAUUAAAAGGCUUAACUCACCUCUCGCAAUAUGAGUCAAUUUAAAACAUAAACUAAAAAUACCUCGGCGUGCCCCGAGGCUCAACUCACUUCUCGCAAUAUGAGUUGAUUUUUUUAAAAAAUUUAAAAAUACCUCAACGUGUCUUGAGGCUCAACUCAUUUCUCGCAAUAUGAGUUGAUUUUGAAAAACAAAAAUUAAAAGGCUUAACUCACCUCUCGCAAUAUGAGUCAAUUUAAAACAUAAACUAAAAAUACCUCAGCGUGCCCCGAGGCUCAACUCACUUCUCGCAAUAUGAGUUGAUUUUUUUAAAAAAUUUAAAAAUACCUCAACGUGUCUUGAGGCUCAACUCAUUUCUCGCAAUAUGAGUUGAUUUUCCUUGGAAAGCAUGAAUAUUAAACAUCAAAAUACCAAAACCAGUCCUUUGGUAGAACUCGGGUAUCUUUUCCUUUGAUUCAGUGCGACUCUCAUUCAAGAUUUCUUGCUUUACUGGAUUACCUGUAUAUGCCAUGCAUGAUGUCAUCAUGAUAUGCACAUGUUUGUCUUAAAUGCCUUUAUGCCUACAUGAUUAUGCAGUGCUCCUUAAGCAUAUUGGUCGUAUGUCAUUUUCGCCAUGAUUGUUGAGGAUCUGCGUUCAUUGCUUUGAUUCUCGACCUUCUCUUCAGGCCUCAUACCUGUCUUCGAGCUUUACGAGUAAUCGACGUUUCUCAGAUAUCACCCUUUUUGCCCUUGGUUAAACUUUGUUCUUGCUUUGAAGAUCUUGCACUUAUCAAAUUCUUAUCCGGGUAAUGCUUGACAUUUCUUUUGUUUAGAGUAUGUCAUUUCACUAUUUAUCAUUAAAUAAACACAUAAUGAGAUGCAUGAAAAUGGUCAGGUAGGGACACAAAGGAUAUCUCAUAUUCCUUUAUUUCAAGUGUGGCAAACAAAGAAAGUUAACCAAUGAGAGUAAAAAUGUCAAAAAGAAAGAAAAUGUCGUAUUCAACGGAUACAAAUGCUCUAGAUAUUCAACACAUGAACUCUUCCACGUUCCUCAAUCAAUAAUCUUUUCGAGCAUGGCUUCUUGCGUAGAAAAUUUCGAGCUUUCAGAAGUGCUUCAAAUACUGUAGUCUCACUACUUGACCUAUCAUUCGACCGCCAGGUUUGUUUCAUUAGGACGCCCUCUCGGGUUUUCAUCCUAAUCUUUUUGUACUAAUCAAUACGCCCUUUUCGGGUUUUCGCCCUUUUUUUUUAGAUGCCCUUUUCGGGUUUUCAUCUUAAGCAUAAUAUUUCUUCACCGCAUCCGAAUUCACCGGAUUCGGUAACUCCUUCCCAUCCAUCUCGGUAAGGAUUAAAGCUCCUCCUGAGAAUGCCUUUUUUACAACGUAUGGUCCUUCCUAAUUUGGUGCCCAUUUUCCUCGCAGGUCUUUUUGUAUUGGGAGAAUCUUUCUCAGAACGACUUCUCCUUCAUGGAACUCUCUUGGUCGUACCUUCUUGUCAUGGGCUGUGAUCAUUCUCUUUUGGUACAUUUGCCCAUGACAAAUUGCCCUUAGACGUUUUUCUUCAAUGAGGUUCAACUGAUCAUAUCGAGCUCGAACCCAUUCUGCUUCUUCUAACUUUGAUUCCAUCAAUACUCGCAGAGAGGGGAUCUCAACCUCGAUAGGUAGCACAGCUUCCAUUCCAUAGACUAGAGCGAAAGGAGUUGCUCCCGUAGAUGUUCGCACAGAUGUGCGAUAUGCAAACAAAGCAAAUGGAAGUUUCUCGUGCCAAUCUUUAUAUGUCUCAGUCAUUUUCCCAAUGAUCCUCUUAAUGUUCUUGUUAGCUGCUUCAACAACCCCAUUCAUCUUUGGGCGAUAGGGCGAGGAAUUAUGAUGCUUUAUUUAGAACUGCUCGCACACUUCUUUCAUCAUCUUAUUGUUCAGAUUCGUGGCAUUAUCUGAGAUGAUUCUUUCAGGCAAACCAUAUCGGCAAAUGAUUUCCUUUUUCAAAAACUUGCACACUGCAGUCUUCGUCACAUUGGCAAACGAAGCGGCUUCAAUCCAUUUUGUGAAGUAAUCGAUAACCACAAAAAUGAAUCGAUGUCCAUUUGAAGCUUUUGGAGAAAUUGGCCCUAUGACAUCCAUGCCCCACAUAGAAAAAGGCCACGGAGAAGUCAUGACAUGAAGGGGUGAAGGGGCUACAUGAAUUUUAUCGCCGUAGAUUUGACAUUUGUGGCAUUUUCUGGCAAAAUUGAUGCAGUCACUUUCCAUUGUCAGCCAAUAAUAACCGAGUCUCAUGAUCUUUCUGGCCAUAUUGAAACCAUUGGCAUGCGUUCCGCAAAUUCCCUCAUGGACCUCUUCAAGUAUUUUUCUGGUUUCAACAUCAUCCACACAUCUCAAAAGCAUCUGAUCCUUUCCUCUUUUAUACAGGAUAUCCCCAUCAAGAACAAAUCCCACUGCCAUUCUUCUAAUUGUUCUUUUAUCGUUCUCAUUCACUUGUUCGGGAUACCUUUGAUUCUUGAUAUAUUCUAAGAUAUCAUGGAACCAAGGCCGUCUGUCUACUUUUUUCUCAAUGCUACAACAGUGUGCAGGGACCUCGUAUAUGCUCAUUUUGAGGGGCAUUAUUUCUGCUUCUCUACUUGCUUUGAACAUUGAAGCCAAAGUGGCUAGGGCAUCAGCCAGUUGGUUCUCUUCUCGUGGGAAGUAAUGAAAAGUUAUUUCUUUGAAUUCCUUGAUCAAUCCAGCCACUAAAUCGCUGUACUUAAUCAAUUUUGAGUCCCUCACUUCCCAUUCUCCACGGAUUUGGUAAAUCACUAGGGCUGAGUCCCCGUACACCUCCAAGAUCUUGAUGUUUCGUUCGAUAGCUGCACGAAGCCCCAUGAUACAGGCCUCAUAUUCUGCGAUAUUAUUGGUACAGAAGAAGUUCAGUCUUGCAGUGAACGGAUAAUGAUUCCCGUCUGGUGAUACCAGGAUUGCUCCAAUUCCAUGCCCUAAAGCAUUUGACGCACCAUCAAAGCACAUCUUCCAUGACUUCUCUUUUGAUGACUCGGAUUCUAUUUCUGUGAUGCACAUUAAGUCUUCGUCUGGGAAAUCGAAUCUUAAAGGCUCAUAUUCCUCUGUCGUUCGAGUUGCUAAGAAGUCAUCUAUUGCGCUCCCUUUUAUUGACUUCUGACUUACAUAGGCAAUGUCAUAUUCCGAAAGGAGGAGCUGCCAUCGUGCCAUUCUUCCUGAUAGUGCCGGCGAUUCCAUCAUGUAUUUUAUUGGGUCCAGCUUUGAAAUUAGCCAUGUCGUGUGAUACAACAUAUAUUGUCUGAGUCUCCGAACUACCCAAACCAGAGCGCAACAAUAUUUCUCAACGGACGAAUAUUUUGCCUCAUAUUCAGUGAACUUUUUGCUGAGGUAGUAGAUCGCCUUUUCUUUCUUUCCUGACUCGUCAUGUUGUCCCAGUACGCAACCCAUUCAACUUUCGAACACUGUCAGAUACAAAAUUAAUGGUCUUCCUGGAGUUGGCGGUACUAGCACUGGAGGACUGGACAAAUAUUGUUUUAUCUUAUCAAAGGUCACUUGGCAUUCCUCGUUCCAUUCUCCCGGGUUAUGUUUUCGAAGAAGCCGAAAGAUUGGGUCGCAUUGGUUGGUAAGUUGAGCGAUAAAUCGGGCGAUGUAAUUUAAUCUCCCUAAAAAUCCUCUAACUUCCUUUUGCGUGCGCGGAGGUGGUAAUUCUUGGAUGGCUUUUAUUUUAUCUGGAUCAACUUCGAUACCUCUUUCACUGACAAUGAAGCCUAGUAACUUUCCCGAGGUAGCCCCGAAUGUACAUUUGGCUGGAUUAAGCUUUAGCUGAAACUUUCUCAGCCUUUCGAACAACUUCUUGAGGUUCAUUACAUGCUCUUCUUCUCCUCGAGAUUUAGCAAUCAUAUCAUCGAUGUAGACCUCUAUUUCUUUAUGCAUCAUGUCAUGGAAUAACGUCACCAUAGCCCUCUGAUAUGUUGCCCCAGCAUUCUUUAACCCGAAUGGCAUCACCUUGUAGCAGAACGUUCCCCAUAUUGUUAUGAAGGUAGUUUUCUCCAUAUCCUCAGAAGCCAUCUUGAUCUGAUUAUACCCCGAGAAUCCAUCCAUGAAAGAAAACAAUGAAUGUUUUGCUGUGUUGUCCACCAACGUGUCAAUAUGUGGCAAGGGAAAAUUAUCUUUUGGGCUUGCUCGAUUCAGGUCACGAUAAUCCACGCACAUUCGUACUUUUCCAUCUUUCUUUGGUACCGGGACUAUGUUAGCCACCCAUUCUGGAUAUUUGGAGGCUUGUAGGAAGCCAGCGUCAAAUUGCUUCUUGACUUCCUCUUUUAUUUUCAACAGCAUUUCGGGCCUCAUCCGUCUUAAUUUUUGCUGGAUGGGCUUGCAUUCUGGCUUUAAUGGGAGCUUAUGGACCACUAAAUCUUCUUCUAGCCCUGGCAUGUCCUGGUAUGACCACGCGAAAACAUCUUUGUAUUCGCGGAGUAAAGUGAUCAAACUACGCCUGGUACUUUCUGAAAUAGAAGUCCCAAUCUUCACUUCUUGUUUCCUCUCUUCAGUGCUCAAAUUUAUUGUUUCUACAGAUUCUUCAUGAGGCAGAACCUGUUUAUCCUCUUGUUCCACCAUUCUUAACAAUUCAGGAGACGAGACAUAAUCUUCAGCAUUUUCUUCGGCUUCAAAUUCUCCUAAGCAAACAGCCUUCUCAACAUCAAUUUCAAGAUUCGUAACGGGCUUAUUCAUGUCGUCAAUAUCUGAGCAGCUAAAAGUUGAAUGGAAAAGGAAGCUAUCGGAGGACAUCCAAGUAUUGGAAACAACAAACAAAAUGUUAUGUCAUGGCAAUGAGGCAAAUGUAAGGAUAGGCUAUGAAAUGAGAAAAUGAUUAUGAAAUUAGUGAUAAUGCAAAAAAUCAUGACAAAAUACAUCUUCAUUGAAAUUCAUUUAAAUGAUAAAGAGCGAAUGCAAACUCUUACAAAAGAACUCUAUUAUAUCUAAGGACACAAUAGAAGGUUGAUGUUUGGCAUUACUCUGAAGGCUUAUAAACUACAAGAAGCUCCUCAGCAAUCCAAUUGUUCAACAUGAAACCAGGAGGGCAAGGGCGUAUCCUCGAGACAUCUUUACUUGCACCAGCUUCUUUGUCAAUGACAUUUAUACUAGCAUUCUGAAAAUCCUUUUCAAUUAAUCCCAGCAUGUUUCGUGGAUCCUCUUGUCCAGGGUACAUCAUUCCCGCAGAUGUAAAUGUUUUUGACAAAGGAGGGUACUCUAUUGGUUCCCAUUCUGGUUCUCGGCCCAAAGUUCUUGCAAUUCUUCUCUCUUGAUCCUUCUUCCACUGUCUUCUUCUUUGGCGCAUGUCAGGCUGGAACCCCAAACUGUAUCGGGCCUUGUGGUGCACUGGCUUUAAAGCCCUCACUAUUCCUUGCAGAUGUCUCCCUAAACCUCUUCUCGCACGAGCUCCCCUUCCUACAGUCAACUUGACACCCAUUCUGGUAUUUCUCGACAGUUUUGGCAUCGAAAUUCUAUUUCCUUCAACGACGAAAAUGGCAUUGAUGAAUUCAAGGGAUCGAAAGGAACAUUCCAUUGCAUCCUUGCUUACUUCCAGGUAUGGCGCAUCAGCAGAGAUAGAUGCGAUGAUGUCUUCUUCGCCCUCGACUGUGACCAAACAGCCAUCCAUGAUGAAUUUCACUUUUUGAUGGAGGGAUGAUGGGACUGCUCCAGCAGAAUGAAUCCAAGGUCUUCCCAAAAGGCAGUUAUAAGAGGGUGUAAUGUCCAUGACUUGGAAUUCGACCUCAUAGAUGUAGGGGCCCACUUCUAAAGGGAUUUCGAUCUUUUCCAUGACUUCACGCCUCGUCCCGUCGAAUACACUUACCGUGGAAUGACAGGGCUUUAAGUAGGACAAAUCUAUCGGUAUUCUGGAAAGUGUAGCCAAUGGCAUAACAUUUAAUGCUGACCCAUUAUCAAUGAGUACGUUCGGUAUUAUGUAGCCCUUGCAGUGGGUCGUGAUAUGCAGCGCUUUCACCGAACCUCUACCAUUUAGCGGUAUCUCAUCAUCACUAAAAGAGAUGAAGUUGUCCGCAUUCAGAUUGUUUACCCACCUAUCAAGCUUUUCGACAGAUAUGUUGUUGGCCACGUAAGCUUGAUUUAACACCUUCAAUAAAGCGUUCCGGUGUGGCUCUGAAUUUAACAGUAGAGAUAGAAUUGAGAUUCGUGCUGGCUGCUUGCUCAGUUGUUCCACCACACUAUAUUCGCUGUGCUUAAUAAAUUUCAAGAAUUCUUGAGCUUCUUCCUCAUUCACAGGCUUUUUAGUUUCUUGCACGGGUGGAAUUUCUUGCUCGACUUCGACCUCGUGCAUCACUGCUUUCCCUUUUUGCUUCGAGUCGCUACUUUUCUUUACCGGUUCAACUUUUUAGAAUAGCAUCGUCCACUUCGAGUAAAAUGACCUACCUCCCCAACAUCUUCAAUUAUGGCUUUGGACUUUUCAACUUCCGGUGUAACGAUAUUAACAUCAUAUCUCCACGGUACUGUUUUGUUGUCCUUAUACGGGAAAGGAGAUGGUACUUCAAUUACCAUCUGUGGUUUCAAUGGCUCUCUCAUCGCGUCGUAAUAAAUUACCAACGGUCGAUCAGCACUAUAAGGGGGCCCUGAUGAUUGGCUAUCAGAGACGCAUACUUCUCUUUCGUUGGCAUCUUCAUUCUUGUUAAGGACCUUGAUCUCCUUAUUAUUCAUCUGGUCUUGAAGUAACCUUUUAAAGUCCUCGCACGACUGAAUGUCGUGCCCAAAAAUCCUAUGAAAAUUGCAAAAACUUUGACCUUCUUCUCCAAAAACUCUAUCAGAGUGACAGAGCAAUCCUUUCUUAACUAAUACCUCCCAGAUUUUCUGCAGAGGCGUCCUUAUUUCUGCCACACAUCUUCUGACCUUCCAUUCAUCCACUUUCCCCACUAUGCUCACAUCCCUUUCGAUAUGGUUAGGGAAUGGGUUCCCAGUUGCAUUACUGGCACUAUCGAAUCAUAGGAUACCUGCAUCAAUGAGUCCUUGAACUCUUCUCUUAAAGGCUAGGCAGUUUUUAGUGGAAUGCCCCUGGUUUCCCGUAUGGUAUGCACAACUAGCGAAUUGUAUGUUUUAACCUCAGCGAACGAGUAUGGAAUAUGCAAUGAAUGAAUGAAUGCAUGAAUGUCAAAUGACUGUUAGUCAUGAAAGAAAUGCAAGAAAUUGGUGUUAAUUUCAAGAUAGCCCCUAUUUAGGCAUUUCCUUAAUCAAAAGAGUCUAUUACACAACGUUUCGGUCACUCGUGUAAUUGACUCCUCUAUCAAAAACCCCUUUUUGGCAACCAAUCUCUAAUCAACCCUUUCCUAACAAGAUGUAUAUGAUGCAUGAUGAAAAAUAGAAAUACAGACAAACAACAUUGGUUAGCAAAACACAUAUGAUCAGAGAAAAAUUGUGGAAAAUCUAACAAAUUAAGCUACUUGGUCCAAUGGACUCGAUUCCCUUGCAUAGAAAGCGAAAGUGCAAAAGGUAAGAGGCGUUCCUCCCGUGCACUUAUUUUGGUGACUACUAAACGGACUGAGGUUCAGCAUGGCUCUAGUUAGGUGGCUCGUAUGGUUCAUUAUAUGCGGUUUUGGUUCUAGAUAGGUACUCGAAUUGCCCGUACUAUCAUCUACUAAGAUUAACACGGAGCCUCGGUCAUAGCCUAUCACAGGCUCACGAGUUCAAUUCGAGGGGUUACAUUUACUUAUGCCUAUGCGGAGGGACAAGUUAACUCACGAAAGCAUAAAUCAUAUGUAACCCGAAAGUAUUCACUAGCCUGUGCGGAGGGACGAGUUAACUCACAAAGGCGUAGCGUUUACUUUCACUUAAACGGACGGAGCCCGGGUAGAGAGCUCAUGUUAUGCGAAAAUGCAAGUGCACGGUGUGUGGGGAACAACUCAUAAACCUUUACGUUUCACUUAAAGAAACUAAACCAAAAUUAAAACCAUAAAAAUUAAAAACUGAAAAACAACCAAAUAAGCAAGUUAGAAGAAAUAUUUACAGCACGAUACAAAUGCAUGAAUUUUGAAAACGAGAUUUUCGGAUCACGACCAAAUAUUUACUUUGAACAAGGAAAUUUAAAAAUUUUGACAAAACGUGUUUAAUUCCAGACACGACUCUCAAAAAGGCUUUCCCCAGUGGAGUCGCCAGCUAUAGCGACCUAAAAAUUUGGAGUACGGGCGCUAAUUGAAGUGAUUAUUAAAAAUUUGAAAAUUGAAUCUCGACUUUAUUUGAAAAGGAGUCACCACCGAUCUUUUUUCCAGGUGUGAUCGGACACCUACAAAAUUCUCUUUUCAGAAGAAAAAUUUAUUUUUAAACUUUUCUAAAAAAGAGGCAAUUUUAGGUCCACGUAAAAAUCCAGAGAAAAUUAGGGUUCGGGAGUCGGUUACGCGCGAGGAAGGUAUUAGCACCCUCGCGACGCCCAAAAUUGGUAUCUCGUAAAACGCGCGUUGUCUUAAUUUUCCAAAAUACAAGUUCAAUUUAAUAUUUAAUUGUGAUCCGAUUGAAACUUGAGAAAACCCUUUUUUGUUUUUAAACACGAGAACUUUGAAACAAAAUAAUAAUUUUUGAAAACACGAAGAUUUUUGAAACACGAAAAUUUUUUGAAAACACGAAAACACAAAAUAUUUUUAACACGGGAAUUUUUGAAAACACGACAGUUUUUUUUUAAACACGAAAUUUUUUUGAAAACACAGAAAUUUUUUGAAAACAAGGAAAUUUUAGAUACAUGAGAAUUCUUUGACACGAAAAAUUUUGAAAACAUGAGAAUUCCGAAAACAUGAAUUUUUUAAAACAUGAAAAUUUUUAAAAAACACGAGAAUUUUUUGAAAACACGAAAACAUGAAAAUUUUGAAAACACAGGCAAUUUUUGAAAACACGAAAAUUUCUGAAAGACGGGAGUUUUUUUUGUUUUUUGUUUUAUUUUAAAACACGAAAAUUUUUCAUUUGAAAACACGAAAAUUUUUUCAUUUUAAAACGCGAAUUUUUUUUAAAACACGAAAACUUUUGAAAACACGAAAAGUCGAAAAUUCCUAAAAUACGAGUAAUUUUUAAAGACACGAAAAUUUGAAACACGAAAUUUUUUUUUAAAACGUACCGUAUUUAACACGAAUCGAUGAUGUUCACCCCAACAUGGCGAUGAAAUCGACGAAUUAGUGUCAAACCAAUUCAACUUAAUAUUUAAUCGGAAUUCCAUUAAAACACGAGGAUUUUUUUUUAAAUACGAGGAUUUUUGAACUUUUUUUUAAAAGGACGUCUCGAAUUUAACACGAGCUAUCGAUAUCCACCCAUCAUAGCGAUGAAAUCAAUAGCUUGAUGCUAAAUCGGUUCAUUGCCUUAUGCAUUAAAAUAAUUUUUAUUUUAAACAUGCAAAUAAAAUGACAUAAUAAUAUUUAUAAAACUAUUCUAAAAAUGUAAAUUUAAAUUAAAUGAAACACCAUUUAAAUAUAUGAGUUAAAUUAAAAUGGCUUUAAAAAAAAUUACCAAAAGCCCAAAAUUGUGGGCUUGAAGAAUAGGCCCUCUUCUCUUUGCUUCUUUUUUUUUUUGUUGGGCUGCUACUUGCGGGCUGCAAGGAAAUGGGCUGAAUCUGUUGGACUAUUGCGCUGGGCCUGCUGAUGAACUGGAGCUGCACGGGUGGGCCACUGCUGGUGGGCUGCUGCUAGUCCACCAAAACUAGCCUACUGUUUUUUAUUUUUUAUUUUUUUUAUUUUUUCUCUCUUUUUCUUCCUCUUUUUUCUUUUUUCUUAUUCUCUUCUUCUUGUCUCAAAGCCUUGGCCCUUCUUUUUCACCGCCGUCGGUGUCUCCUGGGUGCGGUGGUUGGACGGUCGCCGGCGUUCUCCUUUCCCUCCUCUCUUCUUCUUCUUUCUUCACUUCUUUCUACUUUACUUUUUUUUUUUGCUUGCUUGCUGCUAUUUUCCUUUCUUUUGUUUAUGCUUGCACAUUUCUUAGCUUGACUUCGGCGAGGAGCAACGAUGAUCGUUGCACGGCGAUCGUGUUGCCGUGUGUACGGCGGCGGUGAGCGUGGGAUCGGCCCAUGGGAGUAUUUUUUUUGCUGCUGGAAUUUUCUGCUAUUUUUUUUGCUUUUGGUUGCCGAAAAAUCCCCCCCUUCUCUUCAAUUUUUCUUUUUUAAAAGCUCCAAAAUUUGUCCUCUUUCUCUUUGUUUUCAGGUGGCAGCGGAGAGGGGAGGCCUGAAAAUCUGGGAAGUGGGUGCCCCAAAUAACGUAACCUGUCUGAAGGACCAAAUCACAAAUGCAGCAAAACUUCUGGGGCUAAAUGUAAUUUUUAGAAAAUUUAGGAUUAAAAUGAAAUUUAAUGAAAGUUUAGGGGUCUAAGUGAAAUUUAAAGAAAGUUUAAGGGUCAAAAUGAAAUUUAGGAAAAGUUUGGGGGUCAAAAUGAAAUUUUUAUUUUUAAAAUUUUUUUUUUGAAAUUUUGAAAAUUAAACACAAAUUCUAGUCGGACAAAAAUUUAGUGCUUACAUUAAUAAUUUUUAAAUACCUAAUUUUCCUUAAUAUAGGUAAACCUCGCAAUUUUGAUUUCUAACUCAAAAUUUAACUUGAUAAAUUUAAAAUAAAAUUUAUUUUAUUUUUAUUUAAUCAUAAAAAUUUAAAAUUUUAAACUUAAAUUGAUUCAAAUUCAAAAUAUAGGGGCUGGCUCUGCACCCUAAAAUGAUAAGUUUAUGUUUUAGUGUUUUAAAUUUUAUAAAUUAUAAAAAUUAGUACAUGGUAAAAAUCUCACUUUGGCUUUCAAUAAUAAUAAAAUUUUGAUUUAAUCCUUAAUUAAUUAUAAAGAUGUAAACUAUUAAAAUGGUGAAAUUACAUUUUAUCUCUCGUAAAAACUUUACAACUUAAAUAAGAGUAAAUAGAUCCAAAAACCUCAAGCAACCAAAAAUUAUUUGAAUCCAAAGCUCCUUUAAAUAUAAAAACUAUGUAAACAAAUUUGUUUUAUGUUUAUAUAUAUUUUUUAACAAUUUUAUUAUAGAUUCUGAUUGUAUAUGCUCUUUUUGACAUAAUGCUUAAAAUUACUCAUAACCCCUCCCCAACCCAUAAAUAGAAGGAUAAUGCGCUUAAGAGCACUCGAAACUAAAUCCUCUUACAUUGACAAUAAUACGUAUACCAAUCAAGAUUACAUUUUUUAUUAAGCUAAAAAUGAUUAAUUAAUUGUAUAUUUUUUUUUAAUGUGAUCCAACACCAUAUGAAUGAAACAAAUGAAUGCAUCAGCUCAAAAUGACUGAUGAAAGACGUAAGAACUAUUAAAAUCUAUAUAAUAGAACAAUUAAAAAAAAAGAUUGCAGAUAGCUUGCACAUCAAGCCUACUAUGUUUGAUUUUUAAUUUAAAUUUCUUAUCAUUCAUUUUCGACAUUUGAUUAUGAUAUUUAAUUUCGUUGUCUUGUAGUGUUUUUUUCCCAAGGAAUAUUCAAUUAAUGUUUGCCAAUUUAUAUCUCAAGAUAACGACUAUGAUUUGAAAUAAAAUUAUAUAGAUGCAUGCAAAUCUCCCCUUGUUUUCUAUUAAUCAUUUAGUUUUGGCAUAAUAAUUUUUUGGCCCUCCAACUUCACAAAACAAGUCAAUUUAGCCCUCCAUUAAAAUUUUCGCUUCUUUUAACAUUUGAAUUUGUAUUUUUUGUCAAGCCACUCCAAAGUAGAUGGAGAAAUUAAUAUUUAUUAACUUUCCUGACGUGUUAUACAUGUGGAUUGCUGAUUAGAUGACAUGUUAGCAUUUAAUUCAUCUCUAAACUAUUAAAAAUAUAUUUUUUUUAUUUUUUAAUAAUUUUGAAUAUUUUAAUAAUUUUUCAUUUUUAAAAAUAAUUUUAUAAUAUUUUAAAUUUUUUAAAUUUUAAAAAAUUAAUUAAAUGUUGGCAUGUCAUCCCCAUAACAGUCCACAUUUAUACAACAUCAACAAAGUUAAAAUGUUGAACUUUUCCAUUCAUUUUGAGGUGAUUUGACAAAAAUGUAAAUUUAAGGACUUAAAAGAUAAAAAAAUUAAAUGAAAACUAAAAUGACUUUUUUUAUAAAAUUAAAAGGAUAAAAAAAAUUAAUGCCUUUUAACUUUUUUUUAAUUUAUAAUUACUAGAAUGAGCAAAUGAGCACCCCCUUUCACUUUCACUGGGGCUGCUAUAAAUUUUAUUAUAAUUUAGUCAAUUGAUAGUGAAAAACAAUUUUAAGAUGAAAUAAUUAUUUUUGUUAAAAAUUUUAUUUUUAAAAUUUAAUAAUAUGACUGUAGCGACCUAAAAAUUUGGAGUACGGGCGCUAAUUGAAGUGAUUAUUAAAAAUUUGAAAAUUGAAUCUCGACUUUAUUUGAAAAGGAGUCGCCACCGAUCUUUUUUCCAGGUGUGAUCGGACACCUACAAAAUUCUCUUUUCAGAAGAAAAAUUUAUUUUUAAACUUUUCUAAAAAAGAGGCAAUUUUAGGUCCACGUAAAAAUCCAGAGAAAAUUAGGGUUCGGGAGUCGGUUACGCGCGAGGAAGGUAUUAGCACCCUCGCGACGCCCAAAAUUGGUAUCUCGUAAAACGCGCGUUGUCUUAAUUUUCAAAAAUACAAGUUCAAUUUAAUAUUUAAUUGUGAUCCGAUUGAAACUUGAGAAAACCCUUUUUUUGUUUUUAAACACGAGAACUUUGAAACAAAAUAAUAAUUUUUGAAAACACGAAGAUUUUUGAAACACGAAAUUUUUUUUGAAAACACGAAAACACAAAAUUUUUUUAACACGGGAAUUUUUGAAAACACGACAGUUUUUGAAACAUGAGAAUUUUUUUAAAACACAAAAUUUUAUUUUGAAAACACAAAAAUUUUGAUAAAUUAUGAAACACGAGGAUUUUUUUUUGAAACGCGGAAGUUUAUGAAACAAUGUCAAUUUUUUGAAAACACGAAAAUUUUUGAAAGACGAGAAUUUUUUUGAAAACACGGAGAUUUAUAAAACACGAAAGUUUUUUUUUGAAAACAAGAAAAUUUUCAAAAUACGAGAAUUUUUGAAAACAGGGGAAAUUUUUGAAAACAUGAAAAAUUUUAAAACACUAGAAUUUUGAAAACACGAAGAUUUUUUAAACAUGAGAAUUUUUGAAAACACGAGGAUUUUUUGAAAUACAAACAUUUUAGAAACAUGAAAAUUUUUAAAACAUGACAAUUUUUUGAAACACGAGAAAUUUAUUUUUUAAAACAUAAAAAAUUUUAAAACACGAGAAUUUGUGAAACUCGAGAAUUGUUGAAAAAAAAUAAAAAAUUUUGAAAAUACGAAAUUUUUUUAAACACGAAAAUUUUAGAAAUAUGGACAUUUUUAGAAAACACGAAAAAUUUUGAAAAAUAAAAUUUUUUGAAAACACGAGAAUUUUUGAAAACACGAAAAAUUUUCUGAUUUUUCAUUAAGCACGUAUCGCAUUUAACACUAAUCGGUGAUAUUCACUCAAUAUAGCAAUGAAAUCAACGAAUUAGUGUCAAAUCGAUUCGUUACCUUAUUUUUGAAAGCACGAGAAAUUUUUUUUGAAGACACUAAAAUUUCGAAACGCGAGGAUCUUUUUUCUGAAAAUACGAAUUUUUUUUGAAUAUUUUCGAUUUUUAAAAGGGCGUAUCGAUUUUAACGCGAACCGGUGAUAUUCACCCAACAUAGCGAUGAAAUCAACGAGUUCAUGUUAAAUCGAUUCGUUGCCUUAUUUAUUAAAAGUAUUUAAAAUAAAAUAAAAAUAAAAAUUAAAUUAAAUUAAAUUAAAUUAAAUUAAAUUAAAUUAAAAAUAUAAAUGCCAAAAUAUAAAAAAUGCAUAAAAUACUAAUAAUAUUAAAACGAAAAAAAAUACGAGCAUUAAAUUAAAAUUAAAAAACGAAAUUACCGAAAAAUCUCGGGACACGAGCUUCGCCGAACGGGUAACACAAAAUUGAACCCCUUUUUUCUUGUUUUUUCUUUUUUCUUUUUUUCUCCUUUUUCUUCCUUUUUUUUUUUCUGCUGGGCUGUCUUGUUGGGCUGGCCUGCGCGGGCCUGCUGGCUGGUGGCCUGUUGGCUGCUUGUUGGGCUGCUGGAAUUGGGCCUAUUGUUGGCCUGCCCUCUUUUUUUUUUUUGCUGCUUCUUUCCCCUUUUUUUGCUUUGUUUUUUCUUUUUUUUUGUUGGGCUACUUUGGGCUUGGCUAAUGGGCUUGCUGGGUCAGGUUGGGUUGCCAGAUCGGGUCGGGUUAUACCCGGUUCGGGUCGAUUUGACCCGACUGUUAAAAUUUUUUUCUUUUUUUCUUCUUUCUUCUUCUCUCUUUCUUUCUUCUUCUUCUUCUUCCUUCUUCUUCUUCUUCAAAACCGAGCCACCCACACCGUCGCUUCUUUCACGCCGCCGUUCGAGCUGCCACCGUCGACUCCACCGGACCUUUCUCUUUCCUUUCUUUUCUCUCCCCUUUUUUCUUAUUUUUGAAGCUUUUUUUCUCUUUGAAACUUUUUUUUUUUGGAGAUUCAUGGGGUGGGGGUCCUUCUUUUUUUUUGGGUUAAAAGCCCCUUUUAUAGAUGAUUUUUGCUUCAUUUUGCAGGUAGUGGGUGAAGAAGGAGCAGCCACCCAUGUUUGUGGCCUGAAAAUCUGGGAAGUGGGUGCCCCAAAUCACGUAACCUGUCUGAAGGACCAAAUCACAAAUGCAGCAAAACUUCUAGGGCUAAAUGUAAUUUUUAGAAAAUUUAGGAUUAAAAUGAAAUUUAAUGAAAGUUUAGGGGUCUAAAUGAAAUUUAAAGAAAGUUUAAGGGUCAAAAUGAAAUUUAGGAAAAGUUUAGGGGUCAAAAUGCAAUUUUUAUUUUUUAAUUUUUUUUUUGAAAAUUUGAAAAUUAAACACAAAUUCUAGUCGGACAAAAAUUUAGUGCUUACAACUGCCCCUCUUUGCUCAUCAUUGUGAAACAAGGAUAGUGCAAAGACUUAAAAGCACUAAAUUUUGUUCAAUUGUCCAAUCUUUAUUCUUUACUCGGCAUGUGAUCCUGAGCUCAACUCAUUUCUCGCAAUAUGAAUUGACUCUUUAAAACUAGACAUUAAAAAUAGAAAUUGAAAAUAGCUCAGCACGUGAGCCAAGGCUCAACUCACUUCUCGCAAUAUGAGUUGAUUUUUGAAAACAGAAUUUGCAAAAAGGCUCAACUCACCUCUCGCAAUAUGAGUUGAUUUUUUGAAAAAUAGAAAAAGGCUCAACUCACCUCUCGCAAUAUGAGUUGGUUUUUGAAAAAUAGAAAUUAAAAGGCUCAACUCACCUCUCGCAAUAUGAGUUGAUUUUUGAAAAAUAGAAAUUGAAAAGUAGAAAUUGAAAAUACCUCAGUGUGCCCUGAGGCUCAACUCACCUCUUGCAAUAUGAGUUGAUUGAUUUUUGAUUUUUUUUUGAAACACAGAAAUUAAAAAAAACAGAAAUUAAAAACAGAAUUUGAAAAGACCUCAGCUUGUGGCCUGAGACUCAACUCACCUCUUGCAAUAUGAGUUGAUUUGAAAAGUAGAAUUAGUAAAGCAGAAAUUGAAAAUACCUCAGCGUGCCUUGAGGCUCAACUCACCUCUCGCAAUAUAAGUUGAUUUUUGAGAAGCAUAGAUUGAAAAAAACAUAAAUUGAAAAUACCUCAGCAUGUGAGCCGAGGCUCAACUCACCUCUUGCAAUAUGAGUUGAUUUUUGAAAAACAAAAAUUAAAAGGCUUAACUCACCUCUCGCAAUAUGAGUCAAUUUAAAACAUAAACUAAAAAUACCUCGGCAUGCCCCGAGGCUCAACUUGGUGCCCAUUUUCCUUGCAGGCCUUUUUGUAUUGGGAGAAUCUUUCUCAGAACGAGUUCUCCUUCAUGGAACUCUCUUGGUUGUACCUUCUUGUCAUGGGCUGCGAUCAUUCUCUUUUGGUACAUUUGCCCAUGACAAAUUGCCCUUAGACGUUUUUCUUCAAUGAGGUUCAACUGAUCAUAUCGAGCUCGAACCCAUUCUGGUUCUUCUAACUUUGAUUCCAUCAAUACUCGCAGAGAGGGGAUCUCAACCUCGAUAGGUAGCACAGCUUCCAUUCCAUAGACUAGAGAGAAAGGAGUUGCUCCCGUAGAUGUUCGCACAGAUGUGCGAUAUGCAAACAAAGCAAAUGGAAGUUUCUCGUGCCAAUCUUUAUAUGUCUCAGUCAUUUUCCCAAUGAUCCUCUUAAUGUUCUUGUUAGCUGCUUCAACAGCCCCGUUCAUCUUUGGGCGAUAGGGCGAGGAAUUAUGAUGCUUUAUUUGGAACUGCUCGCACACUUCUUUCAUCAUCUUAUUGUUCAGAUUCGUGGCAUUAUCUGAGAUGAUUCUUUCAGGCAAACCAUAUCGGCAAAUGAUUUCCUUUUUCAAAAACUUGCACACUGCAGUCUUCGUCACAUUGGCAAACGAAGCGGCUUCAAUCCAUUUUGUAAAGUAAUCGAUAACCACAAAAAUGAAUCGAUGUCCAUUUGAAGCUUUUGGAGAAAUUGGCCCUAUGACAUCCAUGCCCCACAUAGAAAAAGGCCACGGAGAAGUCAUGACAGGAAGGGGUGAAGGGGCUACAUGAAUUUUAUCGCCGUAGAUUUGACAUUUGUGGCAUUUUCUGGCAAAAUUGAUGCAGUCACUUUCCAUUGUCAGCCAAUAAUAACCGAGUCUCAUGAUCUUUCUGGCCAUAUUGAAACCAUUGGCAUGCGUUCCGCAAAUUCCCUCAUGGACCUCUUCAAGUAUUUUUCUGGUUUCAACAUCAUCCACACAUCUCAAAAGCAUCUGAUCCUUUCCUCUUUUAUACAGGAUAUCCCCAUCAAGAACAAAUCCCGCUGCCAUUCUUCUAAUUGUUCUUUUAUCGUUCUCAUUCGCUUGUUCGGGAUACCUUUGAUUCUUGAUAUAUUCUAAGAUAUCAUGGAACCAAGGCCGUCCGUCUACUUCUUUCUCAAUGCUACAACAGUGUGCAGGGACCUCGUAUAUGCUCAUUUUGAGGGGCAUUAUUUCUGCUUCUCUACUUGCUUUGAACAUUGAAGCCAAAGUGGCUAGGGCAUCAGCCAGUUGGUUCUCUUCUCGUGGGAAGUAAUGAAAAGUUAUUUCUUUGAAUUCCUUGAUCAAUCCAGCCACUAAAUCGCUGUACUUAAUCAAUUUUGAGUCUCUCACUUCCCACUCUCCACGGAUUUGGUAAAUCACUAGGGCUGAGUCCCCGUACACCUCCAAGAUCUUGAUGUUUCGUUCGAUAGCUGCACGAAGCCCCAUGAUACAGGCCUCAUAUUCUACGAUAUUAUUGUUACAGAAGAAGUUCAGUCUUGCAGUGAACGGAUAAUGAUUCCCGUCUGGUGAUACCAGGAUUGCUCCAAUUCCAUGCCCUAAAGCAUUUGACGCACCAUCAAAGCACAUCUUCCGUGACUUCUCUUUUGAUGACUCGGGUUCUAUUUCUGUGAUGCACAUUAAGUCUUCGUCUGGGAAAUCGAAUCUUAAAGGCUCAUAUUCCUCUAUCGUUCGAGUUGCUAAGAAGUCAGCUAUUGCGCUCCCUUUUAUCGACUUCUGACUUACAUAGGCAAUAUCAUAUUCCGAAAGGAGGAUCUGCCAUCGUGCCAUUCUUCCUGAUAGUGCUGACGAUUCCAUCAUGUAUUUUAUUGGGUCCAGCUUUGAAAUUAGCCAUGUCGUGUGAUACAACAUAUAUUGUCUGAGUCUACGAGCUACCAAAACCAGAGCGCAAUAAUAUUUCUCAAUAGAUGAAUAUUUUGCCUCAUAUUCAGAGAACUUUUUGCUGAGGUAGUAGAUCACUUUUUCUUUCUUUCCUGACUCGUCGUGUUGCCCCAGUACGUAACCCAUUGAACUUUCGAACACAGUCAAAUACAAUAUCAAUGGUCUUCCAGGAAUUGGCGGUACUAGCACUGGAGGACUGGACAAAUAUUGUUUUAUCUUAUCAAAGGCCAUCUCGCAUUCCUCGUUCCAUUCUCCCGGGUUAUGUUUUCGAAGAAGCCGAAAGAUUGGGUCGCAUUGGUUGGUAAGUUGAGUGAUAAAUCGAGCGAUGUAGUUUAAUCUCCCUAAAAAUCCUCUAACUUCCUUUUGCGUGCGCGGAGGUGGUAAUUCUUGGAUGGCUUUUAUUUUAUCUGGAUCAACUUCGAUACCUCUUUCACUGACAAUGAAGCCUAGCAACUUUCCCGAGGUAGCCCCAAAUGUACAUUUGGCUGGAUUAAGCUUUAGCUAAAACUUUCUCAGCCUUUUGAACAACUUCUUGAGGUUCACUACAUGCUUUUCUUCCCCUCGGGAUUUAGCAAUCAUAUCGUCGACAUAGACCUCUAUUUCUUUAUGCAUCAUAUCAUGGAAUAACGUCACCAUAGCCCUCUGAUAUGUUGCCCCUGCAUUAUUUAACCCAAAAGGCAUCACCUUGUAGCAGAAUGUUCCCCACAUUGUUAUGAAGGUAGUUUUCUCCAUAUCCUCAGAAGCCAUCUUGAUCUGAUUAUACCCCGAGAAUCCAUCCAUGAAAGAAAACAAUGAAUGUUUUGCUGUGUUGUCCACCAACGUGUCAAUAUGUGGCAAGGGAAAAUUAUCUUUUGGGCUUGCUCGAUUCAGGUCAUGAUAAUCCACGCACAUUCGUACUUUUCCAUCUUUCUUUGGUACCGGGACUAUGUUAGCCACCCAUUCUGGAUAUUUGGAGGCUUGUAGGAAGCUAGUGUCAAAUUGCUUCUUGACUUCCUCUUUUAUUUUCAACAGCAUAUCGGGCCUCAUCCGUCUUAAUUUUUGCUGGAUGGGCUUGCAUUCUGGCUUUAAGGGGAGCUUAUAGACCACUAAAUCUUCAUCUAACCCUGGCAUGUCCUGGUAUAACCACGCGAAAACAUCUUUGUAUUCGCGGAGUAAAGUGAUUAAACUACGCCUGGUACUUUCUGAAAUAGAAGUCCCAAUCUUCACUUCUUGUUUCCUCUCUUCAGUGCUCAAAUUUAUUAUUUCUACAGAUUCUUCAUGAGGCAGAACCUGUUUAUCCUCUUGUUCCACCAUUCUUAACAAUUCAGGAGACGAGACAUAAUCUUCAGCAUUUUCUUCGGCUUCAAAUUCUCCUAAGCAAACAGCCUUCUCAACAUCAAUUUCAAGAUUCGUAACGGGCUUAUUCAUGUUGUCAAUAUCUGAGCACCUGAAAGUUGAAUGGAAAAGGAAGCUAUCGGGGGACAUCCAAGUAUUGGAAACAACAAACAAAAUGUUAUGUCAUGGCAAUGAGGCAAAUGUAAGGAUAGGCUAUGAAAUGAGAAAAUGAUUAUGAAAUUAGUGAUAAUGCGAAAAAUCAUGACAAAAUACAUCUUCAUUGAAAUUCAUUUAAAUGAUAAAGAGCGAAUGCAAACUCUUACAAAAGAACUCUAUUAUAUCUAAGGACACAAUAGAAGGUUGAUGUUUAGCAUUACUCUGAAGGCUUAUAAACUACAAGAAGCUCUUCAGCAAUCCAAUUGUUCAACAUGAAACCAGGAGGGCAAGGGCGUAUCCUUGAGACAUCUUUACUUGCACCAACUUCUUUGUCAAUGACAUUUAUACUGACAUUCUGAAAAUCCCUUUCAAUUAAUCCCAGCAUGUUUCGUGGAUCAUCUUGUCCAGGGUACAUCAUUCCCGCAGAUGUAAAUGUUUUUGACAAAGGAGGGUACUCUAUUGGUUCCCAUUCUGGUUCUCGGCCCAAAGUUCUUGCAAUUCUUCUCUCUUGAUCCUUCUUCCACUGUCUUCUUCUUUGGCGCAUGUCAGGCUGGAACCCCAAACUGUAUCGGGCCUUGUGAUGCACUGGUUUUAGAGCCCUGACUAUUCCUUGCAGAUAUCUCCCUAAACCUCUUCUCACUCGAGCUCCCCUUCCUACAGUCAACUUGACACCCAUUCUAGUAUUUCUCGACAAUUUAGGCACGGGAAUUUUGUUUCCCUUAGUGAAGAAUGUGGCAUUGACGAAUUCAAGGGAUCGGAAGGAGCAUUCCACUAUGUCCUUGCUCACUUCAAGGUAUGGCGCAUCAGCAAAGAUAGAUGCGACAAUGUCUUCUUCUCCCUCGACAGUGACCAAACAACCAUCCAUGAUAAAUUUCACCUUUUGAUGGAGGGAUGAUAGGACCACUCCAGUAGAAUGGAUCCAGGGUCUUCCCAAAAGGCAGUUAUAUGAGGAUGUAAUGUCCAUGACUUGGAACUCGACAUCAUAUAUGUAGGGACCCACUUCCAGAGGGAUCUCAAUUUUUUCCAUGACUUCACGCCUUGUCCUGUCGAAUGCCCUUACCGCAGAAUGACAGGGCCUUAAAUGGGACAGAUCCAUCGAAAUUUUGGAAAGCGUGGCCAAAGGCAUAACGUUGAGUGCCGAACCAUUAUCGAUGAGCACGUUCGGUAUUAUGUAGCCCUUGCAACGGGUUGUGAUAUGCAAUGCUUUCACUGAGCCUCUACCAUUGGGCGGUAUUUCAUCAUCACUAAAAGAAAUGAAAUUAUCCGCAUUCAAGUUGUUCAUCCACCUAUCCAUUUUUUCAAUGGAUACAUUGUUUGCCACAUAAGCUUGAUUUAACACUUUCAGCAGAGCGUUUCGGUGUGGUUCUGAAUUCAACAGCAGAGAUAAUACCGAGAUUCGCGCUGGCUGCUUACUCAAUUGUUCUACCACGUUGUACUCACUGUGCUUGAUAAAUUUUAAGAAUUCCUGUGCUUCCUCCUCGUCCACAGGAUUUUUAGCUUCUUGUUCAGGCGCAGUUUCAUGCUCAUCAUCGGUCACAUGCAUCGGUGCUUUUCCUUUCUGUUUCAAGUCACUAUUCUUCUUUAUCUCUUUCGAAUAACAUCUUCCACUACGAGUGAAAUGACCUAAUUCCCCGACGCUUCCAGUCAUGGCUUUGGGUUUUUCAUCUUCAGGUGUGACGAUAUUAACGUCAUAUUUCCAUGGUACUGCUUUAUUGUCCUUGUAAGGGAAAGAAGAUGGUACUUCGAUUAUCAUCUGUGGUUUCAAUGGCUCUCUCAUCGCGUCGUAAUAAAUUACCAACGGUCGAUCAGCACUAUAAGGGGGCCCUGAUGAUUGGCUAUCAGAGACGCAUACUUCUCUUUCGUUGGCAUCUUCACUCUUGUUAAGGACCUUGAUCUCCUUAUUAUUCAUCCGGUCUUGAAGUAACCUUUUAAAGUCCUCGCACGACUGAAUGUCGUGCCCAACAAUCCCAUGAAAAUUGCAAAAACUUUGACCUUCUUCUCCAAAAACUCUAUCAGAGUGACAGAGCAAUCCUUUCUUAACUAAUACCUCCCAGAUUUUCUGCAGAGGCGUCCUUAUUUCUGCCACACAUCUUCUGACCUUCCAUUCAUCCUCUUUCCCCACUGUGCUCACAUUCCCUUCAGUAUGGUUAGGGAACGGGUUCCCCGUGGCGUUACUAGCACUAUCGAAUCGUAGGAUACCCGCGUCAAUGAGUCCUUGAACUCUCCUUUUGAAAGCGAGACAGUUCUCAGUAGAGUGCCCUUGGUUCCCUGCGUGGUAUGCACAACUAGCGUUUGGAUCGUACCACUUUGGGUAUGGAGGUUUAAGGGGUGCUAUGUAAUGGGGAGAAAUUAGCUGUUUUUCUAAAAGUUUUGGGUACAAUUCCCCAUACGACACAGGGAUGGGGGUAAAUUGCUGUCUCUCGGGAUUAUGCCUUGAUGGUCUUGGUUCGUUUCUGGGUUGGCUUUGGGCGGGUACCGUGUUUUGUGGGAAAGUGGUGACGGGUCUUUGGUUGUUCGUGGCGUAUAUGGGGUAGGACGGAUGUGGUGCUUGGUAGUAAGGGUUUUGAGGGGGAUAAUGGAAAUUCGAAGGUGGAUAAUCUCGAGGUCAGGGUUGAUUAGGAUACGAAUUGGGAAUGUAACGACUCCCAGUUCCCACCAUGAGGGCUUCUGGCUCUUUCUUCCUUAAGGGUGCUGCUUUUCUUGAGCUUUCUGAUCCUUCCAUUCUACCGAUCUUGACGGUAUUCUCUAUGAGUUCACCGGAUAUUACAAUAUCCGCGAAAUCUUUCGUGGCACUUCCCACUAAUUUGUCAUAAAACGGUGCCUUUAAAGUAUUGAUAAAGAGAACGGUUAUCUCCGUUUUUGUUAGUAGGGGUUCCACUUGAGUUGAGACGUCUCUCCAUCUCUGCGCAUACUGUCUAAAGGUCUCUGAUGGCUUUUUCUCCAUCAUUUGCAAGGUCAUACGGUCUGGCACCAUAUCCGAUACAUGCUUGUACUGCUCACAAAAUGCUGACGCCAAGUCUUUCUAGGAUCGAAUCUUUUCUCUACUAAGUUGAUUGUACCACCGAAGAGCUGACCCUAUUAGACUAUCUUGAAAGCAAUGUAUGAGUAGUUUAUCCUCGUUCACAUAACCGGUCAUCUUUCGACAGAACAUAAUGAGAUGUGCUUUUGGGCACCUUGUCCCAUCAUACUUCUCAAAGUCAGGCACUUUGAACUUCGGAGGCAAAAUUAGAUCAGGUACCAAACUGAGUUCCUUGGCACCUAGUACGGAGAAGACUUCAGUGCCUUCUAUUGCUUUGAGUCUUUCCUCUAGACUCCUAUAUUUUGCGUCAUGGUUAUCCAAUUUUAACUUGGCUACCUCUGCUGGGUCAUCCAGAUCUGGAACUAGUGGAUUAGCAGGACUAGCCCCUGGGUUCGACGCUAACAUUCCUUGCCCCAAAUUAGUGGGUGAAGCAGGUGGCAUAGGUCGAUGUUCCAAGCCAGUGGGUUCCUCUUGAGUAUACCCUCUUUGUAUUGUAUAUGCGGGCGGUGGAGUGAAUCCCGGGGGAUAGAAUGGAUCCUGAUCAUGGUGAAUUCUUGACCGAGGUUCCAUAACAUCGGAGUUCUGCAUGGGUCCCUUUCCUUUGACCAAAGUUGUCAUCAUCUCUAUCAUUUUAGCCAUCUGAUCUCUUUGCUCGAGCGAUUCCUCUCGAGAUCUCACCAUUAGGUCUCUCGUCUCUUGUUGCGAUUUGGCCAGUUGCUCUUGUAAUUCCUUUUGAGCCAUUUCCAUCCUUUCAAUUCUCUCAUUGAAUUCAUUCUCCAUUACUCUAGCUUGUCGGCGCGUUUUAUACGGAUGACGUGGUUCCAGUCUUGAAGUCUUGCAACUGCGAAUUGUACGUUUUAACCUCAGCGAACGAGUAUGGGAUAUGGAAUGAAUGUAUUGAUGCACGAAUGAAUGCAUGAAUGUCAAAUGAAUGUCAGUUAUGAAUGAAAUGCAAGAAAUUGGUGUUGAUUUCAAGAUAGCCCCAUAUUUAGGCAUUUCAUUUAUCAACAUAGUCUAUUACACAAAGUUCUCAUUUUUCCAACAGUUACACAAAUUUCCUAGCCACAUUGCCUUGUUUCUUCACUUGCUCUAAAAACUCUGAUAUGCUCGAUCUUUGGCUCGGAGGGAAUUGGCAACUGAGAACUUUGGCUUCAUCUGAUAAUUGAACAACUUGCAUAGCCGCUUUACGAAUUUCAUUGAUCAAGAAGUCAAGUUGCAUUUCUUUUUCUUUGAGAGUUCCUUCACACGCGUGAAUGUCCCUAUCGUACUGCUCACUCUUUUCUUCUAGAGCCUUCAAGAGGUUAUCUAAUUGUUGUUGACGAGAUUGCAGCAUAUUUUCUAGAUCUCGUGUUUUCCUUUUUAAUUCUUGAUGUUCAGACUGACUAUUCGCCAAUUUUGCAGUCACUAUUUCAUACUCGGCGUUCUUCCUUCUUAACUCUAUCACAGCGCGCGCAGCCUUUUCCUACUCUUUUUUUUCUUUUCCCUUCCAAAACUCCAUUCCUCCCUUGAUAUUGCUAAUUUCUUCCUUCCAUUCUACUGUCGACUUGCCCAACCCACUAUUCUUUAUAGUGUUUCUUAAUUUCUUGUUUUCCAAAUGAAGGUCCCUUAAUUCGUUUCUCACAAUCUCGGCUUCUCUUUGCACUUUUUCAGUCCUGGACCUUUCAACCUGAACUUCAAUCUUCAGUUGAUAGUUUUCUUCUUGAAGGGCACUAAGGUCCCAAGACAUCUUGGUCUUUUCUCGUUCGAAUUCUUGUCUUGCCAUUUCUAGCUCAGACGGCGUUUCCUCCGAGAAAGGAUUCUGGAUGGUGUAGUUUGUUGAUGAGAUUUGCUGACUAUUUACCCAUUGCUUCCUCCAUAUGUCGUAAUCUUGGGUAAGGGUAUCAACAUACAAAGCUAAUUCCAUGAAAUGAAUUUCCUUCCAAUACUUUGCAGUGUCUCGGACUCUCUUCAUAUAUCCUUCACCCGCGAAAGCGAACUCAAAUUGUGCUAAUCCUCCAGUUGCGGGGAGGAAUUGUCGCGAAGAAAAUUGCCUUUGGACUAAUAGCGGAGCAUAUCCAACUCCUCCCCAUAACCCGAGUAAAGGUACCCAAUCUUGGCUUCCACAUUUGUAUAGCAUAACUGAAGGACGGAUCCAGGAUGCUCUCCAUGUUAUAUUCUCGGCGCAAAGAUUCUGAAAAACUAAUACCCAAUGUUGCUCGGUGACUUCCUUCGGCCAUUCUUUAUUGAGGUAAGCUUCUAGCGGGGAGAAUGUUUUAGAAAACAUAUGGAACGGAGUGUGUUCUACCUUCCAGAAGUGACUCAAAAUCCAAACAUUGAGCAACUGCGCGCAUCCGAUAAAUCGUCCCUCCCCUUUUCUUCGACAACUACUCAGGGACCUGAAGGUCUCGGCUAGGAUAGUCGGGACAGGGUUGAUUCCUUGUUUUAACGUUUCGAAGAAAUCAACUAAUGCAACUUCGAGAUGUCCGAGAACUUUUGGGAAAAUGACCAAACCGUAAAUGGCCAAAGCGAAUAGAUUUACCCUUUUCAGCAUGUUGGGAUGGUUCAGAGCCAAAUCUCGUAGGGAGGACCAUGGAAUACAAAUGGUUUCAUUCUUCUUCUUUAUCUGUUUUUCGGCCCAUGCAUCAGUCAUGUCUGUCAGUCUCACUAACUUUUUCUUGAAGGUCAUCGGCUUAGGCUCCUUCACAUAUAUUUUGCCGAAUCGUACAUUGUCGAUGCGGAGUAAAGCAGCAUACUCUUCUAUGGUUGGAGUCAUGUCUUCUUGAUUGAAGGUGAAACACUGAUAAGUUGGGUCCCAGAACCGAACCAUGGCUUGAAUCAACUGUUCGUCUACACGGAUGGUGAUCAGGUGAGCUAUAUCUCCAUACCUCUCAGUGAAAGUGUCUCUAGUGUCUGAAUCCCACUGAUUCCAAAUUCGAACCAAAUCCUCAAAGUUAUUUUGGCAAACAUUUACAGUUAUAUGUUCAGGCAAAUUAGCGACACACCCUUCCACUAGACUAUCCCCCUUUUCUCUCUGAAUUUUUAGAGACCAGUCCCGAACCACGGCAUUCUUCUCGGUCAUUUGUGUAAUUGACUCCUCCAUCAGAAACCUAUUUUUUUGGCAACCAACUUUUAAUCAACACCUUCCUAAUAUGAUGCCUAUGAUGCAUGAUGAAAAUAAAAGUAAAAACAAACAAACUUGGUUAGUAAACACAACAAAUAUAAUUUGAAAAAACAAAUUAAACUACCCAAUCCAAUUAUUUUGCAUAAACAGUGUAAAUGAAAGGCAAAAGGCAUUUUCCCCGUGUACUUAUUUUGAUGACUAUAAGCGGACAGAGGUUCGGCGUGGCUCUAAUUGGAUAGCUCGUAUGGUUCACUAUAUGCGGUUUUGGUUCUAGGUGGGUACUCGAAUCGUCUGCACUGUCAUCUACUAAGAUUAGUACAGAGCCUCGGUCAUGGCCCAUCAUAGGCUUACGAGAUCAAUUCGAGGGAUUACAUUUACUUAUGCCUAUGUGGAGGGACAAGUUAACUCACGAAAGCAUAAGUCAUAUGUAACCCGAAAGUAUUCACUAGCCUGUGCGGAGGAACGAGUUAACUCACGAAGGCAUAGCGUUUACUUUCUCUUAACAGGGACGGAGCCCGGUUAUAGAGCUCAUGUUAUGCAAAAAAUGCAAGUGCACGGUGUGUGGGGAGAAACUUGUAAACCUUUACGUUUUAUUUAGAAAAACUAAACCAAAAAUAAAACCGCAAAAAUUUAAAGCUGAAAAACAACCUGAUAAAACAAGUUAGAAUAUAUACAACACGAUGCAAAUGCAUGAUUUUUUUUUUGAAAACAAAAAAUUUAAGGAUCACGACUAAAUGUUAAUUUGAACAAGAAACUUUGAAAAUUUUGACAACGCGUGUUUAAUUCCAGACACGGCUCUCAAAAAAAAGGCUGUCCCCAGCGGAGUUGCCAGCUGUAGCGACCUAACAAUUUGGAGUACGGGCGCUAAUUGAAGUGAUUAUUAAAAAUUUGAAAAUUGAAUCUCGACUUUAUUUGAAAAGGAGUCGCCACCGAUCUUUUUUCCAGGUGUGAUCGGACACCUACAAAAUUCUCUUUUCAGAAGAAAAAUUUAUUUUUAAACUUUUCUAAAAAAGAGGCAAUUUUAGGUCCACGUAAAAAUCCAGAGAAAAUUAGGGUUCGGGAGUCGGUUAUGCGCGAGGAAGGUAUUAGCACCCUCGCGACGCCCAAAAUUGGUAUCUCGUAAAACGCGCGUUGUCUUAAUUUUCAAAAAUACAAGUUCAAUUUAAUAUUUAAUUGUGAUCCGAUUGAAACUUGAGAAAACCCUUUUUUUGUUUUUAAACACGAGAACUUUGAAACAAAAUAAUAAUUUUUGAAAACACGAAGAUUUUUGAAACACGAAAUAUUUUUUGAAAACACGAAAACACAAAAUUUUUUUAACACGGGAAUUUUUGAAAACACGACAGUUUUUGAAACAUGAGAAUUUUUUUAAAACACAAAAUUUUAUUUUGAAAACACAAAAAUUUUGAUAAAUUAUGAAACACGAGGAUUUUUUUUGAAACGCGGAAAUUUAUGAAACAAGGUCAAUUUUUUGAAAACACGAAAAUUUUUGAAAGACGAGAAUUUUUUUGAAAACACGGAGAUUUAUAAAACACGAAAGUUUUUUUUUUGAAACAAGAAAAUUUUCAAAAUACGAGAAUUUUUGAAAACAGGGGAAAUUUUUGAAAACAUGAAAACUUUUAAAACACUAGAAUUUUGAAAACACGAAGAUUUUUUAAACAUGAGAAUUUUUGAAAACACGAGGAUUUUUUGAAAUACAAACAUUUUAGAAACAUGAAAAUUUUUAAAACAUGACAAUUUUUUGAAACACGAGUAAUUUAUUUUUUAAAACAUAAAAAAUUUUAAAACACGAGAAUUUGUGAAACUCGAGAAUUGUUGAAAAAACAUAAAAAAUUUUGAAAAUACGAAAUUUUUUUAAACACGAAAAUUUUAGAAAUAUGGACAUUUUUAGAAAACACGAAAAAUUUUGAAAAAUAAAAUUUUUUGAAAACACGAGAAUUUUUGAAAACACGAAAAAUUUUCUGAUUUUUCAUUAAGCACGUAUCGCAUUUAACACUAAUCGGUGAUAUUCACUCAAUAUAGCAAUGAAAUCAACGAAUUAGUGUCAAAUCGAUUCGUUACCUUAUUUUUGAAAACACGAGAAAUUUUUUUUGAAGACACGAAAAUUUCGAAACGCGAGGAUCUUUUUUCUGAAAAUACGAAUUUUUUUGAAUAUUUUCGAUUUUUAAAAGGGCGUAUCGAUUUUAACGCGAACCGGUGAUAUUCACCCAACAUAGCGAUGAAAUCAACGAGUUCAUGUUAAAUCGAUUCGUUGCCUUAUUUAUUAAAAGUAUUUAAAAUAAAAUAAAAUAAAAUAAAAUAAAAUAAAAAUUAAAUUAAAUUAAAUUAAAUUAAAUUAAAUUAAAUUAAAUUAAAAAUAUAAAUGCCAAAAAAUAAAAAAUGCAUAAAAUACUAAUAAUAUUAAAAUGAAAAAAAAAUACGAGCAUUAAAUUAAAAUUAAAAAACGAAAUUACCGAAAAAUCUCGGGACACGAGCUUCGCCGAACGGGUAACACAAAAUUGAACCCCGUUUUUCUUGUUUUUUCUUUUUUCUUUUUUUCUCCUUUUUCUUCCUUUUUUUUUCUGCUGGGCUGCCUUGUUGGGCUGGCCUGGGCGGGCCUGCUGGCUGGUGGCCUGUUGGCUGCUUGUUGGGCUGCUAGAAUUGGGCCUAUUGUUGGCCUGCCCUCUUUUUUUUUUUUGCUGCUUCUUUCCCCUUUUUUUUGCUUUGUUUUUUCUUUUUUUUGUUAGGCUACUUUGGGCUUGGCUAAUGGGCUUGCUGGGUCGGGUUGGGUUGCCGGAUCGGGUCGGGUUAUACCUGGUUCGGGUCGGUUUGACCCGACUGUUAAAAUUUUUUUCUUUUUUUUUCUUCUUUCUUCUUCUCUCUUUCUUUCUUCUUCUUCUUCUUCCUUCUUCUUCUUCUUCAAAAUCGAGCCCCCCACACCGUCGCUUCUUUCAUGCCGCCGUUCGAGUUGCCACCGUCGACUCCACCGGACCUUUCUCUUUCCUUUCUUUUCUCUCCCCUUUUUUCUUAUUUUUGAAGCUUUUUUUCUCUUUGAAACUUUUUUUUUUGGAGAUUCAUGGGGUGGGGGUCCUUUUUUUUUUUGGGUUAAAAGCCCCUUUUAUAGAUGAUUUUUGCUUCAUUUUGCAGGUAGUGGGUGAAGAAGGAGCAGCCACCCAUGUUUGUGGCCUGAAAAUCUGGGAAGUGGGUGCCCCAAAUCACGUAACCUGUCUGAAGGACCAAAUCACAAAUGCAGCAAAACUUCUAGGGCUAAAUGUAAUUUUUAGAAAAUUUAGGAUUAAAAUGAAAUUUAAUGAAAGUUUAGGGGUCUAAAUGAAAUUUAAAGAAAGUUUAAGGGUCAAAAUGAAAUUUAGGAAAAGUUUAGGGGUCAAAAUGCAAUUUUUAUUUUUUAAUUUUUUUUUUGAAAUUUUGAAAAUUAAACACAAAUUCUAGUCGGACAAAAAUUUAGUGCUUACAAUGACUAUUGAUAUUUAUAUUUUUAAUCAUAAAAAUUAAAUUUAACAUAAUUGUUUAAGAUUUAAUGCUGAUUUUAGACUGUCAUAUAAGUUAAUCUAUGGAUAAAUUAUUUUGGAUACAUCAUUUAAUUCUAAAAAAAAAACUGAAUUAUAAGAGGAGGGCAAAGUCUUAAUAGCAAUGUGACUUCAACCCAGGUCACACUUUGGGCGAUAAAUACCCUAACCAUCAUAUUGCGAUCUCUUCUCAACAAUUCAAUCAAAGAUGAAAUAACUUAUAGUUUCCAAAUUAAGAAUACAGUGUUCGUAUACAAUAUUCCUACAUCUAUGCAUUGGAAAGGCUUGUGGGAAUUAUUUGGAUACUAUGGAAAUGUUGUUGAUGCAUUCAUCCCAACAAAAAGGAGUAGAAAUGGUAAAAGGUUUGGGUUUUGAGAUUCACUAAUGAAAAGGAUGCGCAAAGGGUGAUAAUGAGGUUAAAUGGAUUUUUUUUAAUGGGAAAGAGAAUCGGGGUGAAAAUGGCUAGAUAUAAUGGAAAAAGAAAGUUUUGGAGGAAAGCUUCGGUUCAAAAGGGACAAGAACAGAGUGAAAAAAUAGCUCAAGAAGAAAAAAGUAAAGAAAGGCUCGAAAUGAUGCAAGAAGAGAAGUGAAAACAGAGAAAAGAAUAGUGCAAGGUUAUGUUGAAGAUGAACUAUUAUGGAACCUACAGAAAUGCCUGGUGUGCGAAUCGAUUUCGAUUUUUUAUUCAAAAAGUCUUAAUGAUCGAAUAGCAAAAAUUGGUCUUGGAGAAAUAAUAGUAAAAAGGAUUCAAGAAAGACAUUUUUUGGUCGAAAUACCAGAUUAAAAACUGAUGGAUCUGUUAAGGCAAACUGAAUGGUCCUACUUGAAAGAUUUCUUGUAACGCCCCAAUUUUCGGGAAUUCUGUGAAUGUUGGCAAAAUUUCAUGCUUUAAUUUUGUCAUUUGGGAGGAGUGAAAUUAUGAAAUAGGACCUAUGUGAAAAUGUUUGAAAAUGCUAUAGGCUAAAUUGAAGUGAGCAAAUAAAUAGGAGUGUAAAAUAGGAGGAUUUGCAUGACAAACCUCUCAUUUUACAUGAAGUGGCCAGCCAUCAUGUUGUUGUAGACAAAAUGUACACUUGAUAUCCAUAAUUUAUGGUACAAAUUGAUACAAAUUGAUAAUAGGUUAGGUAAAUGUUCCAUGAUAAUAGGUUAGGUAAAUGUUCCAUGAUAAUGGGUUAGGUAAAUGUUUCAUGAUAAUGGGUUAGGUAAAUGUUUCAUGAUAAGAAUUUCAUGUCUUUUGUAUUAAAGAAUUAAAUGUAUGAAAUAUGAAGUUUUAUUAAAAGAAAAAGGGGUGAAAAGAACAAAGUUUUGUCCAUCUUUGUUCAUCAUAGCUGAAAGUUAGAGAAGAGAAAUGAGAGGAGAAAGCUCUUGAGUAUUCGGUCAUUAGGAGGAGGAAAAUUGAAGGUAAGUUCUUGGUACCUUGCUUCUAUUUUGAGGUUCAUGAGUUCUUCUUGAUUCUACCUUAACUCUUGAAGUAUAUUUUGAUUUUUAGUUGUGUUGUGAGCAUUUGGUCAUGAAUUAAAAUGAAGGAAAUGGUUGUUGUUUCAUGUUCUUUUGAUGAAAAAUGGAAGAUAUGUGAAGUUGAGCCAAACAAAUGAGCAUGCAUGUGCCUUAGAUGCUAAAGGGAAAAAUCAGCUAACAUGUUGUGCUUUAAAAUGAUGAAAUGGAGAUUAUGCUUAAGUAAAAAUCAUAGAUAUGUGAUGAUUGAUUGGUGAUAUACAUGUUUAAAUAACAUGCAUGCAAGAUAGGUGUAUGAAAGAGUGAUUUGGUAAUAAAUCUGAUUGGGACAGCAGCAGUAACGUGACUUUGGAAAAUCACCAUAAAUUGUGGGAGAUGAAUUAGAAGCUGAAUAAAUUAUGUAAUUAAAGCUUAAUGAGUCUAGUUUCAAAUGGAAUAAACUAGAACAUAUUUUGAAUUCUGUAGAAUGAGAAAUUUUAUUCAUAAUGAAGAGUGGUCAGAUUAGUCAAACAGUGAAACAUGGGAAACUUUUAGAAAAAUCUGGUAUUGAUUGGCUAAACCAAAAAUUCUUAAAAUUUUAUGGAUAUAAGAUAUAUGAGUCUAUUUUCAGGUAAAAUUAACGGCACUUGAUUUGGAGUUUCGUAGCUCCAGUUAUAAAUGAUUUAGUGACUGUUGCUCAGGAAGACAGCUUGCAGUGAAAUUAUGAUUAUGUGGUAAACAUUGACAAAAAUUUGUUAAUGAGUUGCUUAUUGAUUUCUUAUAAGCUUACUAUGAUCUGUAGGUGUGGUUGGCCGAAUAUUGUAAGGGGUUAAUACGUAGUUUGUAUUUGAAUAGUUAGAUUAACGUGUUAGUAAUCCAAUUGUAGGCGGUUCGUGUGUGGAUCUCGUCAGCAUAUCGUCGCAAACAGGUGUGUAACUAACACCCUCUUUCUUAGUCUGGAUCGGCAAAAGUCGAAAAGCCGAAAUGCCGAAAACCGGUAUUUUGUAGAUUUGCGAGUGUGCGAAUGCUCGUGAGGUAAAUCGAUUAAUGUUUUUGGUAAACUGCAAAAUUUGGACUGCAAAGUGCAUGAUUUCUGUGCCCUUGAUAUUUUUGGGCUUAAUGGGCCAAAAUUGGAAUGAUGGGCCAACGGGCCCAAUUCGGUAAGAACCCUCGGUACGUGAUUCUGUUAGUACAUGAAAAGUAGGACUAUGCAUGAAAAACCCUAAAAUAGAUAAAUUACUGAAAUACCUUUAAAAGUAGAAAAUUUACAGUUUUACCCCUAGUAGAUAAAUUACCGAAAUACCCUAGGGUUAAAUUGACCUAAAUGCAUGUUUGAUUGUUGUUAUUUACUGCAUGCCAUGUUGUUAUUAUCCGAUGCAUGGGACUGGGAUAUUGACGGAGGAAGUACUGAAAGUGGCUUGUCCACGUACUGGAGGCUUUGCCUCAAUUUACUGUUAAUUGAGCAGCAAGGCUGCAACUGUGGAGUGUUGGGCUGGGUGGGUUGAGCUAUUCCCCACAUGGAGUGUAUGGCUGGUACGGGUGGAGUGUAGUGGUUGGUGGGUUGAGUAGUCUCCCCAAAUGGGCUUGCAUAUGUUUACUGAUGUUGCAUGUAUUUUGAAAUGGGCCUAUGGGCCAUACUGUUAUCUGAAUAAGAGGCUAAGGCCCAGUUUAUUGUAAUCUGAAAAGGGCUCUGGCCCAGUACCACUGUUACCCAAAUGGGCUUGCAUAUGUUUACUGAUGUUGCAUGUAUUUUGAAAUGGGCCUAUGGGCCAUACUGUUAUCUGAAUAAGGGGCUAAGGCCCAGUUUAUUGUAAUCUGAAAAGGGCUCUGGCCCAAUACCACUGUUACCUGAAUGGGCUUAGGCCCAAUGGGCUUGAGCUGACUUGGGCUUUGAAUGGGUUUUCCUUACACACUGAGUUUCCCCAAACUCACCCCUUUUAUUUUCAUCCACGCAGGAAAUCCCCAACCAUAGUGGGCUUGGAGCUGUGAGAGAAUUCGGAGUGGCCACCCGUUCUGAAAGUUUAAUUUUCUUCUAGUGAACUGGACAUCCUUUUAAUUACGUUUGAGGUUUUGGGCUUUUAAAUGUAAUAAGGCCGCUUAUUUAUUUUUGAUGGUUUUUAUAUGUUUUAUUAAGAUAUGUAAUAUUUAUAUUUAACUGUUGAAAUUGGAUAGCUUUAACGCGCGUUUUCAAAAACAGUAAUUGUUUUCAAAAUAACACGAAAAUAAGCAAAGCUUCCGCAAUGAAGAUAUUUUCCAAAAUUAAUCACUUUUCCUAAAAAGGACUUAAUCAAAUCGGUUUCCUAGAAAUAUACAUGACGUUAAGGUAUGACAAUGGUGGUUUGCAUGUCUAGGAUUGGAUCCGAAGGGAGUUUGGUACUUAAGCAGUCUGAUGGACUCACCUCCUCUUUUCCGGUUUCCUACCUGGUGCACAGCUUCCAUUCACUUUAACCUAUAAUGAAAUUAUCUUUUAAAACACUAAGUAAGUUUUUCUGGAUCAACAAUAUAAAAUGUUUUGAACGCUUCGAUGUGGCAUGUCGGAUUCGGUCAUAACGUCUGGGCCGGGUUUGGGGUGCUACAUUUCUUCAUUAAAAUAGAGCCAUGGUCAGAGAAAUUGAAGAUAAAUAAAAGGGUGGCAUGGAUCGAAGUAUCAGGAGUUCCAUUGCAUUGUUGGAACUAUGAAACAUUUAAAUAAGUUGCUGGGUUAUGGGGGAAUUUGGUGUUAGUAGGUGAAAAUCUAACAAAAGUUCACAAUUUUGAAAAAAUAGAGCUUCUGGUCUCUAUAACUCAAUCGAAAAUGGUUGAUGAAUUAGUUAGCAUGGAAGUUGGAUAAGACUUCUUCCCAAUCAGAGUAAGGGAAUGGGGCCUGACAGAGAUGAAAGAAUACAAUAGUUUAAACAUUAAGGCUAGGUGGAAGAAAAAUGAAGAAGACAGCAUUUCGGAAUCUGGAUAGGUGGCGAGUGUCGUAACCAUUUUUUUUGAAAAAAACGGGGAUUGACUUUAAAACGAAAAUGGAGUCGCCACCAAUCUUUUUUUGUUUAGGUGUGAUCGGGUCACCUUAUGAUCGAUCAUUUUAAUAAAACAUUUUGAUUUAUUAAAACGAUUAUUUUUGGUCUACGAAAAUCGAAAAAUGAGUUCGGGAGUCGGUUACGCACGAGGAAGGAUUAGCUCCCUCGAUACACCCAAAAUUGGUACCUAGUUGAUUAAUUAGUGUCCUAGUGUCGAAAAUUGAAAACUUGAAAGACUUUUAAAAUAUGACCCCUCUUUGUAUUAAUGCUGAUUUAAAAAUGAUCGAAUAAAUUAAAACGGAUGUUGAAGACUCUCUCAUCUUGAAGUAAUAAAAUGUCACGCCCAGUAAGUUAGGACACGUCAUCUUGAACUUUGAGAAUGAGCUUGCCUUUAUUUAAAAUUCAUGUACUUUAACUCUUUUUUUUUAAAAGGAUGUUCGGUUAUUUAGGGUAAACGAGAAAAGUCGAAACCCAGUAAGUUAGGGUACGAUCUUUUGAAAUCUUUAAAUAUCGAACAUUGCUUUGUUUAAAAUUUCAAAUGAAAUGUAAUAAAUAAAUGAAAUGUAUUUUUAUAAAUAACUCAAUAACAUAAGGAAUUAAACAUGUGGCAAUAACAUCUCAGGAAUAAUCUAAAAUAAUAUGGAAAUCCAAAGGAACAACUUAGAAUACAUGCAAUAACAACACAUCAUAUAUUAUGAAAAUACCACCAUUUAUGUCCAAGGGUCAAUGCGUAAGAAACCAAUUUUAAAAGAAGUUUCAAGUAAAUCACCUAAAUAAAAUAUAACAAGUUUUUUUAAAAUAAAAUAAAAUAAAUAAUAGGAAAAAUAAAAUUUGAAAAUAUAACUAUAUGAACUAUAAGAAAAUUUUAAAUAGUAAUGUACAAAUGCAAUUAAAAAAUAUUCUAAAGUAAAUAAUUUGAACGAAGCUUGAAUUGUAUCAAAAUAAAAAAUAAGAAAAAAAAAUAUAUGUAGCGUAAUUGAAAUUCCAAAAUAAAUAAUAGGCAUAAAAGAUUAAAAGUAAAUAAUACACAAAGUAAUAUAUACACAGGAAAAGCUUAAUAUAAAUAAUACAUAUAGUAGUAAUAAUAAUAUAAAGGUAUUUCAUAUAAAUAGGUAUGCAUGUGGAAAAAAAUAAUCACAAAAGUAUGAAAUCAAAAUAAUAUGUUGAAACAUGUUUAUUCUAAGAAGAAUAACUGAAACUUAGUUGAGAGAAAAAAACAAAAUCCAAGGGAUAACUUACAAAUAAAACAAAUUAUUAAAACGUAAUUUUGGGCUAAAAUUAAUUGCGUAUAAAUGUUUGAGGUCUAAAAUUAAAAAUGUCCCAAAUCUUAAAAUAUUGUGCUAAGGGGGCAAAUUGAAAUAGCGCACAGAUUGCAGGGCCAAUUUAAAAUAAUUUAAAAAAACUUAAAUAUAGCCUGAUUGAAGGCUAGCGCAAAGGAGGAGACCAAUUGCGCAAAUUACCCAAUUAAAGGUAAAAUGCACAUGGUCCCAAGCAAAAAAGCGUGCUGAUCCUACUCCCCCAUGCUACUUUGUUUUAUUAUUAAUUAAAACCAUACUUUAUCUCCUUCUUUUUCAUUAAAAAACCUUUUUUAAAAAAACAAAAAAAAAGUUAAAACACCACCCUGCAUUCAUUUUUCAAAACAGAGAGAAGGCUCUCAACCCCCCUCUCAUAUUGCGAUUCACUCCCAAAUUCGGUAGAUCACCACCGCCGGCUUCGCCAUCAGCGACCCUCAUGCAUGGCGGCCGGAGCCCCUUUUCCAGGCGAAGAAAGGUACCUCCUUCCUUUUUUAUUUCACGAAAUAUGUGUAGAUAUAUAUAUAUAUAUAUAUAAGAUUCAAAAGUAAAAUAAAUAGAGCAAAUAAAAGAAAGUAAAACCAUAGAAUAACUCCCUUGAUCUGUUUUUAUUUCCUGAAGUGCUCUCCAUUGUAUGUAGUACAACUGUUCGUUUUUUUUAAGGAAAAAACCCUCCUUCUAGUACCAUCUGUCCUCCUCUUUUACAAUGAAAAAUUGAAGGCUUUAUAGCCAAAAACCAUACAUUUUCCACCUAUCUCUUUGCUCCAAUUACAGGUGUUGCAGUUGUGGAGAACGAAGGGCGUGAAACAUGGGUGAAAACAUGGAGCGGGACAUACGGGAAUCAUGAAUGGAGUAAGUGGAGGUAUGGGCAAUGGGACAGGGCAAGUUGGCCGACAGUCAAGCAUAGGGAUGAUGGCUAGGUUUUUUUUAGUCUUCUUCUUUCCUUUUUUUUUAAUUGCUAUGGGCUAGCGUUAAAGGGUUUUGGGCUGUUGGGUUUUUAGAUGUUGGGCUUUUUAGCCCGGGCAAAAUUUGGGUUGUACAGCUGCCCCUCUUUGCUUGUUGUCGUGUAACAAGAACAGAGCAAAGACUAUAAAAGGACCAAUUUUGCCCGACCUCGCCGAGUCUUGAGUUCUUGAUCCUUGAUCUUCUUUAAAUGGCCUCUUGACGGCUUCAAUCUGCUUCACUGCAACUCAGGAAGGCGAUUUCUACUAUCUUUGAUCUGCUCCCCGUCUAAUACAAAGACGUAAAAUCUAUUAUCUUCGAUCUGCUCCCCGUCUAAUACAGAAACGCCAAAUUUGCUUCUUCAAUCUACUCAUUGCAAACUCAUGACUGUCAUGUUGAUAUCUUCGAUCUGCUCUCCAUCGAACACAGAGACGCCAAAUCUGCUUCUUCGAUUUGUUCCCUGACAAUACAGAGAUGCCAAAUCAUCUUAGAUUUGCUUUACCGUAAGCACGUGAAAGCCAAAUCAGCUAUGUCUUCGAUUUGCUCCUUGUAAGCACAAGGAUGCCAAAUCAUCUUGGAUCUUGCUUCAGUAUAAACAUCUGAAGGCCAGAUCUGCUAUGUAUCUACUCUCCGUCAAAAUGGAGAUGCCAGACUUCGAUUUGUUCUCUGACAAUACAGAGAUGCCAAAUCAUCUUAGACUUGCUUUAGCGUAAGCACGCGAAAACCAAAUCAGCUAUGUCUUCGAUUUGCUCCUUGUAAGCACAAUGAUGUCAAACCAUCUUGGAUCUACUUCAGUGCAAACAUCUGAAGUUUGGAUCUGCUAUGUGUCUGCCCUCCGUCAAAAUGGAGAUUCCAGGCUUCGACUUGUUCUCUGACAAUACAGAGAUGCCAAAUCAUCUUAGACUUGCUUUAGCGUAAGCACGCGAAAACCAAAUCAGCUAUGUCUUCGAUUUGCUCUUUGUAAGCACAAGAAUGCCAAAUCAUUUUAGAUCUACUUCAGUGAAAUCAUCUGAAGGCUAGAUCUGCUAUGUAUCUACUCUCCAUUGAAAUGGAGAUGCCAGACUUCGAUUUGUUCUCUGACAAUACAAAGAUGCCAAAUCAUCUUAGACUUGCUUUAGCGUAAGCACGCGAAAACCAAAUCAGCUAUGUCUUCGAUUUGCUCCUUGUAAGCACAAGGAUGCCAAAUCAUCUUAGAUCUACUUCAGUGAAAUCAUCUGAAGGCUAGAUCUUCUAUGUAUCUGCUCUCCAUCGAAAUGGAGAUGCCAGACUUCGACUUGUUAUCUGACAAUACAGAGUUGCCAAAUCAUCUUAGACUUGCUUUAGCGUAAGCACACGAAAACCAAAUCAGCUAUGUCUUCGAUUUGCUCCUUGUAAGCACAAGGAUGCCAAACCAUCUUGGAUCUGCUUUAGCCAGAUCUGCUAUGCUGCGGCCUAUUACCCUACUGCUUAGGGGAUUAAGACGCGUCAUCUCUAAUAACCUGUAGAAUAAUUAUGCCUGAUAAUUAGGAUGCCAUGAUCGAAAUGAGUCGGAUGUUCCUAAUUAAACAUGUUACGAUGCAAAAUUUUGUGAAUAUGACCACUAUCCUAGACAUCACCACUCAUUCCUUCAUUUUUCUUUUCAAAGCAUUAUUCUUGCUCAACCUGUAGGCCUAUACCCUUCCUCCAAUGCUACGACCCACUGAGGAUGUCUGUAAAACAAUCUUUUCUUAAAAUUGAAUCGUUGAUUUUGUCCAUUUUCCCUUUAGACUGGAAGAAAGAAAUUCCUCGAGUUCCUUCAUCCUUUACUUGCAUGAAUUUCUCGAACAAUCGUCCUGUUUUAGUUUCUUGUAUUAUCUAGAAAUUCCAGAGUAAUGCGCGAAACUUCGUUUGUAAACAUAUUUAGUUCAUCUAUCAUUAUUUCAAUGCAACAUGGAAGAUGAAUAAAUCUUUAAGAAUAAUUGGAUUAAAAGGAAAGGAUACAAAGGAAAUUAAUCUGAAAGCCUAUCUUUAGGAAGAAAUAGAAUCUAAAGAUAGAAAAACAGGAUAAAAGUUAGAUGCUCAAGAUAUUGUUGCUUGAGUGUUUAUACACCAGCUCCAUGAAGUCUUUCUUGAGUUCAAAAUGUGUUUAAAAGAUCCCAAGUACUCCGUUGAUGUCCCAGUUUGCAGCAUUCUUCGCUCUUUGUAACAAGAUCACUGUGUACUCUUCAAAAUUUGAGCUGCCCUUUCGGGUUUCCGACUCAAAACCCCUUUGGUCACAAGGUGCCCUUUGCGGGUUUUCACCUUGGCCUCUCCGUUUUUGAUUUUUUUUUUAAAUCUCAAGGUGCCCUUUGUGGGUUUUCACCUUAGAUUCUCUUCUUCUUUAGACAAAGUAUUUUUUAACUGAGUCCGAGUUCACUGGAUUGGGUAAACUUUUCCCAUCCAUUUCCGCUAAGAUCAAUGCACUACCGGAGAAAGCUUUCUUCACGACAUACAGCCCUUCCUAAUUCGACAUCUAUUUUCCUCUAAAAUCCUUUUGAAUAGGAAGGAUAUUUUUCAGUACAAGGUCUCCCUCAUGGAAUUCUCUUGGUCGAACUUUCUUGUCAUAAGCUCGCAUCAUUCACUUCUGAUACAUCUGACCAUGUCGAAUGGAUUUUAGCCUCUUUUCCUCAAUCAAGUUCAACUGGUCAUACCGGGAUUGAACCCACUCAGCUUCAUCUAACUUUACUUCCGUCAAAAUUUGAAGAGAAGGUAUUUCUACUUCAAUAGGUAAUACUGCUUCCAUCCCAUAAACUAACGAGAAUAGAGUUGCCCCAGUAGAGGUUCUAACAGAUGUUCGGUAGGCUAAGAGUGCAAAUGGCAACUUCUCAUGCCAAUCCCUAUAGGUCUCAGUCAUCUUCCUCACUAUUUUCUUAAUAUUCUUGUUGGCGGCCUCCACUGCCCCAUUCAUUUUUGGACGAUAAGGGGAAGAAUUGUGAUGCUUGAUCUUGAACUGGUUGCAAACCUCCGCUAUCGUUUUGUUGUUUAGGUUUAAUGCAUUGUCGGAUAUGAUCUUCUCAGGCAUUCCAUACCGACAAAUGAUCUCCUUCUUCAUGAAUCGACUCACAGCUGACUUAGUAACAUACGCAUAAGAAGUCGCCUCUACCCAUUUUGUGAAGUAGUCAAUGACCAUGAAGAUAAACCGAUGUCCAUUUGAAGCCUUCGGUGAUAUUGGUCCAAUGACAUCCAUGCCCCACAUGGAAAAGGGCCAUGGAGAAGUCAUGACAUGUAGAGGUGAAUGUGGUACAUGUAUCUUGUCUCCAUAAAUCUGACACUUAUGACAUUUCUUGGCGUAGUUGAUACAAUCCCCUUCCAUGGUAGACCAAUAAUAUCCAAAUCUCAUGAUUUGUCUAGCCAUAGUGAACCCAUUUGCAUGUGUCCCGCAUACGCCUUCAUGAACUUCUUCUAAAAUUAGCUUAGCUUCCACGGCAUCAACACAUCUUAAAAGUACUUGGUCUUUCCUUCUCUUAUACAAGAUGUCCCCGUCCAAGACAUAGUCGCAAGCUAGCCUUCUCAACGUUCGUUUGUCAUUUUCAUUGGCUUGUUCAGGGUAUUUACGAUCCCUCACAUAUCGUAAUAUAUCCUAAUACCAAGGGUUAUCAUCCUCUUCUUCCUUCUCAAUGUUGCAACAAUGUGCUGGAGCCUCGUAGGCACUCAUUUGAAUUGGUCUUAUCUCUUCUUCUUUAUUUGCCUUAAUCAUUGAGGCCAAGGUUGCUAAAGCAUUUUCCAUCUGAUUUUCGUCUCGUGGGAAAUAAUUGAAGGUGACGUCAUCAAACUCCUCAAGCAGCCCCAAAACUACCUUUCGAUAAUUGAUCAAUUUAGGGUCCUUUGUUUCCCAUUCACCUCUGAGUUGAUAAAUUACCAACGUAGAAUCUCCAUAUACUUUUAGGGUUUUUAUACCUCGCUCUAUAGCUACUUGUAGUCCCAUGAUGCAUGCUUCAUACUCAUCCAUUUUAUUCGUGCAAUCAAAGCCCAACUUGCAUGUGAAAGGGUAGUGAUUGCCAUUUGGGGAUACCAAGACUGCCCCAAUUCUAUUUCCGACUGCAUUAGAAGCCUCAUCAAAAUUGAGCUUCCAAGAAGAAUCUUCUGUCGUUGCUAUACACAUCAACUCCUCAUUUGGAAAAUCAAAGUUCAAUGGCUCAUAAUCCUCUAGAGCUCUACUAGCCAAGAAAUUUGAUAUCGCACUUCCUUUUAUAGCCUUCUGACUUAUGUAGACUAUAUCAAAUUCUAAAAGUAGAAUUUUCCAUCUCGCCAUUCUUCCAUUCAGAGCCAUUGACUCCAUCAUGUAUUUCAAUGGAUCAAGCUUUGAGAUGAACCAAGUGGUAUGGUAUAGCACGUACUGUCUUAAUCUCCGAGUUGUCCAAAUAAACAACACAACUUUUCAAUCGGUGGAUAUUUCAUCUCACAGUCAGUGAAUUUCAAACUGAGAUAAUAAAUUGCCUUCUUCUUUUUCCCUGACUCGUCAUGCUGGCCAAGCACACAUCCCAUGGAAUUGCUGAAUACUGAUAAGUACAGUAUUAUUGGUCUAUCUGGACUGGGCGGAGAUAACGCCUGAGCAUUCAACAAGUACUGUUUGACCUUUUCAAAAGCAUUUUGGCAUUCCUCAUCCCAAGUACCUUGAUUGUGCUUUUUAAGGAGACGAAAGAUGGGAUCACACUUCUCAGUUAGUUGUGAAAUAAACCGAGCAAUGUAAUUCAGUCUUCUUAGAAAUCCUUGAACUUCCUUUUGAUUUUGUGGGGGAGGUAAUUCUCGUAUAGAUCUGACCUUGUCUGAGUCAACUUCAAUUCCCUUUUCACUGACUACAAAGCCUAAUAACUUUCCCGAUCUAGCUCCAAAGGUACACUUUGCUGGAUUGAGCCUCAACUGAAACUUUCUCAAUCUCAAGAACAUUCUUCUCAGGACCUCAAUGUGCUCUUUUUCGGUACACGACUUGGCCAUCAUAUCAUCAACAUACACCUCAAUAUCCUUAUGCACCAUAUCGUGGAACAAGUUCACCAUGGUUCGCUGGUAUGUUGCCCCCGCAUUCUUUAACCCAAACGGCAUUACUUUGUAGCAAAAGGUACCCCACAAGGCUAUGAAGGUAGUUUUAUCCAUAUCCUCUAAAUGCAUCUUUAUCUGAUUGUACCCCGAGAAACCAUCUAUGAAAGAGAACAACGAAUAUCCUGCCGUGUUGUCUACUAAAGUGUCGAUGUGUGGCAAAGGAAAUUAUCUUUGGGGCUAGCUUUAUUUAAAUCUCUGUAAUCAACACACAUUCGUACCUUCCCAUCUUUCUUUGGAACUGGUACAAUGUUGGCUACCCAUUCGGAGUAUUUCACUUCUUGUAAGAAUUCUACAUCGAACUGCUUCUUAACCUUAUCUUUUAUUUUUAGAACAAUGUCUGGCCGCAUUCUCCGCAACUUCUGUUGGACUGGCUUACAAUCCUGCCUUAUCGGAAGACGAUGUACUAUAAUGUCAGUACUUAAUCCGAGCAUGUCCUGGUAUCCUUGAACUCUCGAAGCAACUCAACCAAACUAUGCCUUUUGUCCUUGGUAAUCAGUAUUCCAAUUUUCAACUCAGCACCCUUCCUCUAGGGCUAUAUUCUCUAUUGCCUCUUUCUCAUGUGGCAUGAUUUGUUUCUCCUCCUGCUUUACCAUUCUUAACAGAUCGAGGGAUACGUCACAAUCUUGAACAUCUUCAAAAUCCUGAGAUUCCUCUAAACACAUGUCUUGCUCGUAAGAGAAAUUAGGAGCGGCAGUAUUAGUGCUCAUAUCAUUGAUAUCUAGAGACCUGUGGGGGUAUGAAAGAAUAUACAAAGAAUGAAUGAAUCUAAGAAUGGUUGUUUAUGUGCUAUGAAUAAAAGGAUAAGGAUUGCCAAAAUUUAAAGGAAUAUUGGUUGAUAAAGAUGAAAUAAUACUCGUUUAAAAUUGAUAAAAGUUAUGUUUUAUUUAAAUAAUAAUAGAUGAACAUAGGUCUAUUUUCACAAAUGUAAUCUUACUACUCCUAGGCCCUAGACAUGUUUCGGGAAUUACUCUAAAAAAUUCCUAAAGAUUACAGGAAGUUCUUCUGCAGUCCAAUUGUUUAAAGAACUUCCCGGUUCGUAAGGGCGAAUGCCCUCAAGGUUUUUUUGUUCAGUCCCUUUCUCAUGUAUGACAUUGAUGGGAUGAUUUUCCUUUCCAAACACCCCCUUCUCGGGGUAAGCUAUCUCUCCUGACACAAAAGUCAGGGAUAUGUAAGGGAACGUCAUUAAUUCCUAUUCAACUUCUUUUUCACUUAGCCGUGACCCUAUUCUCUCUCUCUUUUUUUCUUUCUCUUUUUAAUAACUUUAACUAAUUAGGGUCUUUUUAUGGAUUUAAAUGCAUGUGAUGUGAUGCAAUGCAAAUGCAUGAAUGCAAAAGAAAAGGAGAUAUUGAUCUUGAAUUCAAUUCCAUUAGAAUAACUUUUCUAGAAAACAGAUUUCUUUACAUGAAAAUAGAUUGCAUAUGUAGUCUUGCCCUUCAUAGUCCAAGUAAACGUUGAUCUUUUCUUCAUGGUCGAAUCCUGUAAAUUCUCUAAAAGAUGCCUUUGCUAGCUCCUUGCUAUUUAAUCUGAGCUCGAUCUCUUGCUCGCUUAUCUCUAUGAUACUCAUCAAAAAGUGUCGGCUCUUGGAUAAUCUUCGUCGAUAAUUAAAUUAAGUCAUGUAUUCCCUCGUGGACUUCUGGCUUUCUCUCGUCAUGCUCUUGGAUAACUUUUGUUGGCUUGAAUCUCCGGCAAUUACAUCAUGUAUUCCUCCGUGGACUAUCAGCUUUCUCUCGUCGUGUUUAUUUGGACUAUAUUCAGACGACCGCACUAUAAUCCACUUUAUCAAGAAAUUCGUUUCCUUAUGACAAACUAUUCUAUUUAGGAAUCAAAUUUCAAAUCAACACCAACUUUUCUUUGAUGUAAUGUAAUGCAAAUGCAUGAAUGCAAAAAGAUAUCGAUCUCGAUUUAGUUUCAUUUUAGAAAAUGUUAUUUAAGGAACAAAAGUCUUUUCAUAAAACGGAUUACAAAUACACUUUCGCUCGUAGGCCCAGAGUCUUAACCCUAUCUAAUAACAAAGCUAACUCUCGACCUCUAUCUGAACUGCCCCGUUUUAUAUUGCUUUAGGACGAGUAAUGGUGCAUAGCCAACGACUUCCCAAAUCCUAAGAAGAGGUACCCAAUCAAAACUACCGCAAUGAUAAAGGACUUCAUUAGGAGUCAUCCAAGGUGCUUUCCACAAAACCUCCUCCUCUCGAAGGUUCUAAAGAAUAUCUAUCCACCUUUCUUCUGUAAUAUCGUCUCUCAUUAGUGUAGUUUUUGCUUCCUUUAAGGGGGAAUAACCCACAAAGAACACUGGGCAAGGAACCUUCUCAAGCUUCCAAAAGUGACUAUGGAACCAUACUAACAACAACUGUGUGCAUCCAAUAAAUCUACUUUACCGGCUCUCCGACAUGUACUUCAAGAAUCUAAACAUCUCAGCUAGGAUUGCUAGCACCGGUGUGUUCUGUUUACCAAUACAAUCAAACAAAUCUGCGACUGCCUCAUCUAUGUGCCCUAUCGCUUUCGGGAAAAUCACCAAGCCGUAAAUACUUAAGGCCAAAACGUUGAUCUUCUUCUUCACAUCUAGGUGUGUCAAUAUUAGAUCCCUCGAAAUGGCCCACGGAAUGCACUUAUUAUUGCCCUUUUGUUGGACUCGAGCUGCGGCCUACUGUUCACUCAUCCCUGUUAUCAUCAUAAUUUCUUCACAAAAGUAGGGAGAUUAGUAGCCCUAACAUACACCUUGUUAUCUUGAAUUUUUGGACAGCGAAGCAAGGUCAUAUACUCCUCCAAAGUAGGUACCAAGUCUACCUUUCCCAAUGUAAAACAACUAUAAACAGGGUUCUAAAACUGUACCAUAGAUUGAAACAGAUACCUGUCCACCUUGAUGUCUAGCAAAUAAGGAAGAUCUCCAUAAUUCUGGUAGAACAGCUGCUUAGCCUCGUCAUCCCAUUGGUCCCAAAUGUCCUUCAACUCCCGAAACUCAUUCUGUGUUGAACUGAUACGAGUAAAGUCCCAUGACUCUGACGUAUACCUCUCAGUGACACUAUCUCCCUUUUCUAAUUAGGUUUUCUCUGACCAUGCAUAGACAGAAGCGUUGUCCUCCACUUUAUCAAGAUAUUCGUUCCUCAUUACAAAACUUUCUAAUCUAGAAAUCGAACCGUGAAUUGACACCUUUUAAUGAUGAAUGAUAUGUGGUGAUGACAAAAUAAAAAAAAAACAAGUUAGUAUCAUAUAAAAAGAUGUAAUAAACAAGAACUUAUAAAGGUAGGUACUAAAGAUCAUCACCAUCCUACCUAGAGCAAGCACUUAAAGUUCACUAUAUGUAGUUUAGUUCUAGAGCAAGGGUACCUGAACUAUCAGAUUCCUCGGUCCUCACCCAUUAUAGGCUCAUAUGGACCAAGUUCAAUUCAGGGGAAUACAUUUCCUUAUGCCCAUGCGGAGGUGAAAACCUCACGAAGACAUAAGUACGGAUGUAUUCCGGAAGUGAUCCCCUAGCCCAUGCGGAGGUGAAAACCUCACGAAAGCAUAGUUUCUCACUCCCACUUAAAAGGUGUGACCACAACGGUCAUGCAAUGCGAUGCAAAACUAUUUAAGGACUCAAACCAAUGCAAUAGGUAUUAUAUCAUAAACCACAAAAAGCUGAUGAAAUGCAAUGAAAGAAUCGUAUUUCAAAACCUAAUUUUCAAUUUUCGAUAUAAAGACAAAAGUUAAUCAACUUGUGGCUUGACUCUCUUAUUUGGUCCCCAAUGGAGUCGCCAAGCUGUUGUAACCAUUUUUUUUUGAAAAAAACGGGGAUUGAAUUUAAAACGAAAAUGGAGUCGCCACCAAUCUUUUUUUGUUUAGGUGUGAUCGGGUCACCUUAUGAUCGAUCAUUUUAUAAAAUAUUUUGAUUUAUUAAAAUGAUUAUUUUUGGUCUACGAAAAUCAAAAAAUGAGUUCGGGAGUCGGUUACGCACGAGGAAGGAUUAGCACCCUCGAUACGCCCAAAAUUGGUACCUAGUUGAUUAAUUAGUGUCUUAGUGUCGAAAAUUGAAAACUUGAAAGACUUUUAAAAUAUGAUCCCUCUUUGUAUUAAUGAUGAUUUAAAAAAGAUCGAAUAAAUUAAAACGGAUGUUGAAGACUCUCUCAUCUUGAAGUAAUAAAAUGUCACGCCCAGUAAGUUAGGACACGUCAUCUUGAACUUUGAGAAUGAGCUUGCCUUUAUUUAAAAUUCAUGUACUUUAACCCUUUUUUUUAAAAGGAUGUUCGGUUAUUUAGGGUAAACGAGAAAAGUCGAAACCAGUAAGUUAGGGUACGAUCUUUUGAAUUCUUUAAAUACCAAACAUUGCCUUGUUUAAAUUUUCAAAUAAAUGUAUUUUUAUAAAAAAAAAUAACUCGAUAACAUAAGGAAUUAAACAUGUGGCAAUAACAUCUCAGGAAUAAUCUAAAAUAAUAUGGAAAUGCAAAGGAACAACUUAGAAUACAUGCAAUCACAACACAUCAUAUAUUAUGAAAAUACCACCAUUUAUGUCUAAGGGUCAAUGCAUAAGAAACCAAUUUUAAAAGAAGUUUCAAGUAAAUCCUAAAUAAAAUAUACCAAGUUUUUUUAAAAUAAAAUAAAAUAAAUAAUAGGAAAAAGAAAAUUUGAAAUAUAACUAUAAGAACUAUAAGAAAAUUUUAAAUAGUAAUGUACAAAUGAAAUUAAAAAAUAUUCUAAAGUAAAUAAUUUGAACGAAGCUUGAAUUGUAUCAAAAUAAAAAAUAAGAAAAAAAUAUAUAUAUGUAGCAUAACUAAAAUUCCAAAAUAAAUAAUAGGCAUAAAAGAUUAAAAGUAAAUAAUACACAAAGUAAUAUAUACACAGGAAAAGCUUAAUAUAAAUAAUACAUAUAGUAGUAAUAAUAAUAUAAAGGUAUUUCAUAUAAACAGGUAUGCACGUGGAAAAAAAAUAAUCACAAAAGUAUGAAAUCAAAAUAAUAUGUUGAAACAUGUUUAUUCUAAGAAGAAUAACUGAAACUUAGUUGAGAGAAAAAAACAAAAUCCAAGGGAUAACUUACAAAUAAAAAAAAUUAUUAAAACGUAAUUUUGGGCUAAAAUUAAUUGCGUAUAAAUGUUCGAGGUCUAAAAUUAAAAAUGUCCCAAAUCUUAAAAUACUGUGCUAAGGGGGCAAAUUGAAAUAGCGCACAGAUUGCAGGGCCAAUUUAAAAUAAUUUAAAAAAACUUAAAUAUAGCCUGAUUGAAGGCUAGCGCAAAGGAGGGGACCAAUUGCGCAAAUUACCAAAUUAAAGGUAAAAUGCACAUGGUCCCAAGAAAAAAAGCGUGCUGAUCCCACUCCCCCAUGCUACUUUGUUUUAUUAUUAAUUAAAACCAUACUUUAUCUCCUUCUAUUUCAUUAAAAAACCCUUUUCUAAAAAACAAAAAAAAAGUUAAAACACCACCCUGCAUUCAUUUUUCAAAACAGAGAGAAGGCUCUCAACCCCCCUCUCAUCUUGCGAUUCACUCCCAAAUUCCGGCAGAUCACCACCGCCGGCUUCGCCAUCAGCGACCCUCAUGCAUGGCGGCCGGAGCCCCUUUUCUAGGCGAAGAAAGGUACCUCAUUCCUUUUUUAUUUCACAAAAUAUAUGUAGAUAUAUAUAUAUAAGAGCAAAUAAAAGAAAGUAAAACCUUAGAAUAACUCCCUUGAUCUAUUUUUAUUUCCUGAAGUGCUCUCUAUUGUAUGUAGUACAACUGUUCAUUUUUUUUAAAAAAAAACCCUCCUUCUAGAACCAUCUGUCCUCCUCUUUUACAAUAAAAAAUUGAAGGCUUUAUAGCCAAAAACCAUACAUUUUCCACCUAUCUCUUUGCUCCAAUUGCAGGUGUUGCAGUUGUGGAGAACGAGGGGCGUGAAACAUGGGUGAAAACAUCGAGCGGGACAUACGGGAAUCGUGAAUGGAGUAAGUGGAGGUAUGGGCAAUAGGACAGGGCAAGUUGGCCGACAGUCAAGCAUAGGGAUGAUGGCUAGGUUUUUUUUAGUCUUCUUCUUUCCUUUUUUUUUAAUUGCUAUGGGCUAGUGUUAAAGGGUUUUGGGCUGUUGGGUUUUUAGAUGUUGGGCUUUUUAGCCCGGGCAAAAUUUGGGCUGUACAGCGAGAACAAGGCCGGAAAUCCCAUCGGAGGGAAAAGAUUGUCAAGUUAGGAGUAUUAAUGGACAUCAAUCUUAAAAAUGGGAAUAAUAUUAAUUAUUGUUAGAGAAUGCUAGAGAUGGUAAAUAAAGAGGCAGUGUCAGAGUCUGUUUCCAAAGAUAUUAAAAUAGGAGAAGCAGAUGAAGUGGAUAAAUGUAAGGGAUGGGCUUUGAAGAAAGUAAGGGAUAUGGGCUUGGCUGUUGUAGAGGAUCCAAUAGAAGAUCCAAAAGAAGGGGGAAAUGAUAAUGGAUCGAGCAUGAAUGUGGGCUGUAAGAAUGUAGGAAAAACUAACUCAGAAGGAAAAACAAGUCCAGUGGAAGGCAACAAAAGUAUUUAAGAAAAUGAAACAGGAAGAGGGGAAUUUUGGGAAUCCAAUAUAGAAUUAGAAGAAGAAUUAAAUCAGGUGCUUCUUCGCAGGAAAAAAAAAAGAAAGGUUUGAACAAGAAGAUACAGUCGAUGUAUGAAAUUCAAGGCAAUAUUGUUACAAGCCCAAUUUGCCCGGCCCAAAACCCAACUACCCUAAAAACUAAUCAGCCCAAUUACAAACCCUAGCCCACUAUCCUAAACUUUUCCAAGAAAAUCUAGCCCCCUAGGUGUGCCGCCCCUACUACCUACCACCAGCACACCUGCCCACCUGCUCCACCGCCCGUGUCAGCAUCGCCCAUCCACCUACAAGAAGAACAGAGCAAUCAAGUAGAAAAACAAGUUGUAAAAUUGGCUAUUUAAAAGCCUAAAGAUCAAAUGUAAUAAGGAGAGGUUUUUUUAGACAUUGAAUACAAUCACAAAAAAAAAAAGCAAAUUCAAAUACAUAAAUAACAAAUAGUAGAUCGAAAGAGAAAUCAAAAAAAGUUCAUAAUCGAGCAAAGGUUACCAUAUUUUAUUUCAUUUUAUUUUAUUUUUUUCAUUUACAAAUCUGUUAAUACAUAUAUGUAUAUAUAAAGUGUAUAAAAAAUGGGACUUACCUUCAAUCUCGCUAAAAAAGGCCGACUUUUGGCCUUCCUGCCACCGUAUAUGGCGGCGCCGGCGAACGGUGGCCGAUGACCGAAGACCAAGGUUGGGAGGGCCUGCUGUAGAGAAAAAGGGAGCCCUCCUUUUUGUUUUUUUGAAGAGAAUGAGGGAAGAAUGAAAUUUUUUUAAAAAAAUUUACCUUUUAUACCCAUAUAAAACGGCGUCGUUUUGGCCCCUAGGAUCAGCGUGUUGACCCGCCCGCUAGCAGGAUCCGCGUGUUUUUGGAAAAGGGGGAAUUUGCGCGAGUGGUCCUUCCUCCUUUUUAUUACUUUGUAAUCAAGUCUUUUGAUUCUUCAAUUUUGGCCCCGAAUUUUGCCUGGAUUCUAGUUCAGUCCCUACCGGAACUGUGCGUUUAGAGGGAGGGGAUAUUUUCCUUUUUCGUCCCUUUACGUUGCGCACGUGUUGCAAUCUGGUCCUUCCCCCUUUCUUUUCAUUUUUAAUUUGCCCCAAAAUUUCGUUUUAAGUUCGGUUUAAUUCUUUUUCGUUAUUUUGCUAUUUUAUCUUCAAAAUAAUUAUUUUUUUAUUAUUUUUUCUUAUUAUAUUUAUCAUCAUUAUUGUUUCUUUGCCAUUACUGUUAACACAAUAUAUUUAUUCCUAUUAUUUUAUAUUAUUGUCGUUAUUAAUAUAUACUAUUAUUAUCAUUAAUAUUAUUAUUAUUAUUAUUACUAAUAUCACUAUCAUCGUUUUUUAUUACUAUUAUUAUCAUCAUUUUUUUAUCUAAUAUAUUAUUAACCUUUUAUUAUUAUUACUAUUAUUAUUAUAUUUUCUUUUUAUUUUUUUCACUCAUACGUUAUUAUUUUUAUAUUAAUUAAUUUAAUAUAUAUAUUUUUAAGCAUACUUAUUUUAUUUAUAUAUAAUUACUCUUAUUAUUAUCAUUUCAUCAUUUAUUUUAUUUAUAUCUUUCUAAACAAUUUCAAACUUUAGAUUAUUUAUUAUUUGUGUUAUUGUUAUUAUUACUUUUUAUUAUUACCAUUAUUAUUACUAUUAUUUUUACUUUUAUUACUAUUACUAUAUUAUUAUUAUUAUUUUCUAUUACUAUUAUCGUUAUUAUUAAUACUAAUAUUAAUAUUCUUAUUAUUACUAUUAUUAUUAUCAUUAGUAUUAUUAUUUUUUACCACUAUUAUUAUUAUCAAUAUUAUUAUUAUCGUUUUCAUUAUCAUUGUCGUUUUUAUUUUUCCAUGUUUUAUAUUUUUUAUUUACUUAUGUGUUUGAUUAUUUCAUUUGCCUUAUGCAUUUGUUUUAUAUUUUUAUAUUACUAGCAUUGCUUUUAUUUCACCUUUUUAUAAUUGCUCAUAUUAUUGUUAUUGACACUGUCGCGCCUAUUAUUAUGUUAUUAAACGUAUUAGCACCAUAAUUUACUUUUAUAUUUCACUAUAAAUCACGUCACAUUUCACUCGAUACAUUAAAAUAAUUCUUUCAUAAAAGCAAUAUUCCAUAAUUAGAAAUUCGAGAAAAUCGUGCCCUAACAUACUGGGUUUCGAUUUUUCUCAUUUAACCUAAAUUACGUAAUAUUCUUUUAAAUUGUAAUAAGGGCUUUUGAAUAAAAGUGCUUAUUCUCGAAGAUACGAGGUGUUGUACCCUAAAUCACUGGAUAUUGCAUCUUGUUACCUCGAAAUAAGAUUUUUUGUAAAUAAAGGCAACGUUCGGUAUUUGGAAGUUCGAGAAAACGUGCCCUAACUUACUGGGUUUUAAUUUUUCUCGUUUACCCUAAAUAAUCGAAUACCCUUAAAAAAAGUUAAAAUACACGAAUUUUAAGUAAAAGGCUGACUCAUUUUCAAAAGUUCGAGAUGUUGUGUCCUAACUUACUGGAUGUGACAUUUCAUCACUUUGAGACGAGAAGGUCUUUAACAUUUGAGUGUUUUUUACAAAAGAGGGAUUGUAUUUCAAAGUCUUUCAAGUUUUAAAUUUUCGACACUAAGACACUAAUUAAUCAACUAGGUACCAAUUUUUGGGCGUAUCGAGGGUGCUAAUCCUUCCUCGUGCGUCAUCAACUCCCGAACUUAUUUUUUGAUUUUCGUAGACCAAAAAUUAUCAUUUUAGUAAAUCUUAACUUUUAUUAAAAUGAUUAAUUUGAGAUGACCCGAUCACACCUCAUCAAAAAGGAUUGGUGGCGACUCCCGUUUCUUUCAUUUUAGUUUCCAAAACCAAAGUCGACUCCAUUUUUCAAAAAAUAGUUUCGACAAACAUUUUAACGACAAAUGAGAGGAAAAGAGAGACAGACCCUUGCAUAAGGAAAAAGGAAGGGAAGUUCGUAAGGAAGAUGAGAGGAUUGUAAAUUUAUCCCUAUCAGAUUCGAAUAUUAACAACAGAAUGAGGGUGAUUCUAAGGGAAGCAAAUAAUACUUGGGCAAUCGGAAAGAAAUUGGGAGUUAAGGAACGACAUGACAACACUAUUUUAGGAAGAUUCAUGGUGUGGCAGUCGUCAUUUAGAAGAAGGAUUUCUAAGGCUUUAUCGAUUGGCAAAACUCAAAAAAAGAAGUGUGAGAAUGUAUACUAGAAAAGAGGGUUUUAGAAAAGUAAAGUGGGGGGCAUUUGUUAUAAGAAAACUGAUUGAUAUGAUAAAGUAAUGUUUGCUGGAGUAUUUUUGGUGGAUAUGUCUGAAUAGGUGUAGGAUUGAUUCAAUUAAUCCAAGCCAGAUGCAUUAUUUUGGUGGCCUCCUCCUCAUGGAUGUUUAAAGUUCAAUGUGUGUGGGAUUGCAAACGAGGAUUGAGUAGGAUGUGGAGGAGUCUUGAGUGAUAAGGAGCGUGUCGUAAGAGAAUUAUUUUUUGGUUUUGCAGCAGGAAAUGAUUCCAUUGUGUGGUACAGAUUGGCACGGUGAAGGUAUAAAUUGGGAGAAAAUGUUUAAUUAUAAAUUGGAAGAAAAUGUUUAAAGCUUGGUGGUGAGUUUUGCUUUGCUGUAAUCAUAGGUCUGUUAAGUGAUCGAAUGUGUUUUUUUUUAGAAUGUUGUAUUGUUAAACUUUUGUUGCUAUUCUAUUCGUAUUUUAUAACAGAACAGAUCGAAUGAAGCAAAAAAAAAAGAGGAAAAAAACCUAACCAUCAGGCCAAUACACAGGUUCAUAUAUUAACAAUUUUUGAGUAGCUAAUUUUUCUUAAUAUAGGUAAACCUUGCAAUCUUGAUUUCUAACUCAAAAUUUAACUUGAUGAAUUUAAAAUAAAGGUUAUUUUAUUUUUAUUUAAUCAUAUAAAAAUUCAAACUUAAAUUGAUUCAAAUUCGAAAUAUAGGGGUUGGCUUUGCACCCUAAAAUGGUAAGUUUAUGUUUUAGCGUUUUAAAUUUUAUAAAUUUUAUAAAUUAGUAUAUGGUAAAAAUUAUACUUUGGCUUGCAAAAAUAAUAAAAUUUUAAUUUAAUCCUUAAUUAAUUAUAAAGACGUAAGCUAUUAAAAUGGUGAAAUGACAUUUUACCUCUCAUAAAAACUUUACAACUUAAAUGAGAGUAAAUAGAUCCGAAAACCUCAAGCAACACAAAAUUAUUUUAAUCUAAAGCUCAUUUAAAUCUGAAAAUGAUGAAGACAAAUUUGUUUAUGUUUAUAAAUUUUUUUAAUAAUCUGAUUAUAAGUUUUGAUGAUAUCUACUCUUUUUAACACAAUGCCUAGAAUUAUCUAUAACCCCUCCCCAACCCAUAAAUAGGAGGAUAAUGCGUUUAAGCAUACUCGAAACUAGAUCUUCUUACAUUGACAAUAAUACCUAUACUAAUCAAGCUAAGAUUCAAAGCUAAAAUUCAAUUCAUUAAUUGUAUAUAUAUUUUAAUGUGAUCCAGCACCAUAUGAAUGAAACAAAUGAAUGCAUCAGUUCAAAUUGCCCAAUGAAAGACCUAAGAAAUAUUAAAAUCUAUAUAAUAAAAAAAGUUUGCAGAUAGCUUGCACACCAAGCCUAAUAUGUUUUAUUUUUAAUUUAAAUUUAUUAUCACGUUUUCAAUAUUUGAUUAUGAUAUUUAAAUUUAUAUCUCAAGAUAACGACUAUGAUUUGAAAUAAAAUUAUAUAGAUGCAUGCAAAUUUCCCUUUGUCUACUAUUAAUCAUUUAGUUUUGGCAUAAUGAUUUUUUUAGUCCUCUAAUUUUAAAAAUUAAAUUAUUUUAGUCCUUCAUUUAAAUUUUCGCUUCUUCUAAUCCUUAAAUUUACAUUUUUUGUCAAACUGCUCCAAAUUUGAUGGAAAAGUUAAUAUUUAAUAACUUUCCUGACGUGUUAUACAUGUGGAUUGUUGAGUAGAAAACAGGUGAGCAUUUAAUUCAUUUCUAAACUAUUAAAAAUAAUUUUUAUAAUUUCUAAUUUUUAAAAAUAAUUUUAUAAUAUUUUAAAAUUUUUUAAAUUUUAAAAAAUUAAUUAAAUGUUGACAUGUCAUCUUCAUAGCAGUCCACAUAUAUGCAACGUUAACAAAAUUAAAAAAGUUAACUUUUCCAUUCAUCUUGGGAUGAUUUGACAAAAGUACAAGUUUAAGGACUUAAAAGAUAAAUGUAGCGACGUAAAAAUUUUGGUUUGGGGUCGCUAAUUGUGACAAUCUAGUGAAAAAGUUCGAAAACUGAAGUUUGAUUUUAAAAAAAAGAGGGAGUCGCCACCGAUCCUUUUCCUAGGUGUGAUCGGACACCUAUUAGAUUCAUUUUUUUUUAAAACAAAAGGAAUGCUGAAUUUAGGUCUACGUUAAAAGCCAGAGGAAAAUUAGGGUUCGGGAGUCGGUUACGCGCGAGGAAGGUAUUAGCACCCUCGCGACGCCCAAAAAUUGGUAUCUCAUAAACACAUGUUGUCUUAAUUUUCAAAAAUGCGAAUUCAAUGUAAAGUUUAGUUGUGAUCUGAAAAAAACGAGAAAUUUUAGUUUAUUCCGAUUUUUGAGAAGGGUAUAUCGCUUUAACACGAGUCAAUUGAUGUUCACCCAACGUAGCGAUGAACUCGAUGACUUAAUGUUAAAUCGAUAUGUUGCCUUGAUUAUUGAAAUUAAUUAGCAAAACAAGAAUACGAUUUUCGAAAUAAUGCAAAGUAAAAUAAUAUGAAAUAAAAAUCAAUAAAUGAAAGAGCUAGGGAUAUAUUAAAACAAAUAAUCGAGGUGACAAUAAUAUUAGAAAAGAUGAAGGUAUAAUGUAAUAAUAGAAUCGGACACGAAAUUAAAAUAAUGAAUGUAUACACAUAAUAAUAAUAUUAAGAAUGCGUGUGUAAAAUGACAUAUAUAUUUAGCGAUAUUAAAAAUCCAUACAACAUACAUAGAACAUAUAUAGUAUAUGCAUACCUUAGAAAUGAUAAGAAUAAUGAUAAAACUAUUUUGUACACUACAUAAAUACAUACACACACAUAUAUAUAUAGAUAUAUAAACAAUAGUAUUAGAAACGUAUAAUAUUAGAGAUACACAUAAUAGUAAAAAAAUAGAUACCUAAAUAAUAUUAAAAUAUACAUAAUAAUAUACAUAAAAUAUAAUAUUAAAAACUUAUGUACGUAACACGUAUAAAAGAAAUAUAAUAUUAAAUCAUUUACAUAAUAUACACAUAUGAUUUUCAGGUUAAAUACAUAUUUGAGUACUAACAUUACAUAAAAAUAUACUUAUAUAUAUAAUAUAUUAAAUAAAGUGGGAUAAAAAAUAUUGAAUAUUAAGCAAUACAUAUACACAUACACAUAUGAAGCAAAAAAAAAAUUAACACGUAAUAAUAAUAAUAAUGAUAAUAAUAACAAUAUUAAUGAUAUUAAUAAUUCAAAAAUAAUGAUGAUAUUUAAUAAAAAUAACAAAAGAGACGAAGAAGGACUAAAAUUAAAACAAUAACGAAGUUAUGGGGUCAAUUUAAAAAGGAAAUAAAGAGGAGGGACUUAAUUACAACACGCGCGUAACUAGAAGGGUCAAAAGCACAAUAAAUCCAGAUGUUAAAACGCUGCGCAGCGUGGGGGACCAGAACGAAAUCAGGGCAAAACAGCGGGGCCGAAUUUAAAAUAUAAAAAAAACUUGAUUAUAAAAUGUUGAAAAAGCGGAGGGGCCAACUGCGCAAAUAGCCCCUCCCUUAAAAACACGCGGAUCCCCUGGUCGGACGGGUCGGGUCGACCCGACCCGCAUCAAAACGGCGUCGUUUUCUGCUUUAAGGGGGGGUCCAAAACGGUGCGUUUUGGACCCUUAUAUAAGCCAAAUUUUUUUGUUUUUUUUUUCAUUUGAAACAGCUGAGAGAAAAAAAAAGAAAAGGGGGAGGGGAGAGGGAAGCCCGGAGCGAUUUCCGGCCAAGGGGGAGGGCUCCGGUCCGAUCGCCGGACCGUUGCCGGCGCCGGCGCCGGCCACCGUACGCGGUGACCGAAAAAGGUAAUUUUCUAUUUUUUCUCUCUUUUUUUUGCUUUUUAUUUCUUUAUGUUUAUUUGUAAAUUUUUAUGUAUUUGUAGUGAAAAAUGGACUUAAAACAGUUAUUGAAAUGAAGAAUUACCUUCGGUUUUACUCACUUUUGAAUCUUCGAUCUUUUGUAUUUUGCCUGCUUGGAUGUUAUUUUGCGUUCAAACUCUAAUUAGGCUGCUAUUUUUUGCUCUAUAAUCGAACCUUCCUGUCGUUUUUAUUUUUUAAGAAACAAAGAACCAUCCCCCCUUUACAGAAAUCCAAAUCGGCUUUUUAUAGCCUUUACAAUAUUUUAUUUAAUAUUUGUUGUCUUGUCUCUUUUCUGGUCUUGCAGGGUAUGGAGGUGCCAGGCAUGCGGGGAUGGUGUUGGCAGAAGCAUGGGGCGUGGUAGCUGACAUGGUGGUGUUCGGCGCAAGUGGGCAAGUGGGGGGUAGGUGGCUAGGGUUAGUGGGAUUAGGGUUUCUGAAUGCUGAGUUUAGGUUAAUGGGCUGGGGUAGUUGGGCUUCGGGUUUAGUUGUUUAGGCUUGGUUUAGGAUGAGAUGGGUAUGGGGUUUAAGUAAGUUUAGUUAUUGGGUUUUGGGGGUGGCCCAAAAUUGGCCUGUACAGCUGCCCCUCUUUGCUCAUUGUCGUGUAACGGGAAUGGAGCAAAGACAUAAUGAAAGGCCAAUUUUGCCUGGUCUUGCUGGGUCUUGACUUCAUUGGUGCUCUUCUAGUUCAGAUAAUCUUCUUCCAGUCCACUGCAUCUUGUAGCUUUAGAUUCAAUCCACUACAUCUUCUGACAUAUGCCUUGUAGCUUCGAUCUACUCCAAUGUAACUUCAAGGAUAUGAGAUUUGUGGCUUUGAUCUGCUUUCAUGUAGCUUCAUAAAGAUAAGAUCUACAGCUUCAAUCUGCUCUUUUAUCACUUCAGUGAGAUGAGAUUCGUGAUCUUCUCUUUUGUAACUCUAGCGAGACAAGAUUUGAUAUCCUCGAUCAGUUCCACUGCGACCUCAGGGAGACAAGACUUGCAAAUUUUGACCGGUUCCACUAUAGCUUCAGGGAGACCAAGUCUGGUGUCUUUCAUCAACUUCAAUCUUUAUUCUUACUCAGCAUGUGAUCUUGAGCCCAACUCAUUUCUCGCAAUAUGAAUUGACUCUUUAAAAACAGACAUUAAAAACAAAAACUAAAGAUAUCUCAACAUGUGAACUGAGGCUCAACUCACUUUUCGCAAUAUGAGUUGAUUUUUUUGACAACAGAAAUUGAAAUUACCUCAGCGUGUCCUGAGGCUCAACUCAUUUCUCGCAAUAUGAGUUGAAUUUUGAAAAGCAAAAAUUGAAAAUACCUCAACGUGUCUUGAGGCUCAACUCAUUUCUCGCAAUAUGAGUUGAAUUUUGAAAAGAGAAAUUGAAAUUACCUCAAUGUGUCUUGAGGCUCAACUCAUUUCUCACAAUAUGAGUUGAUUCUUUCUAAAACAUAAUAAUGAAAACAGAAAUGGAAAAUACCUCGGUGUGACCUGAGGCUCAACUCACCUCUCGUAAUAUGAGUUGAUUUUUUUUGAAAAACAGAAAUCAAAAGGCUUAAUUGAAAUACCUCGGCGUGGGUCCUGAGGCUCAACUCACCUCUCGCAAUAUGAGUUGAAAUUAAAACACAAAAAUUGAAAAUACCUCAGCGUGCCCUGAGGCUCAACUCACCUCUUGCAAUAUUAGCUGAUUUUGAAAAAGUAGAAAUUAAAAGGUUCAACCCACCUCUCGCAAUAUGAGUUGAUUCUUGACAAACAGAAAUUGAAAUUACCUCAUCGUGUCCUGAGGCUCAAGUCACCUCUCGCAAUAUGAAUUGAAAAAAAUAACACAGUGUGUAAUCUGAAGCUCAACUCACCUCUCGCAAUAUGAGUUGAUUUUUUUUUAAAAACAGAAAUUGAAAAUACCUCAGCAUGUGAACCGAGGCUCAACUCACCUCUCGCAAUAUAAGUUGAUUUUUUUUUUGAAAACAGAAAUUGAAAAUACCUCAACGUGUCUUGAGGCUCAACUUAUUUCUCGCAAUGUAAGUUGAAUUUUGAAAACAGAAAUUGAAAUUACCUCAGCGUGUCAUGAGGCUCAACUCAUUUCUCGCAAUAUGAGUUGAUUUUUUUUUAACAACAGAAAUUGAAAUUACCUCAGCGUGUCCUGAGGCUCAACUCACCUCUAGCAAUAUGAGUUGAUUUUGAAAAACAAAAAUUAAAAGGCUUAACUCACCUCUCGCAAUAUGAGUCAAUUUAAAACAUAAACUAAAAAUACCUCGGCGUGCCCCGAGGCUCAACUCACUUCUCGCAAUAUGAGUUGAUUUUGAAAAAAAAAAUAAAAAUACCUCAACGUGUCUUGAGGCUCAACUCAUCUCUCGCAACAUGAGUUGAUUUUCCUUGGAAAGCAUGAAUAUUAAACAUCAAAAUACCAAAACCAGUCCUUUGGUAGAACUCGGGUAUCUUUUCCUUUGAUUCAGUGCGACUCUCAUUCAAGAUUUCUUGCUUUACUGGAUUACCUGUAUAUGCCAUGCAUGAUGUCAUCAUGAUAUGCACAUGUUUGUCUUAAAUGCCUUUAUGCCUACAUGAUUAUGCAGUGCUCCUUAAGCAUAUUGGUCGUAUGUCAUUUUCGCCAUGAUUGUUGAGGAUCUGCGUUCAUCACUUUGAUUCUCGACCUUCUUUUCAGGCCUCAUACCUGUCUUCGAGCUUUACGAGUAAUCGACGUUUCUCAGAUAUAACCCUUUUGCCCUUGGUUAAACUUUGUUCUUGCUUUGAAGAUCUUGCACUUAUCAAAUUCUUAUCCGGGUAAUGCUUGACAUUUCUUUUGUUUAAAGUAUGUCAUUUCACUAUUUAUCAUUAAAUAAACACAUAAUGAGAUGCAUGAAAAUGGUCAGGUAGGGACAAAAAGGAUAUCUCAUAUUCCUUUAUUUCAAAUGUGGCAAACAAAGAAAGUUAACCAAUGAGAGUAAAAAUGUCAAAAAGAAAGAAAAGGUCGUAUUCAACGGAUACAAAUGCUCUAGAUAUUCAACACAUGAACUCUUCCACGUUCCUCAAUCAAUAAUCUUUUCGAGCAUGGCUUCUUGCGUAGAAAAUUUCGAGCUUUCAGAAGUGCUUCAAAUACUGUAGUCUCACUACUUGACCUAUCGUUCGACCGCCAGGUUUGUUUCAUUAGGACGCCCUCUCGGGUUUUCAUCCUAAUCUUUUUGUACUAAUCAAGACGCCCUUUUCGGGUUUUCGCCCUGAUCCUUUUUUUUUAAGAUGCCCUUUUCGGGUUUUCAUCUUAAGCAUAAUAUUUCUUCACCGCAUCUGAAUUCACCGGAUUUGGUAACUCCUUCCCAUCCAUCUCGGUAAGGAUUAAAGCUCCUCCUGAGAAUGCCUUUUUUACAACGUAUGGUCCUUCCCAAUUUGGUGCCCAUUUUCCUCGCAGGUCUUUUUGUAUUGGGAGAAUCUUUCUCAGAACGAGUUCUCCUUCAUGGAACUCUCUUGGUCGUACCUUCUUGUCAUGGGCUGCGAUCAUUCUCUUUUGGUACAUUUGCCCAUGACAAAUUGCCCUUAGACGUUUUUCUUCAAUGAGGUUCAACUGAUCAUAUCGAGCUCGAACCCAUUUUGCUUCUUCUAACUUUGAUUCUAUCAAUACUCGCAGAGAGGGGAUCUCAACCUCGAUAGGUAGCACAGCUUCCAUUCCAUAGACUAGAGAGAAAGGAGUUGCUCCCGUAGAUGUUCGCACAGAUGUGCGAUAUGCAAACAAAGCAAAUGGAAGUUUCUCGUGCCAAUCUUUAUAUGUCUCAGUCAUUUUCCCAAUGAUCCUCUUAAUGUUCUUGUUAGCUGCUUCAACAGCCCCGUUCAUCUUUGGGCGAUAGGGCGAGGAAUUAUGAUGCUUUAUUUGGAACUGCUCGCACACUUCUUUCAUCAUCUUAUUGUUCAGAUUCGUGGCAUUAUCUGAGAUGAUUCUUUCAGGCAAACCAUAUCGGCAAAUGAUUUCUUUUUUCAAAAACUUGCACACUGCAGUCUUUAUCACGUUGGCAAACAAAGCGGCUUCAAUCCAUUUUGUGAAGUAAUCGAUAACCACAAAAAUGAAUCGAUGUCCAUUUGAAGCUUUUGGAGAAAUUGGCCCUAUGACAUCCAUGCCCCACAUAGAAAAAAGCCACGGAGAAGUCAUGACAUGAAGGGGUGAAGGGGCUACAUGAAUUUUAUCACCGUAGAUUUGACAUUUGUGGCAUUUUCUGGCAAAAUUGAUGCAGUCACUUUCCAUUGUCAGCCAAUAAUAACCGAGUCUCAUGAUCUUUCUGGCCAUAUUGAAACCAUUGGCAUGCGUUCCGCAAAUUCCCUCAUGGACCUCUUCAAGUAUUUUUCUGGCUUCAACAUCAUCCACACAUCUCAAAAGCAUUUGAUCCUUUCCUCUUUUAUAGAGGAUAUCCCCAUCAAGAACAAAUCCCGCUGCCAUUCUUCUAAUUGUUCUUUUAUCGUUCUCAUUCGCUUGUUCGGGAUACCUUUGAUUCUUGAUAUAUUCUAAGAUAUCAUGGAACCAAGGCCGUCCGUCUACUUCUUUCUCAAUGCUACAACAGUGUGCAGGGACCUCGUAUAUGCUCAUUUUGAGGGGCAUUAUUUAUGCUUCUCUACUUGCUUUGAACAUUGAAGCCAAAGUGGCUAGGGCAUCAGCCAGUUGGUUCUCUUCUCGUGGGAAGUAAUAAAAAGUUAUUUCUUUGAAUUCCUUGAUCAAUCCAGCCACUAAAUCGCUGUACUUAAUCAAUUUUGAGUCCCUCACUUCCCAUUCUCCACGGAUUUGGUAAAUCACUAGGGCUGAGUCCCCGUACACCUCCAAGAUCUCGAUGUUUCGUUCGAUAGCUGCACGAAGCCCCAUGAUACAGGCCUCAUAUUCUGCAAUAUUAUUGGUACAGAAAAAGUUUUGUCUUGCAGUGAACGGAUAAUGAUUCCCGUCUGGUGAUACCAGGAUUGCUCCAAUUCUAUGCCCUAAAGCAUUUGACGCACCAUCAAAGCACAUCUUCCAUGACUUCUCUUUUGAUGACUCGGAUUCUAUUUUUGUGAUACACAUUAAGUCUUCGUCUGGGAAAUCGAAUCUUAAAGGCUCAUAUUCCUCUGUCGUUCGAGUUGCUAAGAAGCCAGCUAUUGCGCUCCCUUUUAUCAACUUCUGACUUACAUAGGCAAUGUCAUAUUCCGAAAGGAGGAUCUGCCAUCGUGCCAUUCUUCUUGAUAGUGCCGGCGAUUCCAUCAUGUAUUUUAUUGGGUCCAGCUUUGAAAUUAGCCAUGUCGUGUGAUACAACAUAUAUUGUCUGAGUCUCCGAGCUACCCAAACCAGAGCGCAACAAUAUUUCUCAAUGGACGAAUAUUUUGCCUCAUAUUCAGUGAACUUUUUGCUGAGGUAGUAGAUCGCCUUUUCUUUCUUUCCUGACUCGUCAUGUUGUCCCAGUACGCAACCCAUUGAACUUUCGAACACUGUCAGAUACAAAAUUAAUGGUCUUUCUGGAGUUGGCGAUACUAGCACUGGAGGACUGGACAAAUAUUGUUUUAUCUUAUGAAAGGUCACUUGGCAUUCCUCGUUCCAUUCUCCCGGGUUAUGUUUUCGAAGAAGCCGAAAGAUUGGGUCGCAUUGGUUGGUAAGUUGAGCGAUAAAUCGGGCGAUGUAAUUUAAUCUCCCUAAAAAUCCUCUAACUUCCUUUUACGUGCGCGGAGGUGGUAAUUCUUGGAUGGCUUUUAUUUUAUCUAGAUCAACUUCGAUACCUCUUUCACUGACAAUGAAGCCUAGCAACUUUCCCGAGGUAGCCCCGAAUGUACAUUUGGCUGGAUUUUAGCUGAAACUUUCUCAGCCUUUCGAACAACUUCUUGAGGUUCAUUACAUGCUCUUCUUCUCCUCGAGAUUUAGCAAUCAUAUCAUCGACGUAGACCUCUAUUUCCUUAUGCAUCAUGUCAUGGAAUAAUGUCACCAUAGCCCUCUGAUAUAUUGCCCCAGCAUUCUUUAACCCGAAUGGCAUCACCUUGUAGCAGAACGUUCCCCACAUUGUUAUGAAGGUAGUUUUCUCCAUAUCCUCAGGGGCCAUCUUGAUCUGAUUAUACCCCGAGAAUCCAUCCAUGAAAGAAAACAAUGAAUGUUUUACUGUGUUGUCCACCAACGUGUCAAUAUGUGGCAAGGGAAAAUUAUCUUUUGGGCUUGCUCGAUUCAGGUUACGGUAAUCCAUGCACAUUCGUACUUUUCCAUCUUUCUUUGGUACCGGGACUAUGUUAGCCACCCAUUCUGGAUAUUUAGAGGCUUGUAGGAAGCCAGCGUCAAAUUGCUUCUUGACUUCCUCUUUUAUUUUCAACAGCAUUUCGGGCCUCAUCCGUCUUAAUUUUUGCUGGAUGGGCUUGCAUUCUGGCUUUAAUGGGAGCUUAUGGACCACUAAAUCUUCAUCUAGCCCUGGCAUGUCCUGGUAUGACCACGCGAAAACAUCUUUGUAUUCGCGGAGUAAAGUGAUCAAACUAUGCCUGGUACUUUCUGAAAUAGAAGUCCCAAUCUUCACUUCUUGUUUCCUCUCUUCAGUGCCCAAAUUUAUUGUUUCCACAGAUUCUUCAUGAGGCAGAACCUGUUUAUCCUCUUGUUCCACCAUUCUUAACAAUUCAGGAGACGAGACAUAAUCUUCAGCAUUUUCUUCAGCUUCAAAUUCUCCUAAGCAAACAGCCUUCUCAAAAUCAAUUUCAAGAUUCGUAACGGGCUUAUUCAUGUCGUCAAUAUCUGAGCACAUGAAAGUUGAAUGGAAAAGGAAGCUAUCGGGGGACAUCCAAGUAUUGGAAACAACAAACAAAAUGUUAUGUCAUGGCAAUGAGGCAAAUGUAAGGAUAGGCUAUGAAAUGAGAAAAUGAUUAUGAAAUUAGUGAUAAUGCGAAAAAUCGUGACAAAAUGCAUCUUCAUUGAUAUUCACUUAAAUGAUAAAGAGCGAAUGCAAGCUCCUACAAAAGAAUUCCAUUAUAUCUAAGGACACAAUAGAAGGUUGAUUUUUAGGAUUACUCUGAAGGCUUAUAAACUACAAGAAGCUCCUCAGCAAUCCAAUUGUUCAACAUGAAACCAGGAGGGCAAGGGCGUAUCCUCGAGACAUCUUUACUUGCACCAGCUUCUUUGUCAAUGACAUUGAUACUGACAUUCUGAAAAUCCCUUUCAAUUAAUCCCAGCAUGUUUCGUGGAUCAUCUUGUCCAGGGUACAUCAUUCCCGCAGAUGUAAAUGUUUUUAACAAAGGAGGGUACUCUAUUGGUUCCCAUUCUGGUUCUCGGUCCAAAGUUCUUGCAAUUCUUCUCUCUUGAUCCUUCUUCCACUGUCUUCUUCUUUGGCGCAUGUCAGGCUGGAACCCCAAACCGUAUCGGGCCUUGUGGUGCACUGGCUUUAAAGCCCUUACUAUUCCUUGCAGAUGUCUCCCUAAACAUCUUCUCAUACGAGCUCCCCUUCCUACGGUCAACUUGACACCCAUUUUGGUAUUUCUCGACAGUUUUGGCAUCGGAAUUCUAUUUCCCUCAGCGACGAAAGUGGUAUUGAUGAAUUCAAGGGAUCGAAAGGAACGUUCCACUGCGUCCUUGCUUACUUCCAGGUAUGGCGCAUCAGCAGAGAUAGAUGCGACGAUGUCUUCUUCACCCUCGACUGUGACCAAACAGCCAUCCAUGAUGAAUUUCACCUUUUGAUGGAGGGAUGAUGGGACUGCUCCAGUAGAAUGAAUCCAAGGUCUUCCCAAAAGCCAGUUAUAAGAGGGUGUAAUGUCCAUGACAUGGAAUUCGACCUCAUAGAUGUAAGGGCCCACUUCUAAAGGGAUUUCGAUCUUUCCCAUGACUUCGCGCCUCGUCCCGUCGAAUGCCCUUACCAUGGAAUGACAGGGCUUUAAGUAGGACAAAUCCAUCGGUAUUCUGGAAAGCGUAGCCAAUGGCAUAACAUUUAACGCUGACCCAUUAUCGAUGAGUACGUUCGGUAUUAUGUAGCCCUUGCAGCGGGUCGUGAUAUGCAGCGCUUUCACCGAGCCUCUACCAUUUGGCGGUAUCUCAUCAUCACUAAAAGAGAUGAAGUUGUCCGCAUUCAGAUUGUUUACCCACCUAUCAAGCUUUUCGACAGAUAUGUUGUUGGCCACGUAAGCUUGAUUUAACACCUUCAAUAAAGCGUUCCGGUGUGGCUCUGAAUUUAACAGUAGAGAUAGAACCGAGAUUCGUGCUGGCUGCUUGCUCAAUUGUUCCACCACACUAUAGUCGCUGUGCUUAAUAAAUUUCAAGAAUUCUUGAGCUUCUUCCUCAUUCACAGGCUUUUUAGUUUCUUGCACGGGUGGAAUUUCUUGCUCAACUUCGACCUCGUGCAUCACUGCUUUCCCUUUUUGCUUCGAGUCACUACUUUUCUUUACCGGUUCAACUUCUUUAGAAUAGCAUCGUCCACUUCGAGUAAAAUGACCUACCUCCCCAACAUCUUCAGUUAUGGCUUUGGACUUUUCAACUUCCGGUGUAACGAUAUUAACAUCGUAUCUCCACGGUACUGUUUUGUUGUCCUUAUACGGGAAAGGAUAUGGUACUUCAAUUACCAUCUGUGGUUUCAAUGGCUCUCUCAUCGCGUCGUAAUAAAUUACCAACGGUCGAUCAGCACUAUAAGGGGGCCUUGAUGAUUGGCUAUCAGAGACGCAUACUUCUCUUUCGUUGGCAUCUUCCCUCUUGUUAAGGACCUUGAUCUCCUUAUUAUUCAUCCGGUCUUGAAGUAACCUUUUAAAGUCCUCGCACGACUGAAUGUCGUGCCCAACAAUCCCAUGAAAAUUGCAAAAACUUUGACCUUCUUCUCCAAAAACUCUAUCAGAGUGACAAAGCAAUCCUUUCUUAACCAAUACCUCCUAGAUUUUCUGCAAAGGCGUCCUUAUUUCUGCAACACAUCUUCUGACCUUCCAUUCAUCCUCUUUCCCCACUAUGCUCACAUUCCCUUCGGUAUGGUUAGGGAACGGGUUCCCCGUGGCGUUACUAGCACUAUCGAAUCGUAGGAUACCCGCGUCAAUGAGUCCUUGAACUCUCCUUUUGAAAGCGAGACAGUUCUCAGUAGAGUGCCCUUGGUUCCCUGCGUGGUAUGCACAACUAGCGUUUGGAUCGUACCACUUUGGGUAUGGAGGUUUAAGGGGUGCCAUGUAAUGGGGAGAAAUUAGCUGUUUUUCUAAAAUUUUUGGGUACAAUUCCCCAUACGACAUAGGGAUGGGGGUAAAAUUGCGGUCUCUCGGGAUUAUGCCUUGAUGGUCUUGGUUCGUUUCUGGGAUGGCUUUGAGCGGGUACCGUAUUUUAUGGGAAAGUGGUGACGGGUCUUUGGUUGUUCGUGGCGUAUACGGGGUAGGACGGAUGUGGUGCUUGGUAGUAAGGGGUUUGAGGGGGAUAAUAGAAAUUCGAGGGUGGAUAAUUUCGAGGUCGGGGUUGGUUAGGAUACGAAUUGAGAAUGUAACGACUCCCAGUUCCCACCAUGUGGGCUUCUGGCUCUUUCUUCCUUAAGGGUGCUGCUUUUCUUGAGCCUUCUGAUCCUUCCAUUCUACCACUUUUGACGGCAUUCUCUAUGAGUUCACCAGAUAUUACAAUAUCCGCAAACUCUUUCGUGGCACUUUCCACUAAUUUUUCAUAAAACGACGCCUUUAAAGUAUUGAUAAAGAGAACGGUUAUCUCCAUUUUUGUUAAUGGGGGUUCCACUUGAGCUGAGACGUCUCUCCAUCUCUGCGCAUACUGUCUAAAAGUCUCUGAUGGCUUUUUCUCCAUCAUUUGCAAGGUCAUACGGUCUGGCACCAUAUCCGAUACAUGCUUGUACUGCUCGCAAAAUGCUGACGCCAAGUCCUUCCAGGAUCGAAUCUUUUCUCUACUAAGUUGAUUGUACCACCGAAGAGCUGACCCUGUUAGACUAUCUUGAAAGCAAUGUAUGAGUAGUUUAUCCUCGUUCACAUAACCGGUCAUUUUUUGACAGAACAUAAUGAGAUGUGCUUUUGGGCACCUUGUCCCAUCAUACUUCUCAAAAUCAGGCACUUUGAACUUCGGAGGCAAAAUUAGAUCAGGUACCAAACUGAGUUCCUUGGCACCUAGUGCGGAGAAGACUUCAGUGCCUUCUAUUGCUUUGAGUCUUUCCUCUAGACUCCUAUAUUUUGUGUCAUGGUUAUCCAAUUUUAACUUGGCUACCUCUGCUGGGUCAUCCAGAUCUGGAACUAGUGGAUUAGCAGGACUAGCCCCUGGGUUCGACGCUAACAUUCCUUGCCCCAAAUUAGUGGGUGGAGCAGGUGGCAUAGGUCGAUGUUCCAAGCCAGUGGGUUCCUCUUGAGUAUACCCUCUUUGUAUUGUAUAUGCGGGCGGUGGAGUGAAUCCCGAGGGAUAGAGUGGAUCCUGAUCAUGGUGAAUUCUUGAUUGAGGUUCCAUAACAUCGGGGUUCUGCAUUUUUCCUUUGACCAAAGUUGUCAUCAUCUCCAUCAUUUUAGCCAUCUAAUCUCUUUGCUCAAGAGAUUCCUCUCGAGAUCUCACCAGUCUUGAAGUCUUGCAACUGCGAAUUGUACGUUUUAACCUCAGCGAACGAGUAUGGGAUAUGCAAUGAAUGAAUUGAUGCAUGAAUGAAUGCAUGAAUGUCAAAUGAAUGUCAGUUAUGAAUGAAAUGCAAGAAAUUGGUGUUGAUUUCAAGAUAGCCCCAUAUUUAGGCAUUUCAUUUAUCAACAUAGUCUAUUACACAAAGUUCUGAUUUUUCCAACAGUUACACAAAUUUCCUAGCCACAUUGCCUUGUUUCUUCACUUGCUCUAAAAACUCUGAUAUGCUCGAUCUUUGGCUCGGAGGGAAUUGGCAACUGAGAACUUCGGCUUCAUCUGAUAAUUGAGCAACUUGCAUAGCCACUUUACGAAUUUCAUUGAUCAAGAAGUCAAGUUGCAUUUCUUUUUCUUUGAGAGUUCCUUCAUACGCGUGAAUGUCCCUAUCGUACUGCUCACUCUUUUCUUCUAGAGCCUUCAAGAGGUUAUCUAAUUGUUGUUGACGAGAUUACAGCAUAUUUUCUAGAUCUCGUGUUUUCCUUUUUAAUUCUUGAUGUUCAGACUGACUAUUUGCCAAUUUUGCAGUCACUAUUUCAUACUCGGCGUUCUUCCUUCUUAACUCUAUCAUAGCGCGCGCAGCCUUUUCCUCCUCUUUCUUUGCUUUUCCCUUCCAAAACUCCAUUCCUCCCUUGAUAUUGCUAAUUUCUUCCUUCCAUUCUGCUGUCGACUUGCCCAACCCGCUAUUCUUUAUAGUGUUUCUUAAUUUCUUAUUUUCCAAAUGAAGGUCCCUUAAGUCGUUUCUCACAAUCUCGGCUUCUCUUGUACUUUUUCAGUCCUGGACCUUUCAACCUGAACUUCAAUCUUCAGUUGAUAGUUUUCUUCUUUAAUGGCACUAAGGUCCCGAGACAUCUUGGCCUUUUCUCGUUCGAAUUCUUGUCUUGCCAUUUCUAGCUCAGACAGCGUUUCCUCCAAGAAAGGAUUCUGGAUGGUGUAGUUUGUUGAUGAGAUUUGCUGACUAUUUACCCGUUGCUUCCUCCAUAUGUCAUAAUCUUGGGUAAGGGUAUCAACAUACAAAGCUAAUUCCAUGAAAUGAAUUUCCUUCCAAUACUUUGCAGUGUCUCGGACUCUCUUCAUAUAUCCUUUACCCGCGAAAGCGAACUCGAACUGUGCUAAUCCUCCAGUUGCGGGGAGGAAUUGUCGCGAAGAAAAUUGCCUUUGGACUAAUAGCGGAGCAUAUCCAACUCCUCCCCAUAACCCGAGUAAAGGUACCCAAUCUUGGCUUUCACAUUUGUAUAGCAGAACUGAAGGACGGAUCCAGGGUGCUCUCCAUGUUAUAUUCUCGGCGCGAAGAUUCUGAAAAACUUAUACCCAAUGUUGCUCGGUGACUUCCUUCGGCCAUUCUUUAUUGAGGUAAGCUUCUAGCGGGGAGAAUGUUUUAGAAAACAUAUGGAACGGAGUGCGCUCUACCUUCAAAAAGUGACUCAAAAUCCAAACAUUGAGCAACUGCGCGCAUCUGAUAAAUCGUCCCUCCCCUUUUCUUCGACAACUACUCAGGGACCUGAAGGUCUCGGCUAGGAUGGUCGGGACAGGGUUGAUUCCUUGUUUUAACCUUUCGAAGAAAUCAACUACUGCAACUUCGAGAUGUCCGAGAACUUUUGGGAAAAUGACCAAACCGUAAAUGGCCAAAGUGAAUAGAUUUACCCUUUUCAGCAUGUUGGGAUGGUUCAGAGCCAAAUCUCGUAGGGAGGACCAUGAAUGCAAAUGGUUUCAUUCUUCUUCUUUAUCUAUUUUUCGGCCCAUGCAUCAGUCAUGUCUGUCAGUCUCACUAACUUUUUCUUGAAGGUCAUCGGCUUAGGCUCCUUCACAUAUAUUUUGCCGAAUUGUACAUUGUCGAUGCGGAGUAAAGCAUCAUACUCUUCUAUGGUUGGAGUCAUGUCUUCUUGAUUGAAGGUGAAACACUGAUAAGCUGGGUCCCAGAACCGAAUCAUGGCUUGAAUCAACUGUUCGUCUACACGGAUGGUGAUCAGGUAAGCUAUAUCUCCAUACCUCUCAGUGAAAAUGUCUCUAGUGUCUGAAUCCCACUGAUUCCAAAUUCAAACCAAAUCCUCAAAUUUAUUUUGGCGAACAUUUACAGUUAUAUGGUCGGGCAAAUUGGUGACACACCCUUCCACUAGACUAUCCCCCUUUUCUCUCUAAAUUUUUAGAGACCAGUCCCGAAUCACGACAUUCUUCUCGGUUAUUUGUGUAAUUGACUCCUCCAUCAGAAACCCAUUUUUUGGCAACCAACUUUUAAUCAACACCUUCCUAAUAUGAUGCCUAUGAUGCAUGAUGAAAAUAAAAGUAAAAACAAACAAACUUGGUUAGUAAACACAACAAAUAUAAUUUGAAAAACAAAUUAAACUACCCAAUCCAAUUAUUUUGCAUAAACAGUGUAAAUGAAAGGCAAAAGGCAUUUUCCCCGUGUACUUAUUUUGAUGACUAUAAGCGGACAGAGGGUUCGGCAUGGCUCUAAUUGGAUAGCUCGUAUGGUUCGUUAUAUGCAGUCUCGGUUCUAGACAGGUACUCGAAUUGCUCGUACUAUCAUCUGCUAAGAUCAGCACGAAGCCUCGGUCAUAACCUAUCACAGGCUCACGAGUUAAAUUCGAGGGAUUACAUUUACUUAUGCCUAUGCGGAGGGACAAGUUAACUCACGAAAGCAUAAGUCAUAUGUAACCCGAAAGUAUUCACUAGCCUGUGCGGAGGGACGAGUUAACUCACGAAGGCGUAGCAUUUUACUUUCACUUAAACGGACAGAGCCCGGGCAGAGAGCUCAUGUUAUGCGAAAAUGCAAGUACACGGUGUGUGGGGAACAACUCAUAAACCUUUACGUUUCACUUAAAGAAACUAAACCAAAAUUAAAACCAUAAAAAUUGAAACACUGAAAAACAACCAAAUAAGCAAGUUAGAAGAAAUAUUUACAGCACGAUACAAAUGCAUGAAUUUUGAAAACGAGAUUUUCGGAUCAUGACCAAAUAUUUACUUUGAACAAGGAAAUUUGAAAAUUUUGACAAAAUGUGUUUAAUUCCAAACACGACUCUCAACAAGGCUAUCCCCAGUGGAGUCGCCAGCUGUAGCGACGUAAAAAUUUUGGUUUGGGGUCGCUAAUUGUGACAAUCUAGUGAAAAAGUUUGAAAACUGAAGUUUAAUUUUAAAAAAAAGAGGGAGUCGCCACCGAUCCUUUUCCUAGGUGUGAUCGGACACCUAUUAGAUUCAUUUUUUUUAAAACAAAAGGAAGGCUGAAUUUAGGUCUACGUUAAAAGCCAGAGGAAAAUUAGGGUUUCGGGAGUCGGUUACGCGCGAGGAAGGUAUUAGCACCCUCGCGACGCCUAAAAAAUUGGUAUCUCAUAAACACAUGUUGUCUUAAUUUUCAAAAAUGCGAAUUCAAUGUAAAGUUUAGUUGUGAUCUGAAAAAAUGAGAAAUUUUAGUUUAUUCCAGUUUUUGAGAAGGGUAUAUCGCUUUAACACGAGUCAAUUGAUGUUCACCCAACGUAGCGAUGAACUCGAUGACUUAAUGUUAAAUCGAUAUGUUGCCUUGAUUAUUGAAAUUAAUUAGCAAAACAAGAAUACGAUUUUCGAAAUAAUGCAAAGUAAAAUAAUAUGAAAUAAAAAUCAAUAAAUGAAAGAGCUAGGGAUAUAUUAAAACAAAUAAUCGAGGUGACAAUAAUAUUAGAAAAGAUGAAGGUAUAAUGUAAUAAUAGAAUCGGACACGAAAUUAAAAUAAUGAUGUAUACACAUAAUAAUAAUAUUAAGAAUGCGUGUGUAAGAUGACAUAUAUAUUUAGCGAUAUUAAAAAUCCAUACAACAUACAUAGAACAUAUAUAGUAUAUGCAUACCUUAGAAAUGAUAAGAAUAAUGAUAAAACUAUUUUGUACACUACAUAAAUACAUACACACACACAUAUAUAUAGAUAUAUAAACAAUAGUAUUAGAAACGUAUAAUAUUAGAGAUACACAUAAUAGUAAAAAAAUAGAUACCUAAAUAAUAUUAAAAUAUACAUAAUAAUAUAUAUAAAAUAUAAUAUUAAAAACUUAUGUACGUAACACGUAUAAAAGAAAUAUAAUAUUAAAUCAUUACAUAAUAUACACAUAUGAUUUUCAGGUUAAUACAUAUUUGAGUACUAACAUUACAUAAAAAUAUACUUAUAUAUAUAAUAUAUUAAAGUUAUGUACAUAUAUAAUAAAAUACAUGAACAAUACCACAUUCAACAUGUAUAUAAUAUAUAAUUAAAAUGAUAAUACAUACAACAUAUAAAUUACAUAACAAAACAUGCACUAUGAUUAUAAUAAUAAUAAUAAAGAUAAUAUUGAACUAAGAAGAAACAAACACAACAUUCAUGAAAUAUUAAAUAAAGUGGGAUAAAAAAUAUUGAAUAUUAAGCAAUACAUAUAUACAUACACAUAUGAAGCAAAAAAAAUUAACACAUAAUAAUAAUGAUAAUAAUAACAAUAUUAAUGAUAUUAAUAUUCAAAAAUAAUGAUGAUAUUUAAUAAAAAUAACAAAAGAGACGAAGAAGGACUAAAAUUAAAACAAUAACGAAGUUAUGGGGUCAAUUUAAAAAGGAAAUAAAGAGGAGGGACUUAAUUACAACACGCGCGUAACUAGGAGGGUCAAAAGCACAAUAAAUCCAGAUGUUAAAACGCUGCGCAGCGUGGGGGACCAGAACGAAAUCAGGGCAAAACAGCGGGGCCGAAUUUAAAAUAUAAAAAAACUUGAUUAUAAAAUGUUGAAAAAGCGGAGGGGCCAAACUGCGCAAAUAGCCCCUCCCUUAAAAACACGCGGAUCCCCUGGUCGGACGGGUCGGGUCGACCCGACCCGCAUCAAAACGGCGUCGUUUUCUGCUUUAAGGGGGGUCCAAAACGGUGCGUUUUGGACCCUUAUAUAAGCCAAAUUUUUUUUGUUUUUUUUUCAUUUGAAACAGCUGAGAGAAAAAAAAGAAAAGGGGGAGGGGAGAGGAAAGCCCGGAGCGAUUUCUGGCCAAGGGGGAGGGCUCCGGUCCGAUCGCCGGAUUGCUGGCGCUGGUGCUGACCACCGUUCGCAGUGGCCGGAAAAGGUAAUUUCUAUUUUUCUCUCUUUUUUUUUGCUUUUUAUUUCUUUAUGUUUAUUUGUAAAUUUUUAUGUAUUUGUGGUGAAAAAUGGACUUAAACAGUUAUUGAAAUGAAGAAUUACCUUCGGUUUUACUCACUUUUGAAUCUUCGAUCUUUGUAUUCUGCCUGCUUGGAUGUUAUUUUGCGUUCAAACUCUAAUUAGGCUGCUAUUUUUUGCUCUAUAAUCGAACCUUCCUGUCGUUUUUAUUUUUUAAGAAACAAAGAACCAUCCCCCCCCUUUACAGAAAUCCAAAUCGGCUUUUAUAGCCUUUACAAUAUUUUAUUUAAUAUUUGUUGUCUUGUCUCUUUUCUGGUCUUGCAGGGUAUGGAGGUGCCAGGCAUGCGGGGAUGGUGUUGGCAGAAGCAUGGGGCGUGGUAGCCGACAUGGUGGUGUUCGGCGCAAGUGGGCAAGUGGGGGGUAGGUGGCUAGGGUUAGUGGGAUUAGGGUUUCUGAUGCUGAUUUAGGUUAAUGGGCUGGGGUAGUUGGGCUUCGGGUUUAGUUGGUUAGGCUUGGUUUAGGAUGAGAUGGGUAUGGGGUUUAAGUAGGUUUAGUUAUUGGGUUUGGGGUGGCCCAAAUUGGCAUGUACAAUAAAAAAUUAAACAAAAGUUAAAAUAACUUUUUUUUAUAAAAUUAAAGGGUAAAAAAUCUUAUACCUUUAACUUUUUCAGUUUUAUAAUUACUAGAAUGAGAGCCCGCUUUCACUGGCUGCUAUAAAUUUUAUUAUAAUUGAUAAUAAGUUAAUCUAUGGAUCAAUUAUUUUGGAUACAUCAUUUAAUGCUACAAUAAAAAUAAGAAAACUGAAUUGACUUGAGAGUGAUUUUAUGAAUUUACUCGUAUAAAAUAAGACAAUUAGGCUCGGAUUUUAAAAAGUUGUCAUGUGCACCUUUUUUGUUAGAAUUAUGUGACCCAAAUUCUAAGAGAUUGCUUGCAAGUCAAGUAAACAAAAAUAUAUUUUCUUUCUAGAAGAUUUAGUAUUAUUAGUUAUAUAUAUUUAGCAUUUAUUAGUAUAGUUUAUUUGACUUUACUAAUUUCCUAUAAAUAGGCUCCUUUACAAUCUUAGAAUAAAAGAGACACCCAUUAGAUUAGAACUCAUAACACAUUCAGAGAAUUUUGUGUUUACGUUUGAGGGUUCUUUGUUUUUCGGGUUUUUGGGGUUUAGUUUUUAUCUCCAUCUUUUGUACUCUUCAUUCUUUUGCCAUUAUAGUAAAAAUCUUUGCCCGUGGUUUUUUAUCCUCUUUUGAGGGGUUUUUCCACGUUAAUUUGUGUGUUCAUCUUCUCAAUUUCUUCUACUAUUUUUACUUGUUCGUUGCUUAUUCGGGACGAUCCUAACAAGUGGUAUCAGAGCUAAUUUAACUUUCAUAGAUCAGCCCGGUCAGAGAUGGCAGCAACAAGGUUUGAAAUUGAGAAGUUCGAUGGUAAGACAAAUUUCAAUCUGUGGCAAGUUCGGAUGAUGGCAAUUCUAGUUCAAAAUGGCUUGAAAAAGGUUGUUACAGGAAAAAAGCCUGAGAAUCUAAAUCAAACAGAAUGGGAAGAGCUUGAUGAAAAGGCCCCUGUCUGCAAUCCAGUUGUGCCCACGAAUACAGUAUUGCAGGAGGUAUUUGAUGGAGAAGACCUCAUUCGCCUUGUGGAAAAGGUUAGAAACUCUUUAUGCGACUAUGUCUCUGGCUAACCGUUUAGUGUUGAAACAACGUCUAUUUACGUUUCGCAUGAACGACGGUGAGCUUCUUAAAGAUCACAUCAGUCAAUUCAUUACUCUUUUAAAUGAUUUAAAGAACGUUGAGGUUCAUAUUGACGAUGAAGAUCAAGCUAUGCUAUUAUUGUGCUCUUUACCCUCUUCAUACAAGUCUUUCAGGGAGACCCUGAUUUUAUGGCAGAGACAAACUCUCGUUCAAAGAUGUGAAGGGUCAUUUGUUGAGUAGAGACAAACUCGACAAUGAGUUUGAUUUGAAUAGCAAAGCAGAUAGACAAGCUUCCGUUUUGGUAGCAUCAAAGAAACGACAAAAGGUGUCGCUAUUGCAAAAGUUAGGUCACGUCAAAGCAGAUUGUUAUAAACUGCGAAAUAAAGAGCUGCUGAGAGUAGAGAAGAGAAGAUGUAGCUGGUGCUAAUUUGGUCGAUGAAGGCGGUGAUGAUUUCUUGUUAGUGUCAACGAGCGAUAACUCCAAGCUUACGUCUGAGUGGAUCCUAGAUUCAGGAUGUUCUUUCCACAUGUGUCCCAAUAGAGAAUGGUUCUCCACAUACAGUUCAGUUGAAGGUGGAGUUGUGCACAUGGGAAACGAUUCAUCUAGUAAAAUAAUCGGUAUUGGUACUGUUAAAAUUGGAUACACGAUGGGACGAUUAGGACACUCUCAGAUGUCAGGUAUGUACCUGAUUUACGAAAGAAUCUCAUCUCCUUGAGUAUUUUAGACUUGAAAGGAUGCAGAAUCAACAUCGAGUCGAGCAACAUUAAAGUAUCUCGUGGAGCUCUCGUUUUGUUAAAAGGUAAAAUAACCGGCAAGUCUUAUAUUCUGGAAGGUUCUACAGUGACCGGUGAAAUCGGACGUCCCUCGUCCGUUACGGAGUCAAAGUCAACUCAUUUGAAGCGGAGGCAACUUGGUCAUAGGAGGGAAAAAGGUAUGACCGUUUCGUUGAAGAGAGGGUUCCUCUUUUGGAUGCAGGUUUUGAAAAGUUAGGGCACUGUAUUCGUGAAAAUCAACCCGGGUUAGUUUUGAUUUGGCAGUGCACAAGUCGAAGGCUAGAAGUCUUCCAGCUUCUAAGCAUAGAUUCGACUCAGUUAAUUCCCUGCAUAGUUCAAGAUAGGCCCGUGGCGGGUUUUGGCAAAGAUGGCAUUGAAAGAAUUCGUGUCAAGGUGGAGAUUGUUAGAAUUAUGUGACCCAAAUUCUAAGAGAUUGCUUGCAAGUCAAGUUAAACAAAAUAUAUUUUCUUUCUAGAAGAUUUAGUAUUUAUUAGUAUAAUAUAUUUAGCAUUUAUUAGUAUAGUUUAUUUGACUUACUAAUUUAGCCUAUAAAUAGGCUCCUUUACAAUCUUAGAAUAAAAGAGACACCCAUUAGAUUAGAACUCAUAACACAUUCAGAGAAUUUUGUGUUUACGUUUGAGGGUUCUUUGUUUUUCGGGUUUUUUGGGUUUAGUUUUUAUCUCCAUCUUUUGUACUCUCAUUCUUUUGCCAUUAUAGUAAAAUUAUCUUUGCCCGUGGUUUUUUAUCCUCUUUGAGGGGUUUUUCCACGUUAAAUUUGUGUUCAUCUUCUCAAUUUCUUCUACUACUUUUACUUGUUCGUUGCUUAUUCGGGACGAUCCUAACAUUUUUAAAAAAUUAUUUAAAUUUAAUUUAAAAAAAUUAUUCCAAUGCUUUUGUUACUCAUAAAUAAUAUGUAAAAUUAUAUAUAAAUUAAACUAUUAAUUCAUAAAAAAGUAAAAUUUAAAUAAAUCGACACGAAAAUUCCAAACUUAACCCGAAAUUUUUAAAAUUCAGGAAAUAAUUGAUUAAUUAUUAUUUAAUGCUUAUUGUGUAUCUCUAGUCGUUUUUCAUUAUUAAUUUUUAAAACAAAUAUAUUGAUAAUUUGAAAUAAUUAAUCAUUACAAGCAAGAGUGAAGGUUACCUUAGAAGCAAUUUUUUCAUUUACAUAUACUAGGAAAACUUUGAAUUAAAUUAAAUAACUAUAUCAACUAUGAUUUGAAAAACUUUAAAAGAGAAUUUACACAUUUACAUGAGACGAUAUUCGAAUUAGAAAUCUCAAAAUUUUAAGAAUUCAAUCAAGACUAUUGAUUAUUACUAAAUUAUAGUACAUCCACCUUGGGGAUGAAAAAAAAAAUUAUUAAAAAUAUAUUUACUAAAUAAAACUUUGAUUAAAAAAAAUCAUAACAUUUUAGAUUCAAUUCUUCGUCACAUGAAAUUUAUUGAUUCUGUAGUGCUAGAUGAAUUUUGAACAACAAAUGGAGUGCUAUCAAUUUUGCAAAUUAGAAAUCAAUUAAAAUUCAUUAAAAUAAUUUUUGGUUUGGGAAAUUAAAAGUUUAUUAGAAAGUAGUAUUAUGCAUGAAAAAGAUAUUACCUUUAUUCAUGUUAUUUAAAUGAGAUUUCACCGUAUGCAAACAAGAGAGUUACAAUACAAGGUAUUACUAUACCAGCAGAUCCUCUCUCUAUUCUCUUCUUCUCUUCUUCUUCUUCCUCCUCCUCUCUUGUAAUCUUCUUUUCUUAUUCAUUGAAAUGCUUCACUGUUCUCUUCACCGCUCUCUUUUUUCUUCUCUUCCUUUGCAAAAUGAGGCCACCCUUAAAUGUUUAAUAACAUUGGCAAAUAACGUAAAAGCCAACAUUAAAAAUUUAUAGUCAAAACCCAAGUUAAGGUCAAAAAUUAAAUCCAGCUAUGAAAGUGUAGCAAGAUUCAACUUGGAUUUUUCAAAAUUAAACUUAACACUAGAAAUCUGAUUACCUGCGUUAGUGAGUUUAAAAUCGAGCUUAGCCCAAAUAAAAAUAAGUUACAAUAGUAUAAAUAAUAAUUUUUUUAAUUACUAUUCAAUUGAAUUGAUGUUUGAUUAAUUAUAUUAAUAUAUCUUAUUUGAUGAUUCAUGAAUCUCUUAAAUGCAUAUUUAAUUUAAAUAUUCUAAGUUAAUCGUGUCUCGCAUUUGAUAAUUUUAGUAAUUAAAAUUAGGGAUAAAUCUCAAAAUUAUAUAUGAACAUUAAUUUGGAAUCAUACACAUGAAACUCUAAAUGUGGUUCAAAUAUAUACUUGAAACUUUAAUUUUCAUUUAAUCAUACACAUUUAAGGAAAUAAAUACAUCAAUUUUUUUUAUGGAUAAAUAUAAUUAUUUAUGCAUGCAUAUAAACAUAAAUGAUGUGUUGUAAUAUCAAUUGUGUUAAUAAUUUACAAGAAUUGGAUCAAAUCAAAAUUUCAUGUAUAAAAUUACACAAAUCAAAGUUCAUGUAUACAAUUGCAUAUUAAACCUAGUUCAUGUAUAGUUUUGGGAUUUAUCCCUUAAAAUUAAAUUUUCGAUAAUUUCAAACAUAAAAAAUUUAAGGUAAAUUAUAAGUUAUUCGUUCACUUUUUAAAUUUUUAUUUUGGGCAUCAAAAAUAAAAAAUUUUGCAACAUCAGCAUACUUUUAUCAUUUUAGUCACUGGCAGCAGUGACAAAAAUGAUAAAAGUAUGUAACAACAAUGCCCAUAUUGCAAUCUUUUUAUUUUGGGCACUGUAAAUAAAAAGAUUGCAAUAUAGGCACUAUUUUCAAUUCCCAAAAUAAAAAAUUUAUGAAAGUUGGAUGACUAAAUGUGUAGUUUAGUAAAAAAUUUAAAAUAUAUAUUUGAAAAUAAUUAUUGAUAAUUGAUUGGUGCCAAAUCUACCAGAAAUAAUAUUCCUAUGCCUAAACAAUAUAUAACAUCAGUAUAAGGAGUAAGGUUGAUCCCGCAGAGACUGAAUAUCUAAAAUUAUCUUCCAAUUUAACUAAGUUGAGUGUUAAGCACGACAUGUGAUGAUCUAUGCGAAAUAAAAAGGGAAUUAAGUCGAUUAAAAUAAAAUUAAUAGAAAUACUUAAAAUCAAAAUAAAGAAAAACAGAUAAAACAAAAAUAGAUUUAAUACCAAUGUGAAAAUAUUCUAGCUUCAGGCUCAAUUUCGGCUUUAGUUUCAAAUUGAUCUUUGAUAAUACAUCUUCUCCUUCAAUCGAUAAAUCUUUUAUAGUAAUCGAGGACUCCUCAGACCACCAAUCUUUCCGUAUGUAAAUUAAUUGUGGGAACACCAACAACAACUAACCCUUAUUGAUGAACACCACAAAAUACGCGUCCACGAUUUAGCUCUCGAUAGCCUUGUGAACUAGAAGAGCCCAACAGGAACCAACGACUUUAACUGUGUGGGUCAUUUAAAUCCGAUUGUUAUUUUCUUGACAAAUCCAACCAACCACUUAAUUGGACACGUCAAUGUAUUCUUCAGUAGACCGAAUACGAUAACAGAUUUAUCGAUUCAUCCAUUUGUACAUCUAUCAACACCAAAUCAACGAACUCUUUUUACUUGGUGUUACUAUAACUUUAUGAGACAAUGUCUAUCCCUAAACCAGAGAAAUAUAAAUGCCAAAAUAAAUGUUUUUAGGUACGAUUUGAAUCUCAUGGUUUUCUCCCUAAUUGACUAUAACCCUAAAGCUAAAUGGGAAAUUUAGUUCCUAAGAAUUGUAACAGCCCAAAANNNNNNNNNNNNNNNNNNNNNNNNNNNNNNNNNNNNNNNNNNNNNNNNNNNNNNNNNNNNNNNNNNNNNNNNNNNNNNNNNNNNNNNNNNNNNNNNNNNNNNNNNNNNNNNNNNNNNNNNNNNNNNNNNNNNNNNNNNNNNNNNNNNNNNNNNNNNNNNNNNNNNNNNNNNNNNNNNNNNNNNNNNNNNNNNNNNNNNNNNNNNNNNNNNNNNNNNNNNNNNNNNNNNNNNNNNNNNNNNNNNNNNNNNNNNNNNNNNNNNNNNNNNNNNNNNNNNNNNNNNNNNNNNNNNNNNNNNNNNNNNNNNNNNNNNNNNNNNNNNNNNNNNNNNNNNNNNNNNNNNNNNNNNNNNNNNNNNNNNNNNNNNNNNNNNNNNNNNNNNNNNNNNNNNNNNNNNNNNNNNNNNNNNNNNNNNNNNNNNNNNNNNNNNNNNNNNNNNNNNNNNNNNNNNNNNNNNNNNNNNNNNNNNNNNNNNNNNNNNNNNNNNNNNNNNNNNNNNNNGUAUGAGUAUUUUAUCCUCGUUCACAUAACCGGUCAUCUUUCGACAGAAUAUAAAAGAUGUGCUUUUGGGCACCUUGUCCCAUCAUACUUCUCAAAGUCAGGCACUUUGAACUUCGGAGGGCAAAAUUAGAUCAGGUACCAAACUGAGUUCCUUGGCACCUAGUGCGGAGAAGACUUCAGUGCCUUCUAUUGCUUUGAGUCUUUCCUCUAGACUCCUAUAUUUGCGUCAUGGUUAUCCAAUUUCAACUUGGCUACCUCUGCUGGGUCAUCCAGAUCUGGAACUAGUGGAUUAGCAGGACUAGCCCCUGGGUUCGACGCUAACAUUCCUUGCCCCAAAUUAGUGGGUGGAGCAGGUGGCAUAGGUCUAUGUUCCAAGCCAGUGGGUUCCUCUUGAGUAUACCCUCUUUGUAUUGUAUAUGCGGGCGGUGGAGUGAAUCCCGGGGUAUAGAAUAGAUCCUGAUCAUGGUGAAUUCUUGACCGAGGUUCCAUAACAUCGGAGUUCUGCAUGGGUCCCUUUCCUUUGACCAAAGUUGUCAUCAUCUCCAUCAUUUUAGCCAUCUGAUCUCUUUGCUCGAGCGAUUCCUCUCGAGAUCUCACCAUUAGGUCUAUCGUCUCUUGUUGCGAUUUGGCCAGUUGCUCUUGUAAUUCCUUUUGAGCCCUUUCCAUCCUUUCAAUUCUCUCAUUGAAUUCAUUCUCCAUUACUCUAGCUUGUCGGCGCGUUUUAUACGGAUGACGUGGUUCCAGUCUUGAAGUCUGGCAACUGCGAAUUGUGCGUUUUAAUCUCAGCGAACGAGUAUGGGAUAUGCAAUGAAUGAAUUGAUGCAUGAAUGAAUGCAUGAAUGUCAAAUGAAUGUAAGUUAUGAAUGAAAUGCAAGAAUUGGUGUUGAUUUCAAGAUAGCCCCAUAUUUAGGCAUUUCAUUUAUCAACAUAGUCUAUUACACAAAGUUCUCAUUUUUCCAACAGUUACACAAAUUUCCUAGCCACAUUGCCUUGUUUCUUCACUUGCUCUAAAAACUCUGAUAUGCUCGAUCUUUGGCUCGGAGGGAAUUGGCAACUGAGAACUUCGGCUUCAUCUGAUAAUUGAACAACUUGCAUAGCCGCUUUACGAAUUUCAUUGAUCAAGAAGUCAAGUUGCAUUUCUUUUUCUUUGAGAGUUCCUUCAUACGCGUGAAUGUCCCUAUCGUACUGCUCACUCUUUUCUUCUAGAGCCUUCAAGAGGUUAUCUAAUUGUUGUUGACGAGAUUGCAGCAUAUUUCUAGAUCUCGUGUUUUCCUUUUUAAUUCUGAUGUUCAGACUGACUAUUCGCCAAUUUUGCAGUCACUAUUUCAUACUUGGCGUUCUUCCUUCUUAACUCUAUCACAGCGCGCGCAGCCUUUUCCUCCUCUUUCUUUGCUUUUCCCUUCCAAAACUCCAUUCCUCCCUUGAUAUUGCUAAUUUCUUCCUUCCAUUCUGCUGUCGACUUGCCCAACCCGUUAUUCUUUAUAGUGUUUCUUAAUUUAUUGUUUUCCAAAUGAAGGUCCCUUAAGUCGUUUCUCACAAUCUCGGCUUCUCUUUGUACUUUUUCAGUCCUGGACCUUUCAACCUGAACUUCAAUCUUCAGUUGAUAGUUUUCUUCUUGAAGGGCACUAAGGUCCCGAGACAUCUUGGCCUUUUCUCGUUCGAAUUCUUGUCUUGCCAUUUCUAGCUCAGACGGUGUUUCCUCCGAGAAAGGAUUCUGGAUGGUGUAGUUUGUUGAUGAGAUUUGCUGACUAUUUACCCGUUGUUUCCUCCAUAUGUCGUAAUCUUGGGUAAGGGUAUCAACAUACAAGGCUAAUUCUAUGAAAUGAAUUUCCUUCCAAUACUUUGCAGUGUCUCGGACUCUCUUCAUAUAUCCUUCACCCGUGAAAGCGAACUCGAACUGUGCUAAUCCUCCAGUUGCGGGGAGGAAUUGUCGCGAAGAAAAAUUGCCUUUGGACUAAUAGCGGAGCAUAUCCAACUCCUCCCCAUAACCCGAGUAAAGGUACCCAAUCUUGGCUUCCACAUUUGUAUAGCAGAACUGAAGGACGGAUCCAGGGUGCUCUCCAUGUUAUAUUCUCUGCGCGAAGAUUAUGAAAAACUGAUACCCAAUGUUGCUCGGUGACUUCCUUCGGCCAUUCUUUAUUGAGGUAAGCUUCUAGCGGGGAGAAUGUUUUAGAAAACAUAUGGAACAGAGUGCACUCUACCUUCCAUAAGUGACUCAAAAUCCAAACAUUGAGCAACUGCGCGCAUCCGAUAAAUCGUCCCUCCCCUUUUCUUCGACAACUACUCAGGGACCUGAAGGUCUCGGCUAGGAUGGUCGGGACAGGGUUGAUUCCUUGUUUUAACCUUUCGAAGAAAUCAAUUACGUCAACUUCGAGAUGUCCGAGAACUUUUAGGAAAAUGACCAAACCGUAAAUGGCCAAAGCGAAUAGAUUUACUCUUUUCAGCAUGUUGGGAUGGUUUAGAGCCAAAUCUCGCAGGGAGGACCAUGGAAUGCAAAUGAUUUCAUUCUUCUUCUUUAUCUGUUUUUCGGCCCAUGCAUCAGUCAUGUCUGUCAGUCUCACUAACUUUUUCUCGAAGGUCAUCGGCUUAGGCUCCUUCACAUAUAUUUUGCCGAAUUGUACAUUGUCGAUGCGGAGUAGUAAAGCAACAUACUCUUCUAUGGUUGGAGUCAUGUCUUCUUGAUUGAAGGUGAAACACUGAUAAGCUGGGUCCCAGAACCGAACCAUGGCUUGAAUCAACUGUUCGUCUACACGGAUGGUGAUCAGGUGAGCUAUAUCUCCAUACCUCUCAGUGAAAGUGUCUCUAGUUUCUGAAUCCCACUGAUUCCAAAUUCGAACCAAAUCCUCAAAGUUAUUUUGGCGAACAUUUACAGUUAUAUGUUCAGGCAAAUUAGCGACACACCCUUCCACUAGACUAUCCCCCUUUUCUCUCUAAAUUUUUAGAGACCAGUCCCGAACCACGGCAUUCUUCUCGGUUAUUUGUGUAAUUGACUCCUCCAUCAGAAACCCGUUUUUUUGGCAACCAACUUUUAAUCAACACCUUCCUAAUAUGAUGCCUAUGAUGCAUGAUGAAAAUAAAAGUAAAAACAAACAAACUUGGUUAGUAAACACAACAAAUAUAAUUUGAAAAACAAAUUAAACUACCCAAUCCAAUUAUUUUGCAUAAACAGUGUAAAUGAAAGGAAAAAGGCAUUUUCCCCGUGUACUUAUUUUGAUGACUAUAAGCGGACAGAGGUUCGGCAUGGCUCUAAUUGGAUAGCUCGUAUGGUUCACUAUAUGCGGUUUUGGUUCUAGAUAGGUACUCGAAUUGCCCGUACUAUCAUCUACUAAGAUUAACACGGAGCCUCGGUCAUAGCCUAUCACAGGCUCACGAGUUCAAUUCGAGGGGUUACAUUUACUUAUGCCUAUGCGGAGGGACAAGUUAACUCACGAAAGCAUAAAUCAUAUGUAACCCGAAAGUAUUCACUAGCCUGUGCGGAGGGACGAGUUAACUCACGAAGGCGUAGCGUUUACUUUCACUUAAACGGACGGAGCCCGGGUAGAGAGCUCAUGUUAUGCGAAAAUGCAAGUGCACGGUGUGUGGGGAACAACUCAUAAACCUUUACGUUUCACUUAAAGAAACUAAACCAAAAUUAAAACCAUAAAAAUUAAAAACUAAAAAACAACCAAAUAAGCAAGUUAGAAGAAAUAUUUACAGCACGAUACAAAUGCAUGAGUUUUGAAAACGAGAUUUUCGGAUCACGACCAAAUAUUUACUUUGAACAAGGAAAUUUGAAAAUUUUGACAAAACGUGUUUAAUUCUAGACACGACUCUCAAAAAGGCUUUCCCCAGCGGAGUCGCUAGCUGUAGCGACCUAAAAAUUUUGGCGAUAGGCGCUAAUCGAAUUGAUUGUUGAAAAUUUGAAAACUGAAUCUCGAUUUUAUUUGAAAAAGGAGUCGCCACCGAUCUUUUUUUUCUAGGUGUGAUCGGACACCUAAUAAAUUCUCUUUUUAGAAGAAAAAUUUAUUUUUAAAUUUUCUAAAAAAGAGGGUAAUUUUAGGUCUACGUAAGAAUCCAGAGAAAAUUCGAGUUCGGGAGUCGGUUACGCGCGAGGAAGGUAUUAGCACCCUCGCGACGCCCAAAAUUGAUAUCUUGUUAAACAUGUGUUGUCUUAAUUUUCAAAAAUACAAGUUCAAUUUAAUAUUUAGUCGUGAUCCAAUUGAAACACGAGAAUUUUGAAACACAACUUUUUUUCGAAACACGAAAUAUUUUAAAAUACAAGAAUUUUAGAAACACGAAUUUUUUAAAAAAAACACGAAAAUUUUGAAACACGAGAAUUUUUUUUGAAAACACGAAUUUUAUUUUUAAAACACAAUUUUAUUUUGAAAACACAAAAAUUUUGAUAAAUUAUGAAACACGAGGAUUUUUUUUUGAAACACGGAAAUUUAUGAAACAAUGUCAAUUUUUUGAAAACACGAAAUUUUUUGAAAGUCGAGAAUUUUUUGAAAACACGGAGAUUUAUAAAAACACGGAAGUUUUUUUUUUUGAAAAAAAGAAAAUUUUUGAAAUACGAGAUUUUUUGAAAAGAGGGGAAAUUUUUGAAAACAUGAAAAUUUUUGAAACACUAGAAUUUUGAAAACACGAAGAUUUUUGAAACAUGAGAAUUUUUGAAAACACGAGGAUUUUUUGAAAUACGAACAUUUUAGAAACAUGAAAAUUUUUAAAACAUGACAAUUUUUGAAACACGAGAAAUUUAUUUUUUAAAACAUAAAAAAUUUUAAAAUACGAGAAUUUGUGAAACACGAGAAUUGUUGAAAAAAAUAAAAAAUUUUGAAAAUACGAAAUUUUUUUAAACACGAAAAUUUUAGAAAUAUGGAAAUUUUUUAAAAAAACACGAAAAAUUUUGAAAAAUGGAAUUUUUUGAAAACACGAAAAUUUUUGAAAACACGAAAAUUUUUCUGAUUUUUCAUUAAGCACGUAUCGCAUUUAACACUAAUCGGUGAUAUUCACUCAAUAUAGCAAUGAAAUCAACGAAUUAGUGUCAAAUCGAUUCGUUACCUUAUUUUUGAAAACACGAGAAAUUUUUUUGAAGACACGAAAAUUUCGAAACGCGAGGAUUUUUUUUGAAAAUACGAAUUUUUUUAAUAUUUUUCGAUUUUAAAAGGGCGUAUCGAUUUUAACUCGAACCGGUGAUAUUCACCCAACAUAGCGAUGAAAUCAACGAGUUCAUGUUAAAUCGAUUCGUUGCCUUAUUUAUUCAAAGUAUUUAAAAUAAAAUAAAAUAAAAAUUGAAUUAAAUUAAAUUAAAUUAAAAAUAUAAAUGCCAAAAUAUAAAAAUGCAUAAAAUACUAAUAAUAUUAAAACGGAAGAAAAUACGAGCAUUAAAUUAAAAUUAAAAAACGAAAUUACCGAAAAAUCUCGAGACACAAGCUUCGCCGAACGGGUAACACAAAAUUGAACCCCUUUUUUCUUGUUUUUUUCUUUUUUUCUUUUUCUCUCUUUUUCUUUUUUUUUCUCUUUUUUUUUCUGCUGGGCUGGCCAGUUGGGCUGCUGGCUUGGGCCUGGCCUGCUGGUGUGGGUGGUCUGCUACUGCGCUGGGCCUGGGGGCCUGCUGUUGCGCUGGGCCUGCAUUUGGGCUGCUUCUUUCUUCUUCUUUUUUCUGCUUCUUUCUUCUUCUUUUUUGCUGCUUUUUUUUUGCUUUGGUUUUUUUUUGGGCUGGCCUGCUACUGCUGGGCCUGUUGGGUCGGUUCGCGGGUUGAAUCCGGGUCGGGCGACCCGAUAUAUUAUUUUUUAUUUUUUUCUUUCCCCUUUUUUCUUUUUUUUCUUUCUUCUCUUCUUCUUCCUUCCCUCUUUCGGCUCUAGCCUCUUUCACCACCGCUGCCACUUGCGUCGAUCUCCUCCGCCCUCGGUGGCUGUGGUCGGGCUCUCCUCUUCUCUUUUUCUUCUUUCUUUUUGCUGCUGAAAAUUUUUUUGAAACUUUCUUUUUCUCUUUUUUUUUGAUUCGUGGGGGGUCCUCUGAUUUUUGGAGUUUAAACUCCUUUUUAUAGUUGGUUUUGCUUCUUUUUUGCAGGUAGCAAGUGGGGAAGGAGCAGCCACCCAUGUUUGUGGCCUGAAAAUCUGGGAAGUGGGUGCCCCAAAUCACGUAACCUGUCUGAAGGACCAAAUCACAAAUGCAGCAAAACUUCUGGGGCUAAAUGUAAUUUUUAGAAAAUUUAGGAUUAAAAUGAAAUUUAAUGAAAGUUUAGGGGUCUAAGUGAAAUUUAAAGAAAGUUUAAGGGUCAAAAUGAAAUUUAGGAAAAGUUUAGGGGUCAAAAUGCAACUUUUAUUUUUUUAAUUUUUUUUUUGAAAUUUUGAAAAUUAAACACAAAUUCUAGUUGGACAAAAAUUUAGUGCUUACACUUAUUAAGCCACUCCAGUGGAUAAUAUAAUCUUUCAAAUUCGGAUCUAACAUCUAGGCCGGUUAAAGAGGUUACAUAAACAUAUUCAUAUAAAGGUUUUCAACAAAGAUAAAAAGAAUAAUAAAAGAAAGCAAUAAAUAUUAAAACCCACUCAACCAACCGGAACACCACUCUAAUCACCCUGCACACCACAAUUCGGUUAUGGUAGGCUCAUCCACCCUACACACCACAAAAGGCCACUGUCGGCCCAUCCACCAUACACACCACGAUAGUGGGUUUAAGCCACUCAAAAGGAAAUAUGCAGCUGAGCUGACAUAUAUAUAAUAAUGCGGUAAAACUGCUGUACAGAAUAUUGCAAAUAAACUGCUCAAAUUAGACUUCCUUAUCUUCACAACGGAAACCCCAAAUGUUUAUGAAAAUGCAAAAAUGCACACAUGCAGACGACCAUACAAAACAAGUGUACACAUAUACAGUUAAACAAAUUCAGAUUCAGUUAAACUUGAUUUCAAUUACUGAGCAAUGAUAACAACAUCGUACUCAAACCUAUUCAUCACAUCACAUUAUCACCUAACGAACAAUUAAACAAAAGCAUCUAAGUGCACAAACAUACACGAAUCCAAGCUGAACUGGGUCCCAAUCACAUUUACAAAGGCUUAAACAAGUGUUGGAUUACACAGGAACUAAAACGAGUCAAUUACAAAAAAAAAUUAAAAUAUGCAAAAACAGAACCACAUGGCCGUGUGCCCAGGCCAUUUGGAAAGGUCUAGACCGUAUGAGGGGUCUACACUGACGUGUGUAAGAGCGACACACCCGUGUGACAAAGGCACACGAUCAUGUGGCCGAGACACACACCCAUGAGACAGAGUUACAUGGCCAUGUGGCCGAACCGUGUAACUCCUGGUGCCAUGUGACAAAAAUCAACAUAUUUAAGAAGCAAAGUAGACACGUCCGUGUGGUUGAGAAACAUGGCAGUGUGACUGAGGCACACGCCCAUGUGAAAAAUAAUAAAUUUCUCUACAGAGGUCACAUAACCGUGUGGCCAGCCUGACCUACUUCAGGUAUAAAUUUAAUUCUUGUCUCUCACACACAAAAGUAAGCAUAAAUGCUUGACUAAGACCGCUGGACUCACCUAACAGACUAAAACUUCUAACCCCAAAUUUCAAAAUGUUACAUUAUUAAUAAUUUAAAUAAACAAUUGAUAAUUUUGGUUGGUGUCCCAAAAUUUCAAUAUAUAUAUAUGCUAAUGUGGCCACUAGAUAGACUAUUUUGGACAUUAAAUGACGUACCAAAAGAAGAAAUGUAAAAAAAAAACAAUUCAAAAAAGGAAAUCCCGUCCAUUGAUAUUUUUAUUCUAAGGUUGUAUUCUUUUGACUUAAAAGAUGAUUGUGAUUUUAUCGUGUUAUUGACAAAUAUAAUAUUUUAGGAAACUAUUCAAUAUUUUACUUUUGAAUUUAAAAUGACUAAAUAAAUGUGCAUAUAUACAUCAACUCUUCAAGGAUAAUUUAAUUAUUAUUUAAUAGAAUAUGUCAUAUUCACUAAUGAAAAGUAUAAAUAAUAUAAAUAUGUAGUUAAUAAUUUUUUUAAAUAAUAAUUACUGAUAUGGUAAUAAAAUUGCAUAUAAUUUUUUUUAAUAAAAAAAAAGUACAUGAGAAAAGAAUAGGAAAAUUGUAAUAUUUUUAAGGAUUAGUAUAUGAUGCAUAGAUUAUAGGUUUCAUGGGUCGUCAAGUGAGGAAAGAUGACACAUCAUCACUUAUAUAAAAUAAAAAAUAUUAAAAGAUUUAAAAUUAAAUAAUAUUUAUUUUAGUUAAACAUAAUUAAAUAUGAAUUGUAAUAUUUUGUUUCUCUUGUUUUGAACUUCUGGUCUUAAGUUUUUGGUUUCAGGUUUUAAAUUUUGGUUUUUAGAUUUCAGAUUUAAUGUUUUUGGAUUUAUUUAUGUUGAAUAAUUUUAAUUAAUAUUUAUUUUUAAAUAAAAAUAUUUAUAUUUAUUUUUAAAUCCUUCAAUAGUUUACACCAAUGAUGAUAUAUCAUCUUAUUAUUAAUUAAUGGCGCAUGAGAUCUAUGCACCGCAACAAUGGAUCAAGUAAUCUCCUUAUAUAUAGAUAAUUAAGUUGAUAUUAUGAGUCAACUCAAUACCAAUUUAGUACGAAAAAUUACAUAAAAACUAUUUUUAAUAAAGUAACAAAUAUUAAUAUAAUAUUUUUUUGUCUUUUACUAUAUAUUUUUAUAUGAAAUGUUUAAAUAAAACAACUAAAAUUAAAAUAUCUAAGAAUUGAAGUCAAGACUAGCAUGAGAAAAAAAAAGGAAAACAAUAACACUUUUGAGGAUUAAUAUAUGAUGCAUAGUGUAUAAGUCUCAUGCAGCAUCAACUAAUAAUAAGAUGAUAUAUCAUCAUUAGUGUAAAAUAAAAAAAUAUUAAAGGAUUUAAAAGUAAAUACAUAUGAAUUUUAAAAUAUAAUUAAAUAUAAAUUACAAAUCUUUUGUUUCUCUUUCAGGUUUUGAACUUUGGGUUUCGGGUUUUAGAUUUUAUGUUUUGGAUUUUGGGUUUGUGUUCUUAUUUAUUUAUGUUUAUAAUUAAUAUUUAUUUUUUAAAUAAUUUUAUUUUAAAUCUUUUAAUAUGUUUUUUUACACCAAUGAUGAUGUGUUAUCAAAUAUAUGCGUGUGAUAUAAUUAAUUGAGCUGAUAUCAUGAAUUAACUCAACACCAAUUUAAUAAGAAAAAUUACAUGAAAAUUAUUUUAAUAAAUUCACAAAUAUCAAUAUAAUAUUUUUUAUCUUUAACUAUUUUAUAUGAAAUGUUUAAAUAAAAAACUAAAAAUAAAAUAUCCAACACUGAUUAUAUCUACUCUUUUUGACAUAAAACUUAAAACUACUCAUAACCCUUCUCCAACACAUAAAUAAGAACAUAAUGCACUUUAACGCACUCAAACUCACGUCCUCUUGUAUUAGCAACAAUGCACAUAUCAAUCGAGUUAAGACGAAUCAACUGAGAAUUUUAGUAAUUAAAAUUAACUUUUUCCAUAAGUUUAAAAAUUUUAAAAAAUUAUUGAUAAUUAAAUAAAAGAGCAACCAUAUCUUAUAGAGGUUAAAAAUUAUUGAAAUGCAAGCUCAUUUAAUGCUGAAAUGCAGUUCUCAAACUUGAAAAAAAAAAUUGUUCUUAUAAAAAACAAACAAUAAAAUUCUGUGUUUAGAAAUAUUUCUAGUUUUAAAUUCGUCUUCACUCAAUUAAUAAUUGUGCUUAUUAUUUUCAUGAGUAGAUGAUGAUUGAAUACUGAAUUUGAACUUUUAAUUUUCGAAUUUAAAAUCAAUACAUAACUAAUAAGAUAUUAAUUUUUGGGUAUUGUAAAGGUGCUAAUACUUUCUUCACACGUAAUUGAUUCUCGAAUUUAAAUUUUCUUUAAUUUUCAAAUAAUAAACCAACUAAUUAUCUUUUUAAAAGGCGGUUUUAUAAGUACCUGAUCACACCUAGUUAAAAGAUUUGUGACGAAUCUUACGUUCUAAAUAAAAAUUUAAUGUUUUAAAAUUUUAAAAUUUUCAUAUUUUUCUCAAAAUUCGUAAACCUAACUUUGCUCAAAAGAAUGGUAUCGACAGUAGUCAUCCAACUUUUAGUAUUUUUUUGUCACCCAAUUAUGAAAAUUUAUAAAAAAGAAUGGCCAUCCAACUAUUCAGCCUUUUCUUUUUUGUCACACAACUAUAUGAAUUUUUCUUUUUUGGUCCCAGCGAUUAAUUUACUAACGGAAAGAUAACUUGAUAAGUUGUAAAAUUAGCAUAAUAACAACUUUAACCCUCAACAUUUAUGCAUUGUGUUAAUUUAGUCUUGAUUUUAAAAAAAUAACUCUCGACAUUUACACAUUAUAUAAUUUGGUCUUUGUAACUCUCUCUUUUGCAGUUUUACUUUUAUUUGUGACAUUAAGGGUUAAUUUUAAAAGAAUGAGAUAAGAUGAAUAUUAUUAUCUUGGAUUUUUUGGUGUUUCUAUUUUGUGUAUAUAUUUUUUUUAUCAAAUUUAGUUGAUAGAUUAUUUUUUUUAGCUUUUUAGGUGAAAGACUCACAAAGAAAAGAAAAAUUGAAAAAAAAUAUUACACACUGUGCAAAUGUUGAAGGGUUAAAUUUGUUAGAAUCAAAACUAAAUUGACCCAGUAUAUAAAUGUUGAGGGUUAAAAGUUGUUGUUUAACCAAUUUUAAAAGUUGCCACAUCAUCUUCCCAUCAACCCUUUAACAAUCGGUGACUAAAAAAAAAUCAAAUAGUUAAGUAACUGUAGCGACAUAAAAAUUGGUUCUGGGGUCGCUAAUUGUGGCGAUCUAGUGAAAAAGUUUGGAAACUGAAGUUCGAUUUUAAAAUAAAGAGGGAGUCGCCACGAUCCUUUUUCCUAGGUGUGAUCGGACACCUAUUAGAUUCAUUUUUUAAAACAAAAGGAAGGCUGAAUUUAGGUCUACGUUAAAAGCCAGAGAAAAAUUAGGGUUCGGGAGUCGAUUACGCGCGAGGAAGGUAUUAGCACCCUCGCGACGCCCAAAAUUGGUAUCUCAUAAACAUGUGUUGUCUUGAUUUUCACAAAAUACGAGUUCAAUGUAAAAUUUAAUCAUAAUCCGAUUAAAAGAACGAGAAAUUUUGGUUUAUUUCGUUUUUUUAGAAGGGUAUAUCGCUUUAACAUGAGUCAAUUGACGUUCACCCAACAUAGCGAUGAACUCGAUGACUUAAUGUUAAAUCGGUAUAUUGCCUUGAUUAUUGAAAUUGAUUUAAAUCAUGAAUAAGAAUAUUUUCGAAAUAAUGCAAAGUAAAAUAAUAUGAAAUAAAAAUCAAUAAAUGAAAGAGCUAGGAAUAUAUUGAAACAGAUAAUCGAGGUGGCAAUAAUAUUAGAAAAGAUGAAGGUAUAAUGUAAAAAAUUUUUACACGCGGUGGCCGGAAAAGGUAAAAAAUUUUUAUUUUUUUUUAUAUUUUUUAAUAUUGUAUAUAUAUAUUUGAGUGUAUCAGAGUAUAAAAAAAAGAAAAGCCAAUGAAAAGAAAAAAAAACGAUUCGGUAAUAGGAAAGAAAAUAGGUUUUUCACCUUUCUCCUUGAUCUGGGUUUUGAUAAUAUUCAAUACUGAUCUAUUGUUGCUCCUAAAAACUAAUCUGUAUUCUCUGCUUCUUUGUUUUUAAACUACCGAAAAUAAGAAAAAGAAAAAAACAGAAAAAGACCCCCUUUUUCAUUUGAUUUCAUGGCUCUUAUAGCCUUACAAUUUUAUUUUCUAUUGCUUUCUGUCCUUUCUCCUUACUGUGUGCAGGGAUGGUGGCCGACAUGGUGGCAUGGAGGGCUGGGGCGCUGGUCAGAUGGCAGGGGGUUGGUGCGCAAGUGGGGUUCGGCGCAAGUGGGCAAGUGGGGGGUAGGUGGCUAGGGUUAGUGGGAUUAGGGUUUCUGAAUGCUGAGUUUAGGUUAAUGGGCUGGGGUAGUUGGGCUUCGGGUUUAGUUGUUUAGGCUUGGUUUAGGAUGAGAUGGGUAUGGGGUUUAAGUAGGUUUAGUUAUUGGGUUUUGGGGGUGGCCCAAAAUUGGCCUGUACAGUAACCAUUUUGUAACUUUUUAUAGUUAGGUGACUAUAAGUGUAAUUUACCCUUAAAUAAACAAAAUUUUCAUUCAUGUCCCAAAUUUUCUAAAAAAAGAAACUAUAUAUGAUAUCGUAAAGGCUAUAUGCACUAGAUAGACUAUCGAGGGCAUUAAAUGACGUACAAUAAAAAAUAAAAGGGUAAAUUCAUCAUUAAUCCCUAAAUUAUAAGCAAGUUUUCAUUUUAGUCACUUAACUAAAAAAGUUACAAUUUGAUCACUAAACUAUUCAAAAGUUUUCAUUUAAGUCACUGAGCUAUUAAAAUCAAUGUUAUAUGGCUUUCUCUGUUCGCACUACCUGCACCAAUUGAAAGCUCUCUUUCUAUUUCUUUUCUACCGUUCAUAUUUUUUUAUGAAAUAGCUUUGAAUGCCAUAAAUAUACAAAUCAAAGUUCAAAAAGCUUUUUCUCUGAUCUCCAACAUUGGCCAUCAAAUCAACUUAGAUCUAAAGUAUGUUCUUCUACUCGUCGAUGGUUACUGAUCCAGCGUACUGAUCGUCGAAUCAUUGCUUUGAGUUUUCUUGUGAAACUUCUAAAAAUAUAACAGUCUAGUGACUAAAAUAAAAACUUUUGAAUAAUUCGUUGACUUAAAUAAAAUUUUUUGAAUAAUUAUGAAUUUGAACAGUUGAUUGGCUAAAAUAUUGCAAUGAUUUUAAGCUCUCUUUUUAAGUAAUCGAUUAUGACUUUUAUAAUUAAAUAUCCUUAGCAGUCUUUUUAAGCUGUUAGUAUUAUAUAAUUAUUUUACACAUGCAUUGAAACUAAAUAAAAUACGAAUAUUAUACAUAAAUUUUUUGACUGAUCCAAGAUGAAAUUUUAUAAAAUCUAUUUGUUGGGUAUAUUUAUUAUCGAUAAACAUUGGUCUUAGUACGUCUCCUUUAGAAUAUUUACAUUUAAUUCGCAAUAAAUAUUAAAUAUAAAAUAUGAAUAUAAUUAUUUAAAUUCUUUUUGCUUGGAAAGGAAUAAAUAUAUAAUUUCUGAAGCUUGGCGGCAAUAUCUAAUACGAAAUCCUUGAAAAGAAUCGUGUUUGAUUGCUAGGUUUGUCUUAACUUUGAAUAUGGAAAUUAAGUAAUUUUGAAAAAAUGUUCUUCCUUAAAAGUAAUUUUGAAAGGGUAUAAUGAUUUUACGUGGGGCUAGUGAAUCAAAUGAUGAAAUAUUAUUAAAAAUUUUAAUAUUAUAUUAUUAUUUUAUUUACUGAUAAUGUAUAUAAUUAUACAUUGUCAAUGCAUCAUAUAUAAAUCCAUUCUAAAUUGGAAUCCAUAUUGGUACAAUAAACUUUCAAAUUAUUUUUAAAAGAUCGAUUAAGUUCCUUUGAACCUUUUACAUCCAUUUAAGUCUUUGAACUGACAAUUUUGACUAACGAAAUUUUUUUAUUAACAUUGACCAUUAGAAACCAACAUUAAUAUUGACUUGGUCAUUAAUGGAUAUCACAUCAACCAACAAAUGUUGAUGGGGUGAUCCACGUUAAUAAAAAAUAAAAAUAUUUUAAAAUUAUUGUAAAAAAAUGUACACAAUAAACUUAAACAAAUUGUUUCCCAAGAUCAUUUGUACAAAAAAAUUUAUAAAGAAUAAUUAAAAUUAUAAAUUAUUAUAAAUUAAUUAAAAAUCAUAAAAUUUUAUAAAAUAAAUUAAAACAAAGCUUUUCAUUAUAAAUUUUUAUAAAAUCCAUUAAUUGAAUAAAAGCUUUUAAUUAAAAUCCAUUUGGAUCUUUUUUAAAAGUUUCCAAAGAUUUUAUUUAAAAACAUUAAAAUUAUUAUAUUUUAUAAAAAUAUUUUUAUUUAAAUUCCAUUUGGUUUUAAUAAUACAUAAACAAUUACAAAAAAUAUAUAUAAAUAUAAAUUGGUUUUUAAUUUUAUACGUUUUAAUAAUUUCUAAAAUUUUAAUAAUUUAUAAAAAAAACUUUAGAAAAAAUCAUUUUAAUUAUUUUAUAAUAUUUUUUAUAAAAUUUAAUUAUUUGAAUUAUAUUUUAUAAUUUUUUAUUUUUUUAUAAUUUCGAAAUGAACCUUGAGAAAUGUGUUUUCAUAUUCAAAGGAACCUGGAUAAAAAGGUGUCCAUAUUUAAAUGAAUUUGGAUAACCAUUUAUCCAGCAUCAUUGUACAUUUUUUUAAAUAAUUUCAAAAUAUUUUUUUAUUUUUUAUUUUUAUUGAUGUGGAACUGUCAAGUUAACAUUUGUUAGCUAAUGUGGCAUCUGUUAACAAUCAUAUUAGCGUUGUUGUUAGUUUCUAACGAUCAAUAUUAGUCAAAUGACCUUGUUAGUUAAAAAUAUCAAUUCAAUGAUUCAAUUGAGUGGAAAAGAUUUGGAGGGAUUUAAUUGAUUUUUUUUAAAAAAAAGUUUGAAUGCUUAAUAAGCCUAUAUUAUCUUGAAUCAAUUCUAUCAAUCAUCUCUAAACUCUAAACUAUUGCCAAUAGUCUUAAGUAAAAUUAACCGCAACAUUUAUAUCUUUCGUCAAUUUGGCUUCUUUUUUUUUCAUUAAAUUUGGCCCUUAAUCUUUUAAAAAAGAGUCAAAUCAUUUUUUAUAGAAAAUCCUGACGAAUAUGGCAUGGCAGCCUGUGUAACAAUCCACGUGCACUUUAUUUUGACAUAAUACUAUUUAUUAUAUGCCACACCAAAAAAAAUUUAAAAUUAUAAAAAAUUCAAAAAAUAAAAAGUUUAUAAAAAUUCAAAAAUAAAAGAGUAUGAAAUACUUGUGGAUUGGUAUGUGAGCUACCAUGUUUAAAAUUUUAAUGAUUAAUUUUCAAUAAAAAAUAGCAAGUCAACUAUUUUUUAAAAAUUUAAUGGUUAAUUUUCAAUAAAAAAUAGCAAGUCAACUAUUUUUGAAAGGUUUAAGUUAAAUAUGAUAUAUUUUUUUAAAGGUUGAGGACUAAAUUUAGCUUUAAAAAAAAAGACUAAAUUAUUAAUAAAAAAAAUGUAAAUGUUAAUGACUAAAUUUUUGUUAUACCCAUUCUUAAUUAGUUUAAAACUUCAAAAUAUGUUAAAUAAAUCUGUAAAAUAUCAACAUUGUAUCAAAUAAUUUUCUAUUAAUAUAGUAAGUAGUUAAUUUAAUUGUUAAAUGUCAAUCAAGAUAUGAUAUGCCGCAUACUUAAAAACAAACGGAUUAAAUUGUAAGCUCAUGUGUAUCUAACACAUGAAAAAUUUAGUUUUGACGUAUUAAAAAAUCGAUUUCAAUAAAAUGUUAUCUAUGUUGUAAGUAUAUACGUUUGAUCGACGUAUUUCAAAUACACUUUAACUCAAAUUUGAAUUUGCAUUUAGUACCUCAACUAAUUGUUAACAUAAUAGAAAGGCUUAAUUGAUAUGAUACUAAUACUUUGAAGACUGAAUUAAAACAUUUUUAAAAUUUAAAAUUGAAUUUAAAAUAUGCAUAAUUUGAGAACAUUACGUCAUAGUUUAAUGUGUUUAUGGUAAAUUAGUCAAUUGUAUAAUAGUAAACAAGUUACGUUGCCUAGUCCUUGAUCAAACCUGACAUGCUUUAUUAUAAUAGUAAACAUUAACUUCUCUUUACUCAGUUUAAUUGUGGGAUUGUAAUUAUCAUUUAUUUCGGUCUUUAUAUCGUAAGAUUACAACUGUUUAAUUUUCUUUUUGUAUCUAAAGCAUGACCUGAUUAAUUUUCAUAAUUACAUGCUAUUUUGAUUUAGAAAAUUAUUAUAAAUAUUUUUAGCUGUUUUUUUAAUGGUUUCAUAGAUGAUCGAACGUAAUGUUUUCAACUUAGUUGAAACUCUUAGGCCACAUUAAGGGUGUUACAAAUUUUUUUAAAAAUAACUUUAAAAAAAUCAUUUAUAAAAAACUUUAUAAUUGUAAUUAUUUUAUAAUUUGAAUGAUUUUUUAUAAUUUAUUAUGUUUUUUUAAUUUCGAAAUGAAUAUUGAGAAAUGUGUCUCUAGAUUCAAAGGAACCUAGCUAAAUUGGUAUUUUUAUAAAAUUUAUUUUGGGUAUUUUUUCCAUUUGUCCAACAUCAUUGUAUACUUUGUAACACCCCACACACAAUUUAGAUGUUAUGGCUGAUUCUUGAGGAAUUACAUAACCUCGUUUUAAACCUAAAUUUUGAAUUUGAGAAACAUGUAUCCCGUCAUUAUUAAUUUUUGUAAUAAAAAUCAUGUGCUUUUGUAAUUUAAUGAUAAAAAUGCCCAAAAUCCGUAAAAAAUAAACCAAAAAGUAAAACAAAAUUAAAAAAACAAGUUCAUAGUCCCAAAGUUGAGAAAUGAAUAAAUCAUAAACCACAUAAUAAUAUUAACCGGAAAAUCAAUUGGAGCACCCGCGUGUCGUUCGAUCCUUACUUUGCUAAUUACCUAAGAAGUUAGAAAAUUUGGGUGAGCUUACAAAGCUCAGUGUGUAACUUAGCCCAUACAAACAGAACAAAUAGCAUAAUCACACAGAAGUUAGCUGUAACGCCCUGAUUUUUGGGCCUAGAAGUAUUGGGCCUUGAGUCUGGGUUCGGGUGGAAAAUGGCCCGAAUAAUUUGGAUGUUAUUAUUAUUAUUUCAUAUGUUUAGUUUAGUAAUUAAAUAAAUUACAAAAGGUUUAUGGUGUGGGAAAAAAGGCCCAAAAGUAAAUUUAAUUCGAGGCAAUUCCUGAAUUCUAAUUUUUAGAGAGAGGGUUCUGGCGAUAUGGGCUUUAAAAGUUGAGGUGGUAAAAUAGGACACAAAAAUAUUUGUGGUAAAGUGGCAUGUGACGCCACCUAGGUUGGGGAGUGACGUGUGGAUGUUUAGGGGAAGCCAGAGUUCAAGUCAUAAGGUAAGCGUAUUGUUACUUUUAUUUUUUAUGUGCAUUGCCGGGCAUGUGAUAGAGCUUAAGUGGAAAUUCGGUUAGGGCUUUAGGAAGGUUGGGCCGUGGGUCUGAAUGGCCCUUAGGGCAAGCUUUAUUUUCUUUUUGUUUUUCCGAAUUAGGGUUAGCCACCUAGAGCCUUCCCUUUUAUUCUAUUCUCUUCUCAGUAUCUCAAAAAGCCGAAAAAUGCAAAGUUAGAUCUCCUGAGUGCCGAAUUCUUCCUUCUUUUCUCCUCUCUUCUUCUAUUUUCUUUUUCUCAUUCUUUUCUUCUCUAGCCAAAGCAUUCCUACCAUUCUACUCAUCUCCUCUUUCAUUCCCAUUCUUUUCUAAACCUCUAUAGCUGAUUGCCAUAAAAGCUGAAAUCCCGAAAGUCGUUUCUUGUGUCGAUUUCUCCUAGCCAAAAUCCUCCUAUUUUCUUCACCUCUUUUGGUCGAUUUUCACAUCCUCUAAACCUCAACCCCUGUCAAAAAUACCACACCAAAUCAUCUUCCUCUUCACAGUUCCAAAAGCCAAAAACAACAUAGUUUUUAGGGACGUAUAGCAGAAUCUUUAGAUCUCUAAGAUUUGAUUUCUGCUAGUGUUUAAGGGCUGGAUCUGCAUCAAAUCUGAGUAGAAACUAAAGUGGAAUCAUUUUGGUUGAAAAAACCUGAGGUAGGUACUCAAAUCUAUUCUUUAUUUCGGGUUUUAGAAAAGCCAAAAUCCCUAAAGGCAUAGGGAGGCUGUCGAUUGGAGCUUAAGGCUCUAAGGGUUGUAACAAUUGAUUUGUUUUGGUGUUAGUAUGAUCCAGAGGCUGCUGAUUGAAGGCUUGGACAAGUGGAACGACUAGAUCGAGAUCUAGUCACUAGUUUUGGCAAAGGGAGGAUAGGCAAAGGGAGGAUCUCAAGGGCCAUAUGUAUUGAUGGCCGAUUUUGGUAAGUAAGUUUAUGAUGGUUGCCAUUGUAUUUUGGAUCUGAUAUGUCUAGUGACUGAUUGUAGGAUAUCGUGGGAGAUUUUGGUAGCAGUUGUCGCAAAUCAGGUGUGUAAACGACACCCACUAGUAGACUAGAUCGGCAAAAGUCAAAAAGCUGAAAUGCCGAAAAGCUGGCAUCUCGAGAACUUGCGAGCGUGCGAACGCUCGUGGGAUUGUUUGUAUUGAUAAUUUUGAUAACUUCAAUGGUAAGAUUGUAAAGUGCACAAUUUCGUGCACCUCGGUGAAUUUGGGCUUCGAUGGGCCGAAAUUGGGUAAUGGGCAACGGGCCCAUUUCGGUAAAAAUGUUCGGUAAGUAUUCUGAAGACACGUUAAUAACUAUAAUGAGCAUGAAACCCUAAAAAGACUGAAAAAAUUACUGAAAUACCUCUGUAAGGUAGAAUUACUGUAAUACCUCUAAAGGGGUAAGUUUACGAUUACGCCUCUCGAGGGUAAAUAACUGUUCUUACACUAUAAUCUGACUGUCUUUCUGAAGCAUGCCUUGUUAAUUAUAUAUAUUCUGCAUACAUGUCAUACUGCAUGGGGUUGGGUUUUGUUAUGGAGGAAGAACCCGUUCUGGUGGCUGUGCCACAUAUUCUGAUAUAAGCAGCUUUGCUGCGAAUUAUAGUUAGUGCCGCAACCGGUGCUAACACUGUAAGUGUAGGGAUGGCGUAGGUGAUUUAUUCCUCACAGGAAGUGUAGGGAUGGACGGAGGCAAGUGCAGGGUUGGAUGGGGUUAUCAUGCAUUAAUCAUAUGAGACUAUUUUGUUAUGGGCCAACUGUAUUGAAAUGGGCCCAACUGUGUUAAUAUGGGCAAGGCCCAAUAUAUCUCGACAUGUAAUAGGGUUACGGCCCAAAUUGAUACUAACAUGGGCUAGGCCCAGUAUACUCUGAUACUAUAAGGGGCUAUGGCCCAGAUUAAUAUUGAUAUGGGCUAAGGCCCAGUUAACUCUAAUUUCUAAAUAGGGCUUAGGCCCAGUAAAGCUUGAACUGAUUUGGGCUCUGGUUGGGAUACUUUACACACUGAGUUUUCCAAACUCACCAGCCUUAGAUCGGUGGACUUGGAGUUGGAGGGAUUCAGAGUGGCCCUGUGGACUAUUUAAAAUAAGUGUUUAUACCUUCACUUUUAUUUUAGAUUAUUUCCUUUAUAUUUUUGGGUUUUUAAUUUGUAAUAAGGCCGCUUUGAUUAUUUUUAAUUAUUUUUAGUAUGUUUUGUUAGCUUAGAUAUGAUGUUAUUUUAAUUGUUUGAAAUUGAAUAGCUCUAGGGCACGUUUUAAAAAGGUUACUUGAUUUCAAAAUAUCGCGAUAACAAAGCAAGGCUUCCGCAACGAAAACGUUUUUAAAAUUAAUAACCUUUUCAAAUGGUUUUAAAUGAAUUGGUUUUCCCUAAACAAUCACUCAGUUAAAGUGUGGCAACGGUUGUGUGCAUGUCUAGGCUUGGAUCCGUGAAGAGCUGGGUACUUAAGCAGUCUAAUUGACUCACCUCCUCUUUUCUGGCAUCCUAUCUGGUACACAGCUUCCAUUCACUUUAAUCUUUAACGAAUAUAUUCUUUAAACACUAAGAAAGACUUUAGAUAAAACAUGACUUUUCUAGUAAUGUUUCAAUGUGACACGCCGGAUUCGGUCGUAAUGUCUGGGCUGGGUUUGGGGUGUUACAUUAGCAAUCGAACAGAAUACACAGCAUGGCAUACUAUGGAAUGUAACAUAAUGAUCAGAUCAAAAAUGGAUGACAUGACAUAUCAUGUGAUGCAACACUUAAUACAAAACAAAUACAGAUCCUACCCCUAUCCAUUACACACCAUCUUAAUCCAUCCUUAUACACGAAAUAGGGUAAUAAAUACCCAUCUAAUCCCACACACCAAUAAGUGACCAUAUGUCACUAUAUAGAAAAGUGCAAUAAAAGCUGUCAUAAAUAAUGCGGUAAUUCACCAAAAUCAGACAAGUAUGGUCAAGUCAUCAGAAUUGUAGUCAAGCUGCCAAAACAGAUAUGUGGUUAAAUCACAAGAUAAAGUAGAUCAUUAAACUUCCAACACUUUCUCUGUCACUGAAUUAUCCCACCCCAAUACACAUGCAAUAAAAGCAUAACCAGAUAUUCAAAUGCACAAAGAUCAGAUAUGCUUACAUAACAGAAUCAUACUAAUGAUAUACUCAAAAUUUUCAGAUUAGAUACAGAAUUACCUCAAUUAUCAUGCUUGUAGAAAGUACUCAUACAAAGACAAAACCAUAAAAUCUUAUACUAGAAACAAUAAUAUCACUUAGCAAACCCUAUAGUAUUACUGACCUCGAAACAUACUUCGAAUAACGUUCUUAAUUAAAUUUUACAGAAAAUGGGCCCAAACACCCAUGCAGCCCACACUGCCCAUUUAACCCAUCCCAUGUGGCUCAAACGAUCUGGCACACGACGGUGUGGAUUGACAGUGGGUUUUUUUGGUUUCGUACCAUUUGUUGUUUUUCGGGACAGAAGGUACAAACCUGAUCAUUUUUUGAUGCCAACACAAUAGCAACAAUACUAGCACCUAAAAAUGACGUUCAGAAUGAACUAUUUAGCAAAUGUCAUACUAAAUUCGACCACUAAAUCGGCCGUAAUGCUAAAAAUCCAGAUUGAUCGUUUUUCGUAACAUUAAGAUUCAGCCUUAACAAGGCACUGAUCACUUACCCUAAUGUAAGAGGGCUUUCCAAAUGCUUCCAUUUUUUCGAAAGAUUAGACGUUUCCAAUUCUUUACCUAAAUCACAGAUUUCCAACCAUUCAAACUAUUAUCACCCAAAAUAAGAAUUCAUAUCCAAGCAUGUGAAAAAUAACUUAUUUACAAAAUACGAGUCUUAAAUCAACAUCUUUACCACCCAUGACCAACAAUCAAGACUGAAAAGGAUGUUGGUGCAAAGUAACUCAACAUUGAAGAGAUAAAAAGUAAAGAAAUGGAAAGAGGCCAGAACAAUAUACAACAGCAACAUAGUGGGAAAAGGUGUCUUCAAAGAGAAUGAAAAGAGAUUGAUCAUGAAAAAGAUGUGGAAUAGGAAAAAAACCAACAGAUGAAAGAGUGAUAGAAACUUGUUGAAAACUCUAAAUAAGCAAAAUAUAAGAUGGAGAAAUAGACAGAGAGGGACGAUAGAAAAUAGAGAGAUUUUUGGAACACUUUUGGGAAAUUUAAAAAAAAAAAGAAUUUUGAAAAACUAUCCAUAUCCCCACUAACUCCCAAUAAAUCUAAUUAGUUAUUUUUAUAAGAUUUUCACUUUGCACACACAAGGAUUUAAACAUAAAUCCCCUAGGUAAGUUGAAGCCUUACCACUAAACUGGUAUGCUCAUUCUCGUCAACAAUUGAACAAAAAAAUUAUAUAAGCUAGAUGUUCAAGGAUAGGGGUUGGAACAAAAAUAAUAAAAAAAUUCAGGGGAAGAGAUUUGAACAUAAGACCUCAGACACACAUAAUUAACACUUAGCCACUACAACAGACUAAUCACUUGACAUGAUUCCUACAAAAAUUAUUCUAAAAUAGGGCAUGACCCCUCUUGGUUCACCAACCCAAUUUAUACUAACCUAGUGUUUGAGAUGUGACAACUCUCCCCUCCUUAAAAGGAAUUUCGUCCUCGAAAUUCAUGUUGUCACACCAUUCACUCAACCACAAGGUUCGUAACUCUCAAUUAAAGCUGACCACCACACUUUUUUUGCGCGCAACUCUGAUUCCAAUGCCAUUAAGAAAAUACUUCUCCUCAAACCUUCUGUAGACCUCCUAUUCACAGACACAAAUUAUCUCAAAGGACUAACUACAAAAUCAUCUCUAAUGAUUUCCUCUACCUCAGAUUCUCAGAUACACUAUUGACAGUAGACACUUGAAUAAAACCAAUUCUCAAUCAUUGCAAUGAACAAUUGGAAUGGAUCGCGAAAGUAGCUACAUUAAUGCCAGAUGCGUCUUAAUCCUCAUGACCCAUAGCUGUAUAAUCCAAUCUUUGAUUCUAUUUUUGAGUCAAAGCCUACAUUUGACUAAGAAAAUGACACGAGCAAUCUCUAGAAUGGUGCUCAACAGACCCACAUCUAAAACGCGCCACCAUUUUCCUCCAACGCUCGUUCGGGUGGCACCCACCACAAAAUGCACAUGUUGGAACUUGAUCACUACCCACAACUACCUCAAACUGCUAAGGUUUGCCCAGUCUAGCCUACUUCUAAGGUCGCGGAUUCAAGCUAGUAAGACCAUAACUCCUCUUCUUUUAUACUUUAUUCCUUUGCAAAUCUCUAAGCAUAUAUUGGGACACAACAUAGUCCAUAGCUUCUUGAUUAUCGGCCUAAAUGGUAGGUUUUUAAGCAAUCUCACUUGUUUCCAAAUUGGGCAUGUUCCCUAGAGGAGAGGACUCUACUUGAGUCACUUGACGACAACAAACAUACCCUCGCAUACCACGUCUAGGUGAACUGCAUGUACUCAUUUUACUUAUCUACAGUUCAGAAGUCUAAAGUUUAGUUUAGGUUAUUUUUAGAUCCUAAACCUAAAUUUUAGCAUAAAUAACUCGUUCAAUUUUCUAAAGUAAAAAAGUUCUAUUCUACAGUCUCUACAGUUUACUAGUUGACUAAAGUAACUAAAGUAUAGUUUAACUAAAGUACAAAUACUUGGAUUCACAUUUUCAAAAUCUUAAUAAAUUUUGUGUAAAUUUACCCACAUCAGAUUUCCUAAAAAUUUUCUUUAAAAUAAGAAAUUAAAAAAAAAUAUGUAAUCCAGUUUUAAACUAAAAACCACAGCCUGAGUUUUAAAUAUAGGCUUUGAUACCACCAAAUGUAACACUCGACACCCGACCUAAACGUUAUGGCUGAAUCAUGAGAAAUUACAUAAAUUCAUUUUAAACCCAAGUUUUGAAUUUGAAAAACAUGUGUCUUCUCAUUAUUAAUUUUUGACAAAUCUCUUACAAGUUUUAAGGGAAACGCUCAUUAAAAUUUAUUUAUUUUAAAAAAAUCGCAUAAUUAAUUACUUAAACUUUGCAGCGGAAAUUUUGAAGUUUUGAUUUUGAAAUCAAAAUUGUACUUUGGAAUAAAAAUUAUGUGUUUUUGUAAUUUAAAGAUAAAAAUGCCCAAAAUCUGUAAAAAAAAAAACAAAACCGUAAAGCAAAAUCCAAAAACAAGUUCACAGUCCAAAAGUCUAAAAAAGAAUAAAUCAUAAACCACAUAAUAAUAUUAACUGAAAAAUCAAUCUGAGCACUCGCGCACUAUCCGAUCCUAAGUUUGUUGAUUACCUAAGAAGUUAGAAAAUUUGGGUGAGCUUACAAAGCUCAGUGUGUAACUCAACCCAUACAAAUAGAACAGAUAGCAUAAUCAUAAAAAAGUCAAAAAUCGAACAAAAUACACAAAAUGGCAUACUAUGCAAUGUAACAUAAUGAUCAAAUUAGAUACGAAUGACAUGACAUAUCAUGUGAUGCAACACUUAAUACAAAAUACAUACAAAUCCUACCCCAUCUGCUACACACCACCUUUAUCCAUUCGUACACACAAAAUAAGGUAAUAAAUACCCAUCGAACCCCACACACCAAUAAGUGAGUGUAUGUCACUAUAUAGAAAAGUGCAGUCAAAGCUGUUAGAAAUAAUGCGGUAAUCCGUCAAAAUCAGAUAAGUGUGAUCAAGUUAUCAGAAUUAUAGUCAAGUUGCCAAAACAGAUAUGUGGUUAAACCACGAGAUAGGAUAGAUCAUUAAACUGCCAACACUUCAUUCAUCACAUGAUUAUCCCACCCCAAAGCACAUGCAACAAAAACAUAACCAGAUAUUCAGAUGCACAAAGAUCAGACAUGUUUACAUAACGGAAUCAUGCUAAUGACAUGUUCAAAACUUUUAGAUCAAAUACAAAAUUACCUCAAUUAGCAUGCUUGUAGAAAGUACUCAUACAAAGGCAAAACCAUAGAAUCUUAUGCCAGAAACAUGAAUAUAACUUAGCAAACCCUAUAAUAUUGCUUACCUCAAAACGUACUUUAAAUAUGACCUUCACUAAAUUUUACAAAAAAUGGGCCCAAACAUCCGUGUGGCCCACAUGACCCACAUAAUCCAGUCUACAUGGCCCACAUGGCCUAACACAUGGUCGUAUGGCUCACACAGUUUGGCAUAUGACCAUGUGGCAUCGAUAAUUGGUUUUUCAGUUUCGCACCAUUUUUUAUUUUUUGGGACAGAAGCUACACACCUAGUCAUUUUUUGAUGCCAACGCAACAACAACAAUACUAGCACCUAACAAUGGCAUUCAAAAUGAACUAUUUAGCAAUUUUCAUACUAAAUCUGACCACAAAAUCGAUUGUAACACUAAACGUUUGGAUUGAUUAUUUUUUUAACACUAAGAUUCAACCUGAACAAGGCACUAAUCAUUCACCCCAACAGAAGAAGGAUUUUCUAAUACUUCUGUUUUUUCAGAAGAUUAGUCGCUUCCAAUUUUUUAUCUAAAUCACAGACUUCCAACCGUUCAAACUAUUAUCACCCAAAAUAAGAAUUCAUAUCCAAGCAUGUGAAAAAUAACUCCUUUACAAAAUAUGAGUCUUAAAUCAACAUCCUUACCACCCAUGGCCAACAAUCAAGACUGAAAAGGACGUUGGUGAAAAGUAACUCAACAACAUAAGAGACGAAAAGUAAAAAAACAAAAUGAGGACAAAACAAUAUACGACAACAACACAGUGGGAAAAGGCAUCUUCAAAGAAAAUGAAAAAGAGAUUAGUCAUGGAAAUGAUGUGGAACAAAAGAAAAAAAGAAAGAAAGAAAAGAAAACCAACAGAGGAAAGAGUGACGAAAACUUACUGAAACCCCUAAAGAAGCAAAAUAGGAUAUGGAAUAAUGGAUAGAGAGGGACUGUAGAAAGUAGAGAAAUUUUAGGAAUAUAUUUGGGAAAUUUUCAUAAAAAUAAGAAUUUAGAAAACUACCCAUAUUUCUACUAACUCCCACUAAAUUUGAAAGGAAAUUGCAAAAAAAAAAAUUUGUUUUACACACAUGGGGAUUUGAACAUAGGACUUUUGGGUAAAUUAAAGCCUUACUACUAAACUAGCAUGCUCAUUCUUGUCAACAAUUGAGCAAAAAUAUUAUAUAAGCUAGAUGUUCAAUGAUAGGGGUUGGAAAAAAUAUUAAAAAAAUUCAAGGGAAAUGAUUUGAACACAAGACCUCAGACACACAUAAUUAACACUUAGGCACUACAAAAAAUUAAUCCCUUAACAUGGUUCCUAUAAAAAUUAUUCUAAAACAAGGCGUGACCCCUCUUGGUUCACCAACCCUAUUUAUACUAACCUGGUUUUUUUUGGAUGUGACAACAUUUUUUAAAAUAACUUUAAUUUUUUUACUUUUUUAUUUUUAUUAAUCUAGCACUGCCAAGUUAGCAUUUGUUGUCUGAUGUGGCAUCUGUUGACAAUCAUGUUAGCAUUGUUAGUUUCUAAUUAUGAACGUUGAUCAAAGGAUCUUGUUGGUCAAAAUUGUUAAUUCAUAGAUUCAAUUGAGUGGAGUAGGUUAGGAGGGAUUUAAUUAAUUUAAAAAAAAGUUAAAAUGCUUAAUAAGCAUAUAGAAUUUUGGGUUAAUUCUAUCAAUCAUCUUUAAAUUAUUUCCAGUAGGCUUAAAGUAUAAUGUAAAAUGUAACUACAAUAUUUAUAUCUUUUGUCAAUUUGGCUAUUUUUCUUUUUAGCUAAAUUGGCCCUUAGUCUUUUAAAAAAUGAGCUGAUCCAAGGAAGAUUUCUACUUGGAAUGGAAUCAUGGAAAAAGUUGAGAAGAAACUAUCAGGUUGGAAGUGUCUCUCUCUCUUGGGCAGGGAGAAUUAUGCUUAUUAAUACAGUCUUAUCCUCUUUACCUAUCUACUUCAUGUUAAUUUUUCAAGUGUUUGUAGCUGUGAUUAACAAAAUUGACAAAAUUAGAAGGAAUUUUUUGUGGGGAAGUGUUGGUGGACGAAGGAAAAUGGCGAAGGUAAAGUGGAAACAAAUUUGUUUGCCAAAGGAUAAGGGAGUGCGGGAGUGGUGAAUAUUAGGGUAAAAAAUAAGACACUCAUGGUCAAAUAGAGUUGGAGAUUCGUGGCGGAAAGAGAAGUGUUGUGGAGAAAAAAAUUAUAUUUGCGAAGUUAGGAUUCCUUGCACAAUAAUGGUGAAUUAGAAUGAUCAACACCAAAGAUAUGUCGAUGGUUUGGAUGGUUAUCGUGGAGAAUGCUAAAGACUCAAAAGUGGCUAAAUGGAUGGGUAAAGAACCUUUUCGUUGGCUGAUUGGGAAUGGUAAUAUGACAAUGUUCUGGUAGGAUAUUUGGUGUAGAGAACGUCCACUGAGAGUGGAAUUUUCAUGGCUAUUUCAUUUAGUCAAUAACAAGAAAGGGUUGGUGAAAGGCUUCUCAAAGUCAAAUGGGUUUAACGAGGUUAAUUGGGUAGAUUUCUUUAUACGGCCACUAUUGGAAAGGGAAUUGGAUAUGCUCAAUUGUUUAAGGAAAGUAGUUAGUAGUAAGGUGCUGGUGCUAGAAGAGGAGAAUCGUCUAAUAUGGAUACAUGAUAAUAAGGGGCUGUUCUCAGUGACGAAAUUAUAAGAAUUUUUGAUCAAAGGAGUGGAAGACAUUAGUUUCACUUUUGAUAAGAUUUGGAAGUUAAAGGUACCUCCUAGAGUGGGAACCUUCCUUUGGAUGCUUUAAAUAGAUAGGCUAUCUACUAAGGAGUUCUUGACUAGAAGAGGUGUGUAGCUUUGUCAAUUAGAGAGGGGUUGCUCUUGGUGCGAUAGAGAACCGGAGAGUGCGUAGCAUCUUUUCUUUAAAUACAAAUUCAUUGAAGGUUUUGGUGAAAGAUUUUCGAGUGGUGAGAUGUUGAAUGGAAUCCAGUUGAUGGUUUAUUAGAUUUUUACUUUUUAUGUAAUAAUAUGAAGUUUACAGGUGUGUGCAAAAGUCUAUGGUUGAUUUCGGUGACAGCGGCAUGCUGGUCCGUGUGGCUGGUAAGGAACAAGUUGGUAUUUGAAAGGAAGUGGUCUACAACAAACAAUUUGUUAUUUCACUCCAAGAUGUAGGCAUUGAUGUAGGUUAGGGACGUCCAAGAUGAAUUAAGAGUGCAAGAGAGAUCAUUAUGGAUGUGUCCGUAUAGAAGCUGGUGUCAUUUAAAAAAAUCAGGGAUGGGUGGCUUGUUCUGAUGUCCUCUGAGGUAUGGUUGGGUAAAAUUUAAUGUAAGUGGAGUGGCAAAAGAGGACGAAGUCGGGUGUGGAAAGGUGUUAAGAGACGCGGAUGGGGUGGCAAGGGCAUUAUUUUCUAGUCCAGUUGGUGCAAAGGACUCCAUUGCUCCGAGAUUGGAGCCAUCAUCAUUGCUUUGGAUGUGUAUUUAGCAAUGGGUUAGAAAGGUAAAGGCUCUCUAAUUAUUGAGAUUGGAUCAAAUGAGGUGUUUAGUUCGAUUGAGAGCAAAAGGCUGAGACCAUGGAUGCUACAAUCUAUCUUGAAAGAUAUCGAAAAUAGAAUGCAUAAAGUAGGUAAUGUUUCCUUCUCAAAGGCUGGAAAGCACGGAAAUGAGAUGGCCUCUUCUCUGGCAUUAGUUGGAAUAAAAAGGCAUGGAAUGUUUAAGGUAUGGUGGUGAAUAUAUCAUGGGUAAUGUGUUGUUGAGUUUCUUCUAAAGAAUUGGUUAGUUGUUAGUAACUAAAGGAUCUUUGGUUAUAUGGGGCUUAUGUUUCGGUUGCUUGCACAAUUGCCUUUUAGAGGGUAGAAUAAUAAAGGGGGGUUUUGGGGUUCUGGUGGUAUAAAAUCAUGAUGUUAUCGAUAUGAGAUUUUGGUGAUUUGUACUUGGUAGAGGGACACUUUUCCUGGGGGAUUGUUGCAUUUUGCAGAUUAUUACAUUGUUUGCAAAUGCUUAAAAUGUGUAAUAAUUUAAUUGAGCAAAAAAAAAGUUUUUUUAACGAACAUCCUAAGUAAAACAUUAAUUUUUUAACAAAGUUUGCAUGGUAACUCGUGUUGCAGUCCAGUGUACUUCAUGUAGACAUAACAUUAUUUAUUAUAUGGGACACCAACAAGUAAUUUAAAAAUUAUAAAAAAAAUUAAAAAUUAAGAAUUAAAAUAAAAAAUAAAAAAAGUAUGAAGUACAUGAGUUGCCAUGUUUAAAAAUUUAACGGUUUAUUUUCAUUAAAAAUAGCAAUUCAACUAUUUUUGAAAGGUUUAAGGUUAAAUAUGAUUUUUUUUCCAAAGGUUGAAGACCAAUUUUAGCUAAAAAAAAAUAGGAAUCAAAUUGACAAAAAGAAUGUAAAUGUUGAAGACUAAAUUUGACGUUAUUCCUAUUCUUAAUUAGUUCUAAAUGUAACACCCCAAACCCGGCCCAAACGUUACGGCCAAAUCUAGCAAUGUCACAUGAGAGUGUUUUUGGAAAACCGUUUCAAUACAUAAAAAUCAUUCCAAUUAUUAUCUUUUACUUAGUUUGGAAAAACCGUUAAUUUAUUAAUUGGCUCGAAGAUAGUUCUUAAUACGCGGAAGCUUUAAAAUCCAAACAACUCUUGGUACCAUCUUACUUACGAAAACCUCAGUUAAUUUUAGAAAAACUCACUUAGAUGUUGUAGUUUAUAUUCCAAAAUCACAGUUCAAAAACCUAAAUUAAAACCAAAAGUCCAAGUCCAAAAUUACAUAAAAAAUUUCCCCAAAAAUAAUGAAAAUAAUAGAUAAAACAAAAGCAGUAAGUUCAUAAACCAAAAUGUAUAUGGUCGUGGUCAUCGUCGAGUCCUCCACUGCAUCGAUCCGCCUACUACUGGGGAUUACCUGAACAAAUAAAACAAAUAAAGGGUGAGAUUUCGCAACUCAGUGUGUACAUCCCCAUAGUUCAGUAUGCAUACAGUCAGAUAACAGAAUACAGUCAUAAUUCGGGCCUGAACCCUUUUACAGAAUCGGUGUGGGCCUUGGCCCACUCAGAAACAGAGUCAUAUACAACUUAAGGCCUUAGCCCAUCUCAAAUAUAGCAUGCAUAACAGAUUAGAAUAAUAGAAACAGGCCCACCAACCUUGCACACCAAUUCCUUCCAACCCAACACAUCAUGUAGGGAUAAAAUCAACCCACCCAUCCCUGCACGCCAAAUAUGGGGAUAAAAUCAACCCAUCCAACCCUACACACCAUAGAGUUCCGUAAAGCAGCACAUGUCAUGAAUAUGCAGCUUAGUUGCUAGAUAACAAGCUUUAAAGGCCUUUCAGAUACUUUCUUCAUCUUCAUCAAACCCACCCCAAUGAAUUGCAUCAUACAAGAAUGACAUGCUAUAAUGCAGAUUAAUAGACAUAUUUUCAUAUUCAGAACAGACAAAUAUACAUACUAAGUGUAACAUGGCAGUACAUACAUCGUAAUAUCAGAUCACAAAAUCAAGGGUCUAAGUAAGGCUUACCGACCCUACAAUAGGUCACAGUCGACUUGGGCGGCCCGUGUAACCUUACAGAACAUUUCAGAAAAAUGGGCUCACACGCCAAUAUGGCCUGCCCGUGCCCAUGUGGCCCACACAGCCCAAAUUAGCCUUGGCUGUGUGGACCACAUGGCCUGACCCAAAAUUCCAUAUGCCCGUGUGGGCCCACCUAGGUAGCAAGCACACUGCGUAUCCGUCAAGCCUGUUUCGCGCGCGCAGGACCUGGUUUGUCGACUACACACCCGUGUACUGCCACAUGACCUACCACACGGGCGACCACACGCUCGUCUGGCGUCGACAGAAUACUUUUCGACUUUUGCCAAAUAUCUUUUUCUGUGUAAUCGGAGUACACACCUGGUCCAAUUUUGACAAGUAAUCACUCCCGAGCACUCCAGAACCUAUAUUGUCAGAAACCCCAAUUUCAGUCACUUAAUCUGAAACUUCAACUAAGUUAUAAUGGAGCGCUCAUCACUCAAACAACGAAACCCUUACCUUUGAUCGAAACGUGAAGUUCAAGCUCUCAACCCAUCAAUGGGAAUGAUUUGCAGACUCUAGAUCGAUUCCUAAACCAAAAAGAACUCCUCUUAGUGAAAAUAUUUUCAGAAACACAUAGAUAGACAAAAGUCGAAACUUACCAACUAAUGCCGAAAGGAAAGCAGAGAUGAAGAAGUCUAAUGAGCGAUGGCAAAUAGAGAAAGAAAUAUGGGACUGUAGCAAAACAGAGGUCGGCGUAGGGAAGAGGAGAUAAACGAUUGAAAUUUUUGGGAAGAAAAUGAAUUUUCGGUUAUGGGGGAAAAAUAAUAAAAACUAUCCUGAUAGCCACUCCCUAAAAUCUCCUCAAAUCUCUCUGUACAAUCUCCCCACUAACUCCACUUAGAAUCCCAUCCUACUCCAAACUCUCAUACAGCUCAAGUAGCAAAAUAAAUCCCUCGUUCACACAAGGAUUCGAACUCUAAACCUCUAGCGACUUCAUACCCUACUUAACCACCAAACCAACAAGCCCAUGCUUAUAAGUUUUUACAAAUAAACACAUAUAAGCCUAAUAACCAAAGACAAGGUUUUAUUCAAAUAAAAACCAAAAUUCUUCCCAAGCUAAGACUCAAACUUAAGACCUCUCGCACACACCUAGAACACUUAACCACUAAAACAGAUACAAGUUUAUAACUAUUAAUUAUUGAAACAUAUUUAUAAAAUUUGGGGCGUUACAUCUAAACUAAAAAAAUAGAUUAAGUGAAUCUUUAAAAUAUCAUCGUUGUAUCUAUGCAAUAAAUUUUAACGUAUUAAAAAGUAAAUAUCAAUAAAAUGUUAUCUAUGUUGCAGAUAUAUAUUUCUUUACAAUUUAAUCUAAGUAUUUUAAAUACACUUCAACUCAAACUUGAGUUGGCAUUUAAUGCCUCAGCUAAUUGUUAACCUAAUAAAAAUACUUGAUUGAUAUGAUACUAAUAUUCUGAGGACUAAAUUAAAACAUUUUUAAAAUUUAAAAUAUGCAUAAUUUGAGAACAUUAAGUCACAGUUUAAUGUGUUUAUGGUAAAUUAGUGAAUAGUAAACCUGACAUGCUUUAUUAUAAUAGUAAACAUUAACUUCUCUGUACUCAGUUUAAUUGUGGGAUUGUAAUUAUCAUUUAUCUCGGUCUUUAUAUUGUAAGAUUACAACUGUUUAAUUUUCUUUCCGUAUCUAAAGCAUGACCUGAUUAAUUUUCAUAAUUACAUGCUAUUUUGUUUUAGAAAAUUAUUUUAAAUAUUUUUCGCUGUUUUUUUUCAAUGGUUUUAUAAUUUUUUUUUCCAAAAACAUCAGCGGCUUUCAAAACAUCAGGAGAAUAAUAACGAAAUUGAAUCUUUAAAUAAAACGACUUAAAAAUAAUAAAUGAAAAGGAACAAUUUCCCUAUAAAAUACACUAGUGGUUUCAUGGGUUACUUCAAUAAUCGAAUAUAAGGUCUUCCACUUAGCCGAAAUUCUUUGGUUUAGUUGAUGGUGUUAUAAUAUUUUUUAAUAAUUUUAUAAAUAUUAAUCAUUUAUAAAAAUAAAUUUUAAUUAGUUUAUAAUAAUUUUUUAUAAAAUUUAAUAAAUUUUUUUAUAAUUUGAAUGAUUUUUUUAUUAUAAUUUUUUAUUUUUUUAAUUUCGAAAUGAAUCUUGAGAAAUGUAUCUCUAGAUUCAAAGGAACCUAAAUAAAUGGGUGUUCAAAUUGAAAUGAACUUGGCCAACCAUUUAUCCAGCAUCGUUGUAUACUUUUCUAAAAAUAAAUUAAAAAUUUUUUUUUACUUUUUUAUUGUUUUUACUAAUGUGGCACUACCAAGUUAGCAUUUGUUGUCUGAUGUGGCAUAUGUUGACAAUCAUGUUAAUGUUGCUGUUAGUUUCUAAUGAUCAAUGUUGGUUAACUGGCCUUGCUGGUUAAAAUUGUCAAUUCAAGGAUUCAAUUGAAUAGAAAAGGUUUGGAGGGAUUUAAUUAAUUUUUUUAAAAAAGUUAAAAUGCUUAAUAAGCCCAUAUUAUUUUGAGUUAAUUCUAUCAAUCAUCUCUAAAUUAUUGCCAAUAGUCUUAUAGCAUAAUGUCAAAUUUAACCACAAUAUUUAUAUUUUGUCAAUUUGGCUCUUUUUAUUUUUCUUUUUAGAUUAAUUGGCGCUUAGUCUUUUAAAAAAGAGUCAAAAAGGUUUAUUUAAUAAAAAUCCUGACUAAAACAUAUAUUUUUUAACAAAGUUGGCAUGGCAACUCAUGUUGUAGUCCACAUGUACUUCAUGUAGAGAUAACACUAUAUAUUAUAUGCCACACCAAAAAGUAAUUUAAAAAUUAUAAGAAAUUAAAAAAAUAAAUAAUAAUAAAAGAAUGUAGUACAUGUGAAUUGGUACGUGAGAUGCCUUGCUUAAAAAUUUAAUGAUUUAUUUUCAUUAAAAAAUAGCAUUUCAACUAUUUUUGAAAGAUUUAAGGGUAAAUAUGAUUUUUUUUAAAAGGUUGAGGACCAAUUUUAGCUAAAAAAAAAUAAGAGUCAAAUUAACAAAAAAAAAUAUAAAUGUUGAGGACUAAAUUUAACGUUAUGCCUAUUCUUAAUUAGUUCUGAACUUCAAAAUAGGUUAAUUGAAUCUUUAAAAUAUCAGCAUUGUAUCUAUGCGGUAAAUUUUAACAUGUUAAAAAAUCAAUGUCAAUAAAAUAUUUAUCUAUGUUGUAGAUAUAUACGUCUUUACAAUUUGAUCUGCAUAUUUCAUAUACACUUUAACUUAAACUUGAGUUGGCAUUUAAUGCCCAAAUUAAUUGUUAAGCUAAUGGAAAGAUUUGAUUGAUAUGAUACUAAUAUUUUGAGGACUGAAUUAAAAUAUUUUAAAAUUUAAAAUUGAAUUUAAAAUCUGCAUAAUUUGAGAAUAUUACGUCAUAGUUUAAUGUGUUUAUGGUAAAUUAGUCAAUAGUAUAAUAGUAAACAAGUAACAUUAGUCCUUGAUCAAAUCUGACAUGCUCUAUUAUAAUAGUAAACAUUAACUUCUCUUUACUCAGUUUAAUUGUGGGAUCGUAAUUAUCAUUUAUGUCGGCCUUAAAUCGUAGGAUUAGAACUAUUUAAUUUUCUUUCUGUAUCUAAAGCAUGACUUGAUUAAUUUUCAUAAUUAAAUACUAUUUCGGUUUAAAAAAUUAUUAUAAAUAAUUUUUUCUGUUUUUUUAAAUAGUUUCAUAAUUUUUUUCCGAAAACCUUAGCCACUUUUAAAACCUCACAAUAAUAAGAAUGAAAUUAAAUAUUUAAAUAAAGGCGGCUUAAAAAUAAUAAAUGAUUUCCUAAGAUCAAAAGGAAGUUCCCUCCGAAAUAGACUAAUGAUUUUAAGAAUCAUUUCGAUAAUCGAAAACAUAACGUGUUCGACGUAACCGAAAUUUGCAGAGAACAUUACGUCAUAGUUUAAUGUGUUUAUGGUCAAAUAGUCAAUAGGAUAAUAGUAAACAAGUGACGUUGCUUAGUCCUUGAUCAAACUUGACAUGCUCUAUUAUAAAAAUCAAUGAAAAAGAUCAAUGGGAAGAACUGAGAAACGAAAGUCCUUGGGUCUGAAAGAAAUGCAUGCACCGAUUUAACUUUCAGAUGCCUUAAAGAUUAACAUUGGUUAAGACUUAAAAUCGUUAAAGAUUAUUUAUUAUUUGAAAAUAGGUUUCUUUCAUUUAAUAUAAUAUUAAUAAAAUUUUAUCAAUUUUAAAUAUAUAUAAUUUUUAUUUAAUUUUAAAAAAUAGUUAAUUGAUUAAAUUAAAAAUUGGUGAUCUGUCUAAUUUUGUACAUACCCAAGAUAGGACACAUCUUUAUUAGCUAAUUACUACUUUUUUAAGGAACUAGUUACUACUUUUUAGAUUUAUUUAACAUGAAAAUCAAAUUUAACAUUUAAUUAUGUUAGUCCAACUGAUUUAAUUUAUAUUUUAGUUGAGGCUGCCCGGCGGCGGGAAGGACUGAAAUGAUAUAUUCCUUUCAGUCUAAAGUUCAACAGAGGAUAAAUAUUUACUUUGUAACACAUUUCUACACAUUUCAUCUACUAAUAUUUUACAGGCAUCAACUUUGAAUAAGAGAAUCAAACAAAAAGACAAAUCAAAAUUUCUUUUAAUCUAUUCGCAAUUCUAAUGCAAUGGGCCCUACACGAAUCUUAUUGUAUAAUUGUUUUCUUGCAUUUAGCUUGUCUUUUUUUUACUUAAACUCACCAGUAUAUUUUACCUAUAAAUGCAUGCAACAAUUGCACUCUUAUCCUCACAGAUUCUGUGCCAAAUUUCAAGAGCAAACAAAAAAAGGCAGCAAAUUAAGCUUUUCAAUAUUUGCUUUUGAUCAAUCGAAAUGGCUUCACAAGUUUCUCAAAUGCCUUCUUCAUCACCCCUUUCUUCCAAUAAGGAUGAAAUGCGUCCCAAAGCCGAUUUUCAGCCUAGCAUUUGGGGAGAUCUCUUCCUCAACUGUCCCGACAAGGUAUACAUACAUAUGACCAUAUUGGUAUAUAAUCUUAACAGGUUAUUUGUUUUAUUUAGUGAUACAAUGUGAAAAAAAUUUUCAUUAUUUUGAGCAGAAUAUUGAUGCUGAAACUGAAAAGCGCCACCAACAAUUGAAAGAAGAAGUGAGGAAGAUGAUUGUGGCACCAAUGGCUAAUUCAACCCAAAAGUUAGCCUUCAUUGAUUCAGUCCAAAGACUGGGUGUGAGUUACCAUUUCACUAAGGAGAUCGAAGAUGAACUAGAGAAUAUCUACCAUAACAACAAUGAUGCUGAGAACGACCUCUACACCACAUCCCUUCGAUUUCGAUUACUCCGAGAGCAUGGAUUCAAUGUUUCAUGCGGUAAUUACUGGAACAACAUGAUGGUAUUUUUAAGUUUCUUGAGCAUAUAAUAGCAUGGAAUGUUUGAUAACAAUAUUUCAUUUUGGGUAAUUUCAUCUCAGACGUAUUCAACAAGUUUAAAGACGAGCAAGGGAAUUUCAAGUCAUCCGUGACAAGCGAUGUUCGAGGAUUGUUGGAACUUUACCAAGCUUCCUAUUUGAGGGUUCAUGGGGAAGAUAUAUUGGAUGAAGCAAUUUCUUUCACCACCAACCAUUUAAGCCUUGCAGUAGCAUCUUUGGACUAUCCGUUAUCCGAAGAGGUUUCACAUGCUUUGAAACAAUCAAUUCGAAGAGGCUUGCCAAGGGUUGAGGCAAGACACUAUCUUUCAGUAUACCAAGAUAUUGAGUCCCAUAAUAAGGUUUUGUUGGAGUUUGCUAAGAUCGAUUUCAACAUGGUACAACUUUUGCAUAGGAAAGAGCUAAGUGAGAUUUCUAGGUAUGUUUUUGAAUCUCUUUCACCCAUUUUUCUCUUUUUCAUCUUUUUUUUUUAAAUUUUUUUGGUGGAAGAAGGGUUGAAUUUAUGCGCGGCAUCAUUCUCAAUAUUUGAAUCUUAAUAAAUAGCACAAGUUAAAAGUGAUGGAUUCAUCUUUUUCACUUACAUCAUUUUACUUAUAUAUAUUUUAAAAUUUGAGGUAGCCAAUUUACUUAGGAAUCUAACAAUUUACUCAUUGACAACAUGAAUGUGAAACUAAUUAAAACUUUGAAUAUUCAUUUUGCUAAAGGGGUUUUCUAUAAUAUGAUUUUUUAGGUGGUGGAAGGAUUUAGACUUUCAAAGAAAGUUGCCAUACGCAAGAGAUAGAGUGGUUGAAGGCUAUUUUUGGAUCUCAGGAGUGUACUUUGAGCCCCAAUAUUCUCUUGGUAGAAAGAUGUUGACAAAAGUGAUAGCAAUGGCUUCUAUUGUAGAUGAUACAUAUGACUCAUAUGCAACAUAUGAAGAGCUCAUUCCCUAUACAAAAGCAAUUGAGAGGUUAGAUUUCUAAAAUUUUGUUGGUAAUAGGUUAGGUUCCUUUAGUUGAAGUUAACAUUGAAGUUGAAUUCAGGUGGGAUAUCAAAUGCAUAGAUGAACUUCCUGAAUACAUGAAACCAAGCUACAAAGCGCUAUUAGAUGUUUAUGAAGAAAUGGAACAAUUGGUGGCUAAGCAUGGGAGACAAUAUCGUGUCGAAUAUGCGAAAAAUGCGGUAUGUACAUCGGCAAACAUUUUUUUUGUACAAAAGAGAUAAUAUAUUACCUAAAUUCUAGAUUUGAAUAAACAACUAACUUGAAUAACAAUAUAUAAUCAUUUAAAUAUUAUUAUUGAAUUUGAAUUGAUAUUAGUGAUAAUUGUUGGGAUUUUGUUACCUCAGAUGAUACGACUUGCUCAAUCUUACCUUGUGGAGGCCAGAUGGACUCUUCAAAACUACAAACCAUCAUUUGAGGAGUUUAAGGCUAAUGCAUUGCCAACUUGUGGUUAUGCCAUGCUUGCUAUUACAUCUUUCGUCGGCAUGGGAGAUAUUGUAACACCAGAAACCUUUAAAUGGGCAGCCAAUGACCCUAAGAUCAUUCAAGCUUCUACAAUUAUUUGUAGGUUUAUGGAUGAUGUUGCUGAACACAAGGUAUAAUAAUAUAUUUACAUAAUCACAAGAAACCAAACUCUUAACUCAAUAACAAUGGUUUUUAUCAUGAUUUUUUUAUCAUGAUUUGAAACAAUUAAAGUUUAAUGUUUAUAUAUCAAAUGUUUAGCCUUAAAUCGAAGAAUAAGAAAAGAUAUCUAGUUUCAUUUUAAACAAAUAUAGUUUAAUAAACGAAUAGAUUUUAGGUUAUGUAGUGAUAGAAUAAUUUUGAUUAUUAUGGUUGCAGUUCAAACAUAGGAGAGAAGACGAUUGCUCAGCAAUUGAGUGUUACAUGGAAGAAUAUGGUGUAACAGCACAAGAGGCAUAUGAUGUAUUCAACAAGCAUGUUGAAAGUGCUUGGAAGGAUGUGAAUAAAGAGUUCCUGAAACCAACAGAAAUGCCAACAGAAGUUUUGAAUCGUAGCCUAAACCUUGCAAGGGUGAUGGAUGUACUUUACAGAGAAGGUGAUGGCUACACAUAUGUUGGAAAAGCUGCUAAGGGUGGAAUCACUUCAUUACUCAUUGAGCCAGUUGCACUUUGAAAUCAUAUUAAAUUUUCCUCUUCUGUUCCUUAAGGAAUAGUUAUUAAGUUAUAAUUAAUAAUGUUUUAUAAUAUUCAUAUAUAUAUUAUAAAAGAAAGUUUAAAUCAACUGUCUUUGUAUUCAUUUCCUUGUAUUGAUCCAAUAAAGUUCUUUUCAAGCUUUCAUUUGUGAAAAAUAUGCUCUUAUAUAUUUUAUAUUUUAAUUUUCCUUCUUUCGUCGCUAUAGCUUUGAACAUGAAUUUUAGAGUAUGAUCCUGUCAUGCUUUUCCUCUUUACUGCCAUUGUUGUCACUUUCAAUGAUUUUUCUCUUCUUUGCCAUAACAUUAUCAUCCAAGAUUUGCAUAUGAUAAAGUUUUGCCUUUCAGAUAGCCUUUUCAAGCCUCGCCACCACAAGCUCGCUUAACUAGGGAUACUUCUUAAUAAAAUCUAUUUGUUGUCCUUGUUUCUAGGCGUAUAGUUGCUGCACAUCAAGGAUUUAGUGCUGCAGAUCAUGGGUUUAUUUGGUUUAGAUUUUUUUCCUUCGUUGUUAAAAGUCCUAUUUUGAGUCUUAUGUUGUUGGUGUCUAAUUUCUUGAUUUUUUUGUCAUGUAAUUGCCUAUAUAAUAGGUUCUUGAGGUUGUGAAUAAAUGAGCUGAUCAUUUUAUUUUCCUUUUCAUUUAUUUUUUUCAUCUUGUUGUUAUCUCUCUUAGAAAGCUAAUAGUGGUGUGAAUAAAAAAGAGUAUUUUUGGUGAGAGAAAAAAGUUUGUGGUCCUCCUAUGGCUUCUGAAAAUUUUGUACAGCUACCUAUUCCACGUUUUGAUGGUCACUAUGACCAUUGAAGCUUGCUGAUGGAGGACUUCUUACAGUUCAAGGAGUAUUGGCAAGUCAUUGAGCACGGUAUAGUAGCACCAACAGAUGGAGAAAAGCUUACAGAAGCAUAGCAAAAAGGACUUGGAGGGGCUGGAGCUGAAAGAUUUGAAAGUAAAAAAUUACUUAUUUCAAGCUAUUGAUUGUUCGAUCCUGGAAACCAUUCUUUACAAAGAAACUUUCAAGGAUAUUUGGUACUCCAUGAAGACAAAAUACCAAGGCUCUUCCAGAGUGAAGUGUGCAUAGCUUCAGGCUUUGCGAAGGGACUUUGAAGUUUUUCAGAUAGAGGAUGGUGAGACCAUUACAGACUAUUGUGUAUGAACCAUGAGAAUCAUGAAUAAUAUGUGAUUUUUUGGUGAGAAGAUGAAUGACACAACCAUUGCUAAGAAGGUAUUGCAGUCCUUGUCACCAAAGUAUGAUUGAUGCACUCACCCUUGAUGAACUCAGAGUUCUUUGUUGGUCCAUGAAUAGAAGAUGAAUAGAACUUCUGCCCCAAUAGAGCAGGCUUUGAAAGCUUCAACUUAUUCUUUCAAAGGAAUAAGCAGAAGUCGAGGAAAGGGAAGAGAUAGAUAAGAAAGUUGGAAUAAAGAUGGUGCUAGGUAUACUAGACUAGAUGAUAAAGGCAAACAAAGGGAUCGACAAUUUGACAAGUCAAAGGUAGAAUGUUUUGGAUGUCAUAAUUUUGGUCAUUAUUGUUUUGAAUGAUGUACUAAUCAUCUAAUGACAAGGAAAAGGGAGAAAAUUCAAAUUUUGCAGAAAAAGAAGCUAAAACCUUGUUAGUGGCAGUUUAUGAUAAGCAAGAGAAGCCGUAAAACUCAUAUUUAUGGCAUGUGGAUACAGGCUGUAGCAACCACAUAUGUGGUAAUAAGCUUUCUUUCUCUUAUCUAAAUGAAGUCUUUCACACUAAUGUGUCUUUUGAGGAUAAAUCUAUUGUUGAAGUACUGGGAAAGGGUGAUUUUAGUAUAAGAACCAAGAAUAGUUUUGUAGAAACAAUUUCCUAUGUUUUCUUUAUGUUUGCUUUGAAAAGUAACUUAUUAAGUGCUAGUCAAUUGCAAGGAAAAGGAUAUGUGAUUACGGUAUCAAAAGGUGCUUUUGAAAUUUAUGAUCCUUCUAGAGGUGCUAUUGGAGUGGUUCCAAUGAGUUCCAAUAGGUUGUUUCCAUUGGUGAUUGAUUAUUUUCAACCUUGCUUGAUGGCUAAAGUGAAAGACAACACAUAGCUUUGGCAUUUCCGCUAUGGUCAUAUUAAUUUUAGGGGUUUGAAGACUCUUAGAUAGAAAGAGAUGGUCAACGGCCUACUUCAGAUUACCAUUCCAACCUAAGUGUGUGAAGAUUGUGUUGUUAGCAGACAACAUCGCGAACAAUUUCCCAAAAGAAAGUUUUAGAGAUCAAAACGUGUACUGGAAUUGGUUCAUUCAGAUAUCUGUGGGCCAAUAAAACCAUUAUCUAAUGGAGGUAAAAAUUAUUCUCUUACUUUCAUUGAUGAUUAUUCCCAAAAAUUGUAGGUUUACUUUUUGCAGGCGAAAUCAGAAGCAUGUAGUGCAUUUACUAGCUUCAAGGCACUUGUUGAGAAUGAAAUCGGGAAAACCAUUCAAGUUCUUUGCAUUGAUCAUGAUGGAGAAUAUUGUUCCAAUGAAUUUGAAGCAUUUUGUGAGAGCCAUGACAUUUGGAAAAAAGCUUACCACUGCAUAUAGAUCUCAACAAAAUGGCGUAUAAGAGAGGAAAAAUAGAACCAUACUUAAUAUGGUGAAGAGCAUGCUUGCUAGUAGAAGUGUCUUAAAACAAUUUUGGGCAGAAGUAGUAAAUUGGAGUAUCCAUGUCUUGAACAGAAGCCCAACUUUUGUUGUUCAAAACAUGACACCUGAAGAAGCUUGGAGUGGAAGGAGACCAGCUGCAGAUCACUUCAAAGUUUUUGGUUGUAUUGGUUAUGCACAUGUUCCAAAUGCAAAGAGAAAGAAGCUUUAUGUCAAAGGAGAGAAGUGUGUCUUUCUAGGUGUAAGUGAAACAUUUAAAGUGUAUAAAUUGUUUAAUUGUUUAACAGAGAAAAUUGUGAUUAGUAGGGAUGUAAUUUUUGAUGUGGAGAAUACUUGGAAUUGGGAUGACCAACAACCUUUUCAAACCUUUGUUGAUACUAAAAUUGAAUAUGAAAGGCAGUAGCCUUUAGAUUAGUAGACUUAAUCAGUUGAGCUUGAGAGUUCACCAAAUAAUACUCUAAUAACCACCUAAGUAGAAGUAGCUGAACCUCGUCUUAGUUGUAUUCGACGGAGACCAGCUUGGAUAGGAGAUUUUGAGGUAAUUGGUGUCGGAUGGAUUAGAGAUCUAACCAUCCAUUUUGCCUUAUUUGUGGAUUGUGAUCAACAAUCUUUGAAAGUGCUUUAAAUGAGUCAAAAUGGAAAAAGACAAUGGAUGAAGAAAUUGUAUCGAUAGAGAGGAAUGAUACAUAGGAGUUGACUAAGCUUCUAGAAAGGCACAAGACAAUUAGUGUCAAAUAGGUGUACAAGACAAAGUUAAAGGAGAAAGGAGAAGUCAAUAAGUAUAAGGCACGUUUGGUGGCUAAAGGUUAUAAACGGGAGUUUGGGGUGGAUUACAAAGAAGUCCUUACCCUUGUUGCAAGGCAUGAUACUAUUAAAUUAGUGAUUUUGCUUGUAGCCUUAUACUCUUGGCCUACAAUUAGAUUGGUGAUUUUUCUUGUAGCCUUAUACUCUUGGCCUAUCUUCCAAUUUGAUGUGAAUUCGACAUUUUUACAUGGUGAGCUCAAAGAAUAGAUUUUUAUUGAACAACCUAUUGGUUAUAUUAAACAUGAAAGUGAAAAUAAAGUUUAUAAGCUAAAAAAAGGCUUUAUAUAGGUUGAAACAAGUCCCACAUGCUUGGUAUAGUCGAAUUGAAGCUUAUUUCUUGAAAGCUGGUUUUCCCAAGUGUCCUUAUGAGUCUACUAUUUUCAUUAAAACUGGUGGUGAAGGGAAAAUUCUUAUUGUGAGCUUAUAUGUUGAUGAUCUUAUUUUCAUUGGAAAUUGUAGUUCUAUGUUUAAUGUAUUUAAGAAGUCUAUGGUGGUUGAAUUUGAAAUGUCAGAUCUUAGUAUGAUGCAUUAUUUUCUAGGCAUAUAAGUAGUGCAAUCAACUGAUGGAAUUUUUUUUCUCAAAGGAAAUAUGUUCAAGAUAUUCUGAGCAAGUUUGAUAUGAAGGAUUGUAAUCCAGCAAGCACCACUUUUGAGUCUGGUUUGAAGUUGAGCAAAGAAUGAAAAUUAGUGGACAACACUUUUUAUAAGCAGAUUGUUAUGUACUUGAUUGGUAUAAGACCUGACAUAAUGUAUUUUGUGAGUUUGAUCAGCAGGUUUAUGGAAAAUCCUACAGAGAUGCAUUUAUUGGUUGCCAAGAGAAUCCUUCAUUACUUGCAAGGAACCAUAUAUUUUGGGUUGUUUUACAAAAAAAAGGAGAAUUUUCAAAUUUAUUUGUGUUCAUUGACAGUGACUGCAGGAGAUCUAAAUGAUAGAAAUAGCACUGCAGGUUGAGCUGUUUCAUGGUCAUCCAAGAAGCAAUCUAUUGUUUCUUUGUCAACAACUGAAGCUGAAUUUGUUGCUGCAGCAGCCUGUGCUUGUCAAGAUAUUUGAUUGAGGAAAUCAUGGAGGAGCUGAAAUCCAAGAGAAUGGGAGUUACAACAAUUUUUUGUGACAACAACUCAGUUAUCAGAUUCUCAAAAAAUCUAGUAUUACAUAGUAGAAGUAAGCAUAUUGAUGUGAAGUACUAUUUUUUGAGAGAUCUUAACAAUGAUGGGGUAGUUGAUCUCAAGUGCUGCAAGAGUAAAGAUCAACUAGAUGGCAUAUUCACCAAACCUUUCAAAUUAUUUCCCUUAUUGUAAGUCCUAUUGUGAGCCUUAUGAUGUUAGUGCCUAAUUUCAUGAUUUUUCUGUUAUGUAAUUUAUAUAUAAUAGGUUCUUGAGGUUGCAAAUAAAUGAAUUGAUCAUCUUAUUUUCCCUUUCCUUUAUUUUUCUUUCAUAUUGUUGUUAUCUCUCUUAGUAUGCUAACAAUACCUUCACCUCUUUAAGCCCUACCAUUAUCAACUUGCCCUUUAGAAUUAGUGCUACAAAGCUCUCUUUUCAAACUCACCAAGAAGCUCCACCAACAAAAUGCCUACACCAUCAACAUCACCUCUCUAGGCAAGCCAAUGACAACACAUUACACCUUGCCCAAAAACAUUAUCUCAGGGAAGGCCACUUUAUAACCUCUUGCUCAAUUGCAAUAGGGGGUGAUCCACCCAAGCACACUUACAUAAUCAACAGUGUAGGCACCACAUUACCAUAAGCAUGAUUGUGUCAAAUUGUAAUAUAGUAGUUACAAUGGAACACUUAUGUAAGUACUCCAAGGAUCAUUCUUCCACAUGGAUUGAUAAAGGAAUUCUAUAACCAAACAAAAAAAAUUGGCCGUUAAAAAUACAAUGAUGUAAACUUAAAUGAUCUUUGAAUAGUUAAGUGACCAAAGUGUAAACUUAAUAGUUGUUGAGUGGCUAUAAGUGUAGUUUACCAAUUCUUUAAUGUUUAAGAUUACUUUUGUUUAAAUCUACCUUUUUGCUUCAAAAUUAUGGGUGUCCUUGAUUGGUUGGAAAAGUGGAGAAAUGGGAGGAAGGACUGGAAAAGUGGAAAGAAAAUAAAUUUUGAUUGUACUUUGUAGGGAAUAAAAGUGAAAGGAAAGGAAAUAGGAGAGAUACUCAUUUUCCUUCCUAAUGCAUAUGAAUCUAUAUUUCCAAAUUGGAAAGAUGAGAGGAGAGAAAAUUAUAAAGAUGUGUAUGUUAGUUUAAAAUUAUGCUAUUUUCUUUCAUCUCAUUUUUUAACUGUACCAAACAAUGGAGGGAAAGAAAAUUACCUUUUUUUUUUUUCCAGUUUUAUGUUUUUCCUAUCAAACACACCUAUGGAAAGAAAAAUUAUGUUUUCCAUCCUUCUAAUUUUCUACCCUUUCAAUUUUCCGUCAUUCCAAUUUUCUUUCCACUCCAACAAGCAAAGCGAAAAUGUCUAGAGACAAAAUUGUUGACUUUUAUAAUUGUUAUAAUAAAUGUCGAUAAUGACAAUAGAAUAACCGCAAAGUCUGAAAAAAAUAAGAACACACAAAUUUUAAGUGAAAACCCUUUCGGGAAAAAACUACGGACAAAGGAGAACAAAUUUACUAAUGUUGAAAAAUGAAUGAUACAAGAGGAGUUUCAACUACAUCUAUUAAAAUGUUGAAAAAUCCUAUUCUAAUCAAUGCCAAAUAGAAGAAAAAUAGUUUUUCAACGAGUGAUGGGAUUCGGGUCACACAAACUCUAACAAUAAUUAAUGAAUUUAUUUAGUCUUUUACUUCAUAAUACAAUGACCCACAUUGUGAAAUUUCCAUUUCUAUUUUAGAAAAUUUCUAAAAAAAGUUGUUUAGAAAUAAUCUUCUCAUGAGUUGUAAGUAAAAAAUCCAGUAAUAUUAUUAAAUAUUUAGUAAUAUUACAAGAUAUCUGUAUUACUAAGCUAUAAGUAACUUUGUAAAAGAUUUAGAAAUUUACAUUGUAAAAAAUUCAAUAAUUUAUUGAAAAUGUUACAAUGUUGUAGCAAAUUCAGUUUUUUAAGUAGCCCACACUAUUUUAAAAUUACUGAAUUACUUACAUGAUUACCAAAAAAAACCUUCAACUAUUACUGAAUUCAUUAUGACAUUUUUUAUUUAUCUAAUCUCCUAAGGGAUCCUAUAAGUAAUUCAAUAAUUCUAUAAGUUUUAGUAAUUCAGUAUUUUUACGAUAUUUAGUAAUGUACGAAAUUAUGAAAAAUUAGGUAAACAUUAAAAUGUUGUAAGAUAUUCAAUAAUUCAUUUAGGUUAUUCAAUAUUUUUUAAUUUUAAUUUAGUUUGGCCAUAAUAAGCACUUUUGUUCCUUGGGUUUGUGGGUUUGCUGCGAAUUAGAAAGGUUUCAUCAUUUUUUUUAUUUCUCUAGGUAAUUGGAAUGAAUCUAAUAACUAAUUUUUUGCGUUCUAUUUAGGCCCAUUAAGGAGUAGAUGUUGACCACGAAUUUUAAAACUGCUUCAUACCCAGGACGAGAAUUGAACCCUCGACCACUGGUUAAAAUAGAAAAGACCCUUAACAUCUCACUUAACUCCCAUAAUUAAAGGGUUCAUCAAUUUUAACAAUAUGUUUUAAGCUUCGUUAUCAGUUAACCCUUCAAUCUCCUAGCUUCAGAACUAAAAUAAAGCAUCAACUUCUAGCUCCCCGUACCAUCAUUCAAUGGUCAUUUCGUGCUUUCAUAAAAAAAAAUGCCAUUUCAAAAGAGAGAAAUCUGAAUAAAAUAAAAGAUUCAUCAUUAGCAAUAAAAGACAUGAAGAAAUUGAGAAGUAAACAAAAGAAAGAAAAGAGACAGAAGCCCAUUUCAGAAGUUCUUUUUCGAAAAUCAAGCAAGGGAAUGGAUUUGAAAAUAGGAUUUUUUGUAAAUAUUUUUUUAUUUAUAUAUUAUUAAUCCUUUCAUAUAUUUUUUAAUUUUUAUAUCAUUUUUAUUUAAAAAAUUUAGGAACUAUAAAAAAGUAAUAUAUAUAUAGUGAUUAGUUCUGCAAUUCAACCUAAAUUUUUCAUCUAACAUGAUUACUUAAUAUAUUACGUUAGCUUACUAUUAUUUCACUAAUGAUAAUUAAUAGUCUAAUAACUAAAUAUUACAAAUCGAUAAUGUUAGUGACCAUUUCGUAACAAAUUAAAGUUCAUUGACUAAAAUGUAAUUUAAACCUUAGAUAAAUGAAUAUUUUUAUAAUUUAUCCUAUAUAAUAUUAUAUAUAUGUACCUUCAAGAAAAAAAUCAUAUAUAUGCACGCCAAAAUAUAUAUAUAUAUAUAUUUAAUGUUAAGUUUCUAUUAUAUAAUAUUUAUAACAUUUAUAAAAAUUAAAUUUUAAGUUUGUGAAGACCAGAAAAAUUUAUGAAAAUUUUUAAAAAUUUAAAAGUUUCAAAAUACACCAACUGACCACAUGCUUGUUGGAAAUACUUAAAUUCAUAAUGCACAAUAAAAUACUAAAAAGAAAGGAGUUAAUAUAUGUUAACUUUGUUGAUAUGGUAUAUAUGUAAAUUGCUAUGUGAAUGAAAUCUCAGUAAUUAAAAUUUUUAAAAUUUAAAAAGUUUAACAAAAUAUAUAAAAAAUAUAUUUUAAAAUUUAAAUUUAUUUAAAAAAUUAAAAAAUAUAUUUUAAAUUUUUUAAAAAUUAAUUUUUUCAUCUAUUUUGGGGUGAUUUAACAAAUAACACAAAUUCAAGAACUAAAAAAAACGAAAACUUAAAUGAAGAACUAAAAUGACAAUUUAUAAAGUUGAAAGGCUAAGUAAAUUAUUACCUUUGCUAAUAGCCUUUAUUCCUUUAUUUUUGUAAACAUGCCAAAUCUAAAGAAAAAAUAUAUUAAACAUUUAAUUUUAUAUUGUGUGCGAAAUUAUUUGAUUUGGUUUAAUAUAAAUAAAAAUGUAAUACUUAAUUACUCAUUAUUAGAUGGGUUUAUUAUCAAUUAGUAAAAAGAAAUUGUAAUACGUUAAAAUUAUUUUUAGAAUUUAAAAUUUAUAAAAAUGAAUUAAAUGAAUAUCCGACCAAUAAAUCCGAGAGCACAAUAAAUAUUAAUGCCAUUAGUAAAAUUACGAAUGCACAAUAAGGGAAGAAUAUAUUAAUUUUUUUGAUAAAUAUAGACGCCUUUGGUGAAUUUGGUGAUUUCCCUUUGAAUAUUUUGUCUCAAUUCCAAUGUAUAAGAAUUUUUUAAAAUUAUGAGUUUCAAAUAUAAAAUUCUAGUAUUGACUGAAUCAAACAACUAUAGAAUUCAAUUUGAAAAAAUAUGUUAAAUUAAUUGUGAAAAAUAUCUUAUUCAAAGAGUCAAGCCGACAUUUUUUUUCUUUUUUAUUAUUAUUAUAAAUAUGAAGUAAACAAACCUAUGUUAAAUAAUUAUAUUCAUGUUGAAAUUAAAGCCUCACGUGAAUUUAGAAAUUCUUUUUAGAGGGCUCAAAAAUAAAUUAUAUAUUGUUUCGAUAGUAAAAAAAUAAUUUUUAUCAUUUUAAUAGUUUAUAUUUUUAUAAUUUUUAAAGAAUUAAAUUAAUUAUUAUUAUUUUAGGGGGUUAACAUAUAAUUUUAUCAUUACUAAUUUAAAAUUUUAUAAAUUAUAAAAAAGAUACAUAAAUAAAAAAUUUUCCAUUAUAAGAGGAAUUGAGGCCCUGGCUAAUUCCUCUUGCUCUGCCCGGCACACAUCACAGUUGCACAUGAUUAAUUAAUAGAUUAAAUUUUAUUACAUGUUUCUCAUUUUUAUUUCUUAUUUCUUAUUUCAACGAAUUUUUCGUCACUAAGAUUGACUAAUUUGUCCAUUACAAUGAUCCAAAAGACAUUUCAACACUCUCAGUCUAAGGGGUUCCUCCGGAGUCCGUAUAAUAUGUUUCAAGUCAAUAAUUUUACUGCUUUUUUUAUGGAUGCUGAAAAUAUGAUCAAUGUGAAAUAGUCAAGCAUUUUUUUUAAUGUUUUUACUAUUAUAAUGUCAGUACACUUGCAAAUAUAAAUUCAUGUUUAAAGCAUAGAAUUGAAAACAAUUCAUUAUUAGAUAUUCAUGAGUUAAGUUAAGUUGAGUUUCUAAAUAUUUUUAGAGUUCAAGUCAAUUUUCGGGUUAAAAAUUAAUAAAAUAUUAAAAAUAAUUUUUUAAUUUCUAUUUUAUAUAUUUUUAGAAUUAAAUUUUAAUUUUAAAAUAUUUUUUUAUUACUUAAAUUGAAUUCAAAUCGAUCGGGCCAGUUUGAAGUGCAAAAAUUCUAGUCCAAAUCUUACUCUAAAAACUAAACUUAAUUACUCAAAUUAUUUAAAUUAUUUAUACUAUGUUUAUUAGCAAUUUAAAAAAUUUUUAAAAGUUGAACGUCGACAAUGACAAUAUAAAACGAUCGCAAAGCAAAAGAAAGAAAAAUAGGAACACGCGGAUUUUACAUGGAAACCUUUUCGGGGAAAAAAUCAUAGGCAGAAGAAAAGAAAAUUCACUAAUUUCGAAUUCGAAUAAUACAAGAGGUGUAAUAGGCCCAAUUUUUCUGGGCCCAGAUAAUAAAACCAAAUCAAAAUAAAAUAAUUAAAUAGUCCAGUCCAAUUUACAAACCAAAACUAAACCAAUUACAAGCCCAAAAUAAUUUCAAAAAAAACCCUAAGCUCGAAUUGCUCACUACCUAAACACUCUCAACAAAAAAAGAGAGGCAAAAACCCUAAGAGUAGCGCCGCACGCCACCACCACCACAUGCCACGUCAACCUCCGUACAUCCACAGCUGGCCUCCGUACCUGCAAGGACAAUAGCACAGAGAAGAGAAAAUAAUAUAGCAAAAUAAAAUUUUGUAACAAAAUGUAUCGGCUAUAAAAAGCCACAAACAGAGAAUGUAUAGUUUUUUUUUACAGAGAAUCAAAACAAAAAAAAAGAAUUAAAGGUGAUUUGCUUCAUAUUUUUUUUCAUAUCUGUUACUCUUUUUUUUUUCAAGAACAAGAAAAGAAGAACAAAAGUUAUUAAAGUUAGUCCUUUUAUUUGUUUUCUAUUCUCAUUUUAUUUUAUAUUUUUAUUUUUAAAGAAAUAAGCAAUAACAAGAAAAAAAAAGAAGUUGAAAUUUUUACCGUCUUUUCGCAUUUCGCCUCCUUGGGUGGCCGAGGAUUGUUAUCUCCAACGAAAGAUAACACCUUUUAAGGUCGGGAAGGUGAAAAACCAAAAAAAAAAAUGGUUAUUUUUUUGCUUUCCGGCCACCGCGGAUGGAGGUGCCGUCUCCGACGACCGGCAGCUGCCGCGGUGGUCCGGUGACCGGAGUUCGGCCAGUGGGGAGAGGGUGAGAGAGUUAAGAGAGUUUUUUCUUGUUUUUCUUUAGAAAGAAGAGUGAAAAAUGAAUUUUAAUUUUUUUAUUUAAAUAAAGAAGUAAAACGACGUCGUUUUAAGCUAGGAACCCAGGCGCCAAAACAACGCUGUUUAAACUGACCCAUACGCGACUCGACCUGCUCUUGGGGGAUCCGCGUGUUUUCAUCUUUUGGGUUAUUUAUCCCCCUAGUCCUUCCGCUUUUGAGGUUGGUUCCAAUGUGGUCCUAUCCUAUUUUCUUUAUAUUUGAUUUUCGCCACAAACUUUCAUUUUUAUUUCAAUUUGGUCCUUAAACCCUUUAAUAGGCGAAUGCCUGAAACGGGGUCUCUUUGAGGACAAGGGAAAAUUUCCCAAUUGGCCCCCUCCACUUCAUAUGUGUUCCAUUUUAGCACGUAUUUUUAUUUAUUUUGCAAUUUAUCCCUCCUAUUUUACUUAAAUGUCAAUUUAGCCCUUAUUUAUUUAUUUUCGAUUCUUCCUAAAUUAUUUAUUUUUACGAAUUUUUUUUAAUCCCUUUGUUAUUUAUUUUAUUUGUUCUUACUUUAAUCCUUUUAUUUACUUAUUUAUUUAUUCACUUGAUUAUUUAUUCAUUAUUCUUUACAUUUAUUCAUUUAUUUGUUUAUUCACAUAUCAUUCCUUUAUUUAUUUUUCAUCUUAUCCCGAUGUUCAUUAUUCCUUCAUUUUUAAUUUUUAAUUUUCUUUCAUUGGUUAUUUAUUUUGUUUGUGCCUUUAUUAUUAUUAUUAUUAUUAUUAUUAUUAUUAUUAUUAUUAUUAUUAUUAUUAUUAUCAUCAUCUAUUCAUCUAUUUAUUACUCUUUUUAUGUAUAUAUAUUAAAAGAUUUAGAUUAUUAUAUAUUGUUCUUAUUAUUAUUAUUACUAUUAUUAUCAAUAGUUAUCAUUAUUUAUGUACUUUAUUAAAAGCUGUACUUCUAAUUUUAUUUAUAUUCUAAUUUGGUCCUUUUAUUCUUUAUAUUUAUUAACUAUUUUUCUUAAUAUUUAUUUAUUGUAUCUAUUUAUUUAUUCCAUUAUUUACAUAUUUUAUUAUUAUUAUUAUUAUUGUUAUAUUUUUAUCUCGUCUUUGCUAUUUUAUUAUUUUUUCACAUUUUAAUUUUUUUUACUUAACAUUAUGUAUAUCUAUUUUACUUAUUUAUUUCUGAUUCUAUAUGCUUUAUGUAUACAUAUUAAAAUUUGUAAAGUUAAUAUUUUCUUUAUAAAUGUUUGUUGAUUCGUGUAUUUUCUUACUACUAAUAUUUACUUAUUUAUCCUUUUAUUUAUCAUUUUUUUCCCCUUUUUAUGUAUAUGGUUUCAUUGUCCCAUUCGUUUUUAAACAUUGUAUGUUAUGUUUGUUCGUUUUUAUAUAAUGCAUUUCCGUUUUAUUGCUUUACUUAUUUAUCGAGACUUGUUUACUAAUAUUUUAUUCAUCUUUGUAGUUAUAUCAUUGUCAUCAUAAUAUUUUAUCGUAUAUUGUAUAUCAUUUUAAAUAUUACAUUAAUUUUUACCCAAACGUGUAAAAAAGAAAUUUUCAAUAAUAAGGCAAUGUUUCGAAUUUUGGAGAGUCGAGAAAAUUUUACCCUAACUUACGGGGUUUCGAUUUUUCUCGUCAAACCUAAAUAGCCAAAUACCCUUUUAAAUUGUAAAACAUAUGAAUUUUAAAUAAGAUAAAGGCAAUAUUCCGUGUCUAGGAACUCGAGAAGGUCGGACCCUAACUUACGGGGUUUCGAUUUUUCUCGUUGGAUCUAAAUAACCAAAUAUCCUUCUGAAACACAUGAGAUUUCAAAAAAUAAAAAAUAAAGACAAGCUUAUUCUUAAAGGUUCAAGGUGUUGUGUCCUAACUUACGGGAUAUGGCAUUUGUUAUCUCGAGACGAGCGAGUCUUUAACAUUUGUUUCAAUUUAUUCAAGCAAAUUUUUCGUAAAAUUAACAAAAAAAAGGAUCGCAUUGUAUUUUCUUCCAAAUUUUCAAAUGUUCGACAUUUAAGACAUUAAGUAAUCAAUUAGGUACCAAUUUUGGGCGUAACGAGGGUGCUAAUCCUUCUUCGUGCAUAACUGACUCCCAAAUUCAUUUUCUAGAUUUCUAUAGACCGAAAAACAUUAUUUUAAUAAAUCAAACAUUUUAUUAAAACGAUCAAAUUACGAGGUGAUCUGAUCACACCUUACAAAAAAGAUUGGUGGCAACUCCCAUUUUUUCAUUUUCAAACAAAAAGUCGAUUUAAAAAAUGGUUUCGACAAGAGGAGUUUAGACUACAUCUAUUUAUAGGUUGAAAAACCUUAUUCUAAUCAAUGUAAAAUAGAUGAAGUGUAGUUUUAUAUGGAUUUUACUUUUAUUUUAUUUUAACAAUGAUUCAAGUCACUCAACUCUAGCAACCUCCACCUUGACAUGAAUUCUCAACGAACAAGUUCUUCACCUCUUCCACGAAACCUUUUAAAGGGUGUUCGUCAACAAUCAAUACUAGCCAAGUCCAAGCAAUACUCAAACUUCUUGGUUAUAGGAAGUGACUUAGUAAUAAUAUUUGCAGGAUUUUCAUGAGUAUUAAUUUUACUCACAACAAUAUCACCAUGAGCAAUAAUAUCACGCACAAAAUGAUACCGAACAUCGAUAUGUUUUGUUCUCUCAUGAAACAUUUAAUCUUUUGUAAGAGUUCACCAAAGAGUCUCAUUAACCAAAUAACUUUUUUACAAGCCUCAAUAAUCGCCAUGUACUCAGCUUCAGUAGUAGACAAAGCAACUGUAGUUUGUAAAGUGGCUUUCCAACUGAUUGUGCAACCCCUAAUUAUAAAGACAUACCCUAUGAGAGAUCUUCUUUUAUCAAGGUCUCUAGCAAAAUCAAAUUCAACAUACUCAAUGACUCCAUCUUUAGUUCUUUCAAAUUGUAAGCAAACAUCAAUAGUAUCUCAUAAGUAUAUAAAAAUCCACUAAACUACUUUCCAGUGUUCUUAAUGGGAUUCGCCAAGUAUCUACUAAUUACACUAACUGUAUAUGCAAAAUCUGGACGUGAGCAAACCAUAGCAUACAUGAGAAAUCCCACUGCACUAGAAUAUGGAACACGUGACGUUUAGUCAAUUCAUCAUUUGAUUGCAGAGACAAAACGGAUGAAAAUCUGAAGUGGGUUGCUAAUAGAGUCCUAAUAGGCUUGGCAUUCUACAUAUUGAACUUACAAAAAACUUUCUCAAUGUACCCUUUCUAACUCAGGUACAAUUUACAUGCUUUUCUAUCUCUAAGAAUCUCCAUCUCAAGUAUCUUCUUUAUUGCUCUCAAACCCUUCAUCUCAAAUUCUUUAUUAAGUUGGGCUUUGACCUUUUUUAUCUCUCAUUUAUCUUUGGUUGCUAUCAACAUGUCAUCAACAUAGAAGAGUAGAUACACAAAAGAACCAUCACUAUUUUUCUUAAAAUAAACACAACUGUCAAUGUUGCUUCUAUUGAAAUCAUAAGUAGUCAUAAAAGAAUCAAACCUUUUGUACCACUGCCUUGGUGAUUAUUUCAAGCCAUAAAUGGACUUUUUCAGCAAGAAAACAUAGUCAUCUUUUUCUAAGAUUGUAAAACCCUCUGGUUGUUACAUGUAAAUAUGUUCCUCAAAUUCUCUAUGCAAGAACGCUGCAUUUACAUCUAACCACUCAAGCUCCAAAUCAUACAUGGCCACAAUACAAAACAAGGCUCGAAUCGAACUAUGCUUCACAGCUGGAUAAAACAUAUCUGUGAAGUCUACCUUUGAAAUCUGACUAUAACCUUUUGCAACCAGCCUUGCUUUAUAUAUAGGUUCUUCAACUUUUGGAGUUCCUUAUUUCUUUUUAAACACCCAUUUACAACAAACAACCUUUUUACCUUUAGGAAAUUUCAGUAGAUCCCGCGUUCUAUUCUUAUAUAGCGAUUUCAUCUCUUCUAGCAUCAAUCAUCCACUUUCCUAAAUCUUCACAAUUAAUUGCCUCAGAAUAAGUAGAUGGCUCUUGAUUUGCAUCUAUAUCUUUAGCCACAUUUAAAGCAUAAGCAACUAGGUCGACCUUAUUAUACCUCUUUAGGGGUUUAAUUUCUCUUUUAGGUUUAUUCUUGGUAAUUGAAUAUUAUGGUGAAGAACAACUCUACUCUAAGUUUCUGUACUAACUUAAGAAGUAGACUCUGUUGUAGAUCAUGGAUCAAUCUAAAGCUCUACCUAUUUUUUCCUGGUUUUUAUUGGAAGAAUCUUUAAGAGAUAAGUUAGGUAGCAUAGCAAUUUCAUAAAAACUAACAUCUAUGCUAACCACAACUUUUCUAUUUUCAAGACACUAUAAUUUAUACCCUUUUAACAUUAGCUUUAUAACCAAUAAAAAAACAAUUUUAAUAGAUCUAGGUUCCAAUUUCCCAUUAUCAACAUGAGCAUACAAAGUACACCCAAAAAUCCUCAAAUCAGAAUAACCAGCAGGAUUACCAGACCAUACCUUUUGUGGAUUCUUUUUCUCAAUGGCAACGGACAAAGACUAGUUAAUCAAAAAACAUGUAGUACAGGCCGCUUCAGCCCAAAACGACUUCAGUAAACAAGCAUUCGAAAACAUACAUCGAACCUUUUCCAUGAUUGUUCUAUUCAUCCAUUGUGCAAUUCUAUUUUGUUGUGGAUUAUGAUGAGCUAUCAAGAGUCUCAUGAUUCCUUCUAACUUGCACAAUUCAAUAAACUCAUCAGAACAUAAUUCUAAGCCAUUAUCUACACGGAAGUGUUUUAUCUAUUUUUCUGUUUGCAUCUUGAUCAUAGUUUUCCAAGCUUAAACGGCAAAAACACAUCACUUUUCCACUUCAGGAAGAAUGCCUAAACUUUUCUACAAAAAUCAUCAAUGAUUUUCAGCAUAUAAUUAGCGCCACCCCUCGAAGGCACUCUAGAUGGUCCCCAAAGCUCAAAAUGAAUAUAAUCCAACAUUCUCUUCGUGUUAUGGAUUCCUCUGGUGAAUCAAAAUCUAUUUUGCUUCCUAAAAAUACAGUGCUCGCAAAACUUUAGUUUGUUAAUGCCUUGUCCAUCAAGAAGUCUCAUUUUGCUUAAUUCUGUCAUGCUAUUCUCACUCAUAUGCCCUAGAUGCAUAUGCCAAAGUCUAGUAACAUAAUCAUCUAACAAGAGAAAAUGACAACUGCAUCACCAGUAACAGUAGAACCUUGCAAAACAUAUAACUUGACAAUCUUUCUCUUCUCUUUCAUCACAACAAGGAAAUCCUUGCUAAUCUUUAAAACUCCACUUUCAGCGAUGUACUUGUGCCUUUUUGAAUCAAUAGUACUCAAGGAAAUCAAACUCCUCUUCAAUUAUGGUACAUGUCGUACGCCACUAAGUGUUCUGACGACUCUAUUGAACAUUUUAAUUUUGACCGCGCCAAUACUUGUGAUUUUACAUGAAGCAUUAUUUCUCAUCAAAACAACACCUUCAGACACAGUUUCAUAUGUUGUAAACCAACUCGAUUUGGAUUCAUAUGGAACGUGCAACCAAAAUCAAGGAUCCACUCCUUGCUCACUUUAAAUUUGUUGGCAAAAGCAACUAGAAGUUCACUAUCACUGUAAUUUUUUACUACAUCAGCUUCGCCGAAUUGUUCUGGUUGUUUUCCCUUUUUAUUCAUAGCCUCCCUUUUGAUCUUGUUUUGCAACUUAUAGCACUCAGAUUUAAUGUACCAUUUCUUCUUACAAAAGUUACAGGUUUUACCUUUUUUUGAAGAUCUUGAUCUACCCUUAGAUUUUCUAUGAAGAUUUCGCUCUUAUGUCCUCCCACGAUUAUCAUCAGUAUUUUGUUCUUGUCUCCCACGAACAAUGAGACCCUCUUCCUGAGAGUCGGAUCCAACCACAGGAUGUUUCAUCUUGUCAUACGAGGUUAAAGAAGUAUAGACUUCAUCAAUUGUAAUAGAUUCGCAACUAUACAAAAUCGUAUCUCUAAAGGUUGAAUAAGACGGGGAUAACGAAUAAAGUAGAAUUAACCCUAAAUCUUUUGAAUAAGACGAGGGCAAUGAAUAAAGUAGAAUUAACCCUAAAUCUUCUUUGUCAUAUUGAACCUCCAUGGCCUCUAGGUCAGAGAGAAUUUCUUUAAACACAGUUAAGUGUUCGUGCACAGACGCACCUUCCUCCAAAUAACGAGCAUAAAGACAUUGUUUUAUAUGCAACUUGCUAGUUAGGGUUUUCGACAUGUAUAGUUGUUGCAGCUUUGCCCGUAAUGCACCGGCGAUCUUCUCCUUCAUCACGCCCUGUAGAAUUUCAUUCGACAAAUGCAGAUGUAAUUGCGUUAAAGCCUUUCGAUCUUUACGCUUCUUCUCUUCCUCUGUUAAUGUUGAAGGCAUCUUACCUACCCCUAGCAGGGCAUUCUUUAAAUCCAUUUGCACAAGAACUACCUGCAUUUUUAUCUGCCACAACACGAACCAGGUGUUGCGAUCCAAUAACGAAAUAUCAUACUUCAAUGUCGCCAUUACCAUAAUCGAGACAAACAACCUGAAAAGCUCUGAUAUCAGUUUGUAAAAGUUGAACGUCGACAAUGACAAUAUAGAACGGCCGCAAAGCAAAAGAAAGAAAAAUAAGAACACACAGAUUUUACGUGGAAACCCUUUCGGGAAAAAAAUCACGAGUAGAGGAGAAGAAAAUUCAUUAAUGUCGAAUCCGAAUGAUACAAGAGGAGUUUAAACUAUAUCUAUUUAUAGGUUAAAAAACCUUAUUCUAAUCAAUGUCAAAUAGAUGAAGUAAGGUUGAAAAAACCUUAUUCAAAUCAAUGUAAAAUAAAAGUAGUAUAAUUCUAUAUGGAUUUUACUUUUAUUUUAUUUUACCACUGUAUUUUUUUUAAUAAGGAUUCAAACCACUCAACUCUAACAAAAUUCUCAAUACUAUAUAUAUUUAAAGUCAUUAAAAUUUGAAAAAAAUUAAAAAUUAAAUAUUUUUUUUGAAAAUCUGAAAAUUAUUUUUAAAAAUUCCCCCUCAUCUUCUUCAUCUAAAAGAAUGAAGAUUUUCACUGUCAUUUUUUUAUUUACUUUAAACUUUUAGAUCGUAAAAGAUUACUUUUUAUGCAUCUAAAUGAAAAACCCUCAACCAUCCCUUGUAGAAAAGAGAAGACUUGAAGCAAAUGGUACAAAUUCGAUCAGUUUGCGCUUUGAUUUCUAGCGAAAAGUUGGCUAUGUAACAUCAUCAAAACCAACCCUAAUAAAUUUUUUAACACAGACAUAUUUUUUUAUUUAAGUGUGAUUUGUUAUUUAGAAAAUCAUAGUUAUAAUAAAAUUUUAAAAUCAAUUAACAUUCAUUAAAACAUUUUUUGAUCUAUGAAAUCAAAAUCUAAAUUCGAAAGACUGUUAUGCAUGAAGAAGCUUAAUACUAUUUUUGGUCUUUGUACUAUAGUGAAAUUCUUAUUAUGACCUUUUAUUAUUUUUUCAGUGACAUUGUUUUCUCUAUUUUCAUUUUUUCACUCAAGUUAGCCCUUUUAGCAAGUUUCAUUAAAAAUAUUAAAUCGACCAAUGACCUACUGUGCCACAUAUAAAAAAAUAAAAAAUUUUACUUAAAAAUUAAAAAUUCAAAAAAUCUCAAAAAUACCAAAAAUUUGUAAACAUAGAAAAUUAAAAAAAAAUCAUAAUCUACUUUUGAAAAUUAUAAAAAAUGUAUUUUUAAAAAAAAUUAUUUAAAAGAACUAAGAACUCAUUUAAAUUCCACAAAAAUCAUAAUUGUUUUUAAAAGAGUCCCAAAAAUCUUAAAACACAAAAAAAAUAUAAAAUCUUAAUCUAUUUCAAAUUCACUUAAAAUUUAAAAAAAUAUAAAAAAACUAAAAAAUCAUUAAAAUUCCCAAAAAAAUAUUUUUUUUAAAUCCAGAAAAAUCUUAAAACUCUGAAAUUUUUUUAAAAAAAUAUUAAUCUAUUUAAAAUUCACUUAAAAAUUUUAAAAAUAUAAAAAAAUUAAAAAAUCAUUAAAAUUCCAAAAAAAUAUAUAUUGAAAAAAACACCCCCAAAAGAUCUUAUAACUUAGAAAAUUAUAAAAUAAACUUUUAAAAAUUUUAAUCUAUUUUUGAAAUUAUAUAAAAAAAACCUAAACUUCUAAGUAUGCAAAACUUCAAGAAAAUAAAAAAUCAUAAAAAUAUAAAAAUAAUGUUUUUCUUUUUUGAAUUUAGGGUUUUAGAAAAAUAUAGAAUUUUAUGAAAAUUUAUAAGAAUUUUAUGGUAAUUUUUACUCAUAAUUUUCAAAAAAAAAAAUCCCAUAAAUUUCUUAUAAAUUUUAAUAAAAUUCCAAAAAUUUUUAAAGACCUAAAAUUCCAAAAAGAAACUCAUUUUUAAAUUUUUUUUUCAAAGUUUUGCAUGCUUAUACUUUUUUUUUUCAAAAAAUAUAGUUUUGAAAAAUAUAUUAUGAUGUGUUUAGUGCUUUUUAUUACUUUUCUAUGUUUUUAUAAAAGAACCAAAGUGAGAAAUUCAGAUAUUAAGCCAAAAGAUAUUACCUUUUAUAUGAGUUUAUUAAGAGUGAGAUUUCACCGUAUGCAAAGCAGAUCCUCUCUUUUCCUUAGUCUUCUUCUUCUUCUUCUUCUCUUGUAAGCUUCUUUUCUUUCUCCUUUACAUGCUUCACUGUUCUCUUCACCUCUCUCCUUUUUCUUCUUACCUUCUUUUUUUUGCUUUUCCUUGCAAAAUGAGGCAGGAGGACAUGCCACCCUUAAAUGUUAAUAACACUGACAAAUAACAUAAUAAUCUAAAUUAAAAACUAAUAGUCAAAAUCCAAAAUAAAAUCGAGCUAUGAAAGUGUAGCUACAUUCAACUUAGAUUUUUCAAAUUAAACUUAACACUAGAAUUCAGAUUUAUUGAAAGUGACUUUAAAAUCAACGUUAGCCCGAAUAAAAAUGAAUACUCAUAAUAUAAAUAAUAUUUUUUUUAUUAUUUUUCAAUCUAAUUGAUGUUUAAUUAAUGCAUGAUACUGAUAUAAAAAAUUUAAAUAGAAACAUAAAUUCUAAUUUAAACGUUUUAAAAGCAAAUACUAAUUGUUCAAGACUGUAUUUACUUCAGUUCAUUUUUCCUCGAUUUGUCCUUCUAUUAGAUGAAAAGAAAGAAUAAUAAAACGAUUCAUAAAUUAAUACAUAUUGAUAUUUUUAUUUUAUCGUGUUAUUGGAAACUAUGGAAUAUUUUUCUUUUGAAUUUCAUAUAAAUAAUAAAUGUGCAUAUAAACUCUUCAAGGACAAUUUAAUUAUUAUUUAAUAAGAAAAUUUUGCAAUUAAUAGUUUUCACUAAAUUCAACUAGUUUUAUAGCAUAUUCAAUGUGCAUUGCAAAAGUAUACAUAAUAUAAAUAUGUAGUUAAUAAUUUUAAAAAUAAUAAUAGUUAUUGAUAAGGUAAUAAAAAUUGUACAUAAGAAAACCUGAUGUGAUGGCUCGAAAGUCAAGGGUGUUCACCACUUCAGGUGUAACUUAGGUUCGAGUCGUACUAGUCGUGUUUGUUGUUUGGGCUUUACCCUGUUAUUGUAAUUCAGCAAAAAAAUUUACACCAGAAAAACCCGUAACUUUUUUUAGCACGGGUUUUUUUCAUUAAAAAAAUCAAAUCAAUUCAAAAUGUAUUUAAAUAGGGUUUUCUGGACCGUAUCAAUAAGCUAGACCCAUACUUUGAGUUGUUUCGUGCCAUAACUAAGCUUGAACGCUCACGAAAUCCGUUGGACAAACGAAUUCACAUCUCUUACAAUCAACACAAUGACUUUAUUUAAACAUAAUUAAAUAUAAAUUAGUAUCUUUUGUUUCUCUUUCGGAUUUUGAUUUACAAAUUUUGAAUUUUAGGUUUUGGGUCUUUGAUUUCAUGUUUUUUAUUUCGAGUUUGAUGCUUUUGUAUUAUUUGUGUUUAAUAUUUAUGUUGAAACUGAUUGGUGUGCAAUAGUUAAUAGCCACCGCAUCUAUUGAUAAUUUUAGUAAGGGUAAAUUAUAAAAAUAGUACUCAAUUAUGAUUUUAAUUUUAUUUUAAUUGUUCAAUUAUUAAAAAUUUUAAUUUAAUCACUUAGCCUUUUGAAAUUAAAUAUUUUAGUUACACUCUUUUUAAUUGCCUGUUAGAUGAGUAAUGAAAAGGUUAUGUGGGCUUCUUUAUUGGCCUAAUAAUAAAUUUAGUCUUUUAAUAUUUACACGUUCUACUCAAGUUUGGAAGUUACUAAUAAUGAUAUGUCCAACUCGAAAAAAACAAGGCGAAAAAAAAAAUCUAUGUUUUUCAUGUUUUGAAAGAUUUUGCAUUUCAUUGUUUCCUCUAUUUGAAUAUUAGGUAUUUGUACAUGUUUUAAAUAAGAAAAACAUAGAAAUAAUUAUUUUGUAAUUUUUUAAAGAAUUUUUAAUUUUUUUAGAGGAAUUGAUUCUAAGGUGAUAUGAUAUUAAUCUAAGAUAUGACACCAUAUAGUUGGAUUUAAGCCAACUUGAUUUUUUACCAUAUUAAAAAAGGUGAUAUUAAUUUAAAAUGAGCACAAUACAAAUAGUUUUAAACACUCUUCUUGUUUAGUAUAUUUUGGAGGUACAUUAAAGAAUAUUUAAAAAAAUUUAAAUACUUUUCAAUUCUUUAUUGAAUUUUUUAGAAUUAGAACUAAACUGACAAAUUUUGUGAUGGCUAAAUUUAUUGAUUUUUUUAGAAUUCGAACUAAAAUGAAAAAUUUUGUAAACAUUGAGGCUAAUUUUGUUGAUUUUGUUUUAGAUUUAGGAUCAAAUUAAUAGAAUGUGUAAAUAUUAGAGGCUAAAUUUGUUAUUAGAUAAAAAAAAGGGCUCACCGAGCUUUCCGUCGCUCAUCUAACAACAACUAAUGAGAGAGUGAUUAAAAUAUUAAAUUUCAAAAAAUUGAGUGGAAAAAUGGAAAAAAAUUAAUUGUUAGGUGACCAAAUAGAACCGAAGGCAUAAUUGGUGACUAUUAUUGUAGUUUACCCUUUUAGUUAUUAAAAUUAAUUUCUUUUGAUAAGUUCAAAUAAUGGAAAAUAUUUGAUAAUUAAAUGAAGAGUAAAUUACAUUGGUAGUCACUCAACUAUUAGUUUUUUUUUGGUCAUGCAACUAUAAAAAGUUAUAAAAAUGGUCAACAAUUAUUCAACUUUUUUCUAUUUGGUCAACCAACUACUAGCCAUUAAUUUAUACGUUGUGUCAAUUUAGUCUUGAUUCAAAACAAAUUAACCCUCAACAUUUACACAAUGUGUAUUUUUUUUUGCAGUUUUACUUUUAUUUGUGACAUUGAGGGUUGAUUUUAAAAGAACCAGAAAAUAUCAAAAUUAUUAUCUUGGACUUUUGGGUGUUUUCAUUUUUGAUAUAUUUCCGAUUAAAUUUAGUUGAUAGAUUGUUUUUCUUCGCUUAUUAGGUGAAAGGGUCACAAAGAAAAACAAAGAAAACAAAAAGACCAACUUACAUAAUGUGUAAACAUUGAGGGUCACAAUGUAUAAAUGUUGAGUGCUAAAGUUGCUAUUAUACUAAUUUUAAAAGUUAUACGUCACCUUUUAUUCAACCAUUCAAUGACUAGUGACCAAAAAAGAAAAAAACCAAAUAGUUGAGUGACCACUUCAUAACUUUUCAUAAUUGGGUGGCUAAAAAAGAAAAUUACUAAAAGUUGGAUGACUUGAAAUGUAAUUUACCCUUAAAUAAAAAAAUGGAUAAUUUGUGAUUGGUGUCCAAAAAUUUCCGAAAAAAGAAACUAUAUUUGCUAUAUAGUGGACAUUAAUUGACGUACCAUAAAAAAUAAAAAGAAAAGAACAAACAAAUCAAAAACCGAUAUAUAUAUAUUAUUUAAAGGUUGUAUUCUUUUGACUUAAAAAGAAUAAUUGAGGCUAAAGAGAUUGUAAUGAUUUAAGCAUGUUAUUCAUAUAUAUAAUGUUUUGGAAAAAUAUAUAAUAUUUUACUUUUAGUAAAAUCAUAAAUAUAGGAAGGUUUAGGAAUUAACAAGUGUCCUAUAAAAAUAUAGUAAAAUUUUUUAAAAAAUAUACAUUACAAUUUUUAAGAAUGUUUGUGAAAUUUUAAAAAAUACACUAUCAAUGUACAAAAUAUACAUUAUAUAUAUAUAUGUAAUAUAAACCAAUGGGUAAAAAAAAUUCUUAUCCUUCUGGCUUUCUUUAUAUGAGUAGUUAAAUUUUAGUUUUAAUUCGUAUACUUGGCUCAAAUUUUAGAUUUAAUUUAUAUACUUUAAUUUUUUAUAAUUUGACUUUUUAUUUUUUUUAAUAUAAUUAGUUAAUUUAAAUAUUUUAUUCUCAAAACUUGAAAUAUAAUAAUUUAAUUAAAAGAAUAAAUAAUCAGCACGAAGCAUGGGUGAGAAUCAUAAAUCAUGGAUGACUUCUAUCAUUAAGUAUCCUUACAGUCUUUUUAAGCUGUUAUUAUUAUAUUAUUGUUUUAUUCGUGCACUGAAAUUAAACCAAAUGCAAAUAUAAUACAUAAUUUCUUUUUGACUGGUCCAAGAUUAAGUUUAGUAAAAACUAUUUGCUGUAUAUUUAUUAUUAAGAAACAUUAUUGGUCUUAGUACGUCUCCUUUAGAAUAUUUACACUUAAUUCGCAAUAAAUAUAAAAAUGAAUAUAAUUAUUUAAAUUCUUUUGUUUGGAAAGGAUAAAAUAUGAAUAUUUACACUUGAAAAGUACUUUGUUUAAUAGGUUGGUUUGUCUUAAUUUUGAAUAUGGAAAUUAAGUUUAUCUUGGAAAAGAAAGUUACAUGAGAGAAAAACUUGUUAAUCCUCAAAAUUUUCAACAUUUUUAUAGUAAUUUUGAAGGAGUUAAUAUUAAUGUUAAGUAUGACUCAUAUUUCAGUCAAAUUCAAGAGAUAAUCUCUUAGUUAAACUCUGUUUAUUUGUUUCAGUUGAACUUUGGUUAGUCUAGAUUAUUUUAUUAUUAUUUGACUUACGAAUUUAGUAUAUAAAUAGGAUCUUUUGCAACUCAUAACACUUUUGGAGAAUUUUGUGUUUACGUUUUCAGGAUUCUUUGGUUUUGGGCUUUAGGGUUUAGUUUUUAUCUUCAUCUUUUGUACUUUUCGCUCUUUUUCCAUUACAGUAAAAUUAUCUUUGCCCGUGGUUUUUUAUUCUCUUUAGAUGGAUUUUUCCACAUUAAAUUUGUGUGUUCAAUUUCUCAAUUUCUUCCGCCAUUUUUUACUUGUUUGUUGCUUAAUCGGGCCAAUCCCCAACAAUCAUCAUAUAAUAUUUUUAUGUGUCACUAGUGAAUUGAUGAUAUAUUUCUAAAAUUUAAAUGAAAUUAUUUUUAAUUUUUCUGUAUUCUUUAUAUUCGUUUUACGAUAAUGCAUCACACAUAAAUCUAUUUUAAAUUGAAAUCCAUGUUUUAACAUUUACAUUAGCUUAUAUUAUUUUGAGUUAAUUCAAUCAAUCGUCUCUAAACUAUUGUCAAUAUUUUUAAUGUAUAAUUUCAAAUUGUUUACAUCUUUUUUCAGGGUUCUUAUUCUUUUUUGAGUUUUAAAUUUGGCCCUCAGUUUAAAAUAAAAUGCCAAAUCACUUUUUAAUGAAAAUCUUGACUAGAACUUUAAUUUUUAACAGUGUUAGUAUGUCAACAUGUGUGGUAAUCUACGUGUACUUCAUGUUAACAUGAUACUUUAUCUUAUAUGCCACACCAACAAAUAAUUUAAAUUAUAAAAAAAUCUAAAAAAAAAAUGAGAGCGUGAAGUACACGCGGAUUGCUAUACGAGCUGCCAUGUCUAAAAACCUAAUGUUUAGCUAAUAUUUCCUUUAAAGAAACAACAAUUCAACUUUUUUUGAAAGGUUGGUGAUCAAAAAUGAUUUUUUUUUAAAGGUUGUGAACCAAAUUUAGCUGAAAAAAGAAUAAGAGACAAAUUGAUAAAAAAAAUGUAAACGUUAAGGGCUAAAUUUGACAUUAUGCCAAUUCUUAAUUAGUUUUAAACUUCAAAAUAUGUUAUUGACAUGGUAUCAAAUAGGUUUUCCAUUAGCAUAGUAGUUAAUUUAAGUGUUAAAUGUCAAUUAGGAUAUAAUGUGGAGCAUACUUAAAACAUGCAUUAAAUUGUAAAUUCGAGUAUUUCCACAUCCCAAAAAUAAUGCUAGAAGAAAUAGGGAUAAAAUUUAGAUUUUAUUUUUUUAAGUAUAGGGUAAAAGAAUUUAGAAUGACUUAAAAUUAAUUUUUGAUAAGAAAUUAACAAGAUUUAGUCUACUAGUUCCUUGAUAAGGCCUUAACUUUCCCUUGGGUCUCAAGUUUGAAACCUCCUGCGCACCUUUUAAGCAAAAUAUUUUAUUUUCUUAUUUUUACCCCAUAACGUGACGAAUUUUCAAACUAGCCUAACCCAGUUUUUUUUUUAAAUUUAGUCCUUAAUUUAGAAUAGUCUUGCUUCUACAUGGAUUCCUAAAACCUAUUUUAAUUAGGGAAAAAGAGUUCUAUAAAUAGGAAAUAUUUUCAAAACCCUAGAAAUUUUAUCUAGUGAAUUUUUAAGGAAAACUCUGAACUUCAUCAUUUCUCCAUCAUUACCAAAUCAAUUUUCAAGAAAAUGAAUCCAAGAUUUUCAAAAUCGUCCCUCUCCUCCCAAGUAGACUGUCAUUUUCCUCAUCCAAAUUAAGGCUUUUGUAUCUUCGAAUCAGGUGUGGAAUCUAAACAUAAAUCAUUAUAUAUGAUUAAUUAUAGUGUUACGAAGUAAUAAGUCUGCUAUGUAACCCCCCAUGUUAUGCGAACCCCUUUGCAGGUGCGAACGCCCUUGCAUGUGCGAGCCCUGUGUGCAAAACCCCCUAUGUGUGAGCUUGUGAGCGAACCCCUAUAGACGAACUAUAGCUUAUAUAUAAAUAUGUGAACCCUCACGAUUUUUCGUAUAGGAUUUAAGUUGCGAACCCUAUAUAUAUAUUACGCGAGGCAUAUAUAUCAUGCACACCCUAAACAUACUUUGUGAGCUUUAUAUAAAAUGCAAACCCUAGGUAAUAUGUGAACCGAGUAUAUCAUGCGAACCCUAGGUACUAUACGAGCUAUAUAUAUCAUGUGAACCUUAGGUAAUAUGCAACGCCUGUAUAUCAUGCAAAUCCUAGGUACUAUGUGAACCCCAUUGUGUUAUGAACCCUCUGUAUGUGCGACCUUUGUUAGGCGAACUGUAGCAUAUGUGUAGCACCCCAAACCCGGCCCAGACGUUAUGGCCGGAUCCGACAUGCCACAUCGAAGCGUUCAAAACAUUUUAUAUUGUUGAUCUAGAAAAAACCUACUUAGUGUUUUAAAAGAUAAUUUCAUUAUAGGUUAAAGUGAAUGGAAGCUGUGCACCAGGUAGGAAACCGAAAAAGAGGAGGUGAGUCUAUCGGACUACUUAAGUACCAAGCUCCCUUCGGAUCCAAUCCUAGACAUGCACACCGCCAUUGCCACACCUUAACGUCAUAUAUAUUUCUAGGAAACCGAUUUGAUUAAGUCAUUUUUAGGAAAAGUGAUUAAUUUUGGAAAAUACUUUCAUUGCGGAAGCUUUGCUUGUUGUCGUGUUAUUUUGAAAUCAAUUGUUGUUUUUUUUUGAAAACGCGCCCUAAAGCUAUCCAAUUUCAACAGUUAAAAUAAGUAAUACCUAUAUUAGUAAUACAUAUUAAAACCAUAAAAAAUAAUUAAGCGGCCUUAUCACAUUUAAAAACCUAAAACUUCAAACGUAAAAAAAAGGAUGUCCAGUUCACCAGAAGAAAAUCAAACUUUCAGAACGGGUGGCCACUCCGAAUUCCCUCACAGCUCCAAGUCCACUAUGGUUGGGGAUUUCCUGCGUGGAUGAAAAUAAAAGGGGUGAGUUUGGGGAAACUCAGUGUGUAAGGAAAACCCAUUCAAAGCCCAAGUCAGCUCAAGCCUAUUGGGCCUAAGCCCAUUCAGGUAACAGUGGUACUAGACCAGAGCCCUUUUCAGAUUACAAUAAACUGGGCCUUAGCCCCUUAUUCAGAUAACAGUAUGGCCCAUAGGCCCAUUUCAAAAUACAUGCAACAUCAAUAACAUAUGCAAGCCCAUUUGGGGAGACUACUCAACCCACCAACCACUACACUCCACCUGUACCAGCCCUACACUCCAUGUGCGGAAUAGCUCAACCCACCCAGCCCAACACUCCACAGUUGCAGCCUUGCUGCUCAGUUAACAGUAAAUUGAGGCAAAGCCUCCAGUAUGUGGACAAGCCACUUUCAGUACUUCCUUCGUCAAUAUCCCAAUCCCAUGCAUCAGAUAAUAACAACAUGGCAUGUAGUAAAUAACAACAGUCAAACAUGUAUUUAGGUCAAUUUAACCCUAGGAGUAUUUCAGUAAUUUAUCUACUAGGGGUAAAACUGUAAAUUUUCCACUUUUAAAGGUAUUUCAGUAAUUUAUCUAUUUUAGGGUUUUUCAUGCAUAUUCCUACCUUUCACGUACUAACAGAAUCACUACCGAGGGUUCUUACCGAAUUGGGCCCGUUGGCCCAUCAUUCCAAUUUUGGCCCAUUAAGCCCAAAAAUAUCGAGGGCACAGAAAUCAUGCACUUUGCAGUCCAAACAUUGCAGCUUACCAAAAACAUUAAUCAAUUUACCUCACGAGCAUUCGCACACUCGCAAAUCUACAAAAUACCGAUUUUCGGCAUUUCGGCUUUUCGACUUUUGCCGAUCCAGACUAAGAAAGAGGGUGUUAGUUACACACCUGUUUGCGACGAUAUGCUGACGAGAUCCACACACGAACUGCCUACAAUUGGAUUACUAACACGUUAAUCUAACUAUUCAAAUACGAACUACGUAUUAACCCCUUACAAUAUUCGGCCAACCACACCUACAGAUCAUAGUAAGCUUAUAAGAAAUCAAUAAGCAACUCAUUAACAAAUUUUUGUCAAUGUUUACCACAUAAUCAUAAUUUCACUGCAAGCUGUCUUCCUGAGCAACAGUUACUAAAUCAUUUAUAACUGGAUCUACGAGACUCCAAAUCAAGUGCCGUUAAUUUUCCCUGAAAAUAUACUCAUAUAUAUUAUAUCUAUAAAAUUUUCAGAAUUUUUGGUAUGGCCAAUCAAUACCAUAUUUUUCUUAAAGUUUCCCAUGUUUCACUGUUUGACUAAUCUGACCACUCUUCAUUACGAAUCAAAUUUCUCAUUGUACAGAAUUCAAAAUAUGUUCUCGUUUAUUCCAUUUGAAACUAGACUCAUUAAGCUUUAAUUACAUAAUUUAUGCAACUUCUAACUCAUCUCCCACAAUUUAUGGUGAUUUUCCAAAGUCACGUUACUGCUGCUGUCCCAAGCAGAUUUAUUACCAAAUCACUCUUUCACACCUAACUUGCAUGCUUGUUAUUUAAACAUGUAUAUCACCAAUCAAUCAUCACAUAUCUAUGAUUUUACUUAAGUAUAAUCUCCAUUUCAUAAUUUUAAAGCACAACAUGUUAGCCGAUUUUUCCCCUUAGCAUCUAAGGCACAUGCAUGCUCAUUUGUUUGGCUCAACUUCACAUAUCUUCCAUUUUUCAUCAAAAGAACAUGAAACAACAACCAUUUCCUUCAUUUUAAUUCAUGACUAAAUGCUCACAACACAAGUAAAAACCAAAAUAUGCUUCAAGAGUUAAGGUAGAAUCAAGAAGAACUCAUGAACCUCAAAAUAGAAGCAAGGUACCAAAAACUUACCUUCAAUUUUCUUCCCUAAGUGACCGAACAUUCAAGAGCUUUCUCCUUUCCUUUCUCUUCUCUAACUUUAGGCUAUGAUGAACAAAGAUGGACAAAACUUUGUUCUUUUCACCCCUUUUUUUUUAAAAUAAAAUUUCAUAUUUCAUCCAUUUAAUUCUUUAAUACAAAAGACAUGAAAUGCCCAUCAUGGAACAUUUACCUAACCCAUUAUCAUGGAACAUUUACCUAACCCAUUAUCAUGGAAUAUUUACCUAAUCCAUUAUCAUGGAACAUUUACCUAACCCGUUAUCAAUUUGUACUAUGAAUUAUGGAUAUCAAGUGCUCAUAUUGUCUACAACAACAUGAUGGCUGGCCACUUCAUGUAAAAUGGGAGAUUUGUCAUGCGAAUCCUCCUAUUUUGCACUCCUAUUUAUUUGGCCACUUCAAUUUAGCCUAUAGCAUUUUCAAACAUUUUCACAUAGGUCCUAUUUCAUAAUUUCACUCACAAAUAACAAAAUUAAAGCAUGAAAUUUUGCCAACAGUCACAGAAUUCCCGAAAAUUAGGGCGUUACAAUAUGUGUGACCCUACAUGUACGAACCCUAGGUGUGAACCCUAUAUGUGCGAACUCCUAGGUGCAAACCCUACAUGCGUGAACCCAUAUGUGCAAACAUAUAUGUGCGAACCCUGUAUGUGCAAACCCUGCUUAUGUAUGUGUUAGCCGAACUAAAAAUGUUAAUACGCAUGAAGGUAUUGUAUAUAUGAAAUUGUUUUAGAUCGCUUAAAUUAAUUGUAUAUGUGAAAUUGAUGUGAAUGAAUGAAUGAUCACAUGCCAUUAAAUGAUAGUAUGAAAUAUUGAAUGAAGCAUCGAAUGAUGAUAAAUAGCAUAAUAUGCUAAUUAUAUGUGCAUAAUUACAUGAGUUUAGGUAUGAAGGUCAAAGGAGUUCCAUAGGAGAUAGUGUUAAUUCAAGUCCACACCGAAAGUCAGUACUGCACGAAGUAGGUGACAAUGUCAUCAAAACCGGAUCAAGAUGAUAGUUUAAAAAUCCAUAAAAAUGGGGUAACUGAGAUGGUAAGUUAUUGUAGUAAAAGUCAUCGUCACAGAUGACAAGUAAACGACCAUCGUCAUCAAAAAUCAAAUCCGAGAUGGUUAGUUUUUAUUAUGUGUUUUGGUGUGUCGAGCGAUGCUUGCAGACAGUUAAGAUGGAUUGGUUGGAAAUUAAAUUUAUAAUUGCAUUUGCAUCAUGAUUAAAUUAUAUAUGCAUUGAAUCACUACAUGUUCCUUACAUCAGCUUAACUUGUAUUAUGCCUGGUUUGUUAUUAUGCUAUAAAUUAAAUUCUAUACUGUUUGAAUGAUUUUAUAUAAUGGUUUAAAAAUUAGACUCACACUGAGCUAUCAUAAGCUUACCCCUAUUUCUUUACCUCUCAGGUAAUACAGGAAACUAGGACUUUGGAUUAGCAACUUAUUUUUCUUUUAUUUAAAAGUUUCAUUAUUAAAAGUUUUCCUUAAUCAUUUAUUUUUGGGUUUGUAAUUAUUAAGUAUUUUCUCGUUUUUAUAUCUUAGGUUUGGGAUUUGUUUAGCUUAUUUAUUUUAAGCAUGUCAUUUAAGUAUUACUCAAAUAUUUGCAUGCUAUUUAGUAUAAGAAACUAUUCUUCUAAAUGUUUUCUGCUUCUUUACAAAAUACUUAAAGUUUUGAUAGAUCUUUUCUUAAAAGCCUAAAAGUCAUUUUCUCAAAACUUCAUAUCAAUUAUACUGUAGAUGAACUAAUAAGUCAAACUGGUUUAAUGAAUGAAUGUUUUUUCUAAAAACAAAAGAGCAUUUCCAUACAAAUCAAACGCAUCUAAAAAGAAUGGUUUUACAGGAUCACUUUGGUGAUCAAAUGUAACUGUAACACCCCUUGCCCGUAUCCGAUGCCGGGACAGGGCUCGAGGUGCUACCGGACUUAGGCAAAUACUUCCAUACUAAAAUCGGCCAUGAAAUUUUGUUCGAAUUUAAAAAUUUCCAUUGCCCAUACAUUUUGUCCCUUAAAGGGCCUUACGAGGCCCAAACCAUACAUUUGGGGCGGUCCGAGACUAAACUAAGAAUUCAAAAAAACUUGGAAAAUUUCAUGCUUUAAGGCUCCACAUGCCCGUUUGGGUAUAGGGCACACGCCAGUGUGGAAUUAAUUUCUAAUUCACACGUACAAGUAUUUUCACAUGGCCAGACACACGCCCGUGUCAUUGGCCCGUGUCCCUCACACGGCCACGACACGCCCGUGUCUUAGUCCGUGUGCAAAAACUUGGGUAUUCUGUUUCUGACGUCAGCAUCCCCAAAUUGUCACAUGACCAUGGCGCACGCCCGUGUGCCUACCCGUGUGGACAAAUACAAGGCUAUUUUCCAAGCCAUUUUGUCACCCUCACAACAUACGCACACAUACUUAUACAAUAGCAUACAACAAGGCAUACAUGGGAACUUAAACAUCCAAAAACAUGUUAUGAUCAUGUCAAUUUCUCAUGCAAUAGAUAUCAUAGAUUUUACUCACAUCUUUACCACAUUCAUGCCAUAAUCAUUAUAAACUCAUCACAUAAGACCAUAGCACAUGCAUGCAUAUAUUAAUAGAUUUACAAUCUCAAUAUCUAAUGUAAGCAAAUACAUUUGGCUAAAACAAAUGUCACACACUCAAAUAUCUAAACUCCUAUACAUACCAUAGACUCAAUGUACUUGAAAUCACUUACACCAGUAGCGAUAGCUUGACAGUGUGAUAAUAUCUCCGACGAACUCCAACCUGAGCUAACCUGGCAACAUUAGAGAACAUGAGAAAGGAAGGGGGGUAAGCUUUACGCUUAGUAAGUUCAUAUGAAAACAAUAAGCAACUCAUUAACAUGUUUUUAUCAAGGUUCCCAACAUAUUCUUAAGUUCAUGAUAAACAACAGUCAAUAAAAUAAUUAUAUCUGAAGCUAUGAAAAUUUUCCUUGAAACUAGACUCAUUUACCUUUCUACCAUAAAAUUUCUAGAAUUUUUGGUUUAGCCAAUUAGUACAUUUUAUUCCUCAAAGUUAUCCCUGAUUCACUGUCUGACAGUUCCUGCCCUUCUGUACUAAAGUUUAAUUGUCUCAUAGAACAAACUCGAAUAAUGUUCCCAUCUAUUUCUCUUGAAAAUAGACUCAUUAAGGAUUCUAAAAAUAUAAAUUAUAACUCAUAACUAUUUUUGUACAAUUUAUAAUGAUUUUCUCAAAUCAGAACAAGGGAUUUCGAAGUCAUUCUGCUCUGUCUCACACAACUUCAAAUAUAUCAUUAUAGGAAAUUCUUUUUCUUACAUGGUUUCUUUUAUAAAAAACUAGACUCAAUAAGCUUUAAUCCUGUAUUUUAUUUAGCCUCUAACUCAUUUUCAACCAUUUUUAGUGUAUUUUCAAAAUUACACCACUGCAGUAGUCCAAAACUGUCCAGGCUAAUUUUACUCAUUCACAAGUAUUAUUCACCAAAUUAAUACAUCAUAUCAUCUAUCAUGGUAAGAACACAUAGCUCUACAUCAUAAGCAUGGACCCAUAAUCUCAAUGUCUUCAAGUAUCAAAGGUUUAUUCUAAAUCAUGCCAUUUUCAUAGUGUCGAAACCAUCGUUUUAUUUAAAAUUUUAAAUUUAAUAAAAAAACGGGGAAAUCGAUUUUUUUGAAAAUAAAAUAUGGAGUCGCCACCGAUCCUUUUGUUUUGGUGUGAUCGGAUCACCUAAGAAUAAGGUUAUUUUAAUAAAACAUUUUUGGUUUACUAAAACAACGAUUUUGGUCUACGAAUUUUUUGAGAAAACGGGUUCGGGAGUCGGUUACGCAUGAGGAAGGAUUAGCACCCUCACUACGCCUAAAAUUGGUACCAAAUCGAUUAAAUACUGUCCUUAUGUCUAAAAUUAAAAGUGUUUUUGAAAAGUGGUUCCUUUUUUAAUAACAUUUGAAUAACCCGAGUUGGUUGCCAAAAAAACCUUCUUGUUUCGAGUUCCGAAAGUUUAUAAUUGAAAAAUUACAAAAGGGUGCCCAACUAUUUGGUCUGACGAAAAAUCGAAACCCAACACAGUAGGGCACGAUUCCUCGAAUUUCCAAACAUUGAACAUUGCCUCGCCUUAGAAAAUACGAGUGAAAUUUCGAAGAGAUAUUCGACUAUUUGGUACAAACGGGAGAUUGCAACCCAGCAUGAUAGGGCACUACUCCCCAAAUUUCCAAACAUCGAGUAUUUCCUUUAUUUUAAAGAGUUUCUAGAAAACGUGAGUGAGGUUCCGAAGGAAUCUUCGAUUGUUUUGAACAAAUGAAAAAAGCGCAACCCAGCACGAUAGGGCACGAUUCUCAAAUCACCAAACAUCGAACAUUUCCUUCAUUUCAAAGAGUUUUUAGAAACAAUGAGUGAAAUUCUAAAGGGACGUUCGAUUAUUUUGAGCAAAUAAGAAACUGCAACCCAACACGUUAGGGCACGAUUCCACGAAUUGUCAAAUAUCGAAUAUCGCCUUCGUUUUAAAGAAUUCUUAAAUAAUUGUGAAACUAGCUUAAACGUAUUAAUUCGACUCAAAAUAAGAUGAAAUUAAUCUUAAAAAUUUGGAUUCUAUAAAACCACAUUUCGAAAAUCAAGUGGAAAACGAUGAUAUGGGGUGAUAGGCACAUAUGAGGUAUAAUGCUUGAUGAAUAAGAAUAUUAAUCAACUAGCAGAAUAAGCAAUUAAAUAUAAUCAAUCUAAAAAUUAUAACCUAAUUUCAAUCACGUAUGAAUAAUAAUUGACAUAUCAAUAAGAUGAAUACCAUGCAAUAAUAACGUAUAUGCUACAAUAAGAACCACCAACAAAAUAUAUGCAAAACAAAAUAGAAUUUAAAAGUCAAAGUAGUAUAAGACGAUGGCGAAACAAAGACGAUCUAAUGAACCAAUAAUUUAUACGACAUGCGAAUUAAUGAAUUGGUGCAUUUUAGAAUCUAUUUGUGAAAAAACUAGGGAUAUAUACUUAAUCAUUUAAAAUACAUAUUAUAAAAUGAAUGUUUUAAUCGAAUAUCAUACCAAAACAUUAAAUAAUAUAGAUUUUAAAAAAUGAGGAUUUAUAUAGUAUGAAAAUUUAAAUUAUGUGUAAAAUAUAUUAAAAAUAAUAACCAUAAAAAUGUAUAAUAAGAUAUAAUCUUUAAAAACAAAAUGGAUCUACAAAUUGUAUGUAUAUAUAUGUAUAUAAAUAAAAUUAGAAAUGAUUGUUUAUAAAAAAUAUCAUAGUAAUGUGUACACGAUUAAAUUAUUUUACUAUAUACGUACGAAUAUAUACAUAAUAAAACACUUCAAUGAAAUACUAUUUAAUAUACCAAAAGAAUACAACAUCAAGAAUUUUAGCAUGAUAAUUUUAUAAAAAAACAAGAGUUUUAAAAUAAUGAUUUAACCAUUAAAAUAGUAUACGUAAAAGAAUUUGAACGAGACAAUAUAUAUAAUAGUUAAAAUAAUGCAAAUACGAAUCUCAAGAUAAUGAUUUUAUAAAGUAUGGAAUUAAAAUAGCUUGACACACAUGUAGAAACCAAAUGGACCCUCAAAAUUUAUAACGAGUAUAACAAUACCAAAAUAAUAUGAAUAUAUGAAUAUAUAUACACAAAAUUUGAACCAAAUACCAUGUCAAAAGAAAAUUUCGGUAUAAUCAUACAAAAUAAAAGAAUUAAUAUACAAACAAAAUGUUAAAUGAACGUCAAAAUAAUAAGGUUUACUAAUAAAAACUUAAUUAAAAUCAAAUUAAAAUAAAAAGAGAAAUUUAAAAAUGAAACAGUUUACUUAAAAGAAAAAGGACCGAUAGGUAAAAUGCGCAAAUGCGCAGCGGCUCAAACUGGAAAUAUUCCAGGCUCCAAAAACGCAGUGCAUGUCCAUGGACUAGAAUGCAAACGCAUGCAAAUUAUGAGGGCCGAAUUUAAAAGAAAUAAAUCUGGAGUAAGCCUAAUCGAACAACGAUAUGAAGGGAAGGGACCAAUCUUGAAAAUAACCCUUCACCGUGAAAACACGCGGGUCUUGAGGGUACCCGAGAACGGGUCAGGUCGAUUUCUCUAAACGGUGUCGUUUUAAGGCUACAAAUCAUGCCUCAAAAGGCACCGUUUCGCAUCGCUGAUUAAAAGAGCGCACAGCCCCUGAAAACCCUAGACAUUUCAGUGGAAAAAAUGGGGAGAGGGGAACCCUAAAGGUUCUGCGCCGUUCGGCCAUCAUUUCAUCACUACAACGAUGAGUGAUGUCCUUUAGUAACCCCCCUUUUCGUUCUUCCAUUCACUCUAGCGUGGAGUUCAUCGAUUUAAGCCCCGAAAUCCCAUCUCUAACUUCGAUUUCAGCAAAGGAGACGAGGUCUCCAAUGGCUCUUAUGUGAAGGUAAGUCCUUUCCCCUUCCCUUUAUUUACUUUCGAAUAAAAAAUGACACAAAACAAAGAACAAUAAAAAAGGAACGCCCGCAAAUCUAAAUCGAAAAAUUACCUUCAAAUAUUGGUGGCCUUUUCUUUGUAUUUUGAUAUGCGAAUAGCAUUUUUUUGUAUUGCCUAUUGCGCGUUCAUAACCCUUACAAAGAUUAAAGACUAUUGCUUUAUAGCCGAAAAAAAUCAAAAGAGAAAAAUACAAACAAUUUCCUAUUGGUUGCCAUUCUCGCUGCUAUUUUUUGUUUCCUUUCGCAGGUACAGGUGUGUGGCGUGUGUACGAGGCUGUACUGGCGUACGAGGGUUGUUGACGUGGAGGCACGAUCGGCGUUGGGGCUGUACGGUGGCUGAAGGCUGCGGCACGAAGAGAGAGAACCCUAGGGUUCUAAAGAUGUAAUUAAUUUUUUUGGGGCCUAUCGGGCAUGUAUUUGGGUCUUGGGUCAUUGGGGUCAAUUUGGUUUUAGGAUAUUUGAUUUUAGGUGGUAAUUGGACAGAUAAUGGACUAUUAUAGUUUAUUUGGGUUUUAGGUUUAUGGUUUUUUUGGUUUAUUUAUUUAUUUUGUAUAUAGUUUGGUUUCUAGUGGGCCCGGGCAAAUUGGCCCAUUUACAGCUGCCCCUCUUUGCUCAUUGUCGUGUAACGAGAAUAGAUCAAAGACUUCAAAGAGGGCCAAUUUUGCCCGGUUUCGCGGAAUCAUGACUUCUUUGGUGCUUCUUUUCUUUAAGUCACUUCAAUAUGCCCCACUGCAACUUUAGGGAGACCUGGUUCGUGUAUUUUUAUCCUGCUCUAUUGCAACUUCAGAGGGAUAAGGAUUGUGACUUCGAUCUGCUUCACUGCAACUUCAGGGAGACAAGAUCUUGCAAUCUUUGGCCUGUUGCCCUACAAAUUAGGGGGUUAAGGUUUGUUUUCUUCGAUCACUGGAGACGAGACCUGCAAUCUUCAGCCUACUCCACUACAACUUUAGGGAGAUAGGACAAUGGCUUAAAUCUACUUCGCUGUAACUUCAGGAAGACAAGAUUCACCAUUGUCAAUCUGCUCCACUGUAAUUUCAGGGAGACAAGAUCUGUAGGAUUCGCCAACGCCACUACACUGUCUUCAAAAGACAUGAUUUGUAGAGUUGGUUUCCUGUAACUAUCUUUAUGCCAAAUAAUUAGGGUGCCAUGAUCAAAAUGAAUCAAAUGUCCCUAACUAGAUGUGGUGCUUAUGUCAAAUAAUUAGAAUGUUAUGAUCGAAAUGAAUCAAGUACUCCUAACUAAAUGAAUGAUUAUGAAUGUAGAAAUUUCAUGAGAGUAAUUUAUUUUUAUAAACGCUUAAGGUAUCAUUGCCCAUAGUUCAUCCGGGUUCUAUCAUGGAUGUGCUAUCGCGUCUUCUUGCUUAGCCGUUAUCUUUGACAGAAAGUUUGAAGAAAUAGUCCCAACUUGGACUACCCUUUUUCCAGUGUUUCCAACUUUUGAACUUGGUUAGUCCUGACUAGUGACCCUGUUUUAGGUCCUUGUCCUAUUUAGAGACUUUCCAGAGUAAUAUGCAUAACUUCUUUUGUGUGAAUAUUAUAAAAAAUCGUGAUUUCAGCAAAAAUGCUCGAAAGAGAUUAUCAUAAUGGACAGAAUGAAAUUUUAUUGAGCGAAACUCGAAGUGAAUACAUUAAACAGGAUAGUAAAUCUGCUAAGGCACAAAAUAAAAUGAAAAAAGAGGUGCCCCAAAUAUUGCAGCACGAGUUUCUCUAUUUUAAUUUCUCAAAGGCUCCUUCGAACCAAAUGUGUGUUCAGGAGAUCCCGCAUAUUUUGUUGAUGUUCCAAGAUGUACUGUUAUUCCCUCUUGUUAAUUUUGGGAGGACAAGACUACCACAUGCCCCACAUUUAAAAUUUGAGCUGCCCGUUUUCGGGUUUUUAACUCAAAAACCCCUUUAGUCUCAAAGUGCCUUUUGUGGGUUUUCACCUUGGCCUCUCCAUCUUUUUUUUUUUUGGUCUCAGAGCGCCCUUUGCGGGUUCACUCUGGCCUCUCUUUCUUUAGGUAAAAUACUUCUUAACUAAAUCCGAAUUUACAGGAUUGGACAAGUUUCUACCAUCCAUCUCGGCUAGAAUCAAUGCUCCUCCGGAGAAAGCUUUUUUCACCACGUAAGGCCCCUCCCAAUUAGGCAUCCAUUUUCCUCUAAAAUCCUUCUGUAUGGGAAGGAUCUUUUUCAAGACCAGGUCCCCCUCAUGAAACUCUCUUGGGCGGACCUUCUUGUCGUAUGCCUGUAUCAUUCGUUUUUGGUACAUCUGACCAUGACGGAUAGCUCUUAGCCUCUUUUCCUCAAUUAAGUUCAAUUGAUCAUAUCAAGACUGGAUCCAUUCUGCUUAAUCCAACUUUAGUUCUGACAACACUCGGAGGGAUGGGAUCUCGACUUCGAUGGGCAAAACUGCUUCCAUUCCGUAGACCAAAGAGAAAGGCGUUGCCCUAGUUGAGGUUCUGAUUGAUGUUCGAUAAGCAAAGAGGGCAAAUGGUAAUUUCUUAUGCCAAUCUUUGUAGGUCUCGGUCAUCUUCCCCACAAUCUUCUUAAUGUUUUUAUUGGCUGCUUCCACUGCCCCAUUCAUUUUCGGGUGAUAUGGUGACGAGUUGUGGUGUCUAAUCCUGAAUUGACUGCAAACUUCCGCUAUCGUAUUAUUGUUCAGGUUUACUACAUUGUCAGAUAUGAUCCUCUCCGGCAUUCCAUAUCGGCAUAUGAUCUCUUUUUUCAGGAAUUUUCUCACUGUCGAUUUUGUAACAUUGGCAUAUAAAGCGGUUUCUACCCAUUUGGUGAAGUAGUCUAUAACCACAAAGAUGAAUCGAUGCCUAUUGAAAGCCUUCGACGAUAUUGGUCCAAUCACAUCCAUACCCCACAUAGAGAAUGGCCAUGGGGAAACCAUGACAUGCAGUGGUGAAGGAGGUACAUAAAUUUUAUCUCCAUAGAUUUGGCACUUAUGGCAUUUCUUGGCGUAAUUGACACAGUCUCCUUCCAUAGUGGACCAAUAGUACCCGAAUCUCAUAAUUUGCCUGGCCAUUGUAAAGCCAUUAGCUUGUGUCCUACAGACGCCUUCAUGGACUUCUUCCAAGAUUUUCUUAGCUUCUACAGCGUCUACACAUCUUAGUAGCACUUGAUCCUUUCUUCUUUUGUAUAGGAUCUCCUCAUCUAAGACAUAGCCGAUGGCCAACCUUCUCAAUGUCCUUUUGUCAUUCUUACUUGCCCGGUCUGGGUACUCACGAAUCUUCACGUAUUGUAAUAUAUCGUGAUACCAAGGGCUAUCAUCUUUUUCUUCAUCCUCUUCAAUAUUAUAACAGUGGGCCGGAGUUUCAUAAAUGCUCAUCUGGAUGGGUUUGACAUCUUCUUGUUUGUUCACCUUGAUCAUGGAGGCUAAGGUAGCCAAAGCAUCGGCCAUCUGAUUUUCGUCCCGUGAAAGGUAGCAGAAGGUAAUGUCAUCGAACUCUUUGACCAAUUCACGGACCAGUUUUCGAUUGUCGAUCAACUUGGGGUCUCUAGUCUCCCAUUCUUCCUUAAGUUGAUAAAUCACUAGCGCAGAAUCCCCAUACACCUCUAGCACUUUAAUCUUGCGUUCUAUGGCUACACGGAUACCCAUGAUGCACGUUUCGUAUUCUGCCAUGUUAUUCGUACAAUCAAAAUCUAAUUUACUAGUGAAUGGAUAAUGAUCUUUGUUUAGGGAUACCAAGACUGCCCUGAUUCCAUUACCCACAUCAUUUGACGCCCCAUCGAAGUUCAGUUUCCAGGGAAGUUCUUCCGGAUCACCUUCUUCAGUGGUUGUAACAUACAUCAGGUCUUCAUUUGGGAAAUCGAAGUUCAAAGGCUCGUAGUCUUCCAAAGCUCUACUAGCCAGAAAAUCUACUAUUGUACUCCCUUUUACUGCUUUCUGGUUCACAUAGACUAUGUCAAAUUCGGAGAGCAGAAUCUGCCAUCGUGCCAUCCUUCCAUUCAAAGUUGUUGACUCCAUCACGUACUUUAAAGGAUCCAAUUUUGAGAUGAGCCAAGUGGUGUGGUACAACAUAUACUGCCUCAGCCUUCGGGUUGUCCAAAUUAAGGCACAACACAACUUCUCUAUCGGCAGGUACCUUGUUUCACAGUCAGUGAACUUCUUACUAAGGUAGUAAAUAGCUCUUUCUUUCCUUCCUAACUCAUUACGCUGACCCAAUAUGCACCCCAUGGAAUUCUCAAAUAUUGCCAAAUACAGUAUCAAUGGCUUAUCGGGGUUAGGUGGCAUCAGCACCGGAGCGUUGGAUAAGUACUGUUUGACCUUGUCAAAAGCCCUUUGGCAUUCUUCAUCUCAUUCACCAGGGUUGUGUUUCUUGAGGAGGCGAAAGAUAGGGUCACAUUUCUCGGUCAGUUAUGAAAUGAACCGAGCAAUAUAAUUUAAUCUUCCUAGAAAGGCUCGAACCUCUUUCUGGGUACGCGGCGGAGAUAGCUCUUAUAUGGCUUUGAAUUUGUCUGGAUCAAUCUCGAUCCCUUUCUCGCUAACCACGAAUCUGAGAAACUUUCCAGACUUGGCUCCGAAGGUACAUUUAGCGGGAUUAAGUUUUAGCUGGAACUUCCUCAGCCUCAAAAAGAAGUUUCUCAGGACUUGUAUGUGCUCCUUCUCUGUUCGAUACUUUUCAAUCAUAUCAUCGACAUAAACCUCAAUUUCUUUAUGCAUCAUGUCGUGAAACAGUGUUACCAUGGCUCUUUGAUAUGUUGCCCCGCAUUCUUUAGUCCAAACGGUAUCACCUUGUACUAGAACGUGCCCCACAUGGUUACAAAUGUGGUCUUCUCCAUGUCUUCAGGAUGCAUUUUGAUCUGGUUAUAUAUAGAGAAACCGUCCAUAAAUGAAAACAGUGAGUGUCUUACCGUGUUGUCCACUAGGAUGUCAAUAUGAGGUAGUGGGAAAUUGUCCUUCGGGCUGGCUUUGUUCAAAUCUCUGUAGUUCACACACAUUCGCACUUUUCCAUCUUUCUUAGGGACGGGGACGACGUUGGCUACCCAAUCUGAGUAUUUUACAACCUUCAGGAAUCUAGCGUCGAACUACUUUCGAACUUCUUCUUUUAUUUUUAGCAUGACGUCGGGCCUCAUUCUUCAGAGUUUUUGCUAAACUUGCUUACAUUCUUCCUUUAUGGGGAGUCGGUGCACCAUGAUAUCAAAGUCCAACUCGGGCAUAUCUUGGUAUGACCAUGCAAAGGCAUCUUUGAAUUCUUGAAGUAAUUCAAUAAGGUCUCGCUUCAUUUCCAUAGUGAUACAAGUUCUGAUUUUCACCUCUUGUCCUUUUCCUAAGCUCACAAUUUCUACUGAUUCCUUGUGAGGUAGGAUUUGUUUCUCAUCUUGUUCUACCAUUCUCAACAAAUCAGGAGAUAGGUUACAGCCUUGGUCAUCUUCGAAAUCCUGAGAAUCCUCCGUACACACAUCUCACUCAAAAGGAUAUUCUGAGCCAUUGACAAUGUCACUCGUAUCAUUGAUAUCUAGGGACCUGUUAUGAGGAUGAAAGAAGAUACAAAGAAUCAAAAGAAUUCAAGAAUACUUGUUUGCAUGGUAUGAUUAUGAAUGAAGAAUGAAAGAAUAUUUAGAAGAAUGUUUAAAGAACAAAAGAAUCUGAAAGUAAUCAUUUGUAUAAUAUGAUUAUGAGUGAAAUUUAAAGAAUGAGAGAACAUCUGCUCAAAAUGAUAAUAAUAGUGCAUUUUAUUGAAAUAACGUUUUUAAACAUCAGCCUAUUUCACAAAAGAUUCUUAUUACUCCUAGGCGUAGAGCAAUAAGUGUGUUUUGGACAUUACUCUGAGUCAGUUCUAAAAACUACAGGAAUCUCUUCCGCAGUCCAGUUAUCCAGAACACUUCCAGGUAGGUAGGGGCAAAUGCCCGACAAAUUUUCUCUUCCAAUCUCUUUGUCGUAUGUGGCGUUGAUGUCCAAGCUUUCCAACCUCUCCUCUAUUGCUUCUUUUCUUGGCGUGCCCCUCUCAGGAUGAAUGAUUCCUCCGGACACAAAAGUUUUUGAUAUAUGGGGGAAUAUCAUUGGUUCCCAUUUGAUUUCCUCCAUCGUUAACCGUACUCUCCUUCUUUCUUGCUUCUUUUCCAGCUCCCUUCUCCUUUGUCUCGCAUUCAGCUUAAAUCUUAAGCUGAAGCGGUCUCUCUUCUCCUUCAAUACCGGCGUUUCAACCCUUUCUUGGAGGUGUCUUCCAAGUCCUCUUCUGGGUAGGUCCCCUUUUCUAACUAUCAACUGCAGGCUUAUCCUCGUAGUUUUGGACAGUUUUGGCACCAGAAUCUUGCUUCCCUCGGCGAUGAACGUCUCAUUAACAAAUUCCAAAGAUCGAAAUGAGCAUUCAAUUGCUUCGUCAUCUGUCUCCAAAUAGGGCGUAUUAUUGCUUACAGUUGCAAUGAUAUCCUCUUCAGCAUUGAUCGUUAUCAACCGCCCCUCUGAUACCAGCUUCAACUUUUGAUGCAACGAUGAAGGCACUGCCCCAGCUGAAUGUAUCCAGGGCCUCCCCAAUAAGAAAUUAUAUGAGGGCUUAAUAUCCAUUACUAGGAAAUCCACCUCAUAUGUGUUUGGCCCGAUUUGAAGAGGGACCUCGAUUCUGCCCAUCACCCUUCUCUCCGUGCCAUCAAAUGCUUUCACCAUAUUCUGGCGCUCCUUUAUGUGAGAGCUGUCUAUAGGUAAUCUAUUAAGCGUAGUUAAUGGUAGGACGUUCAAGGCCUACCCAUUGUCAAUCAGUACGCCUAGCAGCGUAUACUCCUUAUAGUGCGUGGUAAUGCGCAAAGCUUUAGUCGACCCCAUGCCACCGGGUGGUAUCUCAUCGUUAUUGAAGAAGAUAUAGUUGUCGGCACUUAUGUUGCUAACUAAGCGGUCCAGCUUGUUAACGGAGAUAUCAUUGGCAACAUAUGUUUCAUUCAAGACUUUCAUCAGCGCGCUGCGGUGGACUUCUGAACUCAGGAGUAAAGUCAGCACCGAGAUACGGGCUGGUUGUUUACGUAGCUGUUCCACCACACUGUAUUCACUGUGCUUUAGGAAUUUUAAAAACUCCUUAGCCUCCUCCUCGUUAACUGGCUCAUUGACAAGAAGUUCAGAUUUGGUCAUUUUUUCCUUUACCCCUUUGACCAUUGGGGCUUUUCCUUUUACGGGUUGUGCCUUCUCACUUGCUGUAUCGUAAUGUCUCCCGCUACGCGUAUAGGAGCCCCUAUCUUGGUCCUCUUUUGAGGCGUUAACCAGGCUUUCCUUUCCUUGAAUCGUCACGUUGCAAUCAUAAUUCCAUGGUACCCUUUUGCUGUCUUUGUAGGGGAAGACUGCAGGUCUCUGGAUUAUGACCCUCGGUGGUAUUUGAACUCCAGCUUCAUUAUUUUUGGGUCUCGAUAUGAUAACCACGGGUUAGUUAACUGUCUGAUUCUAUGUCAUCGAUUCUCCCUCCGACGCGCAUAUAUCUCCCACUACGGGGUCUUCGGUCUAUUCAUAGAAUUUCAUUUCCUUAUUAUCCAUCAUGUUCUAUACUAGGGCCCUGAAUUCCACACACUCUUGGAUUUCAUGCCCCACCUCAUUGUGGAACUCAUAGUAGUUCCUCUCUUCUACAGAUUCUUCCCUCGAAUCCAACGCAAUCAAUCCUCUCUUGGCCAUCUCCUUCCACACCUGCCUUAAUGGGGUCCCGACUUCUCCAACCUCGCUUUUAACCUUCUUGUUCUUGCCUUCACUUAUCCCAUUUACUCCUUGGUUGGUAUGAUUAGGGAGUGGGUUUCCUGCUAUGUUGGGCAUGCCUGGGUCGUCAAACCUUACGAUCCCCAUCUUAAUGAGUCUUUCGACUACUUUCUUGAACGCAGUGCAGUUUUCGAUUGAGUGCCCGGUAAUUCCCGCGUGGUAUUCACAUUGGGUGUUUGUGUCAUACCAUUUGGGAUACGGAGGCUGUAAAGGCUUCAGGUAAAAAGGGGACACUACAUGAGCGUUGAAUAGAUUCUGGUUUAGCUCCCUAUACGUCAUAGGUAUAGUGGUGAACUGUGACCUUUCUGUGUUCUCCCUUGCGUUGGAUUCUUUUCUUACAGAGCUUUGUUGAUUGGUGGUCACCGUCUUGGGUUGAUUUACGGUGAAUGACUUAGAUUGACCCUUGUUGAAUGUGCUCAUGUUGUUCACUUCAUUAUCUCUUUUCCUCGGGGCUAAAUUCCUGGCACUCUCUCCUGAUUCUAUCUUAUCGCUCCUCACAGCAUUUUCGAUCAUUUCCCCAGUCAUCACUAUGUCAGAGAAGCUCUUGGUGGCGCUUCCCAACAUAUGAGUGAUAAAAGGGGCCUUCAAGGUGUUGAUAAAGAGCAUCGUCAUUUCCUUUUCUAGAAGCAGCGGCUGAACUUGUAUGACCACUUCUCUCCACCUUUGUGCGUACUGUCUGAAACUUUCAUUGGAUUUCUUUUCCAUAUUCUGGAGAGUGAUUCUGUCGGGGGUCAUGUCCGUCACGUGAUUGUAUUGUUUCAUAAAGGCCUGAGCCAGGUCCUUCCAUGAGUUAAUUUUAGCGCGGCUUAAUUGGUUAUACCACUUAGAUGCCACCCCGACCAGACUAUCUUGAAAGUAGUGGAUUAAAAGCUGGUCAUUGUUAACGUAUCCCGCCAUUCGCCUGCAAAACAUAGUGAUGUGGGCUUCAGGGCAGCUCGUUCCAUUGUAUUUCUCGAAUUUGGGCAUUUUGAAUUUAGGGGGAAGGACCAAAUCUGGGACCAAACUCAGGUCUUUGGCAUCAAUCCCUUGAUGAUGAUCAGCACUUUCCAUGGCUUUGAAUUUCUCCUCGAGCCAUCUACACUGUUCUUCUAAUUGUUUUUAUGAAUCUAUCCUCGCCUUUUCUUCUUCAGCAACUUCAUCCAAAUCGGGAACGGGAGGACAGUUCGGGUUGUGGACAAAGUUAGAGCCUGAGCCGGUUUGGAAAUUCAGCGAUAUUGAAGCUCCAGCCUGAACCAACUGGGGCAUGAUCGUGAUAGAUGGUUUUUAUAGAUUAAUCUCAGGCUUCAUCGGUGCAUGUGUCAGAGUGAAGCCAGUGGGGUAUUGGGGAUCCUCAUUAGUUUCCUCAACUUUGUCAUUGGGGCCCUUUCCCUUCCUCCCAACAACAAUUGGGAUAACUGACUCAUCAUUUCUCUCUGGGAUUCCAUCAUUUACUCCUUCAUCUCUCGCUGAAUCUUGGCUAGCUACUCUUGCAUCUGAGAUUGCAUUUGUUCCUGCAUGUCCUUUUGCAUUUGCUCCAAUUUCUCGAGUCUUUUAUCCAUUAACUUUUUCCUUGUAUCGUAGGGGUGCGUGGUUUGUUGGUUUUUGUUGGUUUCCAAGUUACUGAAAUAAUUUUUUAAUUAAUUAAUUAGAAACCUCUUAUGACUUUUAAUGCAUAAUGAUAUGAUGUAAUGCAAAUGCAUGAAUGCAAAGGAGGCAUCAAUUUUGAUUCAAUUAAUCUUAGAAAACUCCACUAGAAAAUAAAAGUCUUUUACAUAAAGUUGAGUUACAGAUAAAAUUUCGCUCUAAUGCUUAAAGUCUUAAUUUUUCUAAGCAACGAGGCCAGCUCCUGUCCACGAUCUGACUCCAACUCAUACUUCAUGCUCAGUGUGUUUGCCUGUACCGCUAAAGCUUACAAGUAGUCAGCUACCUCCCGAAUCUGGGUUAUGGCUUCCUCCAUAAGGUAAUCUCUGUUUCUGACUUGGUCUUGUGCAUGGUGAAGCUGCUCUCUCCAACGGUCCUCAUUUGUCUUGAAAAACUAGAUCUGUAUCUCACAGUUUUACAGUGAUGCCUCUAAUUCUUCUAUUUUUCUUUCAUUUCUUCUAUCUUGCUCAAGCUUGCCCUCAAAUCCAUUGCGGUGUUGCAGUUUCGGUACUGAUGCAGAGACUUCUCGAGUUCUGCCACUCUAGCCUUUAAUUCCUCUCGUUCAUUUCUGCUUUCCGACAAACUCUUCUCUAAAUCUUUGUUUCGUGCCUGAGCUUCUCAAAAUUUUCUUUCCCAUCGGUCGGCUUUGGUAUUUUCUUCUCAAAUUUUAUGGCGUCAUUGUUCGGAAGUCUUACCUAACCCCGCAGUCCUCAUAGAUAGACACAGCUUCUUAUAGUCAGUCUUCAAGCUGUCUAGAUCUUCUUUGGCCUUAGUUUUCCCUUUUCUCCACUUCUCAGCCUCUGAUCUUUGGACAUCAGCGUCUAAUCUUAAGUGCAUCUUCUCUUGCUCCAAUUGUUCAAUCUUUUUCCCAAGCUCUGAACUCUUCUUCUCGAAAUCUUGCUUUAUAAUUUCCAACUCUGAUGGGGCGACUUGUAAUUGUUCCACCAUAGGUCGAGUAUUUUCCAAGUUUGGCCUAGGAACAUUAUCAUUAACCCUAUUCUUAAACCAUCCAUCAUACUAGGGCGUUACCAUGGAAUCGAAGGCCAACCUCUUCAUCCAACAAGUUUGCUUCCAAGCAUCCGAUAGCUCCCGAACUUUCUUCUUAUAGUGAGCACCUUUAAAAGAGAAUUCACUCUGAGCGAUUCCAUAGGUCGUGGGUACAAACUGCCUCGAUUUAUAUUGUCUCAAGGCUAGCAAUAGAGUAUACCUGGUAGCUCCCCAAAUUCUUAACAAUGGCACCCAAUCAAAGUUACCACAUCGGUACAUGAUCUCAUCAGGAACCAUCCAAUAAGCUCUCCACUCGAUAUCCCCGUCCUUGAGGUUUUGAAGAAUUUCCAUCCACUUCUCUUCCGAGAUAUCCUCUCUCCUUUGUACGGCUGCCUCUUCUUUUAAUAGGGAAUAACCUUCGGAAAAGACCUGAUAAGAAACCUUGUCUACCUUCCAAAAGUGCCCAUGAAACCAUACCAUCAAUAAUUGUGCACAUCCAAUAAACCAUCCCUCGCCUGUCUUUCGACAUGAGCUCAAAGAUCUGAAUGUCUCAGCCAAUAUCGCCGGUACUAGUGUGAUUCCCUUCUCAAGGCGAUUGAAUAAGUCAAUAACUGCCUCAUCCACAUGCCUCAAAGCCUUAGGAAAAAUUACCAAGCCAUAGAUGCUUAAGGCAAAGAUAUCGACCCUCUUUCUUUCAUCUGGAUACGUCAAAAUCAAAUCUAGCAAAUUCUCCCAAGGGAUACAUUUACUAUCUUAUUUUUGUUGAAUUCGGGCAGUGACCCAAGGCUCGCUCAUCUCGGAAAUGCUCAUCAAUUUCUUCACAAAAGUUUGACCACUAAAAACCUGGGCAUAAGUCUUUCGGACCUGAAUCUUUGGACACCUGAGCAGAGUAGUGUAUUCCUCCAUGGUAGGUACCAAAUCCACUUCUCCAAAAGUGAAAACUUGUAAGCAGAAUUCCAAAACUGCACCAUAACUCAGAACAGAUGUUUAUCCACUCUAAUGUCUAGCAAGUAGGAUAUAUCACCAUAACUUUGAUAAAACAACUGCUUGAUCCCCUCAUCCCAACUAGCCCAAAUGUCUCUCAACUCUUGCAGCUCAUUCUGUGCUACAUUGACACGAGUGAAAUCCUGUAACUCUGAUAUAUAUCCUUCUGCCAAGCUAUCCCUUUUUUUUGGUUGUAGCUUCUCUGACCAUGCACGAACGGUUGCAUUAUCCUCGACUUCACUAAGAAAUUCAUUCUCCAUGUCAAACUUUCUAACUUAGUAAUUGAAUACAAAUCAACACCUCCUUUAGUAUGCAAUGUCAUUCAAAAAAUAAUCAAAACAAAACACAGGUUAGCAUCAAAUAAUAGUGAUAAAAUGCAAGCACAUAAACGAUAAUUACAACACAUAUACGGGUAAAUACUAAGGCUUGACGCGGCUCCACCAAAGGACAGCUCCUAAGGUUCACUAUAUGUGGUUCGUUCUAGGGAUAAGGUACCCGACCAGCAGAUUCCUCAAUCCUCACCCAUUAUAGGCUCAUAUAGAUUGAGUUCGGUUCGGGGGGAUGCAUUUCCCUAUGACCAUGCGGAGAUGAAAAUCUCACGAAAUCAUAGGUACGGAUGUACCCCGGAAGCAAUUCACUAGCCCAUACGGAGGUGAAAACCUCAUGAAAGCGUAGCUGUAACGCCCCAAUUUUCGGGAAUUCUGUGAAUGUUGGCAUAUGUUUAAUUAUGUUAGUGGGCCUCUAGAAGGCCCAAGCUUAAGAUAGAACCCAGAAAUUUUAGUUAAUUUUUGUUCCAUAAGAAAAAGAGGGUGAAAUUAUGAAAUAGAACCUAUGUGAAAAUGUUUGAAAAUGCUAUAGGCUAAAUUGAAGUGGCCAAAUAAAUAGGAGUGCAAAAUAGGAGGAUUUGCAUGACAAACCUCCCAUUUUACAUGAAGUGGCCAGCCAUCAUGUUGUAGACAAUAUGAGCACUUGAUAUCCAUAAUUCAUGGUACAAAUUGAUAAUGGGUUAGGUAAAUGUUCCAUGAUAAUGGAUUAGGUAAAUGCUCUAUGAUAAUGGUUUAGGUAAAUGUUCCAUGAUGGGCAUUUCAUGUCUUUUGUAUUAAAGAAUUAAAUGGAUGAAAUAUGAAAUUUUAUUAAAAGAAAAAUGGGUGAAAAGAACAAAGUUUUGUCCAUCUUUGUUCAUCAUAGCCUAAAGUUAGAGAACAGAAAGGAGAGGAGAAAGCUCUUGAAUGUUCGGUCACUUGGGGAAGAAAAUUGAAGGUAAGUUCAUGGUAGUUUGCUUCUAUCUUGAUGUUCAUGAGUUCUUCUUGAUUCUACCUUAACUCUUGAAGCAUAUUUUGGUUUUUAGUUGUGUUGUGAACAUUUAGUCAUGAAUUAAAAUGAAGGAAAUGGUUGUUGUUUCAUGUUCUUUUGAUGAAAAAUGGAAGAUAGGUGAAGUUGAGCCAAACAAAUGAGCAUGCAUGUGCCUUAGAUGUUAAAGGGAAAAAUCAGCUAACAUGUUGUGCUUUAAAAUGAUGAAAUGGAGAUUAUACUUAAGUAAAAUCAUAGAUAUGUGAUGAUUGAUUGGUGAUAUACAUGUUUAAAUAACAAGCAUGCAAGUUAGGUGUGAAAGAGUGAUUUGGUAAUAAAUCUGCUUGGGACAGCAGCAGUAACGUGACUUUGGAAAAUCACCAUAAAUUGUGGGAGAUGAGUUAGAAGCUGCAUAAAUUAUGUAAUUAAAUCUUAAUGAGUAUAGUUUCAAAUGGAAUAAACUAGAACAUAUUUUGAAUUCUAUACAAUGAGAAAUUUGAUUCGUAAUGAAGAGUGGUCAGAUUAGUCAAACAGUGAAACAUGGGAAACUUUGAGAAAAAUCUGGUAUUGAUUGGCCAAACCAAAAAUUCUGAAAAUUUUAUGGAUAGAAGAUAUAUGAGUCUAUUUUUAAGGAAAAUUAACGGAACUUGAUUUGGAGUUUCGUAGCUCCAGUUAUAAAUGAUUUAGUGACUGUUUCUCAGGAAGACUGCUUGCAGCGAAAUUAUGAUUAUGUGGUAAACAUUGACAAAAAUUUGUUAAUGAUUUGCUUAUUGUUUUCUUAUAAGCUUACUAUGAUCUGUAGGUGUGGUUGGCUGAAUAUUGUAAGGGUUUAAUACGUAGUUUGUAUUUGAAUAGUUAGAUUAAUGUGUUAGUAAUCCAAUUGUAGGCGGUUCGUGUGUGGAUUUCGUCAGCAUAUCGUCGCAAACAGGUGUGUAACUAACACCCUCUUUCUUAGUCUGGAUCGGCAAAAGUCGAAAAGCCGAAAUGCCAAAAACUUGUAUUUUGUAGAUUUGCGAGUGUGCGAAUGCUCGUGAGGUAAAUCGAUUAAUGUUUUUGGUAAGCUGCAAAAUUUGGACUGCAAAGUGCAUGAUUUCUGUGCCCUCGAUAUUUUUGGGCUUAAUGGGCCAAAAUUGGAAUGAUAGGCCAACGGGCCAAAUUCGAUAAGAACCCUCGGUACGUGAUUCUGUAGUAUGUGAAAGGUAGGAAUAUGCAUGAAAAACCAUAAAAUAGAUAAAUUACUGAAAUACCUUUAAAAGUGGAAAAUUUAUAGUUUUACCCCUAAUAGAUAAAUUACCGAAAUACCCCUAGGGUUAAAUUGACCUAAAUGCAUGUUUGACUGUUGUUAUUUACUGCAUGCCAUGUUAUUAUCUGAUGCAUGGGAUUGGGAUAUUGACGGAGGAAGUACUGAAAGUGGUUUUUCCACGUACUGGAGGCUUUGCCUCAAUUUACUGUUAACUGAGCAGCAAUGCUGCAACUGUGGAGUGUUGGGCUGGAUGGGUUGAGCUAUUCCCCACAUGGAGUGUAUGGCUGGUACGGGUGGAGUGUAGUGGUUGGUGGGUUGAGUAGUCUCCCCAAAUGGGCUUGCAUAUGUUUACUGAUGUUGCAUGUAUUUUGAAAUGGGCCUAUGGGCCAUACUGUUAUCUGAAUAAGGGGCUAAGGCCCAGUUUAUUGUAAUCUGAAAAGGGCUCUGGCCCAGUACAACUGUUACUUGGAUGGGCUUAGGCCCAAUAGGCUUGAGCUGACUUGGGCUUUGAAUGGGUUUUCCUUACACACUGAGUUUCCCCAAACUCACCCCUUUUAUUUUCAUCCACGCAGGUAAUCCCCAACCAUAGUGGGCUUGGAGCUGUGAGGGAAUUCGGAGUGGCCACCCGUUCUGAAAGUUUGAUUUUAUUCUGGUGAGCUGGACAUCCUUUUAUUUACGUUUGAAGUUUUGGGUUUUUAAAUGUAAUAAGGCCGCUUAAUUAUUUUUGAUGGUUUUAAUAUGUAUUACUAAGAUAGGUAUUAUUUAUUUUAACUGUUGAAAUUGGAUAGCUUUAGGGCGCGUUUUCAAAAACAACAAUUGGUUUCAAAAUAACAAGACAACAAGCAAAGCUUCCGCAAUGAAAGUAUUUUCCAAAAUUAAUCACUUUUCCUUAAAAUGGCUUAAUCAAAUCGGUUUUCUAGAAAUAUCCAUGACGUUAAGGUGUGGCAAUGGCGGUAUGCAUGUCUAGGAUUGGAUCCGAAGGGAGCUUGGUACUUAAGCAGUCCGAUGGACUCACCACCUCUUUUCCGGUUUCCUACCUGAUGCACAGCUUCAAUUCACUUUAACCUAUAAUGAAAUUAUCUUUUAAAACACUAAGUAAGUUUUCUGGAUCCACAAUAUAAAAUGUUUUUGAACGCUUCGAUGUGGCAUGUCGGAUCCGGUCAUAAUGUCUGGGCCGGGUUUGGGGUGUUACAGUAGCUUCUUACUCCCACUAAGAAGGCGUGACCAUGGCGGUCAUGCAAUGAAAUGCAGUAUUAUUCUACGAGACCCGAACCAUAACAACCAUAUAAACAAAUGCAAUCAUGAUUUUCAAAACAAGUUUUCGAUUUUUGACAGAAGGACAGCAAAUGAUCGAUUUUAUGGAUGGACUCUUUUAAAGGGUCCCCAGCGGAGUCGCCAAGCUAUCGAAACCAUCGUUUUAUUUAAAAUUUUAAAUUUAAUAAAAAAUGGGGGAAUCAAUUUUUUUGAAAAUAAAACAUGGAGUCGCCACCGAUCCUUUUGUUUUGGUGUGGUCGGAUCACCUAAGAAUGAGGUUAUUUUAAUAAAACAUUUUUGGUUUACUAAAACAACGAUUUUGGUCUACGAAUUUUUUGAGGAAAUGGGUUCGGGAGUCGGUUACGCAUGAGGAAGGAUUAGCACCCUCACUAUGCCCAAAAUUGGUACCAAAUCGAUUAAAUACUGUCCUUAUGUCUAAAAUUAAAAAUGUUUUUGAAAUGUGGUUCCUUUUUUAAUAACAUUUGAAUAACCCGAGUUGGUUGCCAAAAAACCUUCUUGUUUCGAGUUUCGAAAGUUUAUAAUUCGAAAAUUACAAAAAAGUGCCCAACUAUUUGGUCCAAUGAAAAACCGAAACCCAUCACAGUAGGGCACGAUUCCUCAAAUUUCCAAACAUUGAACAUUGCCUCGCCUUAGAAAAUACGAGUGAAAUUCCGAAGAGAUAUUCGACUAUUUGGUACAAACGGGAGAUUGCAACCUAGCACGAUAGGGAACUACUCCCCGAAUUUCCAAACAUCGAGUAUUUCCUUUGUUUUAAAGAGUUUUUAAAAAACGUGAGUGAGGUUCCGAAGGAAUCUUCGAUUGUUUUGAACAAAUGAAAAAACGCAACCCAGCACGAUAGGGCACGAUUCUCAAAUAACCAAACAUCGAACAUUUCCUUCAUUUGAAAGAGUUUUAAGAAACCAUGAGUGAAAUUCUAAAGGGACGUUCGAUUAUUUUGAGCAAACGAGAAAUUGCAACCCAACACGUUAGGGCAAGAUUCCACGAAUUGUCAAAUAUCGAAUAUCCCCUUCAUUUUAAAAAAUUCUUAAAUAAUUGUGAAACUAGCUUAAAACUUAUUAAUUUGACUCGAAAUAAGACGAAAUUAAUUGUAAAAAUUUGGAUUCUAUAAAACCACAUUUCGAAAAUCAAGUGGAAAAUGAUGAUAUGGGGUGAUAGGCACAUAUGAGGUAUAAUGCUUGAUGAAUAAGAAUAUUAAUCAACUAGCAGAAUAAGCAAUUAAAUAUAAUCAAUCUAAAAAUUAUAACCUAAUUUCAAUCAUGUAUGAAUAAUAAUUGACAUAUCAAUAAGAUGAAUACCAUGCAAUAAUAACGUAUAUGCUACAAUAUAGAACCACCAACAAAAUAUAUGCAAAACAAAAUAGAAUUUAAAAGUCAAAGUAGUAUAAGACGAUGGCAAAACAAAGACGAUCUAAUGAACCAAUAAUUUAUACGACAUGCGAAUUAAUGAAUUGGUGCAUUUUAGAAUCUAUUUGUGAAAAAACUAGGGAUAUAUACUUAAUCAUUUAAAAUACAUAUUUUAAAAUGAAUGUUUUAAUCGAAUAUCAUACCAAAACAUUAAAUAAUAUUGGUUUUAAGAAAUGAGGAUUUAUAUAGUAUGAAAAUUUAAAUUAUGUGUAAAAUAUAUUAAAAAUAAUAACCAUAAAAAUGUAUAAUAAGAUAUAAUCCUUAAAAACAUAAUGGAUCUACAAAUUGUAUGUAUAUAUAUGUAUAUAAAUAAACUUAGAAAUAAUUGUUUAUAAAAAAUAUCAUAGUAAUGUGUACACGAUUAAAUUAUUUUACUAUAUACGUACAAAUAUAUACAUAAUAAAACACUUCAAUGAAAUACUAUUUAAUAUACCAAAAGAAUACAACAUCAAGAAUUUUAGCACGAUAAUUUUAUAAAAAAAAAGAGUUUUAAAAUAAUGAUUUAACCAUUAAAAUAGUAUACGUAAAAGAAUUUGAACGAGACAAUAUAUAUAAUAGUUAAAAUAAUGCAAAUACGAAUCUCAAGAUAAUGAUUUUAUAAAGUAUGGAAUUAAAAUAGCUUGACACACAUGUAGAAACCAAAUGGACUCUCAAAAUUUAUAACGAGUAUAAAAAUACCAAAAUAAUAUGAAUAUAUGAAUAUAUAUAUAUAAAAUUUGAACCAAAUACUAUGUCAAAAGAAAAUUUCGGUAUAAUCAUACAAAAUAAAAUAAUUAAUAUACGAACAAAAUGUUAAACGAACGUCAAAAUAAUAAGGUGUACUAAUACAAACUUAAUUAAAAUCAAAUUAAAAUAAAAAGAGAAAUUUAAAAAUGAAACAGGUUACUUAAAAGUAAAAGGACAGAUAGGUAAAAUGCGCAAAUGCGCAAGGGCUCAAACUGGAAAUAUUCUAGGCUUCCAAAACGCAGCGCAUGUGCACGGACUAGAAUGCAAACGCAUGCAAAUUAUAAGGGCCAAAUUUAAAAGAAAUAAAUCUGGACUAAGCCUAAUCGAACAACGAUAUGAAGGGAAGGGACCAAUCUUGAAAAUAACCCUUCACCGCGAAAACACGCGGGUCCUGAGGGUACCCGAGAAUGGGUCGGGUCGGUUUCUCUAAACGGUGUCAUUUUAAGGCUACAAACCAUGCCUCAAACGGCACUGUUUCGCAUCGCUGAUUAAAAGAAGGCACAGCCCCUGAAAACCCUAGACAUUUCAGCCGAAAAAAUGGGGAGAGGGGAACCCUAAAGGUUCUGCGCUGUUUGGCCAUCAUUUCAUCACUACAACGAUGACUGAUGUCCUUCGGUAACCCCCCUUUUCGUUCUUCCGUUCACUCUAGCGUGGAGUUCGUCGAUUUAAGCCUCGAAAUCCCAUCUCUGACUUUGAUUUCAGCGAAGGAGACGAGGUCUCCGAUGGCUCGUAUGCGAAGGUAAGUCCUUUCCCCUUCCCUUUAUUUGCUUUCAAAUAAAAAAUGACACAAAACAAAGAACAAUCAAAAAAGGAAUGCCCACAAAUCGAAAUCGAAAAAUCACCUUCGAAUAUCGGUGGCCUUUUCUUUGUAUUUUGAUAUGCGGAUAGUGUUUUUUUUGUAUUGCCUAUUGCGCUUUCGUAACCCUUACAAAGAUUAAAGACUAUGGCUUUAUAGCCAAAAAAAUCAAAAGAGAAAAAUACAAAAAAAUUCCUAUUAGAUGCCAUUCUCGCUGCUGUUUUUUGUUUCCUUUCGCAGGUACAGGUGCGUGGUGUGUGUACGAGGCUGUACUGGCGUACGAGGGCUGUUGGCGUGGAGGCACGAGCGGCGUUGGGGCUGUACAGCGGCUGAAGGCUGCGGCGCGAAGAGAGAGAACCCUAGGGUUCUAAAGUUGUAAUUAAUUUUUUUUGGGCCUAUCAGGCCUGUAUUUGGGUCUUGGGUCAUUGGGGUCAAUUUGGUUUUAGGAUAUUUGAUUUUGGGUUGUAAUUGGACAGAUAAUGGACUGUUAUAAUUUAUUUGGGUUUUAGGUUUAUGGUUUUUUUGGUUUAUUUAUUUAUUUUGUAUAUAUUUUGGUUUCUAGUGGGCCCGGGUAAAUUGGCCCAUUUACACAUAGUAUUCACCAAAUACCAUAUACAUCAUAGAUAAUUACAUAUCAAGGCAUUUCUCAUAAGUUUAGUGUACAUACUUGUACAACUUGUAACAUAACUCAAGUACAUACUCACCAAUGACUUACAUCGUUGGAACCAUUAUCAACUCUUUCCUCGGAUUUCCCAUUGAAUACUUGGAAUAUGAAUGGAUACACGAAAGAUUGCACAUAAGUGCUAUAUAUACGUAGCUAGAUCAAUCAAUAGCGCGUAAUAUAUGUAGCCAAGGCUACCUCAUAACAUGUAACACAUCCAUAAUGAACUAGGACCACUCAACGAGCUCGGAUGUUAUAUGCAUCGCAUCCAUCAUGAACUCAGACCACUCAACGAGCUCAGAUGCUCACACCCAUAAUGAACUCGGACCACUCAACGAGUUCGAAUUUAUAAUUUCCUAGUGAUAUGUCACUUGUACCUUAAACUAUUCCUUAAGUUCAAACGGGAUUUUCCUUUCUUAUACUUUGCAUCUCUGUUAUACUUACUCAUAAUGGCAUAUCACCAUGUUCAUAACAUAUUCAUACUUUCAUGGCAAUAAUUGACAUUUAAGGCAUGUAUCAUUAAACACAUCACAUGGUAACAAUAAAGCAUUUAAUUUCACAUAUUUUGUAUACCACAUUUCAUGUAUCGUUAUUUUCUUACAUUUCAUAUAAUAUUCUCCAUGUCAUAAUUCCACACAUUAAACAACAUUCCAUCAACCUUUCCAAUAUGUUAAAUCAUAUAAUAUAUGCAAUAUUAAUAAGGAAUGUAAUUCAAACAUAACUUUGCAUUAUUAUUAUCAUACGAACUUACCUCGACACCAAAUUGGUAAAAGAGGCCUAAACAUCAAUUUCUCGUUUUUCCUUGUUCUAAGCCUGAAUCUCGUUUUUCAUCAUCAUAACAUUACAUUUAACUUAUUAAGACAAUAUACUAAUCAAAUUAGUCCAAUGACACAUUUUUGCAAAAUUUACAAUUUGCCUCUAUACUUUACCAUAAUUACCAAAUUGCCCCUAAAAUGAUUUUUAUUAAAUUUAUUAACUCUUUAAGCCUAGAUGAACCAUUUUCAUAACUAUAGCAACUUAUAAUUUUAACUAUUUCAUACAUUUAAAACUUCUUUUACAACUUUGCAAAAUAUCCCAUUUUAGGUGUUUUCAUGCAAACUUCUUUCCCAAAAGUUGUUUAUAACACUACCAAGACUCAUAUUCUUCCAUAAAAACUCAAAAAAAAAAAACAUAUGCUUUCAUGGAAAAACCCUAGACUCUUAAUCAUUUUGUAAAAUAGUCAUCUCUUUUGAAAGCUCAUGCUUUAGGGGUUCUAAAAAUGCAAAAAUUAUCAAGAAAGACAUUAAAAAUCACUUACUAGCAUGGGAGUUUCUUUUCUGAAAUUUUCCAUCCUCAAAAACCUUUCUUUGUUGGUAAUUUCGGUGGAGAGAAGAUGAAGAAAAGAUGAGAUUUUUCUUUUCUUUAUUUUAUUCUAUUUUUAGUAAAUUUAGUCACCUAAAAGCCACAAAUUUUGGCUUUUUGACCAUUUUGUCUCCCUUGGCCGGCCAUGCUUUAUUUAGGGGUCUUAUUGCACUUUAAAGACCUCCAAUUUUAAUUAUCUAGCUAUUAGACGCAUUUAGGUACUAAAAUACAACUUUUACCUUUUACGCGAUUUAGUCCUUUUUUUGAAAUUAAGCUAGAAAUCACGAAAAUAAAAUUACCAAAAUUUUCAUGCACCUUUAUAAGCAUGUAAUAUUACAUAAAAUAACAUCAAAAUAAUUUUCUUUGGCCUCAGAAUAGUGGUUCCGAAACCACUAUUCUGACUAGGCCUGAAAUCGGGUUGUUAUAGUAACUCCUUUGAUUUAGCCGAAACUCCUAAGUCAAGUCAGGGAUGUUACAUAUAUGUUGCUACCAUAUGGAAAACCUGGAUUUGACGUAUUAAAAACUAGUAUUAAUUAAAUUUUAUCCAUACAGUAGAUAUAUAUGUUUUUAUAAUUUGAUCUACGUGUUUUAAAUAUACUUCAUCUCAAAUUUGAGAACCGAAUUAAAACAUUUUAAAAAUUAAAGAUGAAUUUAAAAUCUGCAUUGUAUAGGCACAAAUCUGCCCAGGCCUGUACAAACAUAAACCAAAAUAAUAAUAAAAACAAAAUUUUUAAUAGUUCAAGUCCCUUUAUUACAUCAGCCCAAAUAUGCCAAAAUAAAACAAAAACCCAAAACAUAAAUUGAAACAGUCCAAAAUUAAGACCCAACUACACCCAAAACCUAAAACCUAGCCCAAAAGGUAUACAAAGCCCAACUGGCCCAAAACCCAAACACUAGGAAACCCUAGGUCACCCUUUUGCGCUGCAACAGCUUUGUAUGACCGCCAGCCCUGCCACAUAUGCCUUCGUACCCUCCAUACACGCACCAUACACACCAUGUACCUGCAAACAAACAAGAGAACAACACCAAAUAGGAAAGAAAAUAGAAAAAACUUGUAUUUUUUUCUUUAUUUUUUUUAUUCUUUUGGCUAUAAAGCCCAAAAACAAAUCAAUGUAUUUUCUUUACAUGCACAUAGCAAUAAAAAACAACAAGAAAUCAAAAGAGGUGAUUUGCUCUCUUUUUUAAAAACUUAUCAUAGCAUUUCGUUUUUUUUUCUUGACUAUUCUUCUAUUUCUUUUUGUUUCUUCAUUUACAAAGAAGAAAAUAAAAAAAAAAAAGAAGAGGAUAAAGGGGAAAGUUUCACCUGAACCAUUAGUAUACUGUCGGAGUUUCUUCUCUGUUAAAGCCCAAAUCCAACGGAGGUGGAGACCUCCUUCUUUUGAUUCCUUACGAUUGAAGGUGCUAUGAAUACGGAUUUAAACAAGUCCGAAUGAGGUAAUCUACCCUUCGUUUACCACCAUUUGUGGUGGUUGUAUGGCGGCUAGGGUUUGGCCUUUGAGAAUCGACUAAAAGGAGGGGAAUUAUGGUUUUGAGGGGAAUUAUGGUUUUGUUUCAAUGGUUUGAAGAAAAUGGCAGAUUGCCAUUAAAAUGCUUCUUUUAAUUUUGGAUGAUAAAUAAAACAGCACCAUUUAUGGGGAGGGGGGAUCCGCGUGCCAACCCUCUCCAUUACCCAGAUCCGGGCCUUUGCGCUUUAAGUGGGAAAUUUCGCAGCAAGUCCUUCCUUUUUUUGCUGGCUUUUAAUUAGCCCUUAUUCACAUUUUAUUUGUUUUAAAUUUUUCCAGGAAUUUGCGCGCCAAUUCAAUUGGGUCUGCGCCUAAACGUUGCGUUUUAAGAUUUGGAACAUUUGCACUUUUAAUCCUCGGACAUUUGUGCGCGUUGUGUUUUAAUCCUUAAUUAUUUUUAUUACUUUCUUUAUUUGUAAAUUGUCCACUUGGUUUUAUUUUUAUUUCAAUUGAGUUUUUAUUAUUAUUUCAAUUUAUGUUUUUAUUCUUUAUGAUUCUUUUAUUUUUUUUAACAAAUAUUUGGUAUUCAUCUUUUAACAUAUUAUCUUGGAUUAUUUUACUAAUUUUGCAUUGUUCUAGCUUGUUAUUUUAUAAUUUUGUUCAUAUAUAUAUUUAAAAAAAAUUGUUUUAUUUUAUAAUUUGUUUAUUUUAAAAUCCUCUUUUAUAUUUUUCUAUGUUUUAAAGUUUUACAUGAUAUUUAAUUUAAUGCUAUUAUACAUACAUAUACAUAAUUAUUUUUAUUCUAAGUAUAUAUUGUCGAUUUCAUAUUAUCUUAUGUAAAUAUUUUUGUUUAAAUUUAUUUACGUAUAUAUAUAUCUCUUCUUUUAAAUCUAUUUAUGUAUAUAAUUUGUUUCUUUAAAGGACCCUAUUUUAAAUUAUAUAUUUUAUUUAUUUUAAACAUUUUCAUAUAUUGGAAUUUUUAUAUAUACAUUAUUUAUAUUGAGCUUUUCAUUUCAUGUAUAUUAUUUAUUUAGAUGGACAUAUAUUAUUUCAUAGAUCUUAUUUAUUUAUAUAUUAUUUAUUUUGAAAUUUCAUUUUUACAUUAAUAUUUCAUAUAUUAUUUAUGUUUAUUUUCUACUUUUUGAUCUAUUUCAAACUUUCACAUUUAUAGCUUAUUUUAAAAAUAAAUUAUUAUAUGUAUUAUAAUUUCAAAUGUUUUAUUUUUCAUUAUUAAUUUCAAACUCAUUUAUCAUCGUUUCAAAAAUUGUUGCAUUUUAUUUGUAUUAAUCGACUUUAUAUUUCUUUUAAAAUUGAUUCUUUGAUUCAUAAGUCUUUGAAUGUUAACGUUAGUAUUUGCAUAAUGUGUGACGUGAACUCAUUGUUAUUGUGUGUAUCUCAAUUUUUUUUUCAUACUAUUACCAUUCAUUUGUAUAGCAUUUUAUUCAUGUAUAUUGUUCCAUGUUUAUAAUUUCGCCUUUCAUUCAAGAGUGUCAGAUUGUAAUUUUCUACUUAUCAAUCCAAAGUCAAUUACUCCAUUUUAUUCCAAGUAAAUCGACUAAUGCGCUUUGAGACGGCUUUAUAAUAGUUCAUUUGAAAAUUUCCCCAAAACAAAUGCAAUAUUGAGUGUUUGGAAAUUCGGCAAAUCGUGCCCUAACAUGCUAGGUUUCGAUUUUCUGUUUGUCCAAAUAAUCAAAUAUCCCUUUAAAAUUUCGUCGAUGUUUUCUAACUUCAAAACAAGGCAAUGUUCUAUGUUUGGAAAUCUGAGAAAUCGUGCCCUAACGUAUUGGGUUUCGAUUUUUCGUUGGACCAAAUAAUUGAAUACCCUUUCGUAUUUUUUUAAAUGUGUGAGUUGUUGGAAAUCAAGAAUUGACCAUGGUAUCGAGGGUUUAAAAGAUCAUGUCCUAACGUGAUGGAUGUUAUAUUGCAUUUCUUCGAAACCAGAAAUUUUUAACAUCCAAUUCAAAUCCUCCUAAUGUUUUAAAAGAAAUCAUAUUUCAAUUUUUUUUAAACCUUAGACAUAAGGACAUUAUUUAAUCAAUUAGGUACCAAUUUUGGGCGUAAUGAGGGUGCUAACCCGUCCUCGUACGUAACCGACUCCUGGACUCAUUUUCUUAAAUUUCGUAGGCUAAAAGUAAUAUUUUAAAAUAAAAUAUUUUACUAGGUGAUCCGAUCACACCUAACAAAAAGGAUUGGUGGUGACUCCAUACCUUAUUUUAACGUCGAUCCCUAUUUUUCAAAAUAAUAAAAUGAUUUCGAUAGCUUGGCGACUCCACUGGGGAAUAAUAAGAGAGUCAAACCAUAAAAUUGAUUUUUUUUGUCCUUUUGUCUAAAAUUGAAAAUUUGAUUUGAAAAUCAUAAUUCUUUGGUACAUUUGUUUGUAUGAUUGUUGUGGUUUAAGUCUUGUAGAAUAAUAUUACAUUGCAUUGCAUGAUCGUUGUGGUUACACCUUUAAGUGCGAGUAAGAAGCUAUGCCUUCGUAAGGUUUUCACCUCCGCAUGGGCUAGUCGAUUGCUUACGGGAUACAUCCAUACCUAUGUUUUCGUGAGAUUUUCAUCUCCGCAUGGUCAUAGGGAAAUGUAUUCCCCUGAACUGAACUUGAUCCAUAUGAGCCUAUAAUGGGUGAGGAUUGAGGACUUUGCUGGUUCAGGUACCCUUUUCUUUAGAACCGCACCUCAUAUAGUAAACCCUAGGAGCUCACCCUAGGUAGUGUGAUGCUAAAUUUUAGCGAUUAUCCAGAUAGUUGUUUGAUUAUUUUCUGUUUGCUUUGAAUUUUAUUAUUUGAUAUUGACUUAUGUGUUUUGUUCUGGCUGUCAUUGCAUGACAUUGCAUAUUUAAAGAGAUGUCGAUUCGUGUUCAGUUACUAAGUUAGAAGACUUAGUAUGGAGAAUGAAUUUCUUGAUAAAUUCGAGGAUAAUACGGUCAUCCGUACAUUGUUAGAGAAGUUACAAUUAGAGAAAGGGGAUAGGCUAGCAGAGGGAUUUACAUCAGAGUUGUGGGACUUCACCCGCAACAAUGUGACACAAAAUGAGCUACAAGAAUUGAGAGACAUAUAGGCCCAUUGGGAUAAGGGAACUAAGCAUUUGUUUUACCAAAAUUAUGGCGAUAUACCCUAGUUGCUCGAUAUCAAGGUAGACAAGCAUUUGUUUCGGGCUAUGGCUCAGUUUUGGAACCCUGCUUAUAGUUGUUUCACUUACGGGGAGGUAGAUUUGGUGCCCACUGUGGAAGAGUAUACUACCUUGCUGUGUUGUCCAAGGAUUCAAGUCAACAAAACUUACUUUAGGGCUACUAAUGUCCCAACUUUUGUAAAGAAGUUAAUGAGCAUUACCGGGAUGAGUGAGCCUUAGGUUACGACUCAAAUUCAGCAAAAAUGGGAUGGUAAAUGUAUUCCUUGGGCAAAUUUGAGAGACUUAAUAUUAGCACAUCCGAAUGUAAAGAAGAAAGUUGAUAUCUUCGCUUUGAGCAUUUAUGGUUCGAUGAUUUUUCCUAAAGCUUUAAGGCAUAUAAAUGAAACAUUCACUGGUUUAUUCGAUCAUCUUAAUAAAAGAGUCACACCGGUACCUGCAAUUCUAGCUGAGAUGUUCAGAUCUUUGAGCAUGUGUCGGAGGGCAAGAGAAGGUAGAUUUAUUGGAUGUGCGCAGCUGUUAUUGGUAUGGUUUUAUGGACAUUUCUAGAAGGUGGACAAGGUUUCUUACGAGUCUUCUCUAAGAGUUAUUCCCCAUUAAAGGAGGAAGCAGCUACGCAAAGGAGAGACGACAUCUCAGAAGAAAGGUGGAUGACAAUUCUUCAAAAUCUCAAAGAGGAGAAUAUUGAAUAGAGAGCCUUCUGGAUGGUCCCCGAUGAGAUCCUUUAUCGAUGUGGGAGUUUUGAUUGGGUACCUUUGUACGGAAUCUGGGGAGCCAUUGGAUACACCUCUUUGCUUGUAUUAAGGUAGUUUAAGUCAAGGCAGUUUAUACCGAUGACUUACAGGCUUACUCAAUGCGAGUUCUCAUAUAAAUGGGACAAUUAUAAGAAAAGGGUUCGAGAGAUUUCUGAUGCUUGGAAGCAAACUCACUGGAUGAAGAGGUUGGUUGUUGGUUCAGUGACGACCCCUAAAUAUAAUCGAUAGUUUAGCAAAAGGAUUAAUGAUAAUAUUCCUAGGCCAAGUUUAGAAAGCGUUCAAUCAAAGGAGGAAUACUUACAAGUUGUCCUGUCAAAGUUAAAGAUUAUAAGACAAGGCUUCAAAAAGAAGAGUUCUGAGCUUGGGAGGAGGAUUGAGCAGUUGGAGAAAGAAAAAAUUAGCUUGAGAUUGGACGUGGAUGUUCAGAAGCCAGAGGCUGAGAAGUUAAAAAAAGGGAAAAAUAAGGCCGAGGAGGAUCUGGAUAGUUUAAAGACAGAUUAUAAGAAGCUACGUCUAUCAAUGAGGACUACUGGGUUAGGGAUAACUUCAGAACAGUGGCGUCAGGAGAUUCGAGAGGAAAAGACUAAAGCUGAUCAAUGGGAAAGGAAAUUUCAGGAGGCUCAAGCAUGAAAUGAAGACCUAGAGAAAAGUUUGUUAAAAAGCAGAAGUGAACGAGGUGAAUUAAAGGAUACAGUAGUGGAACUCGAGAAAUCUCUUCAUCAGUAUCGAAAUCGUAAUUUUGUAAUAGAGUUGAGUGCAAGUUUGAGCACGAUAGAGGAAAUGAAAGGAAAAAUAGAAGAAUUAAAAGCAUCAUUACCGAGCUAUGAAAUACGGAUUGAGUUUUUCGAAGUAAGUGAGAAGUGUUGGAAGGAGCAGUUUCACCAUUUGCAAAAUCAAGUUAGAAGCCAGGAUUAAAUUAUGGGAGAAGUCGUAACCCAGAUUCGGAAGGUAGCCGAUUACUUGUAAACUUUGGCGGUACAAGCGAAUAUACUGAGUUGGAGUCAGACCGAAGUCAGGAGCUAGCUUCACUGCUUAGGAAAAUUAAAACUUUGAGCAUUAGGGCAAAGCCUUAUUUGUAACCGGUUUAUGUAAAGAAUUUUAUUUUCUAGUAAAGUUUUCUAAAUGGAAUUGAAUUAGAAUCGACACAUUUUUUUCAUUCAUUCAUGCAUCUGCAUUACAUUAUAUUACAUGCAUUAAAAUCCAUCAAAAGAUCCUAAUUAAUUAAAAAUUAUUUCAGUAAUCUGGAAACUGACAAAAACUUACCAAGUACUCAUCUCUACGACACAAGGAAAAAGACCAAGUCAAUGGAAAAAAGACUAGAAAAAUUGGGGAAAAUGCAAAAGGAUAUGCAGGAACAAAUGUAGGCACAAAUGUAAGAGCAUCUAGCUAAGAUCUAGCAAGAGAUGAGGGAUCAAAUGAUGGAGUCCCAAAGAAACAUGAUGGCUCAAUUGUCCCAACUGCUGGUAGGGAAAAUGGACAAAAGGAAAGGCCCCAUGGACAAUGUUGGGGAGAAUAAUGAAGACCUUCAAUAUCCUCCUGGUUUUACUCCAACACAUGUAUAGACGCAACCUGAGAUAAACCCACAGAGACCAACUAUUACGAUUAGGCCUCAAUAGAUUCAGGCCGGGGCUUCAAUACUAAUGAAUUUCCAAGCUGGCUCAGGCUCUAACCCUGGUAAUAACUCAAAUAAUCUAGCUGUUCCUGAUUUGGAUGAAGUUGCAGAAGAGGAAAGGGCAAGGAUAGAAUCACAAAAGUAAUUAGAGGAACGGUGUAAAUGGCUAGACGAAAAGUUCAAGGCAAUGGAAAGUGCUGAUAGUUGUCAUGGAAUCGAUGCUAAAGAUUUGAGUUUGGUCCCAGACUUAGUACUUCCCUACAAGUUCAAAAUGUUAGAAUUCGAGAAGUACAACGGAACGAGCUACCCUGAAGCUCAUAUUACCAUGUUUUGCAGAAGAAAGACUGGGUAUGUUAACAACGAUCAAUUACUGAUCCAUUGCUUCCAAGACAGUUUGGUGGGGGCAGCAUCCAAAUGCUACAAUCAGCUGAGUCGUACCAAGAUUAGUUCAUGGAGAGAUUUGGCACAAGCACUCAUGAGGCAGUACAUCCAUGUGACGGAUAUGACUCCUGACAAGAUUACUCUGAAGAAUAUAGAGAAGAAACCAAAUGAGAGUUUCAGACAAUAUGCGCAAAUAUGGAGAGAAGUUGCCAUACAUGUUCAGCUGCCACUUUUAGAAAAAAAACCACGAUACUCUUUAUCAAUACUUUAAAGGCCCCAUUCAUUACUCACAUGCUGGGAAGCACCAUAAAAAGCUUCUCAGAUGUGGUAAUGACUAGAGAAAUAAUAAGCAAAAGGAUAAAGGCAGGGGAGAAUACCAAAAGGUCAGCCCCACGGAAAAAGAAAAAUAAGGUGAAUAAUACAUAUAUGGGGUACACAAAAUCGUUUACCGUUAAUCAGCUGAGAGCAGUGACUACUGGGCAUCAAGGUUAGUGAAGACAAGAAUCUGGCACAAAGAAAAAUACUGAGAAGCUUCAAUUUACGCCUAUCCCAAUGUCAUAUAGGGAGUUAUAUCAAAGUUUAUUUGAUGCGCAUGUGGUAGCCCUUUUUUACUUAAAGCCAUUACAGCCCCCAUAUCCCAAAUAGUACAAUGCAAAUGCUCAAUGUGACUACUAUGCAGGAAUUCUGGGGCAUUCAAUAGAAAACUGCACUACCUUUAAGAAAGUAGUUGAAAGACUUAUUAAAGUGGGCAUUGUGAAGUUUGAUAAUGUACCCACUGUAGAAAAUCUGUUACCUAGCCAUACCGAUAGCGGGGUAAACGCAAUAAGUGAAAAUAUGGGAAGAAAGAUCAAGGCAGACAUUACAGAAGUAAAAACUUAUUUGAAAUGGGUAUGGAAGGAUAUGAAAAAGGGUAUUAGUUAUUUCGAAUCCAGAAAGGAGCGACAAAGAGAUAGGGAACUACUACGAACUCCACCAUAGAGAGGGGCACAGAAUUCAAGAAUGUGAGGAGUUCAGAGCUUUAAUUCAGGGCGUGAUGGACAACAAGGAGAUAGAAUUUAUGAAGAGGCUAAAGAGGAGAGGUGUAUAUGCAUGUCAGAAUCAACAACGAAAGGCCCAAAACUCAAUUAUCUUGUGGUCAUUAUUUCAUGUCCUAAAAAUGAAGUAGGGGUUUAGAUGACCCCGAAGAUUAUAAUUCAGAAACCAACAGUUUUUUCUUACAAGGAUAACAAAAGGGUCUCUUGGAAUUAUGAUUGUAAUGUGACAGUCUCGGGAAAAGAGAGUUCAGCUACGGUGGAUGAAGAUAUAGGUUCUCACACGCGUAGUGGAAGACACUAUGAUUUGGUAAAUGCCCAAACAGAACCUGUAAAAGGAAAAGCUCCAAUAGCGGAACAAAAGAAAGGAAAAACUGUUGAGUCUGGGUUGCCCAUUAAUGAACCAGUAAAAAAAAGAGGAAGCUAAGGUGUAAUAGGCCUAUUUCGCCCGGGCCCAUACAAAAAACAGAAACAAAAAAAAAGAAAAAACUAAAUAAACUAAAAUAAAAAAAAGACCCAAAAUCAAAGUCCAAAUACAGUCUUUAUACAAAUUAUAGCCUAAAUUAUAAUCCAUUUUAGAAAUAAACCCAAAGCCCAAUUAUUAAAUUAGCCUAACCCAACCCAAUUUCAGUGGUUCAAUCAUGUUCAGCAAGCCCUAGUUUUACGCCUCUGCCCUUGAACGGCCGCCGUCAUUGUAUCUUUCAUGCAUACGUAGCCUGCAUGCUCCAUGCCGGCAUACCCACAAACAGCUUCGCUCUACACCAUACACACCUGCAAAACGAACUAACAACUACAACAAAUAACAACAAGGAUAAUCAACAGAAAGAGAUAACAGAAAAAAGGAAUGAUGAUAGUUUCAAUUUCUUUUCAUUUUUUUGGGGGUUUUUCGGCUAUAAAAAGCCAUUUGUAAACAAUGUAAAGGAGGAUUUACGAAACAAAAAGGCAACCAAAAAUUUUGAAAGUAAUCAGAGACUCUCAACGUUUUCCUCUAAUUUUUAGAUCGGAUUUCUUUUCUAAAUGUUUUAGUUUUUUCUCUUUCGAAUGAAAAGUAAGAUGGGAAUGAUGCUUACCACUGGCCUCUCAUCGCAUUCCUUCUACGUACGAUCGUCCACCAAGAUUGAUGGUGGUGCGACGAUGCUCCAUCAUCUACUUUAGGCUGCAUCGAAACCCUAGCAAGGGGUUAUUCGGUUUGUGGCUUACAAAAAUGGCAGAUAGCCAUUCACUUUUCUGUGAUUUUGACAACAAACAAAACGGCGCCUUUUGGUAAAACAAGGAUCCGAGCGUUGACCCGUUUGGACGCCCGGAUCUGUGCCUUUCACCUUAAAAGAUCAAUUUGCGUGACGAGUCCCUCCUAUCCUGCAUUGAUCUGUUUUUCGGCCUUGAUUCAGUUUAUUUGUUUUUACAUUUUCCCUGUGAUUUACGGAUUGCUGCAACUUGGUCCUUGUUUAAAUGCCGCGUUUCGAAGCAUGGGAUAUUUGUAUUUUAGAUCCUUGACCAUUGGUGAAUGUUUCAUCUUAGUCUAAUCUUUGAUUUCAUUAAUUUUAUUUGCUUAUAGAUUGUCCUCUUAAUCUUAUUUUUAUUUCAAUCAAGUUUCUUAAAUUUAUGUUUUUAUUCAUUUUUAUUUAAGAUUUUAUUAUUUAUUUUUUAAAAUUAUCUUAACAUAUUUUUCAAAUAUUGCUUUAAUUUGUUAUUUCAUUCAUUUGUAUAAUUGUUUUUUUAAAUUGUUCUAUUAUGUAAAAUUUCUAUUUUAAAAUUUUCAUUAUACAUGUAUUUUUUUUUCAAAAUUUAUACAUUAUACAUUAUAUAUUAUUUUAAAAUUUUUAUUAUACAUUAUUUUUUUAUAUAUUGUUGAUUUCAUAUUAUUUUAUGUAUAUAUCACUUCUUGAAUUUAUUCACAUACAUAUAUUUUUUUUAUAUAUUUAUACAUAAGCUAGCUUUUUUAAAACGCCUAUUUUAUUAUUAUUAUUAUUAUUAUUAUUAUAUAUAUUCAACACUUUCAUCUGUUAUUUUUAUACAUAUAUAUAUUAUUAAGUUUUGCACUUUAUGUGUGUUAUCAAUUUUAAUUCAGAUUAUUUUGUAUUUCAUUGAUUUCUCUCAUAUGUUGCCUAUUUUUUAAAACUUUUUUACAUAUAAUUUAGUUUAAAAUUAUAUACUUGGUUUCGAAGUUUCUUUUCUUCAUUUAUUUUAAAUUAUUUUAUUAUCCUUCAAACUUUAUUUUACAUUUUAUUAAUUUGCCAUGUAAAUAUAUAUUUUCGAAAAAGGAAGUUCAUCGGGCUUUGAUUGUUAAUAUCGCUUCAAUAUGAAAGGAUGGAAGAUCAUUAUUGUAUAUCUCAUGUUCGCAUUGUUAUCUUCGUUAUUCUAUAGUGUAAUGUUAUGUUGAAUUCACAUAUAUUUGUUCUAUGCUUGAUACCAUGUUUUUGUCUCCUACGUAUUUGGGCCCGAUUUUUAAUUGUUUUGUUCUUUUAUAUCCCAAAAGAACUAAAUAAAUGCAUUUUGAGCCGGUUUCAUAAUUGUUUAUUGGAAAACUCUAAAACAAGGCAAUGUUCAGUGUUUGGAAAUUCGGGGAAUCGUGCCCUACCAUGCUGGGUUUCGAUUUUUCCGUUGGACUAAAUAAUUGGACAUCCUUUUGUAAUUUUCAACAUAGGAGCUUUUGAAGUCAAAAAUCAAUCGUGUUUUCAAAGGUAUAAAGGACCGUAUCCUAUCGUGUUGGAUGUGAUGCUGUAUUCCUUUGAAACGAGAGAAUUUUGAUGACCAACUUGAACCACUCAAAUGUUUUAAAAGGAACCAUAUUUCAAAAUCUUUUUAAAUCUUAGACAUAAGGGCAGUACUUAAUCAAUUUCGUACCAAUUUUGGGCGUAGUGAGGGUGUUAUCCUUCCUCAUAUGUAAUCAGCUCCCAAACCCAUUUUUUUUAUGUAAGCCAAAAUUGAUUUAAAUGGAAUAAAAUGUUUUGUUAGGUGAUCCAAUCACACCUGAAUAAAAGGAUUGGUGGCGGCUCUACACUUUAUUUUAAAAGUCGAUCCCUAUUUUCAAAUAAAAAAAUGGUUUCGACAUAAGGAAUUCCUAAAAUUUCUGAAGCAUAGUAAGUAUAGCGUGGUGGAACAGUUGCAUAAACAACCAACUCGCAUAUCUAUACUAGCUUUGCUCCUAAGUUUAGAGGUACACCGAAGUGCAUUGAUGAAAGUGCUAAAUGAGAUGUACGUCACUAAUGAUAUCUCUAUCAAUAAGUUGGAUCAGCUGGUGAAUAACAUAAGUGCUGAUAAUUUCAUCUCCUUCAACGAUGACGAAAUACCACCAGGAGGUAUGGGGUCCACUAAAGCUCUGCACAUUACUACCAAAUGUAAAGGAUACACAUUGCUAGGAGUCUUGAUAGACAAUGGGUCGGCGUUGAAUGCAUUGCCUUUGGCUACAUUAAAUAGAUUACUUGUGGAUAGCUCACACAUGAAAGGAUGUUAGAAAUAGUGAGAGCAUUUGAUGGUACGAAAAGGAGAGUCAUGGGGAGAAUAGAUAUAACUUUGUUGAUUGGCCCAACUAUAUAUGAGGUAGACUUCUUAGUGAUGGAUAUUAAGCCUUCUUACAAUUGCCUGUUAGGGAGACCUUGGAUACAUUCGGCAGGGGCAGUGCCUUCGUCAUUACAUCAGAAGUUAAAACUAGUAUCAAAAGGUCAGCUGGUAACGAUAAAUGCUUAAGAAGAUAUUAUUGUAGCUGUAAGAAGUGAUGCACCAUAUUUGGAGAUAGAUGAUGAAGCAAUCAAAUGUUCUUUUUGGUCCUUGGAGUUUGUAAAUACAACAUUCAUUGCUGAAGGGAGCAAGAUUUCGACACCAAAAAUAUCCAAAACUACGAGGAUGGGUCUACAGUUGAUGGUAGGAAAGGGAGCUUUACCAGGAAAGGGACUUGGAAGACGUCUCCAGGGACGAAUUGAAGUUUCGAUGUUGAAAGAAAAAUAUAACCAUUUUGGUUUGAUGUUCAAGCUAUAUACAAGACAAGAAAAAGAGAAUUUGAAAAAAGGCAGGAAAAAAAGAAGGGCACGUUUGAGUGGUGAAGAAAUCAAGGGGGAACCGAUGAUAAUCCCUCACAUAUAUAAGAGUUUUGAAUUUAGAGGGAUUAUUCAUCCUAAACGAAGGACGCCAAAGAAAGAAGACAUUGAGAAAUGUUGAAAAAUAUUCACAUCAAUGCCAUAUUCGAAGAAGCAACUAAAGAGGGGACCUUGUCAGAUAUUCGUCCUUAUGAACCUGGGAGUGCUCUAGGCAACUGAACUGCAGAAAACAUUCCUGUAGUUUUUAGAGCUUACUUAGAGUAAUGUUCAAAACAAACUUGUUGCUUUAAGCCUAGAGGCAAUAAGGAUUUCUUUGUGAAAUAGGCUCAUGUUCAAAAAUCAUUAUUUCAAUGAAGUAAAUUUUUGCUAUCAUUUUGAGUAAAUAUUCUUUCAUUCUUUCCACAAGUAAUUGUUUUAUUCUUUCCAUUGGAGUAAUUAUCUUGGUCCUUUUUAGACUUUCUUCAAUCAUUCUUUAAUUUCACUCAUAAUCAUACAAAACAAACAAUAAUUCUUAAAUUCAUUCAUUCUUUGUAUAUUUUUGUACCAAUAAUAGGUACCUAGAUAUCAAUGUCAUGAGUGAUGCUGUUACUGACUCAAAAUUACUUUUUGAGCAAGACAUGUGUUUAGAGGGAUCUAAGGACUUUGAAGAUGAUAGAGAUUGUGACUUAUCUCUGGAAUUGUUAUGGAUGGUAGAACAAGAGGAAAAUAAAAUUCUGCCUCGUAAAUAGACAGUGGAGGUGGUGACUUUAGAAGAAAGAAAAGUUGUAAAAAUUGGAACGUGCAUAAUUGAAGAAACAAAGUGAGACCUUGUUGGGUUGCUUCAAGAAUUUAAAGAUGUCUUCGCAUAGUCAUACCAGGAUAUGCCCGGGUUGAGCACCGAUAUUGUAGUACAUCGCCUUCCCAUAAAAGAAGAUUGCAAGCCAAUUCAGUAGAAACUUCGAAGGAUGAGGCCAGACAUUGUGCUAAAAAUAAAGGAGGAAGUCAAGAAGCAAUUUGAUGCUGGAUUCCUGCAGGUGGUCAAAUACUCAGAAUGGGUAGCCAACAUUGUAUCUGUUCCUAAGAAAGAUGGAAAAGUACGAAUGUGUGUUAAUUAUAGAGACUUAAAUAAGGCUAGCCUAAAAGAAAACUUCCCCUUGCAUGACAUUGAUACUCUAGUGGAUAAUACGGCUGGCUACUCAUUGUUCUUCUUCAUAGAUGGCUUCUCGAGGUACAAUCAGAUAAGGGUGCAUCCUGAGGACAUGGGAAAUACUACUUUCAUAACCUUGUGGGGCACGUUCUGUAAUAAGGUGAUGCCGUUUGGGCUGAAGAAUGCUGGAGCGACAUAUCAAAGGGCCAUGGUGACCUUAUUUCAUGAUAUGAUACAUAAAGAGAUCGAAGUUUAUGUAGAUAAUAUGAUUGCCAAAUCCCGAACUGAAGAGGAACACAUCAAAGUGUUGAGAAAGUUGUUCAUGAGAUUGAGAAAAUUUCAGCUAAACCUUAAUCCAAAGAAAUGUACUUUUGGAGCUAGAUCAGGAAAGCUGCUAGGCUUUGUAGUUAGUGAAAGGAGACUUGAGAUUAACUCAGACAAAGUUUGGGCUAUACAAGAAUUGCCUCCACCACAUACUUAGAAAGAAGUUCGAGGCUUCUUAGGAAGACUAAAUUACAUUGCUCGGUUCAUUUCAAAAUUAACUGAGAAAUGAGACCCCAUAUUUCGUCUUCUUAAAAAGCACAACCCAGGAGAAUGGGGUGAUGAAUGCCAGAGAGCUUUUGAUAAGGUUAAAAAGUACUUGUCAAGUCCUCUAGUGCUGUCACCUCCAAGCUCAGGUAGGCCGUUAAUAUUGUAUUUAACGGUGUUUGAUAACUCUAUGGGAUGUGUGUUUGGUCAGCAUGAUGAGUCAAGAAGAAAAGAAAAGGUGAUAUAUUACCUCAGUAAGAAACUCACUGAGUGUGAGUUGAGAUAUUCGCCAAUCGAAAAAUUGUGUUACGCUUUAAUUUAGAGAGCUCGGAGGUUGAGGCAAUACAGGUUGUACCAUACAACCUAGUUAAUCUCAAAGUUGGACCCUCUAAAAUUUAUGAUAGAGUCAAAUGCCUUAAAUAGAAGGAAGGCUAGGUAGCGAAUUCUGCUUUCCAAAUUUAACAUAGUCUACGUGAGCCAAAAGGCCAUGAAAGGGAGUGCAAUAGUAGAAUCUCUGGCUAGUAGAGCUCUAGAAGAUUAUGAGCCCUUGAAUUUUGAUUUCCCCAAUGAAGAAUUAAUGUAUGUGGUAGCUACUGGAGAGGACGUUACAAAAGGUCACCCAUGGAAAUUGAACUUUAAUAGAGCCUCAAACGCUGUGGGUAAUGGAAUUAGGGCAGUUUUGGUAUCCCCAAAUGGAGAUCAUUAUCAAUUCACAUGUAAAUUGGAUUUUGAUUGCACAAAUAAUAUGGUAGAAUAUGAAGCAUGAAUCAUGGGACUCCGCGCAGCCUUAGAAUGCAAUAUUAAGGCAUUGGAAGUAUACGAAGAUUCCACGCUAGUGAUCUACCAGCUUAAAGGCGAAUGGGAGACAAGAGACUCCAAAUUGAUUAAUUAUCGAAGGAUAGUGCUGGGGUUAAUUGAGGAGUUUAAUGAUAUUACUUUCAAUUAUCUCUCGCGAGAUGAGAACUAGAUGGCGGAUACUUUGGCUACUUUGGCUUCCAUGAUCAAAGUGAGCAAGCAAGAAGAUGUAAAACCCAUUCAGAUUAGUAUUUGCGAAGCCCCAUGUUAUUAUUACAACAUAGAGGAAGAGGAGAAAUAUUACCAACCUUAGUAUCAAGAUAUAUUGCGAUACGUGAGAUUUUGUGAGUAUCCUGAUUAGGAAACUAAGAAUGAUAAAAGGACGUUAAGAAGACUAGCCUAUGAUUAUGUCUUAAAUGGGGAGAUCCUGUACAAAAGAAGAAAGGAUCAACUACUAUUGAGAUGUGUGGAUGCUGUAGAAGCCAAGAAAAUUUUGGAAGAAGUUCACGAAGGUGUUUGUGGAACACAUGCUAACGGUUUCACAAUGGCUAGACAAAUUGUGAUAUUUGGAUAUUACUGGUCUACCAUGGAAGGAGACUGCAUCAAUUAUGCCAAGAAGUGUCACAAAUGUCAAAUUUAUGGUGAUAAAAUUCAUGUACCUCCUUCACCUUUGCAUGUUAUGACUUCCCCAUGGCCGUUUUCCAUGUGGGGCAUGGAUGUCAUAGGACCAAUCUCGCUGAAGGCUACAAAUGGGCAUCAUUUCAUCUUUGUGGUCAUUGACUAUUUCACCAAGUAGGUAGAAGUGGCCUCAUAUGCCAAUGUGACUAAAUCGGCAGUCAGCAGAUUUUUAAAGAAGGAAAUCAUAUGUUGAUAUGGAAUGCCUGAAAGGAUUAUAUCUGACAACGCAUUAAAUUUGAAUAACAGCACAAUAGUGGAGGUCUGUAGUCAGUUCAAGAUUAGAUGCCAUAACUCAUCACUGAAUCGCCCAAAAAUGAAUGGUGCAGUGGAAGCAACCAAUAAAAAUAUUAAGAAGAUUGUGGGGAAAAUGACCAAAACUUAUAGAGAUUGGCACGAGAAAUUACCAUUUGCUACCUAUGCUUAUUGAACAUCUGUCAGAACUUCUACUAGGGCAACACCUUUCUCAUUGGUUUAUGGAAUAGAGGCAGAUUUACCAAUUGAAGUAGAGAUACCUUGCCUUAAAGUUUUAUCAGAACUAAAAUUAGAUGAAGUAGAAUGGAUACAGUCUCGAUAUGAUCAAUUAAACUUCAUUGAGGAAAAGAGGUUAAGGGCUAUCCAGCAUGGUUAGAUGUAUCAAAAAUGAAUGAUGCGACUUAUGACAAAAAGGUUCGCCUAAGAGAAUUUCAUAAGGGAGACUUGGUUUUGGAAAAGACUCUUUUUAUACAAAAGGAUUUCAGAGGGAAAUGGAUGCCAAAUUGGGAGGGGCCUUACGUGGUGAAGAAAGCUUUCUCCGGAGGAGCAUUAAUUCUGGUUGAAAUGGAUGGAAAAAACCUGCCCAACCCUGUGAACUCGAAUUUAGUCAAAAAGUACUAUGCUUACAGAGGAAAAGAGGCCAAAGUGAAAACCCAGAAAGGGUGCUUUGAGACAUUCUUAAAAAAAAGGAGAGGCGAAGGUGAAAACCCGAAAAGGGCUUCUUGAGAGCAAAACGAGUUUAAGUUGAAAACCAGAAAAGGGUGGCCCAGAUGUUGAUCAAAGAUGGGGAAGGUGAUGACCUUGCUAUACUUGAAUUAACAAAGGAAAGGGUAUGCUACAUAGUGGGGCAUUGACAAAGUACUUGUGAUCUCUUAAACACAUGUCAACUCUAAAUUGGUCUUCAAGAAGUUCAUACAAAGAAACUCAGGUUGCGAUAUCAGGGGUACCUAAUCUUCAUCUUAUUCAUAAUAAAUUGGCUAUCUUUGAAAUAUUUUACCUUUUCAAGAUAUGCAUCCCCAAUAGACUUCCAUUUUUAUCUUCGAUAAUUUAUUUUCGAGCUAUGUUCUAAUUCAAUUCCAUUCUUAUCCAUUGCUAUGAUUUGUUGCAAGCAUGCAUGUUUCUUUGAAAUAAUGAUUAAUGGACUAAUAAUAUUUUCACAAAAGGAGUUUCGUAUAUUACUUUGGAAAGCUUCUAAAUAAUACAAGAACCUGAAACAUGACUAUUGUUUAGCACUCACCAAACUUAAGAAAAUAUUUGAGUAGGAAGGGUUUAAGUUGAGACCAUCUCUUUGGAUUUCUGGUCCAAAAUAGUGAUUGAACAAAAAGACGAGAUAUUGCGUCAAUGAUACAAUUUCGACAAAAAAAUGAUCAGUAUAAAAGGAGGUCACUCUCGAGAAAAGAAAAAUGAUAUUUUACAUUCAGGCGUACAUGUCUAGCCAUGACACCCGAGGAGUGGUGUAACAGACCGAAUUGAUGGGGAAAAUUCAGAUCCUACACCCCUGAGUUACAGUGGGAUGGGUAGAAGAAACCACAAGUUCUAUCUCCCUAAAGAUGCAGUAGAGCAAACCAGUUGAGCAAAUGGUGAUUAUUUUUGGAGUUUCUGCCAAAGAUACCAGCCGAGCAAAGAAGACAGGAUAACACAUAAGUGACAGAACCUUGAUGAACAACGAGCAAUGACGACCCAAAUAUUAAAAAGAUGAAAAUAUCAGACAGACCUAGUUAGGAGUAUUCGAUUCAUUUUGAUCAAAGCAUCCUAAUCAUUUGGCAUAAGCAUAGGCCCAUAAAAUCGAUUCUACACGUCAUGUUCCCUAGAUAGCAGCGUAACAGACCAGUGAAACCAAAAAUCCUAUACCUCUGAAAUUACAGUAGGCCAAAUUAAGUCAUCAUGGUGAAUCUUAUCUCCCUAAAGUGGCCGUGGAGUAGAUUGAAGCCAUAAGUCUUAUCUCCCUGAAGUUGCAGUGGAGCAGACUAAAGAUAGCGAAUCUUAUUUCCCUGAAGUUGUAGUGGAACAGAUUGAAGCUAUAAAUAAAACAGAUCUUAUCUCUCUUAAGUUGUAGUAGAGCAGAGUGAAGAUAACAGGUCUUAUCUCCCUGAAGUUGUAGUGGAGCAGAUUGAAGCCACCAUCCUUAUCUCUCUGAAGUUGCAAUAGAGCAGGAUAAAAAUACACAAACCUUAUCCCCUAGAAGUUGCAGUGGAGUAGGUUGAAAUUACCAAAUCUUAUCUCCUUUAAGUUCAAGCGAAGUAAAUCAAAGCUAUAAAUCUCUUCUCCCUGAAAUUACACUGGAAUAAAUCAAAGCUACAUGUCUAAUCUCCUUGAGGUUGUAGUGGGGCAGAUUAAAGCUAUGAGUCUAGUCUUUCUGAAGUUACAGUGGAGUAGAUUGACGCAAUAAAUCCUAUACCUCUGAAGUUGCAAUGGGUUGGAACGAGUCUACUUGAACAAGAUAAGUACCCAAAGAAGUCGAAAUUCAGAGGCUGAGCAUGAUUGGCCCUUUUUAAAAGUCUUUGCUUUAUCCCCGUUACAUGACAAUGAGCAAAGAGGGCAGCUGUAUAGGCCCAAAUCUGCCCGGGCCCAUACAAACAUAAACCAAAAUAAUAAUAAACCAAAAUUUUUAAUAGUCCAAGUCCCUUUAUUACAUCAGCCUAAAUCUGCCAAAAUAAAACAAAAACCCAAAACAUAAAUUGAAACAGUCCAAAAUUAAGACCCAACUACACCCAAAACCUAAAACCUAGCCCAAAAGGUAUACUGAUAAGUCAUAAAUUAUACAUAUUUUAUCCUAUGCUUAAGCACAUUUUUGGAUGAAUUAUCAUUAGAUUUGUGAAAUUUGAUGCUCCUAAUCCUUUAAUUUCAUGUUUUAUACUUAGGUGAGCAUAGGAGAGUAAAAAGAGCGAGAAACGGGCCAAAAACGGAGAAAAAUAGGCCAACGUGAGAAAAAAACACGGCCUGGACUUUCUCACACAAGCGUGUCCCACGGCCUAUCAAUUUGGCAGGAUUGAAGCAUGACUUACACGGGCAGACCACACGCCCUUGCCUAUUUAACAGCCUUUACCACGGGCUAGAAUAAUCGCAUACGGGCAUGUCACACGGGCGUGUUGCUGCCGAGCCCAAGUAUAGUUCUAUUUGGAAAAUUCCAAUUUUGAGAGUUCUUAGGCAUUCUAAAUCCUAUUUAAACACCUAAGGAGGCACUGAGAAAAGAAGACACAGAGUAGGAGGCAAGGAAUUACUCCAGGAAAGCCGAUUGAUCCAUCUUAGAAACCAGAUUCAUCGUCAAGACUGAAGAUCUCCCUUCAACUUCCAAUCAGGGGUUUUGGGUUUUCUUUAUGUUUUGUUAUCUUUAUUCUUUUAAGAUGUUUUCUUUUAUAAUUAUGAACUAAACCCCCUAAAAUACCUAAGGGGAAUGAAACCUAAGACAGAUCUUGUUAUUAUUAUCUGAAUUGUAUGAUAAAUAUUUGACUUGUUCUUAAUUAUGUAUUCUUAAUUCUUGUUUUAAUAUUCCAGGAUAUUGAUUCAAGUUAACGCUCUUGUUCAGAGGAGGAAUAGACCCUGUUUAAGAGUAAAUUUGUCAUAAUUAAGCAGAGUUGAUUGCACGCCUAGAAAUAGGGUGAUAAGAUUUUUCCGGAUUAGGGUGAAACCUAAUAAGGAAAUCCAUAGAUUGAGUUAAUGCAACACUAGGGCGUUAAUUAGAAAGAAUAUUUCAAUUAAUCAACCUAGGGUUAGACAUUGUUAGUCUCGAAAGGGAUAAUAAUAUAAGUUAGGGAUUUCUACGGAGCAAAUUGAAUGAAUAAAUCAUCUAAUUUAGAGUCAAAUAACGAGUGAAGUCUAGGUGGAUUUUUCCUUGGGUAUUGUCUUAAUCAAGUAAGUUUUCCCAACAGUUUUUUCCCAGUUCUUUCUAUGUGCACUCUUAGUUUAGUUAAUUAGAUUAGAUAAACAAAUCCCUUAAUUUUUAGGGUAUAUAAUAAAAAGAAGGUAAUUACUAGUACUCUUGGUUCCUUUGGGUUCGACAAUCUGGUCUUGCUAAAGCUGUACUACUGUUCGAUAGGUACACUUGCCUUCAUCGUGAUAAUAGUUAGUUUCAAGUACGAUUAAAUAUAAAUAUUAAAACUUAUCAUGCACGAAUCAUAUACACAGCCCAACUGGCCCAAAACCCAAACACUAGAAACCCUAGGUCACCCUUUUGUGCCGCAACAGCUUCGUACGACCGCCAACCCCUCCACGCACACCUUCGUACCCUCCGUACACGCGCCACGCACACCACAUACCUGCAAACAGACAAGAUAACAACAACAAAUAGGAAAGAAAAUAGAAAAAAAGCUUGUAUUUUCUUUACGCGCACAUAGUAAUCAAAAACAACAAGAAAUCAAAAAAGGUGAUUUGCUCUUUUUUUUCAAAAACUUAUCAUAGCAUUUCAUUUUUUUUCUUGGCUGUUCUUUUAUUUCUUUUUGUUUCUUCAUUUACAAAGAAGAAAAUAAAAAAGGAAGAGGAUAAAGGGGAAAGUUUCACCUGAACUGUUGGUAUACUAUCGGAGUUUCUUCUCCGUUAAAGCCCAAAUCCAACGGAGGAGGAGACCUCCUUCUUUUGAUUCCUUGCGAUUGAAGGUGCUAUUAAUAUAGUUUUAAACAAGUCCAAAUGAGGUAAUCUACCCUCCAUCGACCACCAUUUGUGGUGGUUGUAAGGCCGUUAGCGAUUGGCCUUUGAGAAAAGGCUAAAAGGGGGGAAUUAUGGAUUUGUUUCAGUGGUUUGAAGAAAAUGGCAGAUUGCCAUUAAAAUGUUUCUUUUAAUUUUGGGUGAUAAAUAAAACGGUGCCGUUUAAAGGGGAGGGGGGAUCCACGCGUCAACCAGCUACGUUGCCCGGAUCCGCUCAUUUGCGCUUUAAAUGGGAAAUUUGUGCGGCAAGUGCUUCCUUUUUGCGCCGGCUUUUAAUUAGCCCUUAUUCGCAUUUUAUUUGUUUUUUUUAACUUUUCCUGGAAUUUGCGCCCCAAUUCAAUUGGGCCUAUGCCUAAACGUUGCGUUUUGAGAUUUGGAGCAUUUGCACUUUUAAUCCUCGGACAUUUGCGCACGUUGUGUUUUAAUCCUUAAUUCUAUUUUAUUACUUUCUUUAUUUGUAAAUUGUCCACUUGGUUUUUUUUUAUUUCAAUUGAGUUUUUUUUAUUUCAAUUUAUGUUUUUAUUCUUUAUGAUUAUUUUAUUUUUUUAAAAAAAAUUAUUUGUUAUUCAUCUUUUAACAUAUCAUCUUGGAUUAUUUUACUAAUUUUGCAUUGUUCUAGCUUGUUAUUUUAUACUUUUGUUCAUAUAUAUAAAGAUUUUUUUAUUUUAUAAUUUGUUUAUUUUAAAAUCCUCUUUUAUAUUUUUCUAUGUUUUAAAGAUUUGCAUGAUAUUUAAUUUAAUGCUAUUAUACAUACAUAUACAUAAUUAUUUUUAUUCUAAGUAUAUAUUGUCGAUUUCAUAUUAUCUUAUGUAAAUAUUUUUGUUUAAAUUUAUUUGCGUGUAUAUAUAUAUAUCUUUCUUUUAAAUUUAUUUAUGUAUAUAAUUUGUUUCUUUAAAGGACCCUUUCUUAAACUAUAUAUUUCAUUUAUUUUAAACAUUUUCAUAUAUUGGUAUUUCUAUAUAUACAUUACUUAUAUUGAGCUUUUCAUUUCAUGUAUAUUAUUUAUUUAGAUGGACAUAUAUUAUUUCAUAGAUCUUAUUUAUAUAUAUUAUUUAUUUUGAAAUUUCAUUUAUAAAUUAAUAUUUCAUAUAUUAUUUAUGUUUAUUUUUUACUUCUUGAUCUAUUUCAAACUUUCACGUUUAUAACUUAUUUUUAAAUUAAAUUAUUAUAUGUAUUAUAAUUUCAAAUGUCUUAUUUUUCAUUAUUAAUUUCAAACUCAUUUAUCAUCGUUUCAAAACUUGUUGCAUUUUAUUUAUGUUAAUCGGCUUUAUAUUUCUUUUAAAAUCGAUCCUUUGAUUCAUAAGUCUUUGAAUGUUAACAUUAGUAUUUGCAUAAUGUAUGACGUGAACUUAUUGCUAUUGUGUGUAUCUUAAUUUAUUUUUUUUCAUACUAUUGCCAUUUAUUUGUAUAGCAUUUUAUCCAUGUAUAUUGUUUCAUGUUUAUAAUUUCGCCUUUCAUUCACGAGUGUCACAUUGUAAUUUUCAACUUAUCAAUCCAAAGUCAAUUAUUCCAUUUUAUUCCAAGUAAAUUGACUAAUUCAUUUGCAUAGUUCAUUUGAAAAUUUCCCCAAGGCAAAGGCAAUUUUGGUGUUUGGAAAUUCGGGAAAUCGUGCCCUAACUUGCUGGGUUUCGAUUUUUUGUUUGUCCAAAUAAUCAAAUAUCCCUUUAAAAUUUCGUCGGUGUUUUCUAACUUCAAAACAAUGCAAUGUUCUAUGUUUGGGUUUCGGUUUUUCUUUGGACCAAAUAAUUAAGUACCCUUUCGUAAUUUUUUUUAAAUGUGUGAGUUGUUGGAAAUCAAAAAUUGAUCAUGGUAUCGAGGGUUUAAAAGAUCAUGUCCUAAUGUGCUGGAUGUGACAUUGCAUUCCUUCAAAACAAGAAAUUUUUAACAUCCAAUUCAAAUCCUCCAAAUGUUUUAAAAGAAAUCAUAUUUCAAUUUUUUUUAAAUCUUAGACAUAAGGACAUUAUUUAAUCAAUUAGGUACCAAUUUUGGGCGUAAUAAGGGUGCUAACCCAUCCUCGUACGUAACCGACUUCUAGACCCAUUUUCUCAAAUUUCGUAGACCAAAAGUAAUAUUUUAAAAUAAAAUGUUUUACUAGGUGAUCCGAUCACACCUAACAAAAAGGAUUGGUGGCGACUCCAUACCUUGUUUUAAAGUCGAUCCCUAUUUUUAAAAAUAAUAAAAUGGUUUCGACAGCUUGGCGACUCCAUUGGGAAAUAAUAAGAGAGUCGAGCCAUAAAAUUGAUUAUUUUUUGUCCUUUUGUCUAAAAUUGAAAAUUUGAUUUGAAAAUCAUAAUUCUUUGGUACAUUUUUUUGUAUGAUUGUUGUGGUUUGAGUCUUGUAGAAUAAUAUUACAUUGCAUUGCAUGACCGUUGUGAUUACCCCUUUAAGUAGGAGUAAAAAGCUAUGCCUUCGUGAGCUUUUCACCUCCGGAUGGGCUAGUCGAUUGGUUCUGGGAUACAUCCGUACCUAUGUCUUCGUGAGAUUUUCAUCUCUGCAUGGUCAUAGGGAAAUGUAUUCCCCUGAACUAAACUCGAUCCAUAUGAGUAUAUAAUGGGCGAGGAUUGAGGACUUUGCUGGUUUAGGUACCCUUUUCUUUAGAACUGCACCUCAUGUAGUAAACCCUAGGAGCUCACCCUUGGUAGUUUGAUGCUAAAUUUUAGCGAUUAUCCAGAUAGGUGUUUGAUUAUUUUUUGUUUGUUUUGAAUUUUAUUAUUUGAUACUGACUUGUGUGUUUUGUUUUGGCUGUGAUUGCAUGACAUUGCAUAUUUAAACAGGUUUCGAUUCGUGUUCAGUUACUAAGUUAUAAAACUUAGCAUAGAGAAUGAAUUUCUUGAUAAAGUCAAGGAUAAUACGGUUGUCCGUACAUGGUUAGAGAAGUUACAAUUAGAGAAAGGGGAUAGUCUAGCUGAGGGGUAUACAUCAGAGUUGUAGGACUUCACCCGUAUCAGUGUGACACAAAAUGAACUGCAGGAGUUGAGAGACAUAUGGGCCCAUUGGGAUAAGGGAACUAAGCAAUUAUUUUACCAAAAUUAUGGCUAUAUACCCUACUUGCUCGAUAUCAAGGUAGACAAGCAUUUGUUUCGGGCUAUGGCUCAGUUUUGGAACCCUGCUUAUAGUUGUUUCACUUUCGGAGAGGUAAAUUUGGUGCCUACUGUGGAGGAGUAUACUACCUUACUACGUUGUCCAAGGAUUCAAGUCGACAAAACUUACUUUAGGGUUACUAAUGUCCUAACUUUUGUAAAGAAGUUAAUGAGCAUUACCGAGAUGAGUGAGCCUUGGGUUACGGCUCAAGUUCAGCAAAAGGGGGAUGGUAAAUGUAUUCCUUAGGUGAAUUUGAGAGACCUAAUUUUAGCAGAUCUGGAUGUAAAGAAGAAAGUUGGUUUCUUCACUUUGAGCAUUUAUGGUUUGGUGAUUUUUCUUAAAGCUUUAAGGCAUAUAAAUGAAGCAGUCGCUAAUUUAUUCGAUCGUCUUGAUAAAAGAGUCACACUGGUACCUGCAAUUCUAACUAAGAUGUUCAGAUCUUUGAGCAUGUGUCGGAGGGCAGGAGAAGGAAGAUUUAUUGGAUGCGCAUAGCUGUUAUUAGUAUGGUUUCAUGGACAUUUUUGGAAUAAAGAUAAGGUUUCUUAUCGGGUCUUCUCUGAGAGUUAUUCCCUAUUAAAGGAGGAAGCAGCUAGGAAAAGGAGAGACGACAUAUCAGAAGAAAGGUGGAUGACAAUUCUUCAAAAUCUCAAAGAGGAGGAUACUGAAUGGAGAGCCUUUUCGAUGGUCCCCGACGAGAUCCUUUAUCGAUGUGGGAGUUUUGAUUCGGUACCUUUACUUGGAAUUAGGGAGCCAUUGGAUAUACUCCUUUGCUUGUAUUAAGGCAGUAUAAGUCAAGGAAGUUUAUAUCGAUGACUUACUGGCUUGCUCAAUGCGAGUUCUUAUAUAAAGGGGACAAUUAUAAGAAAAGGGUUCAAGAGAUUUAUAAUGCUUGGAAGCAAACAUGCUGGAUGAAGAGGUUGACUGUUGGUUCAAUGAUGAAGCCUGAAUACAAUGGAUGGUUUAGCAAAAAGAUUAAUGAUAAUAUUCCUAGGCCAAGUUUAGAAAGCAUUCAAUCAAUGGAGGAAUACUUACAAGUUCUCCCGUCAGAGUUAAAGAUUAUAAGACAGGACUUCGAAAAGAAGAGUUCUGAGCUCGAGAGGAGGAUUGAGCAGUUGGAGGAAGAAAAAAAGAGCUUGAGAUUGGACGUGGAUGCUCAGAAGUCAGAGGCUGAGAAGUUAAGAAAAGGGAAAAAUAAGGCUGAGGAGGAUCUGGAUAGUUUUAAGACAUAUUAUAAGAAGCUACGUCUAUCGAUGAGGACUGAUGGGUUAGGGAUAACUUCAGAACAGUGGCGUUAGGAGAUUCGAGAGGAAAAACUAAAGCUGAUCAAUGGGAAAGGAAAUUUUAGAAGCCUCAAGCACAAAAUGAAGCCCUAGAGAAAAGUUUGCCAAAAAGCAGAAGUGAACGAGGUGAAUUAACGGCUAGAGUAGUGGAACUCAAGAAAUCUCUUCAUCAGUAUUGAAAUCGUAAUUCUGUAAUGGAGUUGAGAGAAAGUUUAAGCAAGAUAGAGGAAAUGAAAGGAAAAAUAGAAAAAUUAGAAGCAUCAUUAUAGAGCUGUGAAAUGGGGAUUGAGUUUUUCGAAGCAAGUGAGAAGCGUUGGAAGGAGCAGCUUCACCAUUUAAAAAAUUAAAUUAGAAGCCGAGAUUACAUUAUAGGAGAAGUCGUAACCUAGAUUCAGGAGGUAGUCGAUUACUUGCAAACUUUUACGGUACAAGUGGACAUACUGAGUUGGAGUCAAACCGGGGGCAGGAGCUAUCUUCACUGCUUAGGAAAAUUAAAACUUGGAGCAUUAGGGCAAAGCCUUAUUUGUAACCCAUUUAUGUAAAGAAUUUUAUUUUCUAGUAAAGUUUUCUAAAUGGAAUUGAAUCAGAAUUGACGUCUUUUUUGCACUCCUUUCAUGCAUCUUCAUUACAUUAUAUUAUAUGCAUUAAAAUCCAUCAAAAGAUCCUAAUUAAUUAAAAAUUAUUUCAGUAAUCUGGAAACUGGAAAAAAACCUACCAAGUACUCAUCCCUACGGUAUAAGGAAAAAGACCAAGUCAAUUGACAAAAGAAUAGAAAAAUUGGAGCAAAUACAAAAGGAUAUGCAAGAACAAAUGCAAGCACAGAUGCAAGAGCAGCUAGCUAAGAUCAAGCAAGAGAUGAGGGAUCAAAUGAUGAGUCCCAAAAAAACAUGAUGGCUCAAUUGUCCCAACUACUGGUAGGGAGAAUGGACAAAGGGAAAGGCCCCAUGGACAAUGUUGGAGAGAAUAAUGAAGACCUUCAAUAUCUUUUUGGUUUUACUCCAACAGAUGUAUAGGCACAACCUGAGAUAAACCCACAGAGACAAUCUGUUACGAUCAGGCCUCAAUAGAUUCAGGCCGGGGCUUCAAUACCAAUGAAUUUCCAAGCUGGCUCAGGCUUUAACCCUGGUAAUAACUCGAAUAAUCCAGUUGUUCCUGAUUUGGAUGAAGUUGCAAAAGAGGAAAGGACAAGGACAAAAUCACAAAAGCAAUUAGAGGAAUGGUGUAAAUGGAUGGAGGAAAAGUUCAAGGCUAUGAAAAGUGCUGAUAGUCGUUAUGGAGUCGAUGCUAAGUAUCUAAGUUUGGUCCCAGACUUAGUACAUCCCUACAAGUUCAAAAUUCUAGAAUUCGAAAAGUACAAUAGAACGAGCUGCCAUGAAGCUCAUAUUACCAUAUUUUGCAGAAGAAUGACUGGGUAUGUUAGUAACGAUCAACUACUAAUCUUUUGCUUCCAAGACAGUUUGGUGGGGGCAGCAUCCAAAUGGUACAAUCAGUUGAGUCGUACCAAGAUUAGUUCAUGGAGAGAUUUGACACAAGCACUCAUGAAGCAGUACAGCCAUGUGACAGAUAUGACUCUUGACAAAAUUACUCUGAAGAAUAUGGAGAAGAAACCAAAUGAGAGUUUCAAACAAUAUGCGCAAAUAUGGGGUGAAGUUGCCAUAAAAGUUCAGCCACCACUUUUAGAAAAAAAAAACCACAAUACUCACAUGCUGGGAAGCGCCACAAAAUGCUUUUUAAACGUGGUAAUGACUGGAGAAAUGAUUGAGAAUGCAAUAAAAAGCGAAAGGAUAGAGGCAAGGGAGAAUACCAGAAGGUUAGCCCUGCAGAUAAAGGAAAACGAGGUGAAUAAUAAAAACAUGGGGUACACAAAAUGGUUUACUGUUAAUCAGCCGAGAGCGGUGAUACUGGGCAUCAAGGUUUGUUAAGACAAGAAUCUGGCACAAAGAAAAAUACUGAAAAGCUUCAAUUUACGCCUAUCCCAAUGUCAUAUAGGGAGUUAUAUCAAAGUUUAUUUGAUGCGCAUGUGGUGGCCCUUUUUUUUACUUAAAGCCAUUACAGCCCCCAUAUCCCAAAUUGUACGAUGCAAAUGCUCAAUAUGACUACUAUGCAGGAAUUCUGGGGCAUUCAAUAGAAAACUGCUGCCUUUAAGAAAGUAGUUGAAAGACUUAUUAAAGUAAUCAUUGUGAAGUUUGAUAAUGCACCCAGUACAGAAAAUCCAUUACCUAAUAAUACCGAUAGCGGGGUAAAUGCGAUAAGUGAAAAUAAGGGGAGAAAGAUCAAGGAAGAUAUUACAGAAGUAAAAACUCAUUUGAAAUGUGUCUGGAAGGAAAUGGAAAAAAGGGGAUUAGUUAUUUCAAAUCUAGAAAGGAGUGAAAAAAAGAUAGAGAACUACUGUAAAUUCCACCAUGGAGAGGGGCACGAAAUUCAAGAAUGUGAGGAGUUCAGAGCUUUAAUUCAGAGGCCUGAUGGACAACAAGGAGAUAGAAUUUUAUGAAAAGGCUAAAGAGGAGGGGUGUAUAUGCACGUUAGAAUCAAUGACGAAAGGCCAAAAAUUAAAUUAUCCUGCGGUCAUUAUUUCACGUCCUAAAAAUGAAACAAGGAUUCAGAUGACCCCGAAGAUUAUAAUUCAGAAACCAGCAGUUUUUCUUACAAGGAUAACAAAAGGGUCCCUUGGAAUUAUGAUUAUAAUGUAACAGUCCUGGGAAAGGAGAGUUCAGCUAAGGAGGGUCAAGAUAUAGGUUCUUACAUGCGGAGAGGAAGACGCUAUGAUUUGGUAAAUGCCUGAAUAGAACCUAUAAAAGGAAAAGCUCCGAUAGCGGAACAAAAGAAAAUAAAAGAUGUUGAGUCUGAGUUCCCCGUUAAUGAACCAGUAAAAGAGGAGGAAGCUAAGGAAUUCAUGAAAUUUUUGAAGCAUAGUGAGUAUAGCGUGGUGGAACAGUUGCAUAAACAACCCGCUCGCAUAUCUAUACUAGCUUUGCUCCUAAUUUCAGAGGUACACCAAAGUGCAUUGAUGAAAGUGCUAAAUGAGACAUACGUGACUAAUGAUAUCUAUGUCACAAAGUUGGAUUAGCUGGUUAAUAACAUAAGUGCUGAUAAUUUCAUCUCCUCUAACGAUGACAAAAUACCACCAAGAGGUAUGGGGUCCACUAAAGCUCUGCACAUUACUACUAGAUGCAAAUGAUACACAUUGCCAAGAGUCUUGAUAGACAAUAGGUCGACAUUGAAUGCAUUACCCUUGGCUACAUUAAAUAGAUUACAUGUGGAUAGCUCACACAUGAAAGGAUGUCAGAAAUAGUGCGAGCAUUUGAUGGUACGAAAAGGAGAGCCAUAGGGAGAAUAGAAAUACCUUUGUUGAUUGGCCUAAAUACAUAUGAGGUAGACUUCUUAGUGAUGGAUAUUAAGCCCUCUUACAAUUUCCUGUUAGGGAAACCUUCGAUACAUUCGGCAGGGGCAGUGCCUUCGUCAUUACAUCAGAAGUUAAAGCUAGUAUCAGAAGGUCGGUUGGUAACGAUAAAUGCUAAAGAAGAUAUUAUUGCAGCUGUAAGCAGUGAUGCACCAUAUUUGGAGACAGAUAAUGAAGCAAUCAAAUGUUUUUUUCGGUCCUUGGAGUUUGUAAAUACAAUAUUAAUCAUUGAAAGGAGCAAGAUUCCGAUGCUGAAAAUAUCCAAAACUAUGAGGAUGGGUCUACAGUUGAUGGUAGAAAAAGAAGCUUUACCAAGAAAGGGACUUGGAAGACGUCUCCAGGGAAGAAUUAAAGUUUCGAUGUUGAAAGAAAAAUAUGACUGUUUUGGUUUGGGGUUCAAGCUAGAUACAAGACAAAGAAAAGAGAAUUUGAAAAAAGGAAAGAAAAAAGAAGGGCACAUUUGAGUGGUAAGGAAAUCAAGUGAAAACCCAUGAUAAUCCCUCACAUAUCUAAGACUUUUGCAUCUAGAGGGAUUAUUCAUCCUGAACAAAGGACGCUAGAGAAAGAAGACAUUAAAGAAAUAUUAAAAAAUAUUCACAUCAAUGCCAUAUUCGAAGAAGCAACUGAAGAGGGGACCUUGUCAGAUAGUCGUCCUUAUGAACCUGGGAGUGUUCUAGGCAAUUGGACUGCAGAAGACAUUCCUGUAAUUUUUAGAGCUUACUCGGAGUAGUGUUUAAAACAAACUUGUUACUUUAAGCCUAGAGGCAAUAAGGAUUUCUUUGUGAUAUAGGCUCAUGUUCAAACUUCAUUUCAAUGAAGUACAUUUUUGCUAUCAUUUUGAGUAAAUAUUCUUUUAUUCUUUCCAAAAAUAAUUGUUUUAUUCUUUUCAUUGGAGUAAUUAUCUUGUUCUUUUUUAGACUUUCUUCAAUUAUUCUUUCAUUUCACUCAUAAUCAUACCAUACAAACAAUAAUUCUUAAAUUUAUUCAUUUUUUUGUAUAUUUUUGUACCUAUAAUAGGUCUCUAGAUAUCAAUGUCAUGAGUGAUGCUGUUACUGACUUAGAAUCACUUUUUGAGCAAGACAUGUGUUUAAAGGGAUCUCAGGACUUUGAAGAUGAAAGAGAUUGUGACUUAUCUCCAGACUUAUUAAGGAUGGUAGAAUAAGCGGAAAAGAAAAUUCUGCCUCAUAAGGAGACAAUGGAGGUGUUGACUUUGGAAGAAGGAAAAUUGUAAAAAUUGGAACAUGCAUAACUGAAGAAACAAAGCGAGACCUUGUUGGGUUGCUUUAAGAAUUUAAAGAUGUAUUCCCAUGGUCAUACCAGGAUAUGCCCAGGUUGAGCACCGAUAUUGUAGUACAUCGCCUUCCCAUAAAAGAAGAUUGCAAGCCAAUUUAGCAGAAACUUCAAAGGAUGAGGCCAGACAUUAUGCUAAAAAUAACGGAGGAAGUCAAGAAGCAAUUUGAUGCUGGAUUCUUGUGGGUGGUCAAAUACUCAGAAUGGGUAGCCAACAUUUUACCUGUUCCUAAGAAAGAUGGAACAGUACGAAUGUGUGUUAAUUAUAGAAACUUAAAUAAGGCUAGCCCAAAAGAAAACUUCCCCUUGCAUGAUAUUUGUACUCUAGUGGAUAAUACGGCUGGCAUUGUUCUUCUUCAUGGAUGGCUUCUUGGGGUACAAUCAGAUAAGGAUGCAUCCUAAGGACAUGGGAAAUACUACUUUCAUUACCUUGUGAGGCACGUUCUGUUAUAAGGUGAUGCCGUUUGGGCUAAAGAAUGCUGAAGCGACAUAUCGAAGGGCCAUGGUGACCUUAUUUCUUGAUAUGAUACAUAAAGAGAUCGAAGUUUAUGUAGAUAAUAUGAUUUCCAAAUCCCGAACUAAAGAGGAACACAUCAAAGUAUUGAGAAGGUUGUUCAUGAGAUUGAGAAAAUUUCAGCUAAACCUUAAUCCAACGAAAUGUACUUUUGGAGCUAGAUCAGGAUAGCUGUUAGGCUUUGUAAUCAGUAAAAGGGGACUUGAGAUUGACUCAGACAAAGUUUGGGCUAUACAAGAAUUGUCCCCACCACGUACUCAGAAAGAAGUUCGAGGCUUCUUAGGAAGACUAAAUUACAUUACUCGGUUCAUUUCACAAUUAACGGAGAAAUGCGACCCCAUAUUUUGUCUUCUUAAAAAGCACAACCAGGAGAAUGGGAUGAUAAAUGCCAGAGAGCUCUUGAUAAGGUUAAAAAGUACUUGUCAAGUCCUCCAGUGCUGUCACCUCCAAGCUCAGAUAGGCCGUUAAUACUUUAUUUAGCAAUGUUUGAUAACUCUAUGGGAUAUGCGCUUGGUCAGCAUGAUGAGUCGGGAAGAAAAAAAAAGACGAUAUAUUACCUCAGUAAGAAAUUCACUGAGUGUGAGUUGAGAUAUUCGCCAAUUACAAAAUUGUACUGUUAUUUGAUUUGGACAGCUCGGAGGUUAAGGCAAUACAUGUUGUACCAUACGACCUACUUAAUCUCGAAGUUAGACCCUCUAAAAUAUACGAUAGAGUCAAAUACCUUGAAUGGAAGGAUGGCUAGGUGGCAAAUUCUGCUUUCUGAAUUUAACAUAGUCUACAUGAGCCAAAAGGUCAUGAAAGGGAGCGUAAUAGCAGAAUUUCUAGCCAAUAGAACUCUAGAAGAUUAUGAGCCCUUGAAUUUUGAUUUCCCCAAUGAAGAAUUAAUGUAUGUGGCAACUACUGAAGAGGACGUUACAAAAGGUCACCCUUGGAAAUUGAACUUUCAUGGAGCCUCAAAUGCUAUGGGUAAUGGAAUCGGGGCAGUUUUGGUAUCCCCAAAUAGAGAUCAUUAUCCAUUCACAUGUAAAUUGGAUUUUGAUUGCACAAAUAAUAUGACAGAAUAUGAAGCAUGCAUCAUAGGACUCCACGCAGCCAUAGAAUGUAGGAUCAAUGCAUUAGAAGUAUAUGGAGAUUUCGCAUUAGUGAUCUACCAACUUAAAGGUGAAUGGGAGACAAGAGACUCCAAAUUGAUUAAUUAUGAAAGGAUAGUGCUGGGGUUAAUUGAGGAGUUUGAUGAUAUUACUUUCAAUUAUCUCCUGUGAGAUGAGAACCAGAUAGUGGAUGCUUUGGCUACUUUGGCUUCCAUGAUCAAAGUGAGAAAACAAGAAGACGUAAAACUCAUUCAAAUGAGUAUUUACGAAGCCCCAUCUUAUUGUUACAACAUAAAGGAAGAUAAGAGAGAUGACCACCCCUAGUAUCAAGAUUUAUUACGAUACGUGAGAAAUCGUGACUAUCCUGAUUAGGCAACUAAGAAUGAUAAAAGGACGUUGAGAAGGCUAGCCUAUGAUUAUGUCUUAGAUGGGGAGAUCCUAUACAAAAGAAGAAAGGAUCAAGUACUAUUGAGAUGUAUGAAUGCUGUGGAAGCUAAAAAAGUUUGGAAGAAGUUCACGAAGGUGUUUGUGGAACACAUGCUAACGAUUUCACAAUGGCUAGACAAAUUGUGAGAUUUGGAUAUUACUGGUCUACCAUGGAAGGAGACUGCAUCAAUUAUGCCAAGAAGUGUCACAAAUGUCAAAUUUAUGGUGAUAAAAUUCAUGCACCUCCUUUACCUUUACAUGUUAUGACUUCCCCAUGGUCGUUUUCCAUGUGGGGCAUGGAUGUCAUAGGGCCAAUCUCGCUGAAGGCUACAAAUGGGCAUCAUUUCAUCUUUGUGGUCAUUGACUAUUUCACCGAGUAGGUAGAAGUGGCCUUAUAUGCCAAUGUGACUAAAUCGGCAGUCAGCAGAUUUUUAAAGAAGGAAAUCAUAUGUUGAUAUGGAAUGCCUGAAAGGAUUAUAUCUGACAACGCAUUAAAUUUGAAUAACAGCACAAUAGUGGAGGUCUGUAGUCAGUUCAAGAUUAGAUGCCAUAACUCAUCACUGUAUCGCCCAAAAAUGAAUGGUGCAGUGGAAGCAACCAAUAAAAAUAUUAAGAAGAUUGUGGGGAAAAUAACUGAAACUUAUAGAGAUUGGUAUGAGAAAUUACCAUUUGCUCUCUAUGCUUAUCGAACAUUUGUCAGAACUUCUACUGGGGCAACACCUUUCUCAUUGGUUUAUGGAAUGGUGGCAGUUUUAUCAAUUGAAGUAGAGAUUCCUUCCCUUAGAGUUUUAUCAGAACUAAAAUUAGAUGAAGUAGAAUGGAUACAGUCUCGAUAUGAUCAGUUGAACUUAAUUAAAGAAAAGAGGUUAAGGGCUAUCCAGCAUGGUCAGAUGUAUCAAAAAUGGAUGAUGCAGGCUUAUGACAAAAAGGUUCGCCCAAAAGGAUUUCAGAGGGAAAUGGAUGCCAAAUUGGGAGGGGCUUUACGUGGUGAAGAAAGCUUUCUCCGGUGGAGCUUUAAUUCUGGCUGAAAUGGAUGGAAAAAAAUUACCCAACCCUGUAAACUCGAAUUUACUCAAAAAGUGCUAUGCUUAAUGAGGAAAAGAGGCCAAAGUGAAAACCCGCAAAGGGCGCUUUGAGACCUUCCUAAAAAAAAGGAUAGGCGAAGGUGAAAACCCGAAUAGGGUGCCUUAAGAGCAAAGGGGAUUUAAGUUGAAAACCCGAAAAGGGUGGCUUAGAUGUUGAUCAAAAAUGGGGAAUGCGAUGAUCUUGCUGUACCUGAAUUAACAAGGGAAAAGGUAUACUACAUCUUGGGGCAUUCACAAAGUACUUCUGAUCUCCUAAACACAUGUCAAGUCUAAAUUGGUCUUCAAAAAGUUCAUACAGGGAAACUGAGGUUGCGAUAUCAGGGGUACCUAGUCUUCAUCUUAUUCAUAAUAAAUUGGCUAUCUUUGAAAUAUUUUUCCUUCUCAAGAUAUGCAUCCCCAAUAAACUUCCAUUUUUAUCUUCAAUAAUUUAUUUUUGAGAUAUGCUCUAAUUCAAUUCCAUUCUUAUCCAUUUCUAUGAUUUGUUGCAAGCAUGUUGCAUUGAAAUAAUAAUUAAUGGACUAAUAAUACUUUCACAAAAGGAGUUUCACGUAUUACUUUGGAAAGCUUCUAAAUAAUACAAGAACCUGAAACAGGACUAUUGUUUAGAACUCACCAAGCUUAAGAAAAUAUCUAAGUAGGAAGGGUUUAACUUGAGACCAUCUCUUUGGAUUUUUGGUCAAAAAUAGUGAUUGAACAAAAAGACGAGAUAUUGCGUCAAUGAUACAAUUUUGACGAAAAAUGAUCAAUAUAAAAGGAGGUCACUCUCGACAAAAGAAAAAUGAUAUUUUACAUUUAGGCAUACGCGUCUGGCCAUGACACCUGAGGAAUGGUGUAAUAGACCGAAUUGAUGGGUGAAAAUUUUGAUCUUACACCCUUAAGUUGUAGUGGGAUGGGUAGAAGAAAACACAAGUUCUAUCUCCCUAAAGAUGCAGUAGAGAAAACCAGCUGAGCAAAUGGUGAUUAUUUUUGGAUUUUCUGCCAAAGAUACCAGCCGAGCAAAGAAGACAGGAUAACACAUCAGUGACAGAACCUUGAUGAACAACAAGCAAUGACAACCCAAAUAUUAAAAAGAGACCAUUCUCAUGACAUUCUGCAUUCACGCAAAUAUCACACACACCUAGGUAGGAGCAUUCGAUUCAUUCUGAUCAAAGCAUCCUAAUCAUUUAGCAUAAGCAUAGGCCCAUAAAAUCGAUUCUACAGGUCAUGUUCCCCAGAGAGCGACGUAAUGACUAGUGAAACCACAAAUCCUAUACCUCUAAAAUUACAGUAGGCCGGAUUAAGUCAUCAUGGCGAAUCUUAUCUCCCUAAAGUGGCAGUAGAGCAGAAUGAAGCCAUAAGUCUUAUCUCCCUGAAGUUACAGCGGAGCAGACUAAAGAUAGCGACUCUUAUUUCCCUGAAGUUGCAGUGGAACAGAUUGAAACUAUAAAUAAACAGAUCUUAUCUCUCUGAAGUUGCUGUGGAACAGAUUGAAGAUAGCAGGUCUUAUCUCCCUGAAGUUGCAGUGGAGCGGAUCGAAGUCACCAUCCUUAUAUCUCUAAAGUUGUAGUAGAGCAGGAUAAAAAUACACAAACCUUAUCCCAUUGAAGUUGCAGUGGAGUAGGUUGAAAUUACCAAUUCUUAUCUCCUUUAAGUUCAAGCGAAGUAAAUCGAAGCUGCAAAUCUCUUCUCCCUGAAAUUACACUGGAAUAAAUUGAAGCUACAAGUCUAAUCUCCCUGAGGUUGCAGUGGAGCAGAUUAAAGCUAUGAGUCUAGUCUUUCUGAAGUUACAGUGGAGUAGAUUGACGUAAUAAAUCCUAUACCUCUAACGUUGCAGUGGGUUGGAACGAAUCUACUUGAAGAAGAGAAGUACCCAAAGAAGUAGAAAUUAAGAGAUCGGGCAUGAUUGGCCCUUCUUAAAAGUCUUUACUUCAUCCCCGUUACUUGAAAAUGAGCAAAGAAAGGCAGUUGUGCAGGCCCAAAUCUGCCCGGGCCCGUACAAACAUAAACCAAUAUAAUAAUGAAACCAAAAUUUUUAAUAGUCCAAGUCCCUUUUAUAACAUCAGCCCAAAUCUGCCAAAAUAAAACAAAAACCCAAAACAUAAAUUGAAACAGUCCAAAAUUAAGACCCAACUACACGCAAAACCUAAAACCAGCCCAAAAGGUAUACACGGUCCAACUGGCCCAAAACCCAAACACUAGGAAACCCUGGGUCAUCCUUUUGUGCCACAAUAGUUUCGUACGACUGCCAGCCCCGCCACGCACGCCUUCAUACCCUCCGUACACACGCCAUGCACACCACGUACCUGCAAACAGACAAGAGAACAACAACAAAUAGGAAAGAAAAUAGAAAAAACUUGUAUUUUUUUCUUUAUUUUUUUUCUUCUUUCGACUAUAAAGCCCAAAAAGGAAUCAAUGUAUUUUCUUUACGCGCACAUAGCAAUCAAAAAAAAGUAAGAAAUCAAAAUAGGUGAUUUGCUCUUUUUUUAAAAAGCUUAUCAUAGCAUUUCGUUUUUUUUUCUUGACUGUUCUUUUUUUUUUGUUUCUUCAUUUACAAAGAAGAAAAUAAUAAAGGAAGAAGAUAAAGGGGAAAUUUUCAUCUGAACCGUUGGUAUACUGUUGGAGUUUCUUCUCUGUUAAAGCCAAAAUCCAACGGAGAUAGAGACCUCCUUCUUUUGAUUCCUUGCGAUUGAAGGUGUUAUGAAUAUGGCUUUAAACAAGUCCGAAUGAGGUAGUCUACCCUCCGUCGACCACCGUUUGUGGUGGUUGUAUGGCUGCUAGGGUUUGGCUUUUGAAAAUCGGCUAAAAGGGUGGGGAAUUAUGGUUUUGUUUCAAUGGUUUAAAGAAAAUGGUAGAUUGCCAUUAAAAUAUUUCUUUUAAUUUUGGUUGAUAAAUAAAACAGCGCCAUUUAAAGGGGAGGCAGGAUCUGCGUGUCAACCCGCUCCAUUGCCCGGAUCCUCGCCUUUGCGCUUUAAAUGGGAAAUUUGCGCGGGAAGUCCUUCCUUUUUGCGCCGGCUUUUAAUUAGCCAUUAUUCGCAGUUUAUUUGUUUUUUUAAAAUUUUUCCUGGAAUUUGUGUGCCAAUUCAAUUGGGUCUGCGCCUAAACGUUGCGUUUUGAGAUUUGGAACAUUUGCACUUUUAAUCCUUGGACAUUUGCGGGCGUUGUGUUUUAAUCCUUAAUUCUGUUUUAUUACUUUCUUUAUUUAUAAUUGUCCACUUGGUUUUCUUUUUAUUUCAAUUAAGUUUUUUUUAAUUUCAAUUUAUUUUUUUAUUCUUUAUGGUUCUUUUAUUUUUUAAAAUAAAAUUAUUUGUUAUUCAUCUUUUAACAUAUUAUAUUGGAUUAUUUUACUAAUUUUGGAUUGUUCUAGCUUGUUAUUUUAUACUUUUGUUCAUAUAUAUAAAGAUUGUUUUAUUUUAUAAUUUUUUUAUUUUAAAAUCCUCUUUUAUAUUUUUCUAUGUUUUAAAGAUUUACAUGAUAUUUAAUUUAAUGCUAUUAUACAUACAUAUACAUAAUUAUUUUUAUUCUAAGUAUAUAUUGUCGAUUUCAUAUUAUCUUAUGUAAAUAUAUUUGUUUAAAUUUAUUUACAUAUAUAUAUAUAUAUAUCUUCUUUUGAAUCUAUUUAUGUAUAUAAUUUGUUUCUUUAAAGGACCCUAUUUUAAACUAUAUAUUUCAUUUAUUUUAAACAUUUUCAUAUUUUGGUAUUUCUAUAUAUACAUUAUUUAUAUUGAGCUUUUCAUUUCAUGUAUAUUAUUUAUUUAGAUGAACAUAUAUUAUUUAUUUAGAGGACGUUACAAAAGGUCACCCUUGGAAAUUAAACUUUGAUGGAGCCUCAAAUGCUGUGGGUAAUGGAAUCGGGGCAGUUUUGGUAUCCCCAAAUGGAGAUCAUUAUCCAUUCACAUGUAAAUUGGAUUUUGAUUGCACAAAUAAUAUGACAGAAUAUGAAGCAUGCAUAAUGGGACUCUACGCAGCCAUAGAAUGCAGGAUCAAGGCGUUAGAAGUAUAUGGAGAUUCCGCGUUAGUGAUCUACCAGCUUAAAGGUGAAUGGGAGACAAGAGACUCCAAAUUGAUUAAUUAUGGAAGGAUAGUGCUGGGGUUAAUUGAGGAGUUUGAUGACAUUACUUUCAAUUAUCUCCUGCGAGAUGAGAACCAGAUAGCGGAUGCUUUGGCUACUUUGGCUUCCAUGAUCAAAGUGAGAAAACAAGAAGAUGUAAAACCCAUUCAGAUGAGUAUUUAUGAAGUCCCAUCUUUUUGUUACAACAUAGAGGAAGAUGAGAGAGAUGACCACCCUUGGUAUCAAGAUUUAUUGCGAUACGUGAGAAAUCGUGACUAUCCUGAUCAAGCAACUGAGAAUGAUAAAAGGACGUUGAGCAGGCUAGCCUGUGAUUAUGUCUUAGAUGGGGAGAUCCUGUACAAAAGAAGAAAGGAUCAAGUACUAUUGAGAUGUGUGAAUGCUGUGGAAGCCAAAAAAAAUUGGAAGAAAUUCAUGAAGGUGUUUGUGGAACACAUGCUAACAGUUUCACAAUAGCUAGACAAAUUGUGAGAUUUGGAUAUUACUGGUCUACCAUGGAAGGAGACUGCAUCAAUUAUGCCAAGAAGUGUCACAAAUGUCAAAUUUAUGGUGAUAAAAUUCAUGCACCUCCUUUACCUUUACAUGUUAUGACUUCCCCAUGGUCGUUUUCCAUGUGGGGCAUGGAUGUCAUAGGGCCAAUCUCGCUGAAGGCUACAAAUGGGCAUCAUUUCAUCUUUGUGGUCAUUGACUAUUUCACAAAGUGGGUAGAAGUGGCCUUAUAUGCCAAUGUGACUAAAUCGACAGUCAGCAGAUUUUUAAAGAAGGAAAUCAUAUGUCAAUAUGGAAUGCCUGAAAGGAUUAUAUCUGACAACGCAUUAAUUUGAAUAACAUCAUGAUAGCAAAGGUCUGUAGUCAGUUCAAGAGCAAACACCAUAACUCAUCACGGUAUCGCCCAAAAAUGAAUGGUGCAGUGGAAGCAGCCAAUAAAAAUAUUAAGAAGAUUGUGGAGAAAAUGACAUAUGUCGAAAACAUUUUUAAAUCGAGUUUUGGAAAAUGGGAAUCAACUUUAAGAAAAACGAAAACGGGAGUCGCCACCAAUCUUUUUAGGUGUGAUUGGAUCAUCUUAUAAAAUGUUUUGUUUUAAAACAUUAAUUUUGGUCUACGAAAGUCGAGAAAACGGAUUCGGGAGUCGGUUACGUACGAGGAAGGGUUAGCACCCUCGUAACGCCCAAAAAUUGGUACCUAAUUGAUUAUCAAGUGUCUUUAAUGUAGGAAAUUUGAAAGUUUUAAGAUACAAACCUCUUUUAAUUAGAAUGUCUCAAUUUUAAAAAUUAAGGCUCACUUAUUUCAAACGAGUCAAAACAUCACAUCCAGUAAGUUAGGACGCAACAUUUAAAAACCUUCGAAACUAAGCUCGUCUUUCGAAAAUUUCUAUCUCGAAACAACAAAACGCCAUAUCCAGUAAGUUAGGACACUAUGUUUUGAAAUCUCGAAAUAAUUGUUUAAGUUUUGAAAACUCAAAAUCACUUAGAAGGGUGCUUGACUAUUCGAAUUCAACGAGAAAAGUCGCAACCCAGUAAGUUAGGGCACUAACUUUCUCGAAGUUUCCAAACAUCAAGCAUUGUCUUUUAAUUUUUAAAAAAAAAACCUUGGAAUAUUAUUUUUAAAUGACGUUUUAGGAUGACAUAUUAAUGCAUCAUGAAGCAUAGAUGUACAAAAUAUUCUAACAUUUCCAUACAAACAUAAAUAAUAUCAUUAUGACAAAACUAAAUAACAUGAACAUACGUUUAAUGAAAAAAACCAUACUAGGGUAAAUAUAAGAUAAUAAACAAAUAAAAACAUGAGUAAACUAAAAGAAAAACAUAAUACAUGCAAAAAUUAUACAACAAUACAUAUCAUAAAAUAGCACAUAAAAGAAAUAAUUAAACAUAGCAUAUAAAAAAAUGAAAGUAUGCAUAAAUAAGAUAAAUGACAUACGCAAAAAAAAUGAAUAAAUAGAAAUUUACAAAUUAUAAAAAUAUAAUGCAAUAGUUCAAAAUACAUGAAAUGAUAAUAUAAUAUAUAUAUAUGCAUAGAAAAUAUAUAUUUGAAAAUAAACUAUAUAAAAAGGUUAAAUAUUAUAAUAUAUAAAAUGCAUAAUCAAAUGUAUAAAAGAUAGGAAUAAAUAUGCAUAUUUGAAAAAUAAAGAAAUUAAAAUAAAAAAAAGGUUGAAAAACUAAGAUAGACGAAGAAUAAAAUAAGAACAAACCACAGAGAGUAAGAACGCAAGAGGGAGAGAAACCUGAGUGAAUGCUUUCAAGAAUUCUUAUUGCUUCCCAAAACUCAAGUGAUUUACAAUGAAGGGAGAGACCUCUAUUGAUAGCUGAACCUCUCCAAAUCCAACGGUACAGAUCAAUUACAUCAACAGUUAAGAUUAAAUGAUUUCUACAAAUUAAAUCUCCAAGAUUACAAGAUCAUAUCUUCAAGAUUGCAUAUCAUAUCUAAGAUUGCAUAUCAUAUCUAAGAUUGUAUCAUAUCUAAUAUUGCAUAUCAUAUCUAAGAUUGUAUAUCCUUAAAUAUUAUAUUUCCAUAUGAGUCAAGCUCAUAGAUGGACCUUCAAUCUUUUCAAGUAAUGGGCCAUUUCGAUUGGGCCAAAUUAUAUGUUUGUAAUUUUGUACUGGACUUGGACUUGGUUUUUUUUUUAACUUAUUUCUGGGCCCGGGCAAAAUUGAUUGUCUACUACAACUGAAACUUAUAGAGAUUGGCAUGAGAAAUUCCCAUUUUCUCUCUAUACUUAUCGAACAUCUGUCAGAACUUCUACUGGGGCAACACAUUUCUCAUUGGUUUAUGAAAUGGAGGCAGUUUUACCAAUUGAAGUAGAGAUACCUUCCCUUAGAGUUUUAUCAGAACUAAAAUUAAAUGAAGUAGAAUGGAUACAGCCUCGAUAUGAUCAGUUGAACUUAAUUGAGGAAAAGAGGUUAAAGGCUAUCCAGUAUAGUCAGAUGUAUCAAAAACGAAUGAUGCAGGCUUAUGACAAAAAGGUUCGCCCAAAAGGAUUUCAGAGGGAAAAGGAUGCCAAAUUGGGAGGGGCCCUAUGUGGUGAAGAAAGCUUUCUCCGGAGAAGCUUUAAUUCUGGCUGAAAUGGAUGGAAAAAACCUGCCCAACCCUGUGAACUUGGAUUUAGUCAAAAAGUACUAUUCUUAAUGAGGAAAAGAGGCCAAAGUGAAAACCCGCAAAGGGCGCUUUGAGACCUUCCUAAAAAAAGGGAGAGGCAAAGGUGAAAAUCCGAAUAGGGCGCCUUAAGAGCAAAGGGGAUUUAAGUUGAAAACCCGAAAAGGGUGGCUCAGAUGUUGAUCAAAGAUGGAGAAGGCGAUGAUCUUGCUAUACCUGAAUUAACAAGGCAAAGGGUAUACUACAUCUUGGGGCAUUGACAAAGUACUUCUGAUCUCCUAAACACAUGUCAAGUCUAAAUUGGUCUUCAAGAAGUUCAUACAGAGAAACUGAGGUUGCGAUAUCAGGGGUACCUAGUCUUCAUCUUAUUCAUAAUAAAUUGGCUAUCUUUGAAAUAUUUUUCCUUCUCAAGAUAUGCAUCCCCAAUAGACUUCUAUUUUUAUCUUCAAUAAUUUAUUUUUGAGCUAUGCUCUAAUUCAAUUCCAUUCUUAUCCAUUUCUAUGAUUUAUUGCAAGCAUGUUGCAUUGAAAUAAUGAUUAAUGGACUAAUAAUACUUUCAGAAAAGGAGUUUUAAGUAUUACUUUGGAAAGCUUCUAAAUAAUACAAGAACCUGAACCAGGACUAUUGUUUAGAACUCACCAAGCUUUAGAAAAUAUCUGAGUAGGAAGGGUUUAACUUGAGACCAUCUCUUUGGAUUUUUGGUUCAAAAUAGUGAUUGAACAAAAAGACGAGAUAUUGUGUCAAUGAUACAAUUUCGACAAAAAAUGAUCAAUAUAAAAGGAUGUAACGCCCUAAUUUUCAGGAAUUCUGUGAAUGUUGGCAUAGGUUUAAUUAUGUUAGUGGGCCUCUAGAAGGCCCAAGCUUAAGAUAGAACCCGGAAAUUUUAGUUAAUUUUUGUUCCAUAAGAAAAAGGGGGUGAAAUUAUGAAAUAGGACCUAUGUGAAAAUGUUUGAAAAUGCUAUAGGCUAAAUUGAAGUGGCCAAAUAAAUAGGAGUGCAAAAUAGGAGGAUUUGCAUGACAAACCUCCCAUUUUAGAUGAAGUGGCCAGCCAUCAUGUUGUUGUAGACAAUAUGAGCACUUGAUAUCCAUAAUUCAUGGUACAAAUUGAUAAUGGGUUAGGUAAAUGUUCCAUGAUAAUGGAUUUGGUAAAUAUUCCAUGAUAAUGGGUUAGGUAAAUGUUCCAUGAUAAUGGUUUAGGUAAAUGUUCCAUGAUGGGCAUUUCAUGUCUUUUGUAUUAAAGAAUUAAAUGGAUGAAAUAUGAAAUUCUAUUAAAAGAAAAAGGGGUGAAAAGAACAAAGUUUUGUCCAUCUUUGUUCAUCAUAGCCGAAAGUUAGAGAAGAGAAAGGAGAGGAGAAAUCUCUUGAAUGUUUGGUCACUUGGGGAAGAAAAUUGAAGGUAAGUCAUGGUAGUUUGCUUCUAUUUUGAUGUUCAUGAGUUCUUCUUGAUUCUACCUUAACUCUUGAAGCAUAUUUUGGUUUUUGGUUGUAUUGUGAGCAUUUGGUCAUGAAUUAAAAUGAAGGAAAUGGUUGUUGUUUCAUGUUCUUUUGAUGAAAAAUGGAAGAUAGGUAAAGUUGAGCAAAACAAAUGAACAUGCAUGUGCCUUAGAUGCUAAAGGAAAAAAUCGGCUAACAUGUUGUGCUUUAAAAUGAUGAAAUGGAGAUUAUACUUAAGUAAAAUCAUAGAUAUGUGAUGAUUGAUUGGUGAUAUACAUGUUUAAAUAACAUGCAUGCAAGUUAUGUGUGAAAGAGUGAAUUUGGUAAUAAAUCUGCUUGGGACAGCAGCAGUAAUGUGACUUUGGAAAAUCAUCAUAAAUUGUGGGAGAUGAAUUAGAAGAUGAAUAAAUUAUUUAAUUAAAGCUUGUUGAGUAUAGUUUCAAAUGAAAUAAACGAGAACAUAUUUUGAAUCCUGUACAAUGAGAAAUUUGAUUCGUAAUGAAGAGUGGUCAGAUUAGUCAAACAGUGAAACAUGCGAAACUUUGAGAAAAAUCUGGUAUUUAUUGGCCAAACCAAAAAUUCUGAAAAUUUUAUGGAUAUAAGAUAUAUGAGUCUAUUUUCAGGGAAAAUUAACAGAACUUGAUUUGGAGUUUCUUAGCUCCAUUUAUAAAUGAUUUAGUGACUGUUGCUCAGGAAGACAGCUUGCAGGGAAAUAAUGAUUAUGUGGUAAAUAUUGACAAAAAUUUGUUAAUGAGUUGCUUAUUGAUUUCUUAUAAGCUUACUAUGAUCUGUAGGUGUGGUUGGCCGAAUAUUGUAAGGGGUUAAUACGUAGUUCGUAUUUGAAUAGUUAGAUUAGUGUGUUAGUAAUCCAAUUGUAGGCAGUUCGUGUGUGGAUCUCGUCAGCAUAUCGUCGCAAACAGGUGUGUAACUAACACCCUCUUUCUUAGUCUGGAUCGGUAAAAGUUGAAAAGCUGAAAUGCUAAAAACCGGUAUUUUGUAGAUUUGCGAGUGUGCGAAUGCUCGUGAGGUAAAUCAAUUAAUGUUUUUGGUAAGCUGCAAAAUUUGGACUGCAAAGUGCAUGAUUUCUGUGCCCUCGAUAUUUUUGGGCUUAAUGGGCCAAAAUUGGAAUGAUGGGCCAACGGGCCCAAUUCGAUAAGAACCCUCGGUACGUGAUUCUGUUAGUACAUGAAAAGUAGGAAUAUGCAUGAAAAACCCUAAAAUAGAUAAAUUACUGAAAUACCUUUAAAAGUGGAAAAUUUACAGUUUUACCCCUAGUAGAUAAAUUACCGAAAUACCCCUAGGGUUAAAUUGACCUAAAUGCAUGUUUGACUGUUGUUAUUUACUGCAUGCCAUGUUGUUAUUAUCUGAUGCAUGGGUUUGGGAUAUUGACGAAGGAAGUACUGAAAGUGGCUUGUCCACGUACUGGAGGCUUUGCCUCAAUUUACUGUUAACUGAGCAGCAAGGCUGCAACUGUGGAGUGUUGGGCUGGGUGGGUUGAGCUAUUCCCCACAUGGAGUGUAGGGCUGGUACGGGUGGAGCGUAGUGGUUGGUGGGUUGAGUAGUCUCCCCAAAUGGGCUUGCAUAUGUUACUGAUGUUGCAUGUAUUUUGAAAUGGGCCUAUGGGCCAUACUGUUAUCUGAAUAAGGGGCUAAGGCCCAGUUUAUUGUAAUCUGAAAAGGGCUCUGGUCCAGUACCACUGUUACCUGAAUGGGCUUAGGCCCAAUAGGCUUGAGCUGACUUGGGCUUUGAAUGGGUUUUCCUUACACACUGAGUUUCCCCAAACUCACCCCUUUUAUUUUCAUCCACGCAGGAAAUCCCCAACCAUAGUUGGCUUGGAGCUGUGAGGGAAUUCAGAGUGGCCACCCGUUCUAAAAGUUUGGUUUUCUUCUGGUGAACUGGACAUCCUAUUAUUUACGUUGAGGUUUGGGUUUUUAAAUGUAAUAAGGCCGCUUAAUUAUUUUUGAUAGUUUUAAUAUGUAUUACUAAUAUAGGUAUUGCUUAUUUUAACUGUUGAAAUUGGAUAGCUUUAGGGCGCGUUUUCAAAAAAAAACAAUUGAUUUGAAAAUAACACGACAACAAGCAAAGCUUCCGCAAUGAAAGUAUUUUCCAAAAUUAAUCACUUUUCCUAAAAAUGACUUAAUCAAAUCGGUUUCCUAGAAAUAUACAUGACGUUAAGGUGUGGCAAUGGCGGUGUGCAUGUCUAGGAUUGGAUCCGAAGGGAGCUUGGUACUUAAGUAGUUCGAUAGACUCACCUCCUCUUUUCCGGUUUCCUACCUGGUGCACAGCUUCCAUUCACUUUAACCUAUAACGAAAUUAUCUUUUAAAACACUAAGUAGGUUUUUCUGGAUCAACAAUAUAAAAUGUUUUGAACGCUUCGAUGUGGCAUAUCGGAUCCGGCCAUAAUGUCUGGGCCGGGUUUGGGGUGUUACAUUUAGCUGUAUCAGAGCUUUGGUUGUAACAACUCGGCUGUGGAAUGGGUACAAAAACAAAGAUUUUCGAAAGCGAAAAUUUUAUUAAGAAUGUGAAAAACUCAAUUUUCAAAAUUUAGAUCUUUAGAAGGUGGCAUUCUGAAUCUCCGGCUUAAGUCUGUAAGUAUUCUGAAUUUUUCUGAAUAUUUUCCUAAAUUAUCUGUCUGUACUGAAACCCUACUAGGACACUCUAGAUAGGAUGAUACUGAAACCAUAGGAAAAUAUGAUAAGAGAUUGAAACUGCAGCUAGACUUCGAUUCUGCGAAAACAAACUCUGAAUUACUAUAUGAUUCAUAAAACAUCUAUAAUAAACACUGGAAUAUUGAAUCAAUGCAUAAAAAUUCGUAAUCAAGAUAAUACGAUAUAAGUACAAGAGUCGUUCGUGGACGUGGACGAGGUCGAGGAAGUGCUCGAGCGAGAUCUUCGUCUUCGGGACAUAUGCCGGCGGUGGAUGCAUCGGUACCACCGGCAACAGAGGUAGAGUCUCAUGACCGCGGUGCCGGGGAUGAUGCCCUGUCGCAGGCAAUGCUUCGUGUUCUGGAAGGGGUUGCCGGGAUAAGCUCGGGCAAUGGAAUUCGAGGAUCGAUUUCUGAACGACUCCGGGCCAAUGGAGCGGAGAUCUUUAGGGGUGUGUCUGGUAUCGCCUCGAAUGUGGCAGAAUAUUGGUUGGAGGCCACAGAACGAAUUAUGGAUGACUUGGAUUGCUCUGUAGGCAAAAGCUGAAGGGAGCCGUAUCGUUGCUACGAGACAAGGCUUACCAAGUGGUGGCUCACUGCGAGAGAAGGAACUCCAGCUGAUAAGGUAACUUGGGAACUGUUUAAGACGGCCUUUAAAGAGAAGUAUGUUAGAGCGAGUUAUGUGGACGCCCGCAGGAAGGAAUUCCUAAAUCUGGUGCAAGAAGGUAAAACAGUUGCCGAGUACGAGGUCGAGUUUCUAAGGUUGAGCCGGUAUGCCGUGGGCAUAGUUGCUACGGAGUAUGAGCGAAGUGUGCGCUUCGAGGAUGGUCUUAGAGAUGACCUCAGGGUGUUGAUCGCUCCGCAGAGGGAGCAAGACUUCGCGGUCUUGGUGGAGAAGGCAAGGAUCGCUGAGGAGGUUAAGCGUGCUGAAAAGAAAAAUCAGGAAAAGAUCGGAACCAUUUCUGGAGGGAUUCAGGACCCUCGGGUGGUGCAAAUAGGAUUAUUAAGAGAGCAAUAGUGGAGGAGCCAGUUCGAGCAGUGCCGAUGAAUGUGGUCAGACAUCAAUCUGUGGAGACUGUGGUAAGGUACAUUUGGGCGAGUGUAGGAAACGCUCUGGUGCUUGUUUUUUAUGUGGAUCUAUGGAGCAUAGAGUACGGGACUGCCCUCAGAAAGCUGAUCAGGUUCAAGUUGCUGAACAGAGGAUUACUCAACCCGUAAGGGGUAGACCCCAACCACCGAGAGGACGUGGACAAGGUAGGGGUGGAAAUGGAAACGGUCGAGGUCGGGGGGCACCUGGCAGAGGUGUCAAAAAUGCUGAAGCUCAUCAGCCAGCUUUGGUGUAUGCAGCUCGUCGUCGAGAGGAGGGCGACGCACCUGACGUCAUAACUGGUACGUUCUUGGUUUCUAGCAUGCCAUAUACUGCUUUGGUGGAUAUUGGAUCUACUCAUUCCUAUGUUGCAUGUGCCAUAUUUGGGUUGUUGGGUGUGCACUGUGAGAAGAUGGUGAGUGGGGUAUCUGUACUAAGUCCUUUGGGUCACUCGGUUAGGGUAGACAAACUGUAUAGGGAUGUACCCUUAGAAACUUAAGGUAAGAUUUUCCCUGGAGAUCUGAUGGAGUUACCAUUCGGAGAUUUUGAUCUCAUUUUGGGAAUGGACUGGCUUGUUAAACAUAAAGCGACUCUGGAUUGUGCUGCUAAACGAAUGGUGUUAAGGACCACAAAGGAUGAGGAGGUUAUGGUGAUAGGUGAGCGAAGGGAUUAUUUGUCCAAUGUGGUGUCGGCAUUAAGAGCCAAAAAGUGGAUUCGGAAAGGUUGUGAGGUCUAUUUGACAUUUGUAAGUCAGUCAGAAGAGGAGGGAUUGUUAGUGGAUAAGGUUAGGACUGUAAAGGAGUUUCAAGAUGUUUUUCCGGAGGAGCUUCUAGGAUUGCCUCCGAACUGAGAAGUGGAGUUUGGAAUCGACUUAUUGCCUGGAAUGGCACCAGUGUCUAUCGCAUCGUAUAGAAUGGCACCGAAGGAGUUGGUGGAGUUAAAGGCACAAAUUCAAGAGUUGUUGGAUAGGGGCUUCAUUAGGCCAAGCAUGUCUCCAUGGGGAGCACCGGUGCUAUUUGGACUAACGAACGCUCUUGUAGCGUUUAUAGAUCUGAUGAAUCUUGUGUUCCAACCAUUUUUAGAUCAGUUUGUAGUCGUCUUUAUUGAUGAUAUCCUGGUAUAUUCUGAAACUGAAGCGAAACAUGAUAAACAUCUCCGUAUAGUGCUGCGAGUGUUAAGGGAGAAGGAACUCUUCGCGAAGUUCAGCAAGUGUGAACUUUGGUUGAGGGAGGUAACCUUCUUAGGACAUGCGGUCUCUGCUGAGGGGAUUAAGGUGGACCCUCAGAAAAUUGAAGGGAUUUUGGAGUGGAAGCCGCCUAGGUCAGUGUCGGAAAUACGGAGUUUCCUAGGACUGGCAGGAUACUACAAAAGGUUUGUGGAAGGUUUUUCUGUGAUGGCAGCACCUCUGACAAAACUCAUAAGGAAAGGAGUACCGUUUGUAUAGACUGAAAAGCAGCAGGAAGCUUUUGAGAAGUUGUAGAAAGUUCUGACUGAAGCACCUGUGUUGAUUCAGGCAGAGUCUGGGAAGGAUUUUACUGUGUACAGUGAUGCAUCACACGUGGGUUUGGGCUGCGUGUUAAUGUAGGAGGGUAAGGUGGUUGCAUAUGCAUCACGACAGCUUAAACCUCACGAAGGGAACUAUCCUACUCAUGAUUUGGAGUUGGUGGUAGUGAUAUUUGCACUUAAGAUUUGGAGACAUUACUUGUACGGGGAGAGGUGUAUUAUAUACACAUACCACAAGAGUCUUAAGUAUUUGUUGACUCAGAAGGAGCUGAACCUUUGGCAAAAGAGAUGGAUUGAGUUGUUUAAGGAUUAUGACUGUUCGAUCGAGUAUCACCCAGGCAAGGCUAAUGUGGUAGCCGAUACUUUAAGUCGUAGAACCGUAUCUGAUCUGAGAGCAAUGUUUGCUCAUUUGAGCCUGUAUGAUGAUGGCAGUUUGUUGGCUGAAUUGCAAGUAAGGCCAACCUGGGUGGACCAGAUUAAGGAAAAGCAGUUGAAAGAUGAGUCUUUGGUUGCUCGUUUUCAACAAGUUAAGGAAGGGGAAACUUCUGAGUUCGGUUUAAAUGGUGAUGGAGUUCUGUGUUUCUGAGGAAGAAUUUGUGUUCUGAGGGACUCUGAUUUAAGGCAGACAAUAUUGAAGGAAGCUCAUGGGGGACUUUGUGCCAUGCAUCCUGGAGGGGAUAAGUUGUAUCACGACUUACGAGAACUGUACUGGUGGCCUGGGCUUAAACGAGAAGUAAUAGAGUUCGUGGGGAAAUGUCUAACAUGCCAGCAAGUCAAAGCUGAACAUCAAUUUCCUUCUAAAUUACUGCAACCGGUGAAAAUUCCAUUGUGGAAGUGGGGGAGAGUCACAAUGGACUUUGUGAGUGGGCUACCUUUGACACCCACCAAGAAAGAUUCUGUGUGGGUAGUGGUGGAUAGGUUAACAAAAUCUGCCCAUUUCAUACCAGUUCGUAUUGAUUACUCCCUGCAAAAGUUGGCUAGGUUGUAUGUGGCAGAGAUAGUGUGACUACAUGGAGUGCCAGCGUCGAUUAUUUUCGACCGAGACCUUAGGUUUACAUCUUGGUUCUGGAAGAAGUUGCAGGAGGCAUUGGGUACAUGUUUGGAUUUCAGUACUGCCUUUCACCCACAGACAGAUGGACAGUCGGAGAGGGUUAUUCAGAUUUUGGAGGAUAUGUUAAGGGGUUGUAUCAUCGAUUUUAGUGGGAGUUGGGAGGAUUACUUGCCAUUGGCAGAGUUUGCAUACAAUAACAGCUACCAAGCAAGUAUUCAGAUGGCUCCAUAUGAGGCACUUUAUGGGCAGAGAUGUCGUAUUCCUACUUGUUAGACAGAGUUGGGUGAACGACAAGUGCUUGGACCGGAGUUGGUGGCAGAUACUGAAAGUAAGGUUAAGUUGAUAAGAGAUCGAUUAAAAGAGGCAUAUGAGAGACAAAAGUUGUAUGUGGAUCUAAAGUGCAGAGAGAUAGAGUUCGCGGUUGGGGAUAUGGUUUUCUUAAAGGUUUCACCUUGGAAGAAGAUCUUGAGAUUCGGCAAGAAAGGCAAAUUGAGUCCACGGUUUAUAGGGCCUUAUCGGGUUCUUAAGCGGGUAGGGCCAGUAGCGUAUCAGUUAGAGUUGCCACCAGAGUUAGACAGAAUCCAUGACGUCUUUCAUGUGUCUAUGUUAAGACGAUAUCGAUCGGAUCCCUCACAUGUUGUGCCAGUGGAGGAGAUUGAAGUAAGGACUAAUUUGACCUUUGAGGAAGAACCCAUACAAAUUUUAGAUCGAGAGGUUAAAGUUCUAAGAAGGAAGUUGGUUCCGUUGGUAAAAGUACUGUGGCGUAAUCAUGGAAGGGAAGAAGCUACUUGGGAAUCAGAAGAGACUAUGCGUCAACAAUACCCUCAACUAUUUGGAUCAGGUAAAUUUCAAGGCCGAAAUUUCUUUAAGGGGGUAGAGUUGUAACGCCCCAAUUUUCGGGAAUUCUAUGAAUGUUGGCAUAGGUUUAAUUAUGUUAGUGGGCCUCUAGAAGGCCCAAGCUUAAGAUAGAACCCGGCAAUUUUAGUUAAUUUUUGUUCCAUAAGAAAAAGGGGGUGAAAUUAUGAAAUAGGACCUAUGUGAAAAUGUUUGAAAAUGCUAUAGGCUAAAUUGAAGUGGCCAAAUAAAUAGGAGUGCAAAAUAGGAGGAUUUGCUUGACAAACCUCCCAUUUUACAUGAAGUGGCCAGCCAUCAUGUGUUGUAGACAAUAUGAGCACUUGAUAUCCAUAAUUCAUGGUACAAAUUGAUAAUGGGUUAGGUAAAUGUUCCAUGAUAAUGGAUUAGGUAAAUAUUCCAUGAUAAUGGGUUAGGUAAAUGUUCCAUGAUAAUGGUUUAGGUAAAUGUUCCAUGAUGGGCAUUUCAUGUCUUUUGUAUUAAAGAAUUAAAUGGAUGAAAUAUGAAAUUUUAUUAAAAGAAAAAGGGGUGAAAAGAACAAAGUUUUGUCCAUCUUUGUUCAUCAUAGCCGAAAGUUAGAGAAGAGAAAGGAGAGGAGAAAUCUCUUGAAUGUUUGGUCACUUGGGGAAGAAAAUUGAAGGUAAGUUCAUGGUAGUUUGCUUCUAUUUUGAUGUUCAUGAGUUCUUCUUGAUUCUACCUUAACUCUUGAAGCAUAUUUUGGUUUUUGGUUGUAUUGUGAGCAUUUGGUCAUGAAUUAAAAUAAAGGAAAUGGUUGUUGUUUCAUGUUCUUUUGAUGAAAAAUGGAAGAUAGGUGAAGUUGAGCCAAACAAAUGAACAUGCAUGUGCCUUAGAUGCUAAAGGAAAAAAUCGGCUAACAUGUUGUGCUUUAAAAUGAUGAAAUGGAGAUUAUACUUAAGUAAAAUCAUAGAUAUGUGAUGAUUGAUUGGUGAUAUACAUGUUUAAAUAACAUGCAUGCAAGUUAUGUGUGAAAGAGUGAAUUUGGUAAUAAAUCUGCUUGGGACAGCAGUAGUAACGUGAAUUUGGAAAAUCACCAUAAAUUGUGGGAGAUGAAUUAGAAGCUGAAUAAAUUAUUUAAUUAAAGCUUGUUGAGUCUAGUUUCAAAUGAAAUAAACGAGAACAUAUUUUGAAUCCUGUACAAUGAGAAAUUUGAUUCGUAAUGAAGAGUGGUCAGAUUAGUCAAACAGUGAAACAUGCGAAACUUUGAGAGAAAUCUGGUAUUUAUUGGCCAAACCAAAAAUUCUGAAAAUUUUAUGGAUAUAAGAUAUAUGAGUCUAUUUUCAGGGAAAAUUAACAGAACUUGAUUUGGAGUUUCGUAGCUCCAUUUAUAAAUGAUUUAGUGACUGUUGCUCAGGAAGACAGCUUGCAGUGAAAUUAUGAUUAUGUGGUAAACAUUGACAAAAAAUUGUUAAUGAGUUGCUUAUUGAUUUCUUAUAAGCUUACUAUGAUCUGUAGGUGUGGUUGGCCGAAAAUUGUAAGGGGUUAAUACGUAGUUCGUAUUUGAAUAGUUAGAUUAAUGUGUUAGUAAUCCAAUUGUAGGCAGUUCGUGUGUGGAUCUCGUCAGCAUAUCGUCGCAAACAGGUGUGUAACUAACACCCUUUCUUAGUCUGGAUCGACAAAAGUCGAAAAGCCGAAAUGCAAAAAAUCGAUAUUUUGUAGAUUUGCGAGUGUGCGAAUGCUCGUGAGGUAAAUCGAUUAAUGUUUUUGGUAAGCUGCAAAAUUUGGACUGCAAAGUGCAUGAUUUCUGGGCCCUCGAUAUUUUUGGGCUUAAUGGGCCAAAAUUGGAAUGAUGGGCCAACGGGCCCAAUUCGGUAAGAACCCUCGGUACGUGAUUCUGUUAGUACGUGAAAAGUAGGAAUAUGCAUGAAAAACCCUAAAAUAGAUAAAUUACUGAAAUACCGUUAAAAGUGAAAAAUUUACAGUUUUACCCCUAGUAGAUAAAUUACCGAAAUACCUCUAGGGUUAAAUUGACCUAAAUGCAUGUUUGACUGUUGUUUUUUACUGCAUGCCAUGUUGUUAUUAUCUGAUGCAUGGGAUUGGGAUAUUGACGGAGGAAGUACUGAAAGUGGCUUGUGCACGUACUGGAGGCUUUGCCUCAAUUUACUGUUAACUGAGCAGCAAGGCUACAACUGUGGAGUGUUGGGCUGGGUGGGUUGAGCUAUUCCCCACAUGGAGUGUAGGGCUGGUACGGGUGGAGUGUAGUGGUUGGUGGGUUGAGUAGUCUCCCCAAAUGGGCUUGCAUGUAUUAUUGAUGUUGCAUGUAUUUUGAAAUGGGCCUAUGGGCCAUACUAUUAUCUGAAUAAGGGGCUAAGGCCCAGUUUAUUGUAAUUUGAAAAGCCUCUAGUCCAGUACCACUGUUACCUGAAUGGGCUUAGGCCCAAUAGGCUUGAGCUGACUUGGGCUUUGAAUGGGUUUUCCUUACACACUGAGUUUCCCCAAGCUCACCCCUUUUAUUUUCAUCCACGCAGGAAAUCCCCAACCAUAGUGGGCUUGGAGCUGUGAGGGAAUUCGAAGUGGCCACCCGUUCUAAAAGUUUGGUUUUCUUCUGGUGAACUGGACAUCCUAUUAUUUACGUUGAGGUUUGGGUUUUUAAAUGUAAUAAGCCCGCUUAAUUAUUUUUGAUGGUUUUAAUAUGUAUUAAUAAGAUAGGUAUUACUUAUUUUAACUGUUGAAAUUAGAUAGCUUUAGGGCGCGUUUUCAAAAAAAAAACAACAAUUGAUUUCAAAAUAACACGACAACAAGCAAAGCUUCCGCAAUGAAAGUAUUUUCCAAAAUUAAUCACUUUUCCUAAAAAUGACUUAAUCAAAUCGGUUUCCUAGAAAUAUACAUGACGUUAAGGUGUGGCAAUGGCAGUGUGCAUGUCUAGGAUUGGAUCCGAAGGGAGCUUGGUACUUAAGUAGUUCGAUAGACUCACCUCCUCUUUUUCGGUUUCCUACCUGGUGCACAGCUUCCAUUCACUUUAACCUAUAAUGAAAUUAUCUUUUAAAACACUAAGUAGGUUUUUUUUGGAUCAACAAUAUAAAAUGUUUUGAACGCUUCGAUGUAGCAUUUCGGAUCCGGCCAUAACGUCUGGGCCAGGUUUGGGGUGUUACAAAGGAGGUCACUCUCGAGAAAAGAAAACUGAUAUUUUACAUUCAGGCAUACGCGUCUGGCCAUGACACUCGAGGAAUGGUGUAACAAACUGAAUUGAUGGGGGAAAAUUCAGAUCUUACACCCUUGAGUUGUAGUGGGAUGGGUAGAAGAAACCACAAGUUCUAUCUCCCUAAAGAUGUAGUAGAGCAAACAGGCUGAGCAAAUGGUGAUUAUUUUUGGAUUUUCUGCCAAAGAUACCAGCCAAGCAAAGAAGACAGGAUAACACAUCAGUGACAGAACCUUGAUGAACAACAAGCAAUGACAACCCAAAUAUUAAAAAGAGACCAUUCUCAUGACGUUCUGCAUUCAUAAAAAUAUCAUACACACCUAGUUAGGAGCAUUCGAUCCAUUCUGAUCAAAGCAUCUUAAUCAUUUGGCAUAAGCAUAGGCCCAUAAAAUUGAUUCUACAGGUCAUGUUUCCUAGAGAGCGAUGUAAUGACUAGUGAAACCACAAAUCCUAUACCUCUGAAAUUGCAGUAGGCCGUAUUAGGUCAUCAUAGCAAAUCUUAUCUCCCAAAAGUGGCAGUGGAGCAGAUUGAAGCCAUAAGUCUUAUUUCCCUGAAGUUGCAGCGGAGCAGACUAAAGAUAGUGACUCUUGUUUCCCUGAAGUUGCAGUGGAACAGAUUGAAACUAUAAAUAAACAGAUCUUAUCUCUCUGAAAAUGCUGUGGAGCAGAUUGAAGAUAACAGGUCUUAUCUCCCUGAAGCUGCAGUGGAGUAGAUCGAAGUCACCAUCCUUAUCUCUCUAAAGUUGUAGUAGAGCAAGAUAAAAAUACACAAACCUUAUCCCCUUGAAGUUGCAGUGGAGUAGGUUGAAAUUACCAAUUCUUAUCUCCUUUAAGUUCAAGCGAAGUAAAUCGAAGCUACAAAUCUCUUCUCCCUGAAAUUACACUGGAAUAAAUUGAAGCUACAAGUCUAAUCUCACUGAGGUUGCAGUGGAGCAGAUUAAAGCUAUGAGUCUAGUCUUUCUGAAGUUACAGUGGAGUAGAUUGACGCAAUAAAUCCUAUACCUCUAACAUUGCAAUGGGUUGGAACGAGUCUACUUGAAGAAGAGAAGUACCCAAAGAAGUAGAAAUUCGGAGACCGAACAUGAUUGGCCCUUCUUAAAAGUCUUUACUUCAUCCCCAUUACAUGAAAAUGAGCAAAGAGAGGAAGUUGUGCAGGCCCAAAUCUGCCCGGGCCUGUACAAACAUAAACCAAAAUAAUAAUAAAACCAAAAUUUUUAAUAGUCCAAGUCCCUUUAUUACAUCAGCCCAAAUCUGCCAAAAUAAAACAAAAACCCAAAACAUAAAUUGAAACAGUCCAAAAUUAAGACCCAACUACACGCAAAACCUAAAACCUAGCCCAAAAGGUAUACACGGUCCAACUGGCCCAAAACCCAAACACUAGGAAACCCUAGGUCACCCUUUUGUGCCGCAACAGCUUCGUACGACUGCCAGCCCCGCCACACACGACUUCGUACCCUCCGUACACGCGCCACGCACACCACGUACCUGCAAACAGACAAGAGAACAACAGCAAAUAGGAAAAAAAAAUAGAAAAAACUUGUAUUUUUUUUCUUCUUUCGGCUAUAAAGCCCAAAAAGGAAUCAAUGUAUUUUCUUUAAGCGCACAUAGCAAUCAAAAACAGCAAGAAAUCAAAAGAGGUGAUUUGCUCUUUUUUUUUUAAAAAGCUUAUCAUAGCAUUUCGUUUUUUUUUCUUGAUUGUUCUUCUAUUUCUUUUUGUUUCUUCAUUUACAAAGAAUAAAAUAAUAAAGGAAGAAGAUAAAGGGGAAAUUUUCACCUGAACCGUUGGUAUACUGUUGGAGUUUUUUCUCCGUUAAAGCCAAAAUCCAACGGAGAUGGAGACCUCCUUCUUUUGAUUCCUUGCGAUUGAGGGUGCUAUGAAUACAGCUUUAAACAAGUCCGAAUGAGGUAGUCUACCCUCCGUCGACCACCAUUUGUGGUGGUUGCAUGGCUGCUAGGGUUUGGCCUUUGAGAAUCGGCUAAAAGGGUGGGGAAUUAUGGUUUUGUUUCAAUGGUUUAAAGAAAAUGGUAGAUUGCCAUUAAAAUGUUUCUUUUAAUUUUGGGUGAUAAAUAAAACGGUGCUGUUUAAGGGGGAGGCAGGAUCUGCGUGUCAACCCGCUCCAUUGCCCGGAUCCUCGCCUUUGCGCUUUAAAUGGGAAAUUUACGCGGAAAGUCCUUCCUUUUUGCGCCGGCUUUUAAUUAGCCCUUAUUCGCAUUUUAUUUGUUUUUUUUUAAUUUUUCCUGGAAUUUGUGUGCCAAUUCAAUUGCGUCUGUGCCUAAACGUUGCGUUUUGAGAUUUGGAACAUUUGCACUUUUAAUCCUCGGACAUUUACGCGCGUUGUGUUUUAAUCCUUAAUUCUGUUUUAUUACUUUCUUUAUUUAUAAAUUGUCCACUUGGUUUUAUUUUUAUUCCAAUUGAGUUUUAUUUAUAAAAAUGUAAAUGAAAUUAAUGUAUUAUUUACAUACAAACUUACCUCGGUGCAAAAUAUGAGAAUUUUGCAAUUUAGUCCAAAACUUUCUCUUUUUCCCGUUCGAGGUCGAUUCCACGCCUUUCUUGAUCUAUAACAACAUAUUUAGCUUAUUUAACACUCAAACUAUUUAUUUUAAUCCAAAAAUCACAUUAUACAAAAAUUACAUUUUUUCCCCCUAACUUUUACAAAAUUAUGAUUUUUCCCCAAGGCUCGGAAAUUUAAUUUCAGCCUUUAUUCUUGUGUUUAAUGACCCACUGAUCAUUUUUCUCUUCUAUAGAAACAUCAAAUUCUCACUCUAACACAUAGUUAUGAACAAUAGGUAUUUUUAUCGAUUAUGUCGUUUUGCUCGUUUUCGUUAAAAAUCGCUUAGAAAAGAUCGUUCCCCUAACUUCAAACAUUCAUAUUCUACCAUCAAACAACAAAAUACAUGCCUAUCAUUCAUGAGUAAAUUUUUAAACAUAAACCCUAAUUCGAACUAAUGGUAGAAAUAAGUAAACCGAGCUACGAGGAUUUUAAAAAUGUGAAGAACAUUAAAAACGGGCUUGAAUUCACUUACUAUGAAGCUUGAAAGUUGAAGAAACCCUAGCUAUGGAGGAGAGAAAUUUUCGGCAGCAACUAAUGAAGAUGAUAACCAAUUUGUGUUAUUUUUCCCAUUUUAUUUCAUUUAAUAUGCAAAUGACCAAAAUGCCCUUACUACUAAACUUUCAAAAAAACUCCCUCCAUGUCCAACUUUUGUCCAUAAAUUAAGAAUGGGUCAAAUUUCUAUUUAAGACCUCCUAAUUAAUAUCCCAAAGCAAUUUUAUACUAAAAACUUCUAAAACAUGAGUUUUACAAUUUAUUCGAUUUAGUCCCUAUUCUCAACUUAAGCGCGAAAUGCACAGAAUUUCAUCACGAAAUUUUCAUGAAAUCAUGAAAUCAUAUCAUAAACCCCAAAAUAAUUAUAAAACGAUUAUUUCUAUCUCAGAUUUGUGGUCACAAAACCACUAUUCUGAUUAGGCCCUAAUUCGGGUUGUCACACAGGAAUUCCAAGACUGCCCCUUUUCCCUCCUGUUCUUUCCAUUUUAGCUCACUCCCUCCCCCUAUGACAUUCAUCAACUUCCUCACAAAAGUUGGAAUACAGUUAGCCCUUGAGUAAACUUUAUCAACUUGAAUCAUAGGACAACGCCACAAAAUUGAAUAUUCCUCCACCACGGGUACCAUAUAGGCUUUUCCAAACGUAAAGCAACUGUAUACAAGAUUCCAAUACUGAGUGAUGGCCCGAAACAAAUUCUCGUCUAUUCUCAAGUCAAGCAAGUACUGCAAGUCCCCAUGGUUGUUGUAGAACAACUGCUUGGCUUCGCUACCCCAUUGAUCCCAUAUUUCCUUUAACUCAUGUUGAUUAUCCUGUGUGAUAUGAAUGUAGUCUGACAGCUCUGACACAUAUCCCAUGGCUAGACUAUUUUCCUUUACUAACUGAGUUUGCUCUGACCAUAUAUGGACGUUAGCAUUGUCUUCCACUCUAUCAAGAAGUCCGUUAUCCAUAAUAAAACUCUCUAACUUAGAAAUUGACCGAAAAUCGAUACCUUUUAAAUGCGAAAUGAAAUGCAACAAAGGAAAGGAGAUAGUUAGUAUCACAUGAUAACAAUAAACUCAAAGAUAACCUGCAAGGGUAAUAAUUACGGUAUAAUUUUAUCUAAGUUGAGCUCUUACGGUCCUUCUAUAUGUGGUUUAGUUCUAAAGUUGAGGUACCUGAACCAGCAGAUUCCUCGAUCCUCACCCAUUAUAGGCUCAUUUGAAUUGAGUUCAGUUCAGGGGGACACAUUUCCCUAUGGCUACACGGAGAUGAAAAUCUCACGAAACCAUAGGUACAGAUGUAUCCCAAAAGUGAUCCACUAUCCUGCACGAAGGCGAAAACCUCACGAAGGUGUAGCUUCUCACUCCCACUUAAGGGUGUGACCACAACGGUCAUGCAAAUGCAAUGCGUAUUAGAAUAUAGCAACACAUGCAAUAACACAAACACAUGUAAUGCAAAGAAGAUUAAAUUUUAAAAUUUUUAAUUUCUGACAUUAAGACAAGAGAUAAUUAAUUACACGGCUUGACUCUCUUAUUAGUCCCCAAUGGAGUCGCCAAGCUGUCGAAACCAUUUUCAAAUCGAGUUUUGGAAAAUGAGAAUCGAUUUUAAAAAAAUGAAAACGGGAGUCGCCAUCAAUCUUUUUAGGUGUGAUUGGAUCACCUUUAAAACAUUUUGUUUUAAAAUCAUUAGUUUUGGUCUACGAAAUAAAAGAACGGGUUCGGGAGUCGAUUACGUACAAGGAAGGAUUGGCACCCUUGUAACGCCCAAAAAUUGGUACCUAAUUGAUUAUCAAAUGUCUUUAAUGUCGAAAAUUUUAAAGAUUUUAAGAUGUAAUCCUCUUUAAAAUUAUUUUGAUUUUUGAAAAUUUGGGUUCACUUGUAUCAAAGUAUUGACACUAAGUUAGCCUUUUUAGAAAUCCCCAUCUCGAAACGACAAAAUGCUACAUCCAGUAAGUUAGGACAUAUCACUUUGCAGUUCCGAGACAGUCGCUUACGUUUUGAAAACCUUUAAAAACUUAGAAGGGUACUUGACUAUUCGAACUUAACGAGAAAAGUCGCAACCCAAUAAGUUAGGGCACUACCCUUUUAAAAUUUCCAAACACCAAGCAUUGCCUUUAUAUGUUUUUUUUUUGAAAAUUUUGGAACCUUGUCUUUUAAAGAUGAUGCAUAGGGAAUUGUAUUGCAUUAUAAAUCAUACAUAGUAACAUAUUAUUGUAGUUGGUAAAUAAAACGUGCAUUUAAACAAAAUGAUGGCAAUGGUAUAAAGAACGUGCAUUAGAUUCAUACAUAUAAAAUAGCAAAUAUUAAUAAUAUGCAUACAAAGAUAUAUAAUAUGUAUUGAGAACGAAUAAUCGUGAUAUAUAAACAUAUGAAAUAAUAUUUAAAUGAUGCGUGAUAUAAAAUCAAACAUAAUCAAAUAAUGCAUAAAUAGAAUAAAUGUAUUGUCAAUAUGCAUAUAAUUAUAAAAUAACACAUACAUGAUACAUAUAAUACCAAACGUAUAGAAGAACUAAAAAAAUGAUUGAUUGCUAACAAAAAUAUACAUACAAUUAAGAACAAGACAUUUCAUAUCAAAAAUAUUUAAUAUAUAAUAUUAUAACAUAGUAGCAAGAAUAAAAGAAUAAUAAUUAUAUAACAAUAUAUUGGUUUGAAAGUAUGUAAGAGAUUUCAUAAUAUAACAAUAUUAGUUUAAAAUGAAAUAAUAUAUGUAUAGUAAAUAAAAAAAAUGAAAUGUGUAUAUAAUGUAAGUUAAAAAUAUGAUUUAACAAUAAUAAUUUACAUUUUUAAAAUAAUAUAUAUAAUAUAAACAUAAAUAAUAUAAUUUGCGAUACAUGAUAUACAUAACAUAUAUAUGAAAAAAUAAUAAUAUAAAAAUAAAACAUAAUAAAGAUUAUAUAAUAGAAUGUAAUAUAAACAUAUAAGAAAAAUAAUGGAUAUAAUAUAAAGUAACAUAUAAUGCAACAUAUAUAUAUAAGUAAUUAAUAAACAUAGCAUAUGUGAAAAUAUAAUAAUAAAUAAAAGAGAUGUAAAUAAUAAUUUAAGGAAAAUAAUAUAUAUAAUAAGUAAUAAUAAUAUAUAAUUAAAAAGAAUACUUAUAAUAAAACAAUUUUAUAAUAUAUAAUAUUAAAGUAAAAUUAAAAUAAACAAAUAAUAUAUAUAUAGAAUAAUAUAAUAAAUAUAGGACUAAAUUUAAAGCUUAACAAAAUUAUGGGGAAAAUUUUGAAAGGAAUAAAACUGAAUUAAGGACCUAUUUAAAACACGCGAAAUUAAAAGGACUCACCGGGCAAAUUACCCUAUUCCCAAAACGGCGACGUUUCCCAAAAUGAGAUUUAACGACUGUCAGGACCAAAUUAAAACUAAAAUAAAAUAGCAGGGCCGAAUCAUAAAAUAAGGUUUUAAUUGUAAACGCAAAAAGGAGCAGAAGGACUAAUUGAGCAAUUAACCCAGUUAUAAAAACGCGCGGAUCCUCCCCGGGUAAUCGGGUCAACAUGCGGAUCCUGAGGGUCUAAAACGCUGUCGUUUUGACAAGGCUAUAUAAGCCAAAUCUUCAGCUUUAAAAUCAUUUAGAAACCCAGUUUCUAAAAAAAAAACAAAGAAAAAUCCUCUGAAGAGGAUCCCUGGUCCUCUGAGCUCCGGCGUUUAGCCGAUCAGCUCUGGUCAUCGGACCUCCGCGCUGAGAUCCACGCGCCGCCACCGACUCCGCCACCACGAUGGUCGGAACUUGAAAAGUUUCGCUUUUCAAGGUGACUCUCCAGGUAUACUCUCUCUAUCUAUUUAAUAUAUUAUAUGCAUAAACUCAUGAUCAAGAGAAUAAAACGGAAAUAAAAAUAUGUCACCUUUGUCUUCUGUAAAAGAUCUCUGGUAUAUUAUUGCAAAAAAAAACUCUAUGUACAAUAUUUUUGGUCUCUACCUCGUGUGUGUUUUUACAGAUUAAAAAGAAGGCUUUAUAGCCUCUACUACUACAAGUUUUGGAAAGAAAUCUUUGAUUUCUUUCCGUAUUUGCUUCGCAUGUCUGCUGUGAUUUUCUUUCCUUUUCUUGCAAGUACUUGCGAAAAAUCCAGCAAUGGCAAAGGCUUGACGAUGGUCCACUGGUGGCGUUGAUCUCGGCGUGACUUGGGGCCUGGAAUCAUGACCUUGACGGGGUAGCUGGAAUAGCAGGAGCUGAAGAGUCAUGAGGCUUGGCUUCUGGAACCUUCUGUUUGCAGCGCAAGGAGAAAGGCAGAAACCCUAGGGUUUCAUGCCUUGGUGUAACAAGCUGGGCCACUUGGGCCCGUUUUGUCCUGGGUCCACUUGGGUCUGUUGUAAUGGGUCUUAGUUUUAGUGUAUCUGGGUAGGAUGUAAUAGUGGGCCUGCUGGUUAUUGUAACUGGGUAAGGUCUCUUGUAUUUGGGCCUGCCGUUUAGGCUUUUGUAUUUGGGUAAAGGACUGUUAAGAGACUUUAUAUUUUGAAAUUUUGGAUUAUGCCUUGGCUUCCAAUGGGCCGGGAAAAAUUGAGGUAUUACAAUAGCAAUCAAAAACAGCAAGAAAUCAAAAGAGGUGAUUUACUCUUUUUUUUUCAAAAGCUUAUCAUAGCAUUUCGUUUUUUUUUCUUGAUUGUUCUUCUAUUUCUUUUUAUUUCUUCAUUUACAAAGAAGAAAAUAAUAAAGGAAGAAGAUAAAGGGGAAAUUUUCACCUGAACCGUUGGUAUACUGUUGGAGUUUCUUCUCCGUUAAAGCCAAAAUCCAACAAAGAUGGAGACCUCCUUCUUUUGAUUCCUUGCGAUUGAAGGUGCUAUGAAUACAGCUUUAAACAAGUCCGAAUGAGGUAGUCUACCCUCCAUCGACCACCGUUUGUGGUGGUUGUAUGGCUGCUAGGGUUUGGCCUUUGAGAAUCAGCUAAAAGGGUGGGGAAUUAUGGUUUUGUUUCAAUGGUUUAAAGAAACUAGUAGAUUGCCAUUAAAAUGUUUCUUUUAAUUUUGGGUGAUAAAUAAAACGGCGCCGUUUAAGGGGGAGGCGGGAUCUGCGUGUCAACCCGCUCCAUUGCCCGGAUCCUCGCCUUUGCGCUUUAAAUGGGAAAUUUGCGCGGAAAGUCCUUCCUUUUUGCGCCGGCUUUUAAUUAGCCCUUAUUCGCAUUUUAUUUGUUUUUUUUUUUAAUUUUUCCUGGAAUUUGUGUGCCAAUUCAAUUGGGUUUGCACCUAAACGCUGCGUUUUGAGAUUUGGAACAUUUGCACUUUUAAUCCUCAGACAUUUGCGCGCGUUGUGUUUUAAUCCUUAAUUCUGUUUUAUUACUUUCUUUAUUUAUAAUUGUCCACUUGGUCUUAUUUUUAUUUCAAUUGAGUUUUUUUUUUUAAUUUCAAUUUAUGUUUUUAUUCUUUAUGGUUCUUUUAUUUUUUUAAAUGAAAUUAUUUGUUAUUCAUCUUUUAACAUAUUAUAUUGGAUUAUUUUACUAAUUUUGGAUUGUUCUAGCUUGUUAUUUUAUACUUUUGUUCAUAUAUAUAAAGAUUGUUUUAUUUUAUAAUUUGUUUAUUUUAAAAUCCUCUUUUAUAUUUUUUUAUGUUUUAAAGAUUUACAUGAAAUUUAAUUUAAUGCUAUUAUACAUACAUAUACAUAAUUAUUUUUAUUCUAAAUAUAUAUUGUUGAUUUCAUAUUUUCUUAUGUAAAUAUAUUUGUUUAAAUUUAUUUACAUAUAUAUAUAUAUCUUCUUUUAAAUCUAUUUACGUAUAUAAUUUGUUUCUUUAAAGGACCCUAUUUUAAACUAUAUAUUUCAUUUAUUUUAAACAUUUUCAUAUAUUAGUAUUUCUAUAUAUACAUUAUUUAUAUUGAGCUUUUCAUUUCAUGUAUAUUAUUUAUUUAGAUGGACAUAUAUUAUUUCAUAGAUUUUUUUAUAUAUAUUAUUUAUUUUGAAAUUUCAUUUAUACAUUAAUAUUUCAUAUAUUAUUUAUGUUUAUUUUCUACUUUUUGAUCUAUUUCAAACUUUCACGUUUAUGACUUAUUUUAAAAUUAAAUUAUUAUAUGUAUUAUAAUUUCAAAUGUCUUAUUUUUUAUUAUUAAUUUCAAACUCAUUUAUCAUCGUUUCAAAAUUUGUUGCAUUUUAUUUGUAUUAAUCGGCUUUAUAUUUCUUUUAAAAUCGAUUCUUUGAUUCAUAAGUCUUUGAAUAUUAACGUUAGUAUUUGCAUAAUGUGUGACGUGAACUUAUUGCUAUUGUGUGUAUCUUAAUUUGUUUUUUUCAUACUAUUGCCAUUCAUUUGUAUAGCAUUUUAUCCAUGUAUAUUGUUUCAUGUUUAUAAUUUCGCCUUUCAUUCACGAGUGUCACAUUGUGAUUUUCAACUUAUCAAUCCAAAGUCAAUUAUUCCAUUUUAUUCCAAGUAAAUCGACUAAUGCGUUUUGAGCCAGCUUUAUAAUAGUUCAUUUGAAAAUUUCCCCAAAACAAAGGCAAUAUUUAGUGUUUGGAAAUUCGAGAAAUCGUGCCCUAACGUGCUGGGUUUCGAUUUUUCGUUUGUCUAAAUAAUCAAAUAUCCCUUUAAAAUUUCGUCGGUGUUUUCUAAACUUCAAAACAAGGAUAUGUUCUAUGUUUGAAAAUCCGAGAAAUCAUGCCCUAACGUAUUGGGUUUCGGUUUUUCUUUAAACCAAAUAAUUGAAUACCCUUUCGUAAUUUUUUUAAAUGUGUGAGUUGUUGGAAAUCAAGAAUUAAUCAUGGUAUCGAGGGUUUAAAAGAUUAUGUCCUAACGUGCUGGAUGUGAUAUUGCAUUCCUUCGAAAUAAGAAAUUUUUAACAUCCAAUUCAAAUCCUCCAAAUGUUUUAAAAGAAAUCAUAUUUCAAUUUUUUUUUUAAAUCUUAGACAUAAGAGCAUUAUUUAAUCAAUUAGGUACCAAUUUUAGACUUAACGAGGGUGCUAACCCAUCCUUAUACGUAACCGACUCCAGGACCCAUUUUCUCAAAUUUCGUAGGGCAAAAGUAAUAUUUUAAAAUAAAAUAUUUUAUUAGUUGAUCUGAUCACACCUAACAAAAAGGAUUGAUGACGACUCCAAACUUUAUUUUAAAUUCAAUCCCUAUUUUUUAAAAUAAAAAACUGGUUUCGACACGCAUAAUUUGAUAACAUUGCGUCUAAUGUGUUUAUGGUCAAUUGUAAACAAAUCCUUGGUCAAACCUGACAUGCUCUAUAAAAUUCCAUGAAAAAUCAGUUGUAAUAGGUAGAAAAGAAAGGCAAAUACUUUCAGAUGCUUAACCGACUUCAUUCAAUUUUGAUUUUCAUAUAAAAAAUACUUAAUAUAUUUAAUAUGUAUUUGAUGGUUAAAUUUUUUUACAUAAAAUAAAUUAAAUUUAUGUAAAAUUUAAUAUUCAUAAUUUAAACGAAUAAAUCAUAAAAUAUAACAGUUGGAUCGUUAAAACAUUAAUUAUAUAAAUAGUUAUAAAAGGGUAUAAAAUUACUUUAAUUUUUACUAAUUUUUAAUCUCUUCGUUAUUAUUUUUAUUAAUUUUUAAAAAAUAAUUAUAAAAAAUUUGAUGUUUAGAAUUUUAAGAAUGAUAUAUAAACAAUUUCUUUUCUUAGUUUUUAAAUUCAUCCAUUAAAAAACAAUUCAGAAAUCCUAAAGAGAGUGGGUCAAACAAGUAACAAAUUUAUUUAUUUUAAAAUGCUAACAAGUAAACAAAUACAUUUGAUCACUAACGAUUAAACAAAACAUGACAAACAUUUUUUAAAGUAAAAUUUUAUAAUUUUAUAUCAAAAUAAGUCAGUAUUUUAAAUACUAGAGAGUCGUAUUGUUCUUACUUUCCAAUGAUAUUUCCGAAGAAAUUAAUAUAAGAUUACUGGUCAUAAAUUUAGUGAAGAGUAUGUCAAAAGCAAAGAAAAGAAUAAAUAUCAUCCAUGCCCUCAAACAUUUUGAUCUUUACAUUUCAAUCGAACUGCAAUAAGUUUAAAAUCAAUAGAGGAUAUUUAAACAUUUUUUACAGACAUCAACAUUUGAAUAAAAAGAAUCAAAUAAAAUACAAAUCAACAUUUCUUUUAAUCUAUUUUGUAAUUCUCAUGCACUUUGUUUUCUUGAAUUUAAGUUCUCCUUUUUCGACUUAAAAUAUCACCACUUUUCUUACCUAUAAAUACAUGCAAUAAUUGCACUCUUAUCCUCACACCAAUUCUGUGCCAAAUUUCAAGAGCAAACCAAAAAAGGCUGCAAAUUAAGCUUUUGAUCAAUCGAAAUGGCUUCACAAGUUUCUCAGAUGCCUUCUUCAUCACCCCUUUCCUCCAAUAAGGAUGAAAUGCGUCCCAAAGCCGAUUUUCAGCCUAGCAUUUGGGGAGAUUUCUUCCUCAAUUGUCCCGACAAGGUAUACAUACAUAUCACCAUAUUGAUAUAAUCUUAACAUAUUAUUUGUUUAAUUAUUUAGUGAUUCAAUAUGAAGAAAAUUUUCAUUAUUUUGAGCAGAAUAUUGAUGCUGGAACUGAAAGCCGCCACCAAGAAUUGAAAGAAGAAGUGAGGAAGAUGAUUGUGGCACCAAUGGCUAAUUCAACCCAAAAGUUAGCCUUCAUUGAUUCAGUCCAAAGACUGGGUGUGAGUUACCAUUUCACCAAGGAGAUCGAAGAUGAACUAGAGAAUAUCUACCAUAACAACAAUGAUGCCGAGAACGACCUCUACACUACCUCUCUUCGAUUCCGAUUACUCCGAGAGCAUGGAUACAAUGUUUCAUGCGGUAAUUAUUGGAACAACAGCAUAGUGUUUUUAAGUUUCUUGAGAAUAUAAUAGCAUGGAAUGUUUGAUAACGAUAUUUCAUUUUGGGUAAUUUCAUCUCAGACGUAUUCAACAAGUUUAAAGACGAGCAAGGGAAUUUCAAGUCAUCCGUGACAAGCGAUGUUCGAGGAUUGUUGGAACUUUACCAAGCUUCCUAUUUGAGGGUUCAUGGGGAAGAUAUAUUGGAUGAAGCAAUUUCUUUCACCACCAACCAUUUAAGCCUUGCAGUAGCAUCUUUGGACCAUCCUUUAUCCGAAGAGGUUUCUCAUGCUUUGAAACAAUCAAUUCGAAGAGGCUUGCCUAGGGUUUGAGGCAAGGCACUAUCUUUCAGUAUACCAAGAUAUUGAGUCCCACAAUAAGGCUAUGUUGGAGUUUGCUAAGAUCGACUUCAACAUGUUACAAUUUUUGCAUAGGAAAGAGCUAAGUGAGAUUUGUAGGUAUGUUUUUGAAUCUCUUUCACCCAUUUUUUUCUUUUUCAUCUUUUUUAUUUAUUUAUUUUUUAGUGGAAGGAGGGUUGAAUUUAUAGGUGGCAUCAUUAUCAGUAUAGGAGACGAGUUGCAAAUGCUAAUAUUUGAAUCUUAUUAAAUAGCACAAGUUAAAAGUAACAGCAUGAACCUUGGAUUCUUCUUUUUCACCUAUAUCAUUUUACUUAUAUAUUUUUUAAAAUAUGAUGUUGGCAAUUGACUUAAAUCUAACAACACGAAUGUGAAACUAAUUAAAACUUUGAAUAUUCAUUGUGCUAAUGGGGUUUUUUUAUUAUAUCAUUUUUUAGGUGGUGGAAGGAUUUAGACUUUCAAAGAAAGUUGCCAUAUGCAAGAGAUAGAGUGGUUGAAGGCUAUUUUUGGAUCUCGGGGGUGUACUUUGAGCCCCAAUAUUCACUUGGUAGAAAGAUGUUGACAAAAGUGAUAGCAAUGGCAUCUAUUGUAGAUGAUACAUAUGACUCAUACGCAACAUACGAAGAACUCAUUCCCUAUACAAAUGCAAUUGAGAGGUUAGAUCUUUAAUUUUGUUGGUAAUAGGUUAGGUUUCUUUAGUUGAAGUAAACAUUCAAUAAUAUAUUACGAGGCAUGAUCAAAUAUAACGUUGAAGUUGGAUUCAGGUGGGAUAUCAAAUGCAUAGAUGAACUUCCUGAAUACAUGAAACCAAGCUACAAGGCACUAUUAGAUGUUUACGAAGAAAUGGAACAAUCGGUGGCUGAACAUGGGAGGCAAUAUCGUGUCGAAUAUGCGAAAAAAGCCGUAUGUACUUCGACAAACACUUAUUUUGUACAAAAGAGAUAAGAUCUUAGCUAAAUUCUAGAUUUGAAUAAACAACUAACUUGAAUAACAAUAUAUAAUCAUUUAAAUAUUAUUAUUGAAUUUGAAUUGAUAUUAGUGAUAAUUGUUGGGAUUUUGUUGCCUCAGAUGAUACGACUUGCUCAAUCUUAUCUUGUGGAGGCUAGAUGGACUCUUCAAACUACAAACCAUCAUUCGAGGAGUUUAAGGCUAAUGCAUUGCCAACUUGUGGUUAUGCCAUGCUUGCUAUUACAUCUUUCGUCGGCAUGGGAGAUAUUGUAACACCAGAGACCUUUAAAUGGGCAGCCAGUGACCCUAAGAUCAUUCAAGCUUCCACAAUUAUUUGUAGGUUUAUGGAUGAUGUUGCGGAACACAAGGUAUAAUAAUAUAUUUAGAGAACUACAAGAAACCGAACUCUUAACUAUUAUGAUAUUCACAAAACAAGCAUUGUUAUUAUUGAACUUAUCUGAAUCAUACGUGCAGUACACACAUUUAUAGCAAUAGAUUUAACCGACUAACCAUCUAACUAACUACUAACAACUGAUAACUAACUAACUGUUACUUAGUUAUACUAAUAUUCUUCUGGUUCUCUUUGUUUGAAAAACAUUCAUCAGCAGCACAAACUUGCAGACCUUGUCGAAACUCAGCAAACUUCUUAGGUGGAAUAGCCUUGGUGAGAACAUCAGCAAUUUGACUAGCUGAUGGAACAAAACUAACUUGAAGCAUACCAUCCAGAACUUUUUCCCGAAUGAAAUGAUGAUCAAUCUCCACAUGCUUCAUCCGAGCAUGAUGAGUUGGAUUUGCAGCCAUGCUUACGGUAGAAGUAUUAUCACACCAUACAACUGGUACCUGACAGACUUCCAUGCCAAUCUCGUUUAUCAACUGUUUAAUCCAAAGUAACUCCGACACACAAUUUGCCAGGCUUCGAUACUCAGCUUCAGAAGUUGACCUGGAGACCACUGCUUGCUUCUUGGAGCACUAGGCAAUCGGAUUUUGUCCCAAGUAAACUACAUAGCCAGAAGUAGACCUUCUAUCAUCAACAGAUGCAGCCCAGUCGGCGUCAGAAUAGCAAACUAAUUGAAACUUCCCUGGUCUGAAGAACAACCCAUAAUUCAUAGUACCUAUAAGAUACCGCAAAACUCGCUUAACAGCCUUCCAAUGAGCCUCACUCGGAGCAUUCAUAUACUAACUUAACUUAUUGACCGAGAAGGCUAGAUCCGGCCGUGUAACAUACAAAUAUUGAAGCAUACCAACUGUGCUACGAUACAAAUGAAUAUCUGCAUACAAUGAAUCACCAUUUGAAGCAACAAGCUUUGAAGAACUCACCAUGGGAGUAGAUGUAGAUGACGCACCCAACAUGCCUGUUUUAGUUAGAAUUUCUGCAGCAUAUUUCUUCUGAGUUAGACGUAAGCCUUGACUUGUGUGUUGUACCUCAAUGGCCAGAAAAUAAUUAAGCCUGCCCAUAUCUUUAAGUGCGAACUUUUCAUGCAACUUACACACCACCUUGUCAAUUUCAGUAACUGAACUACCGGUCACCACUAUAUCAUCUACGUAUACCAUGAGUAAUACUAGAUUAUCAGUAGACCCUUAAAUGAAUAAAGAAGAGUCAGCUUGUGAUGCUCGAAAACCAAGUUGGUUUACAAGGUACUGUUUCAAGGUCUGAAACCAUGCUCGGGGAGCUUGCUUAAGACCAUACAAGGCCUUAGUCAAACGACAGACCAGCUUCUGACCAUUGGCACAGACAACUUCAAAUCCUGGUGGUUGAUCCAUAUAGAUUUCUUCUGUCAAAUUUCCAUUGAGAAAUGCGUUGUUCACAUCAACUUGCCUUAAGGGCCAUCCCUUCAUAACUGCUAUGGCGAGAACUGUUCGGAUAGUAGUCGCCUUAACCACCGGGCUAAAAGUGUCUCUAAAAUCAAAACCUGCAUGUUGAGAAAACCCCUUUGCCACUAGUCUGGCCUUAUAUCUCUCAAUCGUCCCAUCAGCUUUAUGCUUCACUUUAAACAGCCACUUGCACCCUAUGAUUUUCCUGUUAGCAGGCAUAGGACAAAGUUCCCAUGUCUUGUUGCGAAUAAGUGCUUGCAGCUCAUUUUGAACAGCUCCUCGCCAACAAUCAUAUUGCAUAGCAUCAUGGAUAUCAGUUGGUGAGUUAUUCACCAAGCCAUCAACCUUGCUCACGUAGACCUUCGGUUUAAAAAUUCCGACCUUGCUGCGAGUCGUCAUCGCAUGAGUGUUGACUGGGAGAUUCUGAAAUUCCAUAGAGACGGGCCUACUAGUAGAGCUGGAUGAAUUUGAACCAGACAAACUUGACCCAGCCUGUUCACAAGAAUUUGAACCAGACAAAUUUGAACCAGCCUGGUCACAUGACACCUGUACGGGCUGACUUUGACUAGAAGUCGAGACACCUUGAUCACAAGCCAACUGAACAUCCGGACGUCGUCUAAGACCAGUUCCUUUACUUGUAGAAUUCGGCUGUACCACGACAAGCUUAGAGCUUGCUUGAGUGGCAUUAGGUAUAGCUCCUUUCACUUUACAGUUGAGAGUUGAAAAAGGAAACUCAUGCUCAUGAAAUGUGACAUGUCUAGAGACAUAAAUCCUCCCAUCAGCAGCCUGACAACGGUACCCUUUCUGACUUGGAGAAUACCCUAAGAACGUGCACGGUGUUGACCGAUAUUGCAGUUUGGUCAUGUUGAAUGGUCGAAGACAUGGAAAACAGAGGCAACCAAACACUCUGAGGAACAAGUAGUUUGGUUUAGUCUGAAACAGCAUUUCAUAAGGUGAAAUGCCAAGGGAAGACGUAGGCAACCUGUUAAUCAAAUAGACAGCACUACUGAAUGCAUCAUUCCAGUAAGUGACUGGCAUAGCUGCAUGCGCCAACAUGGACAACCCAACUUCAACGAUCUGGCAAUGCUUACCCUCAACAAGACCAUUUUGUGGUGAUGUAUACGGGCAGGUAAACCGCUGUAUAAUUCCUUAUUGAGACACAUACGGCAUCAAGGUGCGAAACUCACCUCCACCAUCUGUCUGUAACAUUUUAAGUUUACACCCCAAGACACGUUCAGCCUGACGAUGAAAUAGUGGGAAUACAGUAAGAACCUUGGACUUUUUCUGCAAGAAAUAAAGCCAGGUAUGCCUGGAGUAAGCAUCAGUAAAUGCAACAUAGUAUCGAAAUCCAUUUGACACAACUGGAGCUGGCCCCCAGACAUCAGCCACAACGAGCUGUAAAGGUGCAGUAUACUCAGUCAAGGAUCGAGAAAAAGGCUGCUUACGCUCUUUACCCAAGUGACAUGCAACACAACAAGAAACAUUUUUAUUAGUUUCAAACUGAAUGUUACAAUGAUUUAAAGCCUUCUUGAGAGUUACAUCACAUGGAUGUCCUAAUCUAGAAUGCCACACAGUUAACGGGAUCAUUGUACUAGCAGUAAAACAUUGAGAAGGACCAUCAGCUGUCAUUGAUGCACCCGAACCCUUUAAAUGUAACUUGUAUAGCCCGUCAUGUACUGAACCACUCAGGAGAACUUGCUUAGUCUUGAGAUCACGAACCUGACACUGAGUAGGAUAAAACUCAACCAUUACUUGAUUAUCCUUUGUGAAUUUAGAGACAGAUAGCAAAUUUUUAGUAAUACCAGGCACAUGUAACAGUGACUUCAUAUAUAAAGGUCGAGAUGAAGUAGACAGUGUGGACUGACCCAUAGACAGAACUGGUAGAGUAGUACCAUUGCCCACAUACACUUUACCUGGACCGUUAUAAGCCAAAGGUUCUCCUAAGGAUGAUGCUGAAUUCGUCAGAUGAUGUGUAGCCCCAGAGUCGGGAUACCACGUAUUAUCUGCUACCGUUGCAGGAGUUGCAACAUAGGCUUGCGGCAUUGAAGCUGUAUUAAAAGAUAUAUUGGGAGACAUACCAGAGUGCAAUGAAGCAGAUGCAUCAAAUGGAUUAUUCCAAUUAACAGUUGAGACAGAUGGACCCGACCCCCAGUGAUGGACUUGAACUGGGCACACAUAGGCAGUAGGUACAGAUGGUGGCCAAGAGGCAGUUGCAACACCAUGUCCAAACAUACUAAUAUUUGCUUGAGGAAUCAUAGAAGGUCUAGAACCAAUAUUUUUAUACGAUGCAUCAAAUCGAUGAUAGCACCGAUCAACAAGAUGGCCUGACUUACCACACAAUUGACACUGUAUACGGGAUCCAAAUGAGCGACCACGCCCUCUACUUCUACCAUUUGAUGAGGGACGAUAGUUGGGUGUAUUGACAGUCUCAGGCAUCGAGGUUGACUCUUGAUGAGAUACAAGAUUAACAGAGCUGGGAGUUUCACUCACAACAACAUUUUGUCUAGCUUCAGCAUCGAGCAAGAUCGUAGUUACUCCUUGUAUACUGUAAGGUACUUGGCUAGCAGUAAUAAUAGCAAUAAUUGCUUCAUAGUCCGGUGGUAAACCAUUAAGAACGACAGUGAUAUAUUCUUGAUCACUAAUUACCUCACCACAGCUAGCAAGACUAUCAGAAUAGUUUUUAAUUUUCAUCAAGUAAUCUUUCAUGGACAGCUCACCUUUUCGCUGAGAAUGGAGAGCUCUGCGAUAGGACAUUAAUCGCGAGGUGGUUUUGCUACCAUACACCGCAACAAUUGCAUUCCAUAUUUGAGCACAAGAUUCCAAUCCAAUGAGAUGCGGUAAGACAGCUGCACUAACGGACGACAACAGCCAAAAGGCUAAAGCACAAUCUUGCUGUUGAAAUCUUGAAAAAGCAAGAUUAUCCUGAAGAACACCAUCUUCACUCAGAAUCUGUCUAGGAGGAGGAGUCGUACUAGAAUCAAGAAACUGUUGUAGAUUGUGAGUUUUAACUGCCAAAAUCUCCUGCUGACGCCAUAGCAAGUAAUUAGUAUCAUCAAGCAAAAUAUUAAUCUUCUUGACAGUAAUAAAUCGGCUGUCAACAGCAACUUCAGAGACAUUAGAUGCCAUUCCAGGCGUAUCAGAAUGCACAGGAGACGGACUGGUAGGAAAUGCCAUAAGAACACAGGCCCUCAGAGAUCUACCAAAAAAGAAAGAAAAACUGAUACCAUAUUAUGAUAUUCACAAAACAAGCAUUGUUAUUAUUGAACUUAUCUGAAUCAUACGUGCAGUACACACAUUUAUAGCAAUAGAUUUAACCGACUAACCAUCUAACUAACUACUAACAACUGAUAACUAACUAACUGUUACUUAGUUAUACUAAUAUUAACUAAAUAAUUGAAUGUCUUUGUAACAAUAUCAAACAAUGGUUUUUAUCAUGAUCUAAAUCAAUUAAAGUCUAAUGUUUAUAUAUAAAAUGUUUAGUCUCAAAUUGAAGAUUAAGAAAAGAAAUCUAGUUUCAUUUUAGGGUUUUUAGUGAGGAAGUAUUGUCAAUAAAGGUAUUUUAUCAUCACAAACAAAGAUAGUUUAAUUAACUGAUAGAUUUGAGGGUAUAUAAUGAUAGAAUAAUUUUGAUUUUAUUACGGUUGCAGUUCAAGCAUAGGAGAGAAGAUGAUUGCUCAGCAAUAGAGUGUUAUAUGGAAGAAUAUGGCGUAACCGCACAAGAGGCAUACGAUGUAUUCAACAAGCAUGUUGAGAGUGCCUGGAAGGAUGUGAAUCAAGAGUUUCUAAAACCAACAGAAAUGCCAACAGAAAUUUUAAAUCGCAGCCUAAACCUUGCAAGGGUGAUGGAUGUACUUUACAGGGAAGGAGAUGCCUAUACAUAUGUUGGAAAAGCGGCUAAG